rnacentral:lncRNA from 1 species
AUCUUCAUGAGUUGUUUCUCUACUUUCUUCAUUAGGGGGAAGACCUUUAUCCAACCAAUCCAAAUUAUUAGAUGAUAAAAUAGGCUCCUCUCCUUUUCGUAUCCACUCAUUUAAUAUAUCAUCAUCAUUAAAGAUAUCAUUAGAUCAAUUGGAUUGUAUAAAUCUUCACUGUUUCACUCUUGCAUCACAUUCUUAACCUAAAGUUGCAUGUUGUGAUGCACAUAAACUAACUUAUGCAACUUUUUCAUUACUAGACAGUUGCACAGCUUUGUGUGAAUCAAUGACCAUGUGCUCCAAUUUCUUUCACAACCUGAUGAAGAACAAGUUUGAUUUAAAAUUUUAACAAUAAUUUUUUUUUUUUUGUAGAUGUGGAUCUUUGUCGCCAUAGUCGUUCCACCAUUUAGCUAUAAUAAAGAAAAUGCAUACUUAUUAAUCACCAUGAUAUAUUUAACAAAAAAUGAUGAUAAUUCUUAUUUGUAAUAGAAGUAAAUGUAUUGAGUACUUGGAAGGGAUUGAUUUAUUGCUUUCUUUGUAAGUGCACUUCCAAAUUCUCCUUGAUUUUCAACAAAUAAUUUCACCUACAUCAUUAAUGUUUUGUUUUUUUUUUUUUUUUGUUAAUGCACAUUACAUAUAUAAAAUGUAUCUGAUAGAGGUCAUAAAUUAUUAUUAUACCUCAUUAAUAGCUUGUGCUUGUCUAUCCAAAUUUGUCUCUAAUCUCUUGAUAACCUCCUUUAAUCCAAUUUUAAUUUCGGGAUGGUUGGAGAAAUACUUCUAAUAUUGGAUCAUUGGAUUUGAUAAAUGUGCCGCCAUAAGUUAAAUAAUGAUUAGUUUAUAAUAAUUUGUACUUGAAAAUAAUAAUAAAAAAUAUAUAAAGAGUUUUUUUUAUCACCUACAACAUGCAAAUAUUUAUGUAAUUGACUUUCCCACCUUCUAUCAAUGACUUCCCAAUGCUUUUUCCAUUGCUUGACUGAUACCUUGAAAGAUAGUUUAGCUCUAUCCAUUGCUUCAUAAAUGAUUGACAGAGUUGGCUUUUUAUCUUGAUCAACCAAUUUCAAUUCUUUGAUGAGAGGUUCCAUGAUGGUUUGAACUUUUCCUGCCCUCUUCUAAAAUCGAUAAGUCAAGAUAAGGUUAGAUACCUUAUCUCUUAGACUUCUUUUGCUUCUAUCUUUAUUGAAUUCAUGACACUCAUUUCUUGAGCACAUUCUCUUCAAAUCAAUGUCAUAACAUAUAAGACUCUCAAGUGAAAUGAAUUUAGUGGGAAAUCGAGUUAUUCAUAGUCUUAACAGAUCCCUAUCCUUGGUGAACACUUUCAUCAAAUUCACUACUUUCAAGCUAUUAUAAAUAAAUCUCGUGAUCAUCUUUAUUUGAUCUAAAGUCUCCUUAAUCUACUCCAUGCUUCUGAUAUCUUUAAGCAUUAAAUCAAUACAGUGGGCUACACAAGGAGGCCAAAACAAAUGAUUUCACUUCUUUAUCAACAAUAUACUAGCUGCUUUAAAAACUUGCCUCAUUAUCAGUGACUACUUAUACAACAUUUUCCUCCCCAACCUCCUCUAUAACUUUAUCCAUAAGGUAAAAGAUGUAGUUUGCUAUCUUAGGUAUGUUGGUAGUGUCAACUGAAGAAUGGUAUAUCAUGCUUCUAUCAUAACAAAUCAUGAAAUUGAAGAUAGGAUUUCUAGUCCUAGAACUCCAACCAUCACACAUGAUUAUGCACCCAUAUGUAGGCCAUUUAGCCUUCAAUGUGGUUAUAUACACCUCAAGCUCUUGCACCUCCUCCUCCAAAUAUGUAUUUCUAAUUUGAAAUCCUAUGGGACCUUUGAUGCCUAAACCUAAUUCUACUAUGAUAUCAAUAAUUGAUUGAUAGUAAGGCCCACUAUUAGUUGCAUUAAAGGGUAUUGCAUUAAAAAAACAAGAAUUUAGAAAUAGUUUUACCCACUUUCUUCAUGCUUUCAACAAAGACAAGUUUUUUUAUUGAUUUCUACUUUGAUGGGAACAUGUAAGGAUCAAUUCCUUUUGGAGGUAUGUUAGCUCCUUCUCUUACACUGAAGCUAUGUACCGAUCCAUGCUUAAUCUCAACACUAGAAGGUUGUGAGAAACUAGCAUCCUUUCGAUGCUCAUGUCUAUCUUCUUAAAAAAUUCGACGACUUUCUUUCAUUACUUGUUUUAUUUGUCUUCUUUCAAAAUCAACCAUACCAACUUCCUUAAUUUCAUCAUUAGAAUUAGUCUCAUCAAUUUCAUAGAAUUUUUCUUCAUUUAAGGAGCUCAAAAGUUGUUCCGUUUUUUUCUUUAAUUGAGUUUUUUUUUUUAAGCAUUAGUCAUAUGUUGUCUAACACUUUGUGACACUUCUAUCGGUAUAUGUGGACAUUCUUCCACUUGUUCGGAGAUAUAUGCAAUAUGUUGCUUUAAUGUUAUUAUACCUCUAUGUAUAACUUUGCCACAAUAUUUACUCUUGGUGAUUCUUCAACUACCACCAACAACUUCUACAUGCUCCAAUCCAAUAUCAUGUUUUCGAGCCAUUUUGAAAUUUUAACUUGACCAUGUAUAAAAAUAAAACAAUUUACUUUUCAAAUUAAAUAAACAUAAACACAUUUAUAUAAGAAUUAUAAUAUUCAAUUUUCCACUAAUUAUUUAUAUGUUUUUUUAAUUAAUUAAACAAAAGGUUUGCUUUAAUAAUCAUCGAUUUCCUAAUGCAAUUUAAUUUUAGAAUAUUGUAAAAUAAAAAAAUCUAUAUGAUAUAAUGAAAUAAAAUUUAUUAAAAUAUAAAUAUCAUUUUUACAAUAUAAAUAUAUACCAUUAAAUUCAUAUUGUUACCAUAUAAAAAUAAAUUUUACUAAAAAAGCAAUAAACAUGACCACACUUAAGUUCACCAUCUUUUAUUUUCCACUUAUCUAUAUGUUUUAUUUUUUCAUUAAAUUAAAUAAUAGUUAAAUAAAUGAAUAUUUUUAUAAAAAAAAUUAUUUAAAUUUUUUUUAUUUUAUAAUUAUUGAUUUCCUAUUAUAAUUUAAUUCUAGAAUAUUAUAAAAUAAAAAAUCUACAUGAUAUAAUGAAGUAAACUUGAUUCAAAUAUCAAGGUAAUUUCUCCAUGCCAUGUAAAUGCAUACCAUUAAAUACAAAUUAUUAAAUCCAUAAAUUCAUAUCAACUUCACUAAAUCAAUUAUUCAAUUCCUAAACAUAUAAUUAAAUUGUAAAUUUAAUUCUACAAUAUUAUAAGAUAAAAAACAAAUCAUGAUAUAACAAAUUAAAAAUGAUUCAAUAUAAAUAUAAUCUCUAUAUCACAUGAAACUAAUUAUUGAUUUCUUAAUAUAAACAUGUUAUUAAAUCAUUACUUUUAUAAUUAUGAUCCUUUGAAAAAAAAUUUGUUUUAAAUAAUUAUUGAUUUUCUAAUGUAAUUUAAUUCCACAAUAUUAUAAGAUAAAAAACAUAGAUUAAAAAUACAAUAUCUAUACCAUAUAAAAACAUACUAUAUAAAGUUUACCAUAUAAAUUUAUUUUAUAUUAAGAAAUAUAAUUUCUAUACCAUACAAAAAUAAUUUCGGUGAAUCAAUUUAAUAUUAUAAGAUAAAAAAAUUACAUAAUUUAAUAAAUUAAAAAUAUAAUUUCUAUAAAAUAUAAAAACAUUACAUAUAAAUAUAUUUAAUAUCAUCCAUAAUAUUAUUAUUAAAUCUCAUCCCAACCAUCCAUACAAAUGCAUUUAUUUUUUAUUUUUUUUUACCGAAUUGGGCUCAAUUCCUACCUCACCAAUAAAUACAUUUUAUACCAUAAAUAAUUUUACCAAUAAAUCAUAUUUUACAAGGCCAUAUCAUCCAUAUAAAAUUAUAAACCUAUGUAAAUUAAUAGUUUACCAAUUCAAACUUCCAUCUUACAUAUACUAUCCAUACAAAAUUAUAAAUUGAUAUAAAUUAAUAGUUUAACAAUUUUAGCUUCCAUGAUACACAUGCCAUUCAUAUAAAAUUAUAGGUCCAUAUCAAUCAAUUACUUUCCAAUUUUACUGUCCACCACAUAGUGCAUACACAACAUCCAUAUUUAAAUACAUAAAUACAUGUAAAUAAAAUUUCAACUUUACCAAUUAUAACUUCAAGUUCAAGCCUUUCCCCAACAAACCACGACUGUUGUUGCCUUCCAUUGAAUCCACCCUCACCACCACACACAGUCACACACCUGUCGGCACUAAGUCAUGACACCACACACCCACAAUCAAAGGGAGGAGGGUUGCCUUGUUGGUGUCCAAUCACCAUUGUGACACUGUUGGCAUGUGAAAGCUCCUACACAUUGUAGAUUAAACUUCGACACUGCUCAAUUUGUGUUAAGGUAAGUAAAUCUUCAACUAUGUGCCCUCAUCCUUUGUUGAUUUCUCUUUUUAAAGACUUUUGAAAGGAUCAUGGGUUAGUUUCAAUUUGUUUUUUCUUUUUCUUUUUCUUUGAUGUUGUCAUUGAUGUGUUGAAAGAUUGGGUUUCAAAAUCAUGGGUGUUUCUUUUGUAGAGGAAUCUCUAAUUUCUCUAAAAAUAUUUUGAUUCUUUUUGUGAUGGGAAAGAAAAGGGAAUCUUCGUAUUAAUUGGAAAUUUUCUCUAUAACUUAACCAAGUUGACCGAGUUAAACUCGAAAUAUCAAUUGAGUCAUUCAAAUCUUACCAAUUCAAUAUCGAGUUGUGUAUUGUAUUGUUUUUGGUAUUAGACUCAUCGCUGCCAGUAUCGAGCCAGAUAUGACUCGACCGAGUUGUGCUGGAAUCAACCGAUAUUUUGAACCAUGUUCCUUAGAGUUUAUAAAAUACUUGAAACCAAAGAUAGCUCGCUAUGACAUAAAGUUUCCCCUUAAUAAAAUGUCUAUCACUAAAUAACAUCACUAGUUGAGGUUAUGUGGGCAAGGUUUUACACCAUACUUACUCUCCAUAACCACCCAAUAAAACAAAAUAAAAAAUUAUUUAUCACUCAACUAGGAUGUAUCUCUCUUAAUAAUAAUAUAUGUUCAGACACAUACAACUUGUCAUUUAAGAGAGAAUUAAAGAAUUGUCUCUUUUUUCUCUAGAAAAAAUCUGAAACCAAUUCAAGUUCAAGAUCAAUUCAAACCAAAACCAAAAAUAAUAAUCUUGGGGUGUCGCCUUCAGGGGCAGUGGAAACAUGGAUUGCAUAUCCAUGUUUGCUUACCAAUUGUUAGAGGUUAUGUGACAUCCCACAUCGGAUAGAGGGAAAGUUCCCAACAUUUUAUAAGUAUGAACUCCUUUUAACUUUGUAGACACGUUUUAAAGUCGUGAGGGAUCCUUCAGGUUUGGAGCAGACAAUAUCUAUACGGUUGAGUGCAAGUCGUUACAAAUGAUAUUAGAGCUGAUCCCUAACCCCGGUGUGAGGGUUUGUUUGACCCCUUAAGGGGUGUUUGUAUGUUUGAUCUUACAAUCCUAUGAGAUACAACAAGAUUGUUGUAUUUGCAUGAGGGAGAGGGGGGAUGUUUGUGACAUCUCACAUUGGAUAGGAGGAAAAGUUCAUGACACUAUAUAAGUAUGACUUAUCUUAACUAUGUACACGCAUUUUAAAAACGUGAGGGUCUUUUUGAAUCCAAAGUGGACAAUAUCUACACAGUUAGGUUCAGGUUGUUACAAAUUAUUUAUGUUUGGGGCCAAUUACAAGACAAAGUUGUUUUAGCUGCACUUUCCACUAUAUAUACUAAGGAAUGUGAAUGAACGCCCAAUGGUUAGACAUGAAGCAGCUGAAGCUCUUGAUUCUAUUGCUGGUAAAGCCACAACGUAUUCUUGAAGAUGCAGGAGUAAAUUUUUGUCUGGCAGUUGGUUCUAAGUUUUAACACAGUAAUUUUGGGAAACUAUGGCUGUAUGUCUAUCAGCUAUGGCUUAAAGUUUAAAUUUUUGUAAAAUAAGUUUUAAACUUUGGUUGUGGUACGGUCAUUGCUUUGACGUCAUUGCUUUGAUCAUGCAACGUCAUUGCUUUGAUCAUGCAACGUCACUGCUUUCGUCAGUCCUGGUCAAGAAAAAGAAUAUUGGUGCGCUGCAUAGUUCCCAGUUUCCCAGAAUGAAAAUGAUAUCUCCACCGAUGUUAAAAAAUGAGACGUUCAAACAAUAAAUUUCUCACGGCGCUGAUCCAUGGGAACUUCUUGUAAGCUGUUCUUUUUUGGAUCACCUGCGAUGCCAUAAUCUUUUGAUAGAACACUAAAUCUGUCCCAUCAAAAUAGAGCUACGUGUUCGUUAUUCUUGUGAGAAAGGUAUUUUAGAAAGGAUCUAUCGCCACUUGAAGACGGAAAUAAAUGGACUAAUUAAUUUACAUGCCUGUUUCUGCCAAUCCUCCUACCUUUAUUUGAGCUGUACAUUUAACCACAAACCAUAAUGUCAUGCUUCCACUGUACAUUCAAAUACAUCAAUGACAAGCUUUGAUGCAGCCCAUUGGUACUUGCCCAGGGAGGCUGCAGAGUCCAAAAGAAAAGUUGGUAUGCUGGAUAGGUAUGCAUAAGUCCCAUCAAAAGUACUAUAAUUUAUUAUUGAUUCUUGACACAAGUACUUCAAACAACCGCAAUAAUAUCCCUUAUUAAUUAAACAAAACAACGAGACAAAUCUUCAAAGGUGUCCAAUUACAUCACAACAAGGCUAUAUCCCCAUUUUCUUCCUGUAAUCCACCACCAAGUCAUAGACCUUAUGUGGGUGAGGGAGAGAGGUGUACACGAACUCCUCCUCCAUGCACCUCUUACCCCAUGCCACCAGCUUUGGACACUCCGCUUCUAUGCUGAACUUCCCAAAAGUUUCGAAUGUAUGGAACCAGUAGUACGAUGGGAGAAAAACAAUGUCCAGAAAACCCAAAGUCUCACCCCCAAAGUAAGGGUUCGACUUAAGCUCUCCUUCUAACAUCUUAAUCCUGUCUAUGAAUUCCUUCUUGCCAGCCUCUUGCACUUCUCCGUUUGCUGCCCACACGUUAUAACAGGAUGGGUAUACCUGAAUCACAAUAAAAAAUUAAUGUAAUUACACAUCCAAAGUAGUUCAAGAAAACAAGUAGUCUGAUGGAAAUUAAGAAAAAUGAAGGGGGGAGAAAAGGAGAAAUGAGUUAAUUAACUAAGCACCAUUUUGUCAAUGAAGUCGGCCCAGAACUUGGCUUUUGCUCUUUGGUAAGGGUCAGCCGGCAGAAGACGACAUCUAUCCUUCCAAACCUCAUCAAUGUAUUCCACUAUUAUCAAGGACUCGCAUACGGGCUUCCCAUUGUGAAUUAGAACUGGAAUUUUCUGAUGAACUGGAUUCACUUUCAAGAGUAGAGAGCUUUUACUUUGGGUCAAGUCUUCUUCCUUAAUCAGAUACUCGAUCCCUUUGGCUGCCAAAGCCAGUCGCACCCUCAUUGCAAAAGGGCUUGCGGAGUAAUCUAAAAGAACUAUGUGGUCACUGUUUGCCAUUGCAAUAAACACUCAAAGCUCAAAGUUUAAGCAGUUGUAAUACUGUCUAUGCCAACCGCUGUGUUUUGCCUUUGAGAUGAAACGAUAUAAAAUGAUAUUGACAGUAUUUAUAGCAAAUUCUCUGCCAAUAUUCUAUACACAUCUAUUCAAAUUGAUCUUAUCUUUCAAUAUUGUCAUGCGGCCGUAUAUUUUCUUUAGUUACACUUUGAAUUAAUCAUCAGACUUUUCAACUUUUCUAAGUUGCCUCUACACAGGGCCGUGUCACUGCAUAUGCCAGCAAUUUUGUAUCUUGACAGGGACACCUCCUCCAUCACUUCGCCCCAUGUUUUUCUCAUCUAGUCAAACCCACUACAGCUUCUAAGAUGGAGGAUGAAAAUAGGGACAAUUGUGUUUUGGCAUAGUUAGACCAAAAAAUUAACAUUUGGUUCAUAUAACUUAUAUAAUUAAUAAAAAGGAUGCAAGAUGUUAAGAGACUAAUAUACCCUUCAAAUUUCUAUAUAUUAUAUUUUAAGGAUAGAUGGACUAAAAUACCCAAUGACCUUUCACAUAAACUUUUUAAAAUUUGGAGUUUAACAAUUUCCCACCACUAUUCAAGCAACCAUAAUAAUUUUAUUUUAACAAUUUGGAUAUUUCAUUGUUUUUAAUUUUUUUUUAUAAAUAAUUGAAAAUCAGCAUUAUUUUCUAUUUUAAAUUAUAACUAAAAAAAAUUAUAUUAAAAAACUAUUUUAAAAAAUACUUUCUAAAAAAAUGGUAAUAUGAUUUAUAUUUUUUAUAUUUUCUUUUUGAAAAAACAUUUAAUUAAAAAAUGAAAACUAUUUUUAAAAAUAAAAAUUGAAAACCUUAUUUAGUACUAUUUUUUAUAUGAAAAUAAUAAAAAGAAUUAAAUUUUAUUCAUUGAUUAUCCAUUUUUAUUUUUUUUCCAUUAGUUAUUUUAAUAAUAAUAAAAAAAUAUAGUAUGUUUACAAUUAAACAAAGGAAUUGGUCAAUUAUGUGUUUUUUGUGUGACUAUCUUUUACAUGAAAAAUAAUUAAAUAACUAAAUUAUAUAUAUUUAUUACUUUUUUUUUAAUUUUAUUUUCUUUAUUUAUUUUUUGUCUAAUAGAAAAUUUUAAUAUAUUCAUAAUUAACAAAGUAAUAGAUUAAUUGUGCAUAUUUUGAUUUAUUAAAAUAAAUUACUUUCUAAUUUAAAUAAAUAAAAUGAAAUAAGUAAAUAAAUUUGGGGUUAUUUCUAUUUUUUAACAUAUCUUAUAUUAAUAUUUUUAUGGUUAAAUAAAUUUUUUAUUAUUUUUUCUUUAAUUCCAAAAAUAAAAUAAAAUAAAUAAAUAAAUUUGGCAUUUUCUAAUUGAUCUUAUAUUCAUAUUUCUUAUGGUUAAAUAAAUUUUUUAUUCUUUUUUCUUUAUUUCCAAAAAUAAAAGGAAAUAAAUAAAUAAACUUUUCUUAAAUAAUAAUUUUUAAGUAAUUUCUUUGUCUUAUUUUUAAUUACAUUUUGCAUUCAUAUAUUCAUAUUUCUUAUGGAAUUUGAGUCACUGUACAAGGUAUUUACACUAAGUGUACAUGAUAAAUAUACUAACUGUACAAGGGUGUACAAGACUAUUAUUUGUGAAAGAUUUUAAGUGCUUCUAAAAAACUUGUUUAUUUAUUUCUCCUAACCGAGGACAUAUGACAUUCCUUACUCACAUUAGUUAAACAUACAUUUAUCUCAUACACUUUAUCUAACUAGUAUAUGAUCAUUUGAAUAGGUACCUCACUUAUGAUGAUUGUAAAACAAAAUUAUACAACAAUUUUUCUACUUUUUUUAAACAAAACCAAUGCAAACAUGGUUAAUCGACUUAUUGUCAGAUAUUCAUGAGAUGAUGUAUGAAAUUUGAGUUAUUGUACAAGGGUAUUACACUAACUGUACAAGACAAAUUUACUAAUUGUACAAGAGUGUACAAGACUACUUUUUGUUAAGGAUUUCAAGUGACUUUGAAAAACUUUCCCAUUUUUUUCCACUCAAGGAUUUUUCCGCACUCAAAUUCUCUCACUCAAGAAUUGUUUCGAAUUUUAUUUUUAAAUUUCAUCAUCAAAAUUUUGUAAUUGCAUAUUUUAUUUUUGUAGUUUUAGCAAUGUUCUUUCUUUCCACUAUUUUUUUUUUCAUUUUUUUUUUGUGAAAAUUUAUCCAAAUGAAUCUAUAUUUAAAAUUAUAAUCAUAUUUAUCAAUUUUUUUUACUAAAAUUAUCUUUAAUUCUUUUAAUAUAUUUAUACUCAUUUAUUUAAAAAAUGAAAAACUAAUUUUUUUGUAUAUUACCUUUCAAGUAAAAAAUUAGAUAAGUUUGAAAGUCAAUAAAAAAAAAAAUUAAAUAUCACUUUCAAUCAUUUUUAGAUAAAAUUUUAUAUAAUAUAUUUUAUUUAAAAUUUAAUUUCUAAAGUUUCACUAAAAAAUUGUAUUGACAAUUUUCUUGUUGUGAGUCAAAAUACUUUGCAUUGGUCUAUCUAGAUAAGAAAAAUUAUUAAUAUAACAUUAGAAUUUCAUAUCUUAGUUAUUUUUUUCCAUAAAUUUAUCUUUUAAAAAUUUUUAAAAUUAAAAAAUUAAAAAUUAAAAAUUAAAAAGCUAAAAGGAUAUAUAUAUAUAUAUAUAUAUAUAUAUAUAUAUAUAUAUAUAUAUAUAUAUAUAUAUAUAUAUAUAUAUAUAUAUAUAUAUAAAGAGAGGGGGGAGAGAGUCUUUUUAUAUAUAUUUUUAUAUAGGGUGUGUGUAAAAUAUAUAUAAAUAUAUAAAAAAAAUAGAAAUGUAUGAGUGAGGGGGAUAUAUAUUUUUAAAAAAAAAAAUGAAAAUUACACUAAGAGAUAUACACACAGAGACAAAAUAUAUAUGUAAGAAAACUCCCAUUUUUUUUCUCCGCGUUUAUAAAAAGAGAAAAAAACUCUCUCUCUUUAAAAAAAAAAAAAAAAAAAAAAAAAACUUUUUUNNNNNNNNNNNNNNNNNNNNNNNNNNNNNNNNNNNNNNNNNNNNNNNNNNNNNNNNNNNNNNNNNNNNNNNNNNNNNNNNNNNNNNNNNNNNNNNNNNNNUAUAUAUAUAUAAAUAUAAUAAUAUAUAUAUAUAUUUUUUUUUAAAAAUAUAUAUAUAUAUUUAUAUAUAUAUAUAUAUAUAUAUAUAAAAAAAAAAAAAAAAAUUUUUUUUUAUAUUUUUUUUUAUAUAAAAAAAUAGAUAUAUGUGAAAAAAAAAAAAAAAAAAAAAAAAAUAUAAUUUUAAAUUAUAUUUAUAUAAAAAUUUAUAUAAUAUAUUUUAUAUAAAAAAUAAUUUAUAAAGAUUUAAUAAAAAAAAAUAUAGAAAAUUUUUUUUUUUUGUGUGAAAAAAUAUUUUAUUUAUAUAUAUAUAUAAAAAAAAAAAUUAAUAUAAAAUAAGAAUUUUAUAUAUUUUUUAUUUUUUUUUAUAUAUAUAUGUUUUAAAAAUAUUUAUAUAUAAAAAAAUAAAAAUAAAAAAAUAAAAAUAUAAAAAUAUAUAUAUAUAUAUAUAUAUAUAUAUAUAUAUAUAUAUAUAUAUAUAUAUAUAUAUAUAUAUAUAUAUAUAUAUAUAUAUAUAAUAAGAGUGGGGUGAUAGUCAAUUUUUAUAUAUUUUUAAAUAUGGUUAAUGUAGAAAAUAUAAAAAUAAUUAAAAAUAAUAGAAAAGUAUAAAUGAAAGGGUAAUAUAAAUUUAAAAUAAAAAAUGAAAAUUAAACUAAAAGAUAAAUACAAAAAGACAAAAAAUAUUUGGAUGAAAAAUCCCAAAUUUUUUAUCCUUGCUUAUAAUAAGAGUAAAAAAUUCAAUAUCUUUAAAAAUGAAAAAAAGAAAAAGAAAAACAUUAUUGCUUUUUAUUUGACAUUAAAUAAAAAUAUAGAUUGGAAGAAAAAAAAAAGUUAGAAAUGAGUAAUACUUAAUAGGGAAUAGAAAAGGGAAAAAAACACAAAAAAAAUUGAAAUUCACUCACAAUGUGUCUAUGUAAGGGUUAAGGGUAUUUUAGGGAUUAGUGAAAGAGAAUAUCCUUCUUCUUAAUUUUCAAAUUUUGUUUGGGUGUUGGGCUUAAUUAUGUAAGAUAUAUGAACCAAAUCUUAAUUUUUGGGCCCAUACCAGAUCUUAAUUUUUGGGCCCAACUGGGCCCAAAACACAAUUCUUCCAUGAAAAUAUUGGUAUUGACGUACACUAACAAAAUAAUUUCACCAUGUAUAUUUUUGUUUAUUUUAUUGUUUUCUGAAGUCUUUUUUAAGCAUUUUCAUGAAUUUUGAUCAAUUUUCAUUCUAUAGAUUUUUUUUGUCAAAAUAUUUAUCGAUAUUUUCUCAUAUAUUAGUAAAAUUCAGAGACCAAUAUAUCUGUUAAUUAACAUAUGUAUGGUAUAAUUAGUGACAUUUGACAAUAAUAUUAUGUAUGCAACGAUAAAGAAUAUAUAUUUUUUAAGUGCGCACCUAAAAUUAUUGAAUAUUAAAUAUUUGAUUUCAUUCAAUGUCAACAAUUUAUAUAUAUUACAUUACAAUAGUCUUUUAAUACCAAAAUAAAUAUUGAUGUGGUUCCAUCACAUUGUUAGACAAAGGGAUCUCAUCUUAUUCGAGACAAUAUUAAAUCACUAUAAUUUAAUUUCAAUAUAAAACUAAUUAAAAAUGAUUAAAAUUAAACAUCAAAGUUAAUUUAUUAUUAUUCUUAAACUUCAUAACAUUUCUAAUUGAAAUUUAAAUUAAGCUAUACAUGUGCAGUUGUAGUCUAAUCCACUAUAAUUUAACUUUGAUAUGAAAUAAUAUUUAUUAAAUUUAAUAUGACAUUAAUAUUAAAAUUAAUAUGACAUUAAUAUUUAAAUUAAUAAAAUUAGACCAGUAAUUUAUUUCUUUAAAAUCAUUGAAAACAUACUAAUUAAGUAAUAUUAAUUAAACUAUAUAUAUGUUUGAUAAUAUAAUAUUAACAAUUAAGAAUAAAAUUGAACUAUGAAUAUAUAAAAAUACAAUUUACCAUACAUACUUUAAUUAUCCUUGAUUUGAAGUUAAUCCACAAAUUUAACACCAAAUUCCCAAAAUUAAAGAAUUUUGAGAAAAAUCACAAAUAAAUAUUGGAGCAAUAGAAGAUCAAGAAGCUUUCAAAUGAAUUGUGUAUCAAAUGGAAUCAACAUUGGGUAUUUAUAGAAAUAUUUUUGGUCAAACUAGCCAUUGGAUGGUCAUACAACCAUUGUAAUUAAAUUAUAGACAUUGGUAUAGAGACUGGAUCAAAGUUCAGUUGAAGUCUAGUUGUUAAAUCUUGAUCUAGCAAUUAAAAAUAUUUCCUAACCAUAAAAUCAAGUCAAGAUUUUUUUUUUUUCCCUUAGAUUAGAAAUAUGGUUGUUGGAUUCUUUUUUAAAAAACAUGAGUGAUAUCUUCACCAUUGGAAUAAUUUUCUUUUUAAGGGUAAACUAUGUGAAGGUAUAUUACCAAAAUAUAUAUAUAUAUAUAGAUUUUUUAAGAACUUUAAAAAAAUAUUCUAAUAAACAUGUUGUAGACAUAAAAAAAAUUAGUGGAUUAAAUUACCACUAAUUUAGUCUUCAAAAUUAAUAAAUUAAAAAAAAAAAAAGGAUAACCUCUUAUGGAUAAGUUUCCCUAAUCUUCAACUAUAAAAAGGAUAAUAAUAAUAAUAAUAAAAUUAUUAUUAUUAUUAUUAUUAUUAUCUUGUUGGCAAAACCUCUUGGAGAAGAAAAUUUGCUAAAAUCAAGGAACUAAAUCCCUUGAAUUAAGCAACUAAAAUUUGGGAAUUUGAAAUUCAAAUUCUCUAUCUUUACCUAUAAAUAGAGAUGUCUUCUUUCAAGAAGGGGGAAGGAAAUUCAAAAAUCGAAAGAAAAAUUCAGAAAGGAAAAUCUUGGGAAGAAAAUCCAAAGGCAACUUCGUACGGGAAUGGAGGCUUUACAACAAAAGAAAAAGUUUCAUCAAAUCUCCCUACAAGUUCGGUAAAUAGUAAAAGGUUUGCUACAUGCGUUCUUCGCCAUUCAACAAGUUUAUUCGAGAAUAAGCCAAUUGUGGCCCUCGAUUGAUCUUCGAAAUCUAGAAAAUGUCUUCGUCAUCUUCCAAAGUGUGAUCAAGGCAAAAGAAUCAGAGGGGAAAUAUUCUUUUGGAAAGAUUUUUUUUUUUUUUUUAAGAUUGUACCCACAAUAUUUUAAUGUCAAUAAAUAUUUUGUUCGCAUUAUUUUCUUAUUUGUUUUGCUAAUUUUGCAAGACCAAAUUUUACGAAAUUUGUGCGUACAAAUUUUUGGCACGCCUGAUGGGAUCUCUCUGCCUCUCAUCUCUUUUGUUAUAAGAUUGAUCUCUACCAUGUUGAUGACACCCAAAAGAAAUCAAGUUGUGCAUGUCAACAAGGGCGAUGACAAGAUCGUCAUUACACAAUCAACACAUGACGUCGCUACAGGCCCCAUGACUCGUAGCAAAGCAAAAUCAAUAUCUUCACUCUCAACAAAACAAACAAGUGAGUUUUCUUGUUUGCUAAAACCGGUAAGAAUGCAUGAUGAGCACCAACCACUCAUCACCUUGGUCUCUUUGGGGGCAAAGAGUCAUAGUCCUCGUAGCAGGGGAAAACUCCCUUCAACACUAUAAGACUUUAGGGAUAUAUCUCCUUGCUUUAUUACUAAUGUCAACUCUAGCACCUGUUUGCACUCCAGAUCUCCAACUGGAAUGUCAAAAGAAGAAAACUACUCCAAUCGUUCCGACCCUUUUACUUCUCCCUUUUCAAUGACUAUGCUGGUAAUGGAAACUGGCACUACAUCCGUAGAUGAACAAUUAGUAGAGAUGGCUUGCGCUAUCACCAAACUCACCAAGACGGUUGAGGAGAAGGAUAUGCAAAUAGCCUCUCUCAUAAACAAGGUUGAGGCACAAGUACAAAAUUUGAGAGAGUCAAGUCAAGGAUUCAACUACCUUCCGAAUGUUGCAUCUCCUCUCGAUGAUGCACCACAUACAUAUAAGACAAUGCAAGUUGAGACACAAACGACAAAAUCUGCCUCAGUGGUGUCAUUAUUUGUCCAACAACUUCAGGACAUGAUAACUAACACCAUUAGAGCAUAGUACGAUGGAUCCUCACAGAGUACGCUCAUGUACUUUAAACCUUACACUAAGAGAAUUGAUAACCUAUGUAUGUCUGUGGGUUAUCAACCUCCAAAAUUUCAAUCAUUUGACGGGAAGGGAAAUCCAAAACAACAUGUUGCCCAUUUCGUUGAAACUUGUAACAAUGCAGGUACAGAUGGUGACUUAUUAGUUAAACAAUCCAUCCGUUCUCUCCGAGGGAAUGCUUUCGAUUGGUACAUAGACCUUGCACCUGAGUGUAUCAAUAGUUGGGACCAAAUGGAAUGUGCAUUCCUCAACCAUUUCUAUAGCACCUGACAAACUGUAAGCAUGAUGGAGCUUACCAACACUAAGCAAUGGAAAGACGAGUCGGUUGUAGACUAUAUCAACCAUUGGGGUUCCUUAAGCCUUGACUGCAAAGAUAGAUUAUCUAAGGUAUCAUCCAUGGAGAUGUGCAUACAAGGAAUGCAUUGGGGUCUCCUAUACAUUCUCCAAGGAAUACGACCUCGUACCUUUGAAGAAUUAGCUACUCGAGCACAUGACAUGGAACUCAGCAUAGCCAACCAUGGUUCUAAGAAGGACCUUACCAUCGAUCGACAAAGAGACAAAAAUGAUGAGAAAAUGAGUGAUAAGAACUUGAAUAAACCCAUCCAAGAGUCAAUGGCGAUAAAUAUGACUCUUGUCAAAAUCUCAGCAAGAGAUAAAAAGAAAGAAGUAAAAGAGGCUGGACCAACCCGGGAAAAUGAGAGGCGUCGGUUCACCUUGAAGGAAUUAAAGGAAAAAAAAGUAUCAUUUUCCUGACUCUGAUGUGCCUAACAUGUUGGAAGACUUGCUCUAGAAAAAAGUUAUCGAGUUACCUGAGUGCACGUGUUCAAAAGAAAUGGGUCAUGUUAAUGAUCCAAAUUACCAUCAAAUUGUCAAUCAUCUUAUGGAGAAAUGUUUCAUUUUAAAAGAUCUCAUAAUGAAACUUGCAAAGCAAAGAAGAAUUCAUUUAGAUUUGGAAGAAAUAGUGGAGUCAAAUCAUGCUAUAGUCAUAUUUGGGUCAUUUAAUCCUGUUCCAUUACAUGUUUCACUUAAGAAACUGGGGGCAUGUGCCAAUACUAUUCAAUGCAAGUCACCGAAACCAAAGCAAACACAAAUGUCAUGUCAGGAUAGCCUUCUUCACCUUUUGCUCUGAUAAUAAAUCAAUGUCAUAUGACGAAGAAGGUUGGACAUUGGUGACACAAAGAAGACCUUGCAAGAAGCAAGUGUCGCAUUCAUACCCUAACCCUCCUAGGAGAGGACGACAUGAGUGGAAUACUUGUCAACAUCUAAAGAAGAAAGAAAAAAAUAAUUCUAAAAGAAAACAAACGAUUGUACAAAUAGAUGACAUUUUGGUCCAAAAACUCAUCACCCCUAUCACCCUUGGGGAAUACUUCUCCCUAGGAUUCUUUGAUAAAAUGGUGACAAUAUUAACUCAUAUGGUCUCUUGCAAUGAGACUUCAAAAGAAGAGGGGCUAAGUGAAGAUGAGGAAAGCAUUCUUGGUGUUGAGUUAAGAAAAACUAAGGAAGAAGAGGGGGUAGUAGCAAGCUUACAACACGUACCCUCACCAUUUAGUAGCCACGAAAUGCUACAACUUCCUAAUGAGAUGCGAAAUGCAUUGAUUCAAGUACUUAAGAAUCCAACACUCUAUGCCACCAAAAUAAAUGAGGCAAAAAGGCUUGAGAAUGAAAGCCACAAUUAUGCCAAAUGUUGUGUAGCCAUUACCUUUAUCGAUAACGACCUUCAGUUAGGGUCAAAACCAUAUAAUCGACCUCUAUUUGUUAUCGGGUACAUACGAGAACAAAAUAUCACUCGUAUCUUAAUUGAUGAAGGGUCUGCAGUAAAUAUCAUGCCUAAAGAAACAAUGAAACGACUCAAGAUUGCUACGAAAGAACUAACUCAGAGUUGCCUAAUGAUCUAAGGCUUUAAUCAAGGGGACAACGAGCUAUUGGUAUGAUUCCCCUAGAGCUUGUUACGGGUGAGUUGAGUUCAAACACAUUGUUUCAUGUAAUCGAUGCAAAAACAUCUUAAAACGUAUUACUCGGGCGACCAUGGUUUCAUGAGAAUGAGGUAAUUCCUUCGACAGUACACCAAUGUUUCAAAUUCUAUAGAGGAGGGGCAAAGAAAGUAAAGGCUGAUGCUAAGCCAUUUACAAAAGUCGAGUCUUAUUUUGUUGACACUAAAUUUUACAUAGAAAAUGAUGCUACAGAGAAAGUCCUUCCUAUGAUCAUUCCUUCCACUGGGAAGACUAAACUUAAGGGAAAAGUUGAGCAGUGUAAGUUGACAUUAGUAGAGGAAAUUUCACAACCAAUGAUGACUCAAAUCGAAAAAAAAGAGAAAUCCUCAAAAAAAUCGACAUUGGACUUGACGAUUGUCACUACUUCCCCAGUUUUUAGGUAUAUCCUAAGAUCUCGAUGAAGUGAGGGUCAACCACCUUUCAUAGAAGACAAAAGCAAAGUACAACCUCAAAGAUUGGAAAAUGGGGACCUUUAGGUCUUGAAAGAAGAUGUGACCAUUCUCUUUCCAAGCUUACAACUUAUCUUUAGGGAUAAGACACAAAAAUCCGUCAAAUCCUCAAGAGAUCAAACAAAGCAAGAAUUCUUUCCUGGUAAAAUAAUAGACGAGGGGUUCAACCCUAAGGCUUACAAGUUAUUAGCCAAGGUAGGGUAUGACUUUACUUCGUCAUCAUGAUUAAGAGAACUUAGCCCCAAGACUACAGGUGAAAAGAUGCAUGGCCUUAACGAAACUCAAAAGAAGUUGAAACAACAAGGGUAUGCAGUCCAACCUUCUAGGGCAGGUUUAGGGUUUGUACCUUUCGAGCCUAUCAAAAUUUCAGUGAAGACUAAGAAGAUUAAGGCAAGUACACAACAUAUCACUGUAGAAGACAUGGAAGAGAGUAGUGGGUCAAAUUCUCCUCCUUGAAUUUCAGUAUUUGAUCAGGUUGAAACUCCAAUUACAUGAGCUUCAGUGUUCACUAGGUUGGGCGAUUUUAACCAAGUGGAACGUAAUUUAGCACAUAUUCCACAAAGGUUAAUACAACAAAGGAUUGGGACUCUACCCCUAAAGUCAUAGCGGCGAGAUCCCAAUAAGAAGUAGUGUAUUGAACUAAAGGAGGAUGCAAAGACAAGAAGUUUAAUCCCAUCAAGGAUGAAGCGCCAUUCAACUUGCAAAAUUUGUAUUAAUAGUUUGUUACAUCGUGAUCACCAAGCAGUUGGACGAGGGAUGCCCUAAAGAUGUUGAAGAAAGUUCGAUGCACACUAGCUACCAUGUUAGAGUAGAAGUUGACUAUAAUUCAGAAUUUUCAGAAGACGAACCAGGGGAAGCUCCUCAAGUAUUUGAGGACCAGGGGUAAGCCACUAUAGAUGAGUUAAAAGAGCUCAAUUUAAGAACAAAUGAAAACCCAAGGCCAAUCUAUGUAAGUAUGUUUUUAAGUCCUUCUGAAGAGAAAAGUUAUUUUGAGUUGUUACUCGGUUAUAAAGAUGUUUUUGCAUGGUCAUACGAAGAAAUGCCAGGUCUUGAUCCAAAAGUUGGAGUACAUCAACUCAUGGGGAAGCAUGGUGUUCGACCGAUUAAGCAAGCUUAAAGACGAUUUUGACCAUAACUUGUUUCGCAAAUAGAAACGAAAAUUGACAAAUUGAUUGAAGCUGGUUUCAUUAGGGAGGUAGUACCCAACAUGGAUUGCAAACAUCAUUCCAGUUAAGAAAAAGAAUAGGCAGACUCAUGUUUGUGUGGAUUUCAAAGAUUUAAGCAAUGCUUGCCUAAAAGAUGACUUCCCAUUUCCAAUCAUCGAGCUCAUGGUUGAUGUAACUAUUGGUCAUGAAGCUUUAUCCUUCAUGGAUGGAUCAUUGGGGUAUAAUCAAAUACGAAUGGUGCUAAGGGAUGAAUAGCUUCCUGCAUUUCAUACCCCAAAGGGUAUUUACUGUUACAAAGUGAUGCCUUUUGGACUAAGGAAUGCAGAUGCAAUGUAUCAAUGUGCUAUGCAAAAAAUCUUUGAUGACAUGUUCCAUAAGAAUGUCAAGUGUUGUGUUGAUGACUUGGUUGUAAAGUCUAGGAAGAGAGAAGACCACCUGCUAGAUCUCCGUAUGGUGUUUGACAGGUUAAGAAGGUACCAACUCAAAAUGAACCCGCUCAAAUGUGUUUUUGGUUUUACUUAUGGUAAGUUUCUAAGGUUUAUUAUUCGACACCGUGGCAUUGAAGUGGAUCAAUCUAAGAUUGCAGCCAUUCGAGAUAUGUCAGAGUUGAGGAAUCUUCAAGAACUUAGAAGUCUUCAAGGAUGUCUUGCUUUGAUUCGACGGUUUAUUUCAAACCUUAUAGGACGAUGUCAACCCUUCAACCAACUUAUGAAGAAAAAUGUUCCAUUUGUUUGGAAUGAAGCUUGUCAUAAUGCCUUUGAGAGCAUAAAAAAAUAUUUGGCUAAUCCACCAAUCUUAGGUGCUCCUAUGGCAUGGAAGCCAUUGAUACUCUACAUCGCCACACAAGAAUGCUGACUUGGAGCAUUACUUGCACAAGAAAAUGAGGAGAAUAAAGAAAGUACAUUAUAUUACUUAAGUCGAACUCUAACGGGACCGAAAUUAAAUUACUCCCCAAUAGAGAAAACUUGUCUUGCUUUAAUAUUCUCGACAAAAAGCUAAGACAUUACAUGUGGGUAUACACAGUACACUUAAUAGCACAUGCUGAUCCCGUUAAGUAUGUACUAUCAAAGCCAGUUCUUUUAGGAUGAUUAGCAAGAUGGGGGUUGUUAUUCAUUGAGUAUGAAAUAAUCUACAUCCCUCAAAAGGCAAUAAAAGGACAAGCACUUGCAAACUUCUUGGCAGAUCAUCCUAUCCCUGCAACAUAGGAAAUUUCAGAUGACUUCCCUGAUGAGGAAAUCUUUUAUGUUGACAUUUUUCCUUCGUGGAUGAUGUUCUUAGAUGGGUCAGCAUGCUAUGAUGGAACAGGUGCAGGUGUUGUAUUUGUCUCACCACAAAGAUAGAUACUACCAUAUUCAUUUGUUCUUAGUGAUAGAUGCUCCAACAAUGUUACUGAAUACCAAGUCUUAAUUAUCAAGCUACAAAUUGCAAUUGAAAUGAAAAUCACAAGCUUAGAGAUAUGUGGGGAUUAUGAGUUGGUAAUCAAUCAACUUUUAACCUUGUAUGAGGUUAAAAGGGAUGACUUAGUUUCUUACUUCCAAUAUGCUACCCAACUGAUAGAAAAGUUCAAAUGAAUUUCUUUAGUUCAUAUUCCACGAAAAGAAAACCAAGUGGCAGAUGCUCUAACUAAUCUAGCUGCAAGUUUGACACUCCUUAAGGAUGAGACUGUGCAUGUCCCUCUUUGCUAAAAGUGGGUACUGCUACUAUUGCCAAUAUUAUAACAAAAAGAAGUAAACGCUACAUCAGUAUUCACUAUUGAUGGUGAAGACUAGCGACAACCAUUAAUUGAUUACUUAGAGCAUGGGAAGUUGCCUGAUGAACUAACGCAUCGAACAGAAAUACGACAUCGAGCUCUAUGCUUCAUUUACUACAAAGAAACACUUUAUUGACACUCAUUCGAUGGAGUACUUCUUCGAUGCCUAGGAGGAGAAGAGACAAAUCAAGCAAUUGAAGAAGCUCAUUUUGGGAUCUGUGCGGCUCACCAAUUAGGGCCAAAACUUCAUUUUUGAAUCAAAAGGAUGGAAUACUAUUGGCCAACUAUGGUUAAGGAUUGUAUGGAAUAUGCAAAGAAGUGUCAAUCAUGCCAAUUCCACUCAAAUUUUAUACACCAACCCCCUAAGCCACUCCAUCGUACAAUUUUGUCAUGGCCAUUUGAUGCAUGGGGACUUGACGUGGUCGGACCCAUUACUCCUAAAUCAUUUUCUGGGCAUGCUUACAUAUUGGCAGUAACAAAUUAUUUUUCUAAACGGGCAGAAGCUGUGCCACUUAAAGAAGUGAAGAAAGAAAAUGUAGUAAACUUCAUUUGAAGUAAUAUUAUCUAUUGGUAUGGGGUGCCAUGAUACAUAAUCACCGACAAUGGGAAACCUUUCUAUAUCAAAUUGAUGAGCAAUCUCUAUGAGAGGUUCGGUUUCAAACAACACAAUUCAUCAAUGUAUAAUGCACCGACUAAUGGUCUCACAGAAGCAUUCAACAAGACCCUUUGCAACUUAUUGAAGAAAAUUGUUGAUUAGUCAAAGAGGGAUUAGCAUGAAUGAGUAGGAGAAGCACUUUGGGCAUAUCGAACAACAUAUUGAAUGCCUACACAAGAAACCCCUUGUUCCCUCGUUUGUGGUGUAGAAGUUGUAUUGUCCAUUAAGCUUCAAAUCCCUUCAUUAAGGAUUGCUAUACAUGAAUGACUAACUAAUGAAGAUAAUGCCAAGUUAUGCCUUCAAGAGUUAGAAGCACUAGACAAAAAACGACUCGAAGCCCAGAGUGUUUUCAUGCAUACCUUUCAAGAGCUUUUAACAAAAAGGUUUGCCUUCGGUCUUUUCAAGUCGAUGAUCUAGUUCUUGCCAUUUGUAGACCCAUCAUCACCACACAUAAGAUUGGGAACAAAUUUACAUCAAAAUGGGAUGGACCUUAUGUGGUGCAAGAAGUUUACACUAAUGGUGCUUAUAAGAUCAUCACUAUAGACAAAUUAAGAAUUAACCCUAUCAAUGGAAAAUUCUUAAAGCGUUAUUAUGCUUGAGUCACACUACGUUCUUGGCUCGCAUGAGCAUAAACUGCGUAUGAUGCACCAAAAAAAAAAAAAAAAAGUCGGCUAAAUUGAAAACUUGAAAAUGCGACUUAGGCAAAAGUUAGGACAUAUGCUUGCAAAAUUAAAAUUUUCUUUUAGUCUUGGCAAAAGUUAGAGCGUAAAAAAAAAUAAAAAAAAAUGGAACUACAUUUGACUUGAUCCUUUCUCUUUGAAGGGUACAUAAGCAAAAUUGGGGAAAUCACUUAAGUUUAGUCACUACCAAAAAAAAAAAAAAAAAGUCUCAUUUUUAUUAAGAGAUAAAUCUGGCUAACAAAUGCUAGACUUUAUUACAUCUUAAUAAAAAAUAAAAAUAAAGAAUGAAGGAAAAAAAUGAGAGCUAAAACUAAGUAAAAAUGUACAACGGUCACAUCCACACCAAACAUGCAAGCUCAUAAUGUUGAGUCCUUAAGGCUUAUUGAAGUGUCUCUAAAGUCUUAACAUCGACAUCAAUAAGCACGGGGGUUUGGGAAAUAAUGACGUGUUCUUUCCUCAAGCGAGAAAUAUCAUUCUUUUUAUUGGCUAUAAUCUCAUCGAUCUCUAAGAUUGAGUUGUGAAAGUGCUCCUUUUAUAUACCUAGUUGCUCAAAUUCCUUCUUAAGUGCUUCUUGUUUAGUAGCGAGAGUAGCUAAGUCAAUCUUUAAUGAUUGACGACGGUUUGCCUGUACAUCCUCAGAGUUUAGAGCAUCCAUAAAUCUAAGACGCAACAAUAGCUAAACAUUCGCCUUGUACUUCUGGAGAUAUCUUCAUAGAAUGGGUGCAUUACACUGCAUCGAGGUGAUCUACUCUUUCCAUGUACUUCUCAAUUUGAGACUUCAAUGGUGAAGGGUCCACUCUAAUCUUUGUGAUAGCAUUGAAAAGCUCAUCAAUUUUUCCUCUCAAUAAUGGGAGACACUCAUUGGAAGUUUUGAUAAUCAUCUCCUUAAUGCCUUCUCCUAUCAUAAGUGCUGCUUGGCAUUGGCCAUUAAGGAUGAUUUGUUCGAUGUCGAAUGUGUGAGUGGAAGUAGAAGAAGCAACCACAGUUGGGCAUGGAGAUUGUUGUUCAUCAAUUAAACCUGCAACUGCUAAAAGUGUCAAUUCAUCAUAUGUUGUAUCUCCAAUUGUGGUCUUUUGACCUUGAGAUUCAAUCAAAACAUCACUUAAGAUGUUACUAAUACCUUCAUUACCCAAAUGAGAAUGAGGCAAAUGUAAUGAGAUGAUAGAGUGAUUAUCUCAUUGCAUAGUCAAGGUAAAGGGUGUUGACUCCCUAAUAGCAACAACAUUUUUGAACUGAUCCUUAGGAGAGGACUCAUCCCCUUCAUUGAAAAAUUGGUUGUCACCCGCCACCUAAAGCAAACAUUUAUUUUUGUUAGUAUCAAUGCAAAAAAAAAAAAUUACCUCUUCACCAUCAAAUUCCAUUGGUUGAGUAGAAGUUGGGACGUCAACAAUGAAGACAUCUGUAUUAAGAGGAUGAGAGUUAGUCUCAUCAUAGUACACAAGGUUGGAUCUAAUCUUUUGGCGUUUGAAGUGACAUUCACUUGUAUUUUUAGAGUCGUCGUUUGAUACAUAAAGACCCUGUGCAUUGUUAUGUUGCUUAAAAGUCUUGUGACAGUGAGUACUACCACCAUUGAAAAUAGUUUCCUCAUGCUCUGAGUGUGUAGAGGUAUUAGUUUGAUGUCCACCUAUUAAGCACUUAGAAGAAGCUCUUAAAUCCUUGGGUAAAUCAUCAAAAUCAUUCUCAACAUUGUCUUUAACAUUCUCCUUAGUAGAAACACUUGAGUCAUCCUUGUGCAUUCUACUUUCUAAAGAUUUUGAGGGUAUUUGCCAAGAAGAAUCAGGAGGAGGCUCUAUACAAGCAGCAGUAAGAAUUUCCUUAUUAGGAUUACGUACUCUAAUCCACCAAUCCGCAUAAGCCUUGGUGACUGAAAACUCUUCAAGACUAUGAUAAUCUGGUAUACUAACUUUGGAGUAGGUACCAAGCCUAGUGCAUGACUCCCAAUGUUGAUACACUGCCUCUAAAGUUCUAGUGCGAAAAAUCUCUGGCAAACCCCCUAGAAGGUCUUGAGGAUACCCAAAUUACCAGGAAAACUGAUGAGGAUAAUGCGGUUGGAUCACCCGAUGGUUACCUUAUCGCAAAGAUAAAUAGCUAGAGUGAAGACUUAUGAGAUAAGAAGCUUUGGUAACACUAAUAGAUUCAUUAUCAGUCCAGUGCACACACUCCUUGUGGCGCAAUACCAAGUGGUCCAACUUUACGCCUCUGCAAGACAUUAUCAACGCUUGAGCUUGCAAAUCAUCAAAACACUAAGUAGAAAACUCGUCGACGUAAUAAGUCAUUCGUGGGGGAUGGUUCCAAGAAGGAGAAAUGAAAUGGGUGUUGAAAUAUUCACCUAACCAUCCGUAUAAGUAAUGAAUAGGGAAAAUAGAUGCAUUAGUCCCAGGUUUCGAAGAAUAAGCAAUUUCAUUUAAUUUGUUGUAAAUGCUUGCUAACACCGAAACAACAAGGCAAAAUGUCUCACCUUGAGCCAUUCUACUAGCUACCUUGAACACUCUAGGACAAAUCAAAUUGACACCCCCCCAAGGAAGAACAAACUUACAUAACCAACAUGCUAAGAAAGCGGCUAAGUAAGUCUCUUUAACAUUUGUCUCGGCUACACCAAGGUUGUAAAAAACUUCCAUCUUCGACUAAGUACAAGAUUUAAUAGGAUCAAUUUCCCUAGAUGGGUUAUGAGUCUCCGUAGGCCUUUGCGCCUUAUUCCUUAUACUUUUAUUUGGAGGUUUUGCAUACUUCAUGGAGCCUUUGUACCAAAAUGACACAUAAGAGGCUAACUUGACUGAAGACUCCCCUUUUGUCUCAAAGCAAAUUCAAUGAUAUGCAAGGAAUAAGUUUUGAAAACUUGGUGGGAGUGAGGACUUUGUUGCAUCAUUAGAUAACUCUUCCGCGCUCGCUACCAUCUCAUCAUAAAAAAAUCCAAUGAUGGGUAGUUCAGCAAUACGAUACAAGUCCUAAAGGGAGAUGGAAACCUCUCCAAUGGAAGUAUGCAAGGUGUUAGUGGUAGGACACCAACGUUCUCAAAUGCCCUAAUCACAGAGGCAUGACGAUCAUAGCUGAAUAAAUAUGCAAAAAGAGAUUUAUAAAGCUUACAUCCUUUAAGAAAUGGUCCAUGCCGACCCAAUACCUCCUCUAUCCAUUCCCAAUAUCCUUUGGUAAAUAAGGAUUCCCCAAGUACUUUGAAUGAGCUUCUUCAUGUGGGUUCUCAGUCACGAACACGAGAACCCAACAAUCCAAAUUCAUCAUGAACUUCACUAGUAGUUGGGUGAGAGGAAUUCAACAGUAAAAUAUUAAAAACAAGUUUCACCUCAUUAAAUUUUGAAUUGUUGAUAUUUGUAAGCUUGCAAGAUGAAACUUGGGACCAGGAAGAAAUGUGUAAUGGGUCUUUUGUCACUAGCAUUGACGAAGAUUGAAGGUCAGUAAGUGAAUUAUGCACUGAUAAGGUAGUCCCUUCCUCAAAAUCAUCACUAUCAUCCUCAAGAAUGGUUACGGUCUUCUCCUUGAAACAUUUGAAGAAUGUCAUCCUACACAAAAAUAAAAGGAGGUAGAAAGAGAGAUGAAUAAAAUAUGGGUCUAAGUUUUUAGAUGCUACUAUGCAUUUAAGUCAAGCCAAUUCGCAUGGGUGAAGACCUUACCACUCAAGUCGUAUUAAAUGCUGAAAGUGCAACACUGUAUAACAUCAGGGCCAUAACUUGUUUGCAUAGAUACUAAGUAUUAUUUUGGUUUUAAUUAAAUGUUAAAACUUGAAUAUCACUAUGCAUUCAAGUCAAGCCAAUUUGCAUAGGUGAAGACUUUAACAUAUAAGUGUCGAAAAUACAACACCACAUAACAUCAGGGCCAUAACUUGUUUGCAUAGAUACCAAGUAUUAUUCUGGUUUUAAUUAAAUGUUAAAACUUGAACACCACUAUGCAUUCAAGUCAAGCCAAUUUGCAUGGAUGAAGACUUUAGCACAUAAGUGCCAAAAAUACAACAUCGCGUAGCAUCAAGGUUAUAACUUGUUUGCAUAGAUACCAAGUAUUAUUCUAGUUUUAAUUAAAUGUUAAAACUUGAACACCACUAUGCAUUCAAGUCAAGCCAAUUUGCAUGGGUGAAGACUUUAGCACAUAAAUGCCGAAAAUACGACACCGCUUUGUGUUAGGGUUAUGACUUGAUUACAUGAGGGUCAAACUUUAAAUAUUCAUAUAGUUUUCUUUUAUGGAUAUUUAAGUUUAUUAAAAAUUCCCCUCAAGUAUUAAGGUAAUUUAAAAAUUAAUUAAUUAAUUAAUUAAAUUACCUAAAAUCAAAUUCAUCUCUGCAAAUGAUGAAGGCCAACACGUGUUCGAAAAAGGUAAGUCUUUUUCUUCCUUGAAAAAAAAAAGGUUAGCAAAAAAAAAUUUGAAUAAAUAAGGAGAACAUGUGUCAACAUGUAUAUAUAUGUACAUGGAAAUUGGAAAGUGGGUUCACGUGUCAACUAUAUACAUAUAUAUAUAUAUAUAUAUAUAUAUAUAUAUAAACUAGAAAGUGGGUAUGAAGGACCCACAAGCCCACGUUUCUCCAUAGUAAAGUUUGACUUUUUUUUAUUUUUUUUAUGGAGAUUUUAUAUACAUAUAUAUUCCACCAAGAAGUAUUCACUGUUGGGUUGGUGUUAUAAAUAUAUCCAUGCACGCCACAAACAACCACCAUUGAAGCCUCUCCAUAGCAUGACACUGGAUACCACAACAUGAUCUCCAUGACAUGACCUCUACGUUACCAUGGCAAGCUUAAGAUUUUUAUAUAUAUAAUAAUAAUAAAAAAGCAAAGCACUUAUAGAUUUGAAGAGGUGAAGACUUCUCGUGGUGAAUUCAAGUCAGCUUUCUCAAAUUGGUCGAAGAACACUCAAAGAUCAAUAAAGCUCUCUGAAAAAGUUCAAGUCAAGUUUCUCAACUAUUGUCCCCUUUAUAUAAAAAAAAAUAUAUAUAUAGGGAUGACAAAUUGGAAGAGGAUUGAAAGUAUAAAGUAAGAAGGAAAACAAAUUGGAAAUGAUUCAAAGUGUAAAGUAAGAAGGAAAACGAAGUGGAGUUUGGAAAAAAGUUGGAAAUAAAUAUUUUUUUUGGAAAAAAUAGGAAACUUCCUAUUAAAAUAUUUAUUUAAAAAAAAAUUACUUCAAGACUCACCUCAUCCACAUGACAAUGCAUGUACGUGAUAUGUCUUGAAGUGGGGGCAUUUGUAGACAUAAAAAAAAUUAGUGGAUUAAAUUACCACUAAUUUGGUCUUCAAAAUGAAUAAAUAAAUAAAUAAAAAAGAUAUCCUCUUAUGAAUAAGUUUCACUAAUCUCCUAUUAUAAAAAGAAUAAUAAUAAUAAUAAGAAAAUUAUUAUUAUUAUUAUUAUUAUUAUUAUUAUCUUGUUGGUAAAACCUCUGGAAGAAGAAAAUUUGCUAAAAUCAAGGAAUUAAAUCCCUUGAAUUAAGCAACAAAAAUGUGGGAAUUUGAAAUUCAAAUUCUCUAUCUCUACCUAUAAAUAGAGAUGUCUUCUUUCAAGAAGGGGGAAGGAAAUUAAGAAAUCGAAAGAAAAAUUCAGAAAGGAAAAUCUUGGGAAGAAAAUCCAAAGGCGACUUCGUACGGGAAUAGAGACUUUACAACAAAAGAAAAAAGCUUCAUCAAAUCUCCUUACAAGUUUGAAAAACGGUAAAACAACUGCUACACGCGUUCUUCGCCAUUCAACGAGUUUAUUCGAGAAUCAGUCAAUUGUGACCCUCAAUUGAUCUUCGAAAUCCAGAAAACGUCAUCGUUGUCUUCCAAAGUGUGAUCAAGGUAAAAGAAUCAUAGGGAAAAUAUUCUUUUGGAAAGAAUAUUACUUUUUUGAGAUUGUAUCCACAAUAUUUUAAUUUAAAUAAAUAUUUUGUUCGCAUUAUUUUCCUAUUUGUUUUGCUAAUUUUGCAGGACCAAAUUUUAUGAAAUUUGUGCGUACACAUGUAUUCAAAUAGUAGCUUCAUUAAAAGUCCAAAAUUGCCCUUCAUUUUAUCUCCUUUAGCCAAUUAACUCAUUUGUUUUUGUUUUUGUUUUUUUUUUUUGUUUUGUUUUUAAAUCUUAAAAUGACAAGUCGACACAACUUUAUACUUAUCAAUUACUUUUAAGGUUGACGAGUGACUAAUCAACAUGUCACAUUAUUUUUAUUAUUUUUCUUUUUUCUUCAUUUUACCUUUCAAAUAAUCUUUUUUUUUUUUUAAAAAAAUAUCCAUUUCCUUUUUUGCUUAUGAUUCUUAUUUGAAUGUAGUUUUAACUUUUUUUUUAGUUAAAAUGUUUAAUAUUUUUAUUUAAAAAAGAUAAAAACUUGGUUGUGGUUCUACUAUUUUGCUUUAUUAAAAUUUUAAAUUUUUUAUUCAUAUAAAAUAAAAAUAAAAUAUUGUAGACCCCAUAUUUCGGCUCAAUGCGUUCCCCACUCGAUGGUGAGCUCGAUUUUGAUUUUGAAAAAUGAUUUAAUCGGUUAAAAAAAUGACUUAGAGUCGCCACUUAUUUUUGUUUUAUUUUUAAAAGGUAAACAAAAUAAGAAAGAAAAAACCCUAAGUGUGACUCCUUAAUUUGGAAAAGGUGGUCUGCGAAAAAUCGGAUCAGGUUCGAGGGUUAGGUUACUUAUCGGGAAGGUACGGUAAAGACUGUAGCACCCCUCUAAGUCCCUAAAGUUGGGUCUCUACUAAUAAAAUGAAGUAAUCGUGGCAUCUAAUAAGGAAAAUAAUGAAUACCCGAAACUAUCAUGCACAUAUGAGAAUCAAAACAUACAUAGAGAAUAACAAAAGUGGAAGUGGAUGCCUACCUGAUUAGCAAACGGCGACGCGCUAUCACAAAUUAGGGUUAGUGCAUAGUAAUGAACAUAAAGUAUAUCAUUCAUAUCACCGAACAUAAAGAAUCACCAAUAGCACGCAUGACAUUUCGUUCAAAUUCGUUUUAUUUUGAAGAAAUUUAUUUGAUGUCGGGCCCCCACCAUAGCCCGUUUAUUUUGCAUGAACUAAUUCCAUAAAUUCCAUCAUUUCGAAUUACAGAAUUUGACUUCAUGCUUAUUUUAAAUCAUUUUAAAAUCAUGAAAAAUUCAGAAGUUGCUCGCCGAAAAGAAAAUGGCGGCCAAAUUUAUUGAAAAUGGGAUUUUGGGAACCUCAAGAAAAUGCUCUAAGGAUGAAGAAAAAGGUGGAACGUUGGCCAGACAGAAUUCCGGAUGUGAGAUAUCCGAAGAAGGUGGAACGUCGGCGGAGAAGAAUUCCGGAUGUGAGAUAUCCGGGUGGGAUGUUGGCGGGGAAGAAUUCCGAAUGUGAGAUACCCGGGUGGAAUGUCGACGGGGAAGAAUUCCGGAUGUGAGAUACCCGGGUGGAAUGUCGGCGGAGAAGAAUUCCAGACGUGAGAUAUCCGGGUGGAAUGUCGGUAGAGAAGAAUUCCGGAUGUGAGAUAUCUAGGUGGAAUGAGCUAUGCCACGCGUUGCAAGGGGGUCGUCUACGUGUCCAAGGGAGAGGGAGCCACACGACAAUUUUUAGGGAGGAUCACACAUACACAUGGGUAUUGACGAUGAGUUAAACGGGCAUGAAAGGUGAGAAUAUGGUAGUGAUUAUUCCCCUUCUUUCCACAAAUUCAAAUACUAGCUUCCUACAUCAUCUUGAGACAUCACCUCCCGGUAUGAGAUGCGUGGGGGUUUACGCAUGAUGAAGAUAAACGGGGAUAGGAGUGGAGUGAUGGAUGGGGGUGUGGGCAUGUGGGAUAAAACGAUGAAUAAUAAAAGAGAAUGGGUAUGGGGAUGCUAAUGAGGUGAGCUUUGCUGCCAUGACAACUACUCCAGAUUUCCUAGGAUCUCCUUCAAGCAGGGAUGAGAAAAUGGAUGCGUACCAUGGAUGGAUAUCAAGAGCAGAGAAGGAUAACAAAACAGAGCACAAAGAGUAGAUACAAGAAAAUGUGCCCGACAAGCUAUGCUUCACAUCAUACCAACAGGCUUAGAUGAUAGUGGGUAAGAUUAAACGAGUAUCAAAUGAAAGGUAAAACGUGGUUACAAAAAUAUCUCAUGGAGAAAUCAAAAUCAGAGCAAACUAAACCACUACAAAACCAUUAGCAAAAAUAUGAACGUAUUCACUCCCAAUCAACACUCAUCAUCUGAGAAUCAGUAAAAACAAAGUAGAAAAGCACACCAUUAGAAGUUGAUGAAGAAUAAACAAUAAACGUACCUUAAAAAUAACUCUCUCCAACUAGGUGGGUAAGAAAAUCGGACAGCUAUCCUUCCUCUCAAGCAACCAACCAAGGAAUGCCCUCUUUCCCACUAAUCCUCUCAAGCUCAACCCUCGCCCCUUCUCUUCCUGUCUUCCUUCUCCAGUCCUCUUCAUGUUGUCACCUCCAAAACCCUCAGAAAAACUCCUCCCUCUCUGCUGUCUCUCCCACCUUUUUCUCGGAUUUUUCCUUCCCGAUCUCUACCUCCACCACCUUUUCCUUGGAUUUUUCUCUUCUCGAUCUCUGCCUCCGCCAUCUUUUUCUGCACCACCCCUUCUACAACCCCCUUUCCUUCUCUCUCAUCCACGCCCCCUGACGACCUACGGGACCCCCUUCCAGAAAGUUCCUCCACGUGUCAAAGUCCUACUGCAGCUUCAAAAAGCGAGGUUGAUUCCUUAUGGCCACUAAGGAUGUGACAUGUGGCCUGCUAGGAUAGUGACACCUGGCUAAAAAUGUGAUCCACAAAAACAAAUAGAGAAAAAAAAGUGACCCAUGCCUAAAUGGGGGUCUACAAAUAUGCCCCUCUUCGGUAGAGCUCACGAGUGUAAGGAAUAUGAACACUGGAAUGAAAAGAAAGUGUGAAUAAUGAGGGGAACGAAGUGACCUCUACCGAAGAACAAAUGAGACCCCCAUAGGGAUGUUAGUGAAACACGACUCAAAAGGCUAACAGACGAACACAAAGGCUCCGAUCCUAAAAGAAAGAUGAUGUCUCAAAUGCCUCUGAAGCCGUACUAAGGACUUAGGCUCCCCCUAAGAUGUCUCCGAAAGUGACUCGAAAGACCAGAUCAAACAUGAGUAACAGUCGAACCACUCUGGAGAAUGGAAAAGACUACGUCCAAAGGAGACUACCCUAUCUGAGCUUCAUGAAAAGGACAAAUGUAGGGUGCCUAACAACACGAUCAAGGUAUGUGUCGUGAACUCAAGGGACCGUGUCAUGUGCAAAUGAACAGGAAUCUAGACAAGCAAUGAUGAAUAAGCGAUAAACACAGGGUGAUUGGGUGAGGUAAGUAAGGGUGAAUGUCAGAAUCAGGAGAAUCAAAUGCGCAAUGCCAAUGAAUACAAAUGUCGGGGGUCGUGACCCUGGAUGAUAUGACCAAGGAGAAAUGACUCUAAAUGUCAAUAGGGAGAAAAAAAAAACGUGGUGACUCAAAAUGCAUGAAUGGGUAUGUGCAAUGGCUCUGAAAGCCAAACUAAAGAAAAGAUGAUAGCGUCACUGAAUGCCAAAUCGAACAAUGGCUCUGAACGCCGACACUAAGGAAAGAAACAACUCAAGAUGCCUGAAAGUGUAUGUGCCCAAUGGCUCUGGACAUCGGAACGAGUGAUGCAGUGGCUCUAAACGCCAAAAUAAAGGCAAGUGAUGGCUCUAAACGCUGAAUGGAAAAUGUUGAUGGCUCUGAAUGCCGAGACUGAGAAGUGAUGAUGGCCCUGAAUGCCAAAACUGAGGAGUGGUGAUGGCUCUGAACGCCGAAACUGAGAAGUGGUGAUGGCUCUGAACGCCGAAUGGAAAAUGCCGAUGGCUCUGAAUGCCAAGACUGAGAAGUGAUGAUGGCUCUGAACGCCGAAACUAAGAAGUGGUAAUGGCUCUGAACGCCGAAUGGAAAAUGCUGAUGGCUUUGAAUGCCAAGACUGAGAAGUGAUGAUGGCUCUGAACGCCGAAACUAAGAAGUGGUGAUGGCUCUGAACAUCGAAUGGAAAAUGCUGAUGGCUCUGAAUGCCAAGACUGAGAAGUGAUGAUGGCUCUGAACGCCGAAACUAAGAAGUGGUGAUGGCUCUGAACGCCGAAUGGAAAAUGCUGAUGGCUCUGAAUGCCAAGACUGAGAAGUGAUGAUGGAUCUGAACGCCGAAUGGAAAAUGCUGGUGGCUCUGAACACCGAGACUGAGAAGAAGUAAUAACUCUGAACGCCAAAACUGAGAAGUGGUGAUGGCUCUAAACACCGAGAUCGAGAAGAAAUAGUGGCUCUGAACGCUGAGACUAAGAAGAAAUAAUGGCUCUGAACGCCAAAACUGAGAAGUGGUGAUGGCUCUGAACGCUGAAUGAAAAAUGUUGGCGGCUCUGAAUGCCAAGACUGAAAAGAAAUAAUAGCUCUGAACGCCAAAACUGAGAAGUGGCGACGACUCUGAACGCCGAGACCGAGAAGAAAUAGUGGCUCUGAACACCGAGACUGAGAAGAAACAAUGGCUCUGAACGCCAAAAUGAAAACAUGGCUCUGAACGCCAAAUGGAAAAUGCAUAAUGGCUCUGAACGCCAAACUAAACAGAAAAAACCAUGAACGUCAAGCUGAGAAAGACGACUCUGAACGUCGUAACUAGGAAGACACGGAGGCUCUGAAUGCCGAACUGCAAGGGAAUGGUGGGAGGGAAAUAUGCCGUAGUAUAGUGUGUCGCCACAACUCUCAAUCCAUCGGAAGGGUCUGAAAGAGACUCCAUAAAUCUCGGAAGAUGCUCUACUGGUGAGUCGGGAUGAUCAAAUCGAAUGAUCCACUAUGGAGUCUCCAAAAAAAAGCGAUCUAAUAGGGUGACCCUCGUGAUCUCAAUAUAACCAUCUGCUGAAGAAUCAUGGAUAGCGAGGCAGUCACAACCCAAAUGUCCUGCCCCACUAAAAGCUCACCUCGAUGAAAAAUCAAAGGAGCAGUGAUCAGUAAGGCGGAUAUAAUGUCUGUCGGCCAAGUGAUGAAAGUUGUAACAGAUCUGUGAGAGGACGAUCAUCUUCGUAACUGAGGGGGAAAAUAUGCCCCAGUACGACAUUAGAUGUACUCGAUCUGUCCAGAUGAGUCGUGAGUAACUCGAUGGGGAUGCAUAGAAGAUCUGACAUGUACUCGACAAAAUGAUAAUGUGAAAAUCCAUGAGCCUAAGACGACUCCAUCCAAAAAUCACACUAACAUCGAAAAGUGUGAGCCUGAUGAAAUGACCCGAGAAAAGGUCCAACAAAGAGUCAUGACAAAAUGAAGCUAAAUCGUCAACCUGAUGCACAUCUCGUAACUGGGGAUGAUCAUGCAAACCGGUGGGGAUCUGCAAAUCUCGAUCAAAAGCGGAAAUAUGCCCCAGUAUGGCAUCAAACGUGUGACACGUCGGGAGAGUCAGAAGAACAAAUGACGUGAAAUCAUCUAUCGUCGCACAUGUGACCUCCAUGAAGGUCCGUAAAUCUCAUCUGAAAUGGAAACAUGCCCUAGUAUGGUAUCAGGUGCGCGACAGGUCCGAAGAACAAAUGACAUGAAACCAUCUCUCAUCAAACAUGUAAUCCCUAUCAUCCAAAUCCAUAAUUGAAUCACGCCCAUAGAUCCAAGACGUACCUCCCGGAUGGAGAAGCAUGAUGGCAUCCAAGUGCCGAGAAGUGCGGGCCUAACUGGAUGGCUCUCGGGAUGCUCCUCUUGGUGAGCAUCCAGUGAGUAAUGAUGAUCGUGCAAGCCCGUGAGGAUCCAUAAACCUCCAAAUGAAAUGGGAUAUGCCCCAGCGUGGCAACAGAGGGACGGUAAGUAAAAAAAAUUGGGGAUGCCAAACCAUCCAUCGUCAAAACGCAUGAUCCCGGUAAUUUGAACACAAUUGAAUCAGACCUACACAUCAAAGAGGCGACUCCCAGAAGAAGAAGCAUGACGAUAUCCAAACAUCAACCAGAUCUCAAACACCUGUCCAAGUAGAGGCUAUCAAAGACGACAUCUGAUCCCAUGGCCUCAGGGUGGUCUUAAGACACGGGAUGUAACGUAAGCUAGGGUGAUAGGGUAAUAGAAAUGAAAGGAAACUAGGCUCAAAUACCCAAUGAUCAGAAAACCAUGCCCUCAUAUAUGAAAUGCAACAUGUAUAGAAAAGCUCGUGAGCCAUGGACCCGAAUGUGCCCAACAUGAACGUGACAUUGAUAAUGAGGUGAUGAAGAAAAAUGAUCUGAUAGCGGGAUAUGUAAGAACGAUGUACGUGGAGUGUCAAAUUGGGAGUAAAAGGGUGUGGUAAGGAAAAAAAAAAGCAAGAGGUGAGAUGAGGAUGACGAAUCAAGAGCAAAAAGGAAAAUGAUGAUGAAGCAAGUAAUACAAAAAGGAGCAGUGAUCAACUCAAAUCAGACAUGGAGGGAAGUCACAUCAACAACAAACGUAAUGAUGGACAGGACAAUGACCCGGAGUCCCUAGGAGAAGGCCACUCAUCUCACUCUCAAAACAUACGACAAAAAUGAAUACAAAGAAUGAAGGGUCUCGGAAAGCUCACAUACGAACUCCCAUCAAUAAACAUACUCGAUAUAGUGACCCUCGAACAUCAACAUACACACCCAACAAUGGAGAAUACUACGCACAUACACACAUGUGCCUAUUUUUCUUUUUUCUUUUUUUCAUUUUUCAAUUAAUUUUUCAAUUUUUUUUUUCUUUUUUACAUAUAUACAAAUACACAUACCCUGAACAUAAACAAAUGAACCUCAAAGAUGAUACCAAUAAUGAAUAGACACAAUCCCAAAUGCUAAGGUAACCAAAAAGCUCUCUCUGACAAGAUGACCUUCUCAAACUAAGGAUCUCUAACUCAGUGUCCGUAUGAUAAAUAGUGGAAAUGAUGUGACUAUCCCCCAUGUAAUGAAUUGAGGAGGAUCACUACUCAGGGUGGAGAGAAUAUGAAGCAAAACAAGUAGAUAAAAUAAAGAAUGAGAGACGAAGAACACAACUAAUGAGAUAUGAAGGAAUGCAGUAGCGCGGUAGUAGGAAAAAAUAAUGAGAGAAAGAUGCACCUGUAGGUCCAAGGCUCAUGAGGCUUCCAAACAAUGCAUGCAUACACUAAAAGGCCCCAAUCCCGGUGUAAAAAUGUGAGUAAGGCGAUAAGAUAGAAAGACCCUAAUGCACACGCGAGGCUCAAUGGGCUAGCAAUGGUUUAUACGUCAAAAUGGAAUAACAAGGUGUAUGGCUAAACCGAAAUGAUGGCCACCCAUCCUGCGACCAUGGUCUCAAACAUAGUACCUCUUUAGCUGAUCCACGUUGGUAGGCUCCGAGAAUCGGUUUCCAUUUAGAUCCAUCAACCAUGCAGCGCCCUCUGGAGUCAACUCUUUGAUGAAGUAAGGUCCGCUCCAAUUGGGUCUGAACUUCCCUCUAGGAUCUCUGAUCAAUCCCCCGAUGACCUUCAGAACCAAGUCACCUACAUGUAGUGGUCUGGGCUUGACCCGCUUCUUAAAAGCACAUGCCAUCUUCCUCUGAUAUGCACGAACAUGGUCUGCUGCUCUCAAUCUCCUUUCAUCUAGAAGAUUGAGCUGAUCAAAUCGAGCUUGAGCCCAAUCUGCCUCGGAAAUCUGCUGCUCUAGUGCUACUCUCAAUGAACCCAUCUCAAUCUCAACGGGUAUCACCGCCUCCAUGUCGUAUACCAAUGAGUAGGGUGUGGCUCCUGUAGAGGUGCGAAAAGAAAUCUGAUAAGCCCACAAUGUGAAAGGGAGUUUCUCUGACCAAUCCCGAGAAGUCUCGACCAUCCCCCGUAAUAUCCUCUUGAUAUUCUUAUUCGCGGCCUCUACUGCCCCGUUCGUCUGCGGCCUGUACACAGAUGACCUAUGAUGCCGGAUGCCAUAUCUCUGCACUAAGGUGUCAACCUUUGCUCUGAAAUACACCCCUCUGUCUGAGAUCAACUCGUGAGGGACUCCGUAUCGACAGAUGAUGCGUGAUCUAAUGAAACUGGCAACUCCAGAUGACGUCAAUCUCGCAUAUGAGGCGGCCUCCACCCACUUGGUGAAGUAAUCGAUGGCGACCAGGAUGAACUCAUGACCACUGGAAGAUUUCAGCGAAAUCUUCCCGAUGAUGUCAAUACCCCAUACAGAAAAUGGCCAUGGUGAAGUAAGUGCAUGCAACUCGGAGGGCGGCACGUGAAUGAGAUCUCCAUGUAUCUGACACUCAGGACAUCUCUGAACAAACUGACAACAAUCCGUCUCCAUGGUCAACCAGAAGUAACCGGUCCUCAUGAUCUUACGGGCCAACAUAUGCCCUCCCAUAUGUGGUCCGCAAACUCCCGCAUGAACCUCUCUCAUCAUCCUAUCUGCAGAGGCUCUGUCCAAGCAUAAUAGUAGCAUCCUGUCAGCUGAUCGUCUAUACAAUGUCUCGCCACAAAUCACGAAUCGGGAGGCUAACUGUCUCAGUGCUCUCCUAUCCUUGGCCGUGGCAACGUCAGGAUACACGCCAAGUCUCAGAAAGUGAUAUAUGUCAUGGUACCAGGGUAGACCAUUGUCUAUCUCCGUAUCCUCAAUCAGAUAGCAGUACGUAGGAACAGAUCUCGACUCAAUCAACAAUGGACGAACAAUGGCGUCAGCAGAAAUGUCGAUCAUGGAAGCCAGAGUAGCUAAGGCAUCAACAAACUGGUUUUGCGCUCUAGGCAGAUGGGUAUAUCUCAAAUCAUCAAAUCUCCCAACCAGUAGCUCCAAAUAUGCAUGAUAAGGCCUAAGCUUCACAUCUUUAGUCUUCCACUCGCCCUGAAUCUGUCUCAAUACCAGGUUGGAGUCACCAAACACCUCCAUUUGUCUAAUCUCGAGCUCGAGGGCUGUCUCUAAUCCCAAGAUACAAGCCUCAUACUCAACAAUGUUGUUCGUGGCAGGAUGUCGAUCCGAGAAUGCCAAACGAACAGAUCUGGGAAUGUGAUCACCAUGAGGGGAUAUCAACAGGACGCUUAUCCCAUAUCCAGAAUGGUUGGCUGCACCAUCAAAGUACAUGCGCCAACCUGACAGACUAGUCACAGUAGCGACAUCCUCGUCCGGGAAGUCAUCACCAAUGGCUCUACUGUCGAAAACUGGUAAGGAUGCUAGGUGAUCAGCGACAACACUCCCUCUAACAGACUUCUGAGUGACAUAAUGGAUGUCAAACUCAGUCAGAAGCACCAGCCAUCUCAUGAGGCGACCAACCAGGGUGGGCCUGUCAAACAAAUAUCUCAGAGGAUCUAGACGGGAUAUCAGGUGCACUGAAUACUCGGUCAUGUAAUGUCUCAGUCGGCGAGUGGCCCAAACCAAUGCCAAGCAAUAACGCUCAAUCAUGACAUAUCUCGUCUCGUAGUUUAGCAUCCUCUUACUCAGAUAAUAAAUGGCCCGAUCCUUGCCCAAAUCAUCAAGCUGAGCCAACAUGCACCCCAACGCCACAUCUGAAACUGACAGAUAUAGGAGUAAAGAACGGCCUGUGUAGGAGGUGCCAAGACUGGGGGUGACAACAAGUACUCUCGGAUCCUCUCGAAUGCGCGCUGACAUUGAUCAUCCCAAACAGUAGGUUGACUCUUUCUCAAGAGUUGAAAAAUGGUCUCAUAGAUGUCUGUCAAUCUGGCGAUGAAUCUGCUAAUGUACUGAAGUCUACCCAAGAAGCCUCUAACCUCUCUCUCUGUCCUUGGUGCUGGCAUGUCAAGGAUGGCUCUGAUCUUAUACGGGUCUACCUCUAUACCUCUCUUAUUGACCAUAUACCCCAAGAGUUUCCCAGAAGUCAUUCCGAAAGUGCACUUCUUAGGAUUCAGUCUCAAUCUGAACUGUCGGAUCCUCUCAAAGAACCUCUCCAGAGCUGCUAGGUGAUCUGGUCUAUCUCGGGAUUUCACUAUCAUGUCGUCUACAUAAACCUCGACAUCCCGAUGCAUCAUGUCAUGGAAUAGGGUGGUUGCCGCUCUCUGAUAGGUGGCUCCUACGUUCUUCAAUCUGAAUGGCAUGACUCUAUAGCAAUAAGUGCCUUACUCGGUAAUGAAGGAUGUCUUCUCCAUGUCCUCUGGAGCCAUCAAGACUUGACUGUACCCGAAAAAUCCGUCCAUAAAGGACAACAUCGAAUGACCCGUCGUACUGUCAACUAGCAUGUCGAUGUGUGGAAGGGAAAAAUCAUCCUUAGGACUGGCCUUGUUGAGAUCUCGAAAAUCAACGCAGACUCUCACCUUGCCGUCCUUUUUGGGGACAGGGACGACAUUGGCCAGCCACUCCGGGUACUCGACCACUGAUAAGAAUCCUACAUCGAGCUGCUUCUGAAUCUCCUCCUUGACCUGCAAGCUCCAACGAGGGUGCAAUCGUCUCAACUUCUGCUUAACCAGUCUGGCAUGGGGUAGAAGUGGCAAACGAUGCUGGACGAUAGAUGGAUCAAGGCCUGGCAUGUCCUCAUAGGACCAUGCGAAAACGUCCAAGUAUGCUUUGAGCAACUGGAUGAGGCUAUCUUUCUCAUCAACAGAUAAAUCUGACCCGAUCCUCAACUCUCUAGGCUGAUCUACUGUGCCAAAAUCAACAAUCUCUAUGUCCCCUACAGCAGGUGCGACCCUCUGAUCAAUAAGGUCUGAAUCAGAAGCGGAUGACAAGUCAUCAUCUGAAUCAUGCUGUGCAAUCUCACCAUCAAUACCAAAUAUUCGUGAUGUGGGUGAAGAGGGUGCAGACAAGAUAAUAUCACGAGACACAGGCAAAUACUCAAAAGUGCUGAAAUCCAUAGAUGAAUGAUCGGAAACAAUGUCAGAAUGGGAGACGAACCCCGACAGAACGUCAAAUGAAAGAGGUGAGUCCACAAAGUCGGACACUCCCUCAACAAGGCCAACAGGGCCGUCAAUCAAAUCAACAACAACUAUAGCAUCCUCAGCAAUCACCGGAGCAGGGGCUGUCUGGAUCUCCUCAAUGAUCUCAAUGAAAGACACCCCGAAAAGAUCAAAUGGUGAAGUGAGCCCAGGAUGAACUCUCUCCUCGAUCAGGCUUAGGCUCAUUGCGAGUGAUUACUACUCAAAAAGUGUUAUUUGAUAGCUUGUAAUUAAUCCUUUUAAACGCUUUUGAGUAGUAGUUUUGGCCUUUUAACUCAAUUGGCAUGAUAAGGACCCUUGCAAUCAUUUCUAAUUAAAUUGUGUUAAGUUUUGGUGUUUUGUUAGUAAUUUGAUCACCAAAGCAAUCUGAGAUUGAGGAGAGUUUUGUGGAAUCUUGAACUAAAGCUUUGAAGCCCUUUUCCAAGAGUUGAUCCGGAAUGCAAGGAGAAAAAGUAAAGAGAAUCUGCCAUGAAGCAUAUUCUUGAUGACAGUCAUGGUAGCCACUUUUGGAGCACUUUCUGAAGUCCAAUUGAUGCAUGCUAUAUACCAUUUCAAAGAUCAAGAAGUCAAAAAUCCAAUGCUUCAAACGGUACAAAAUUUGAAGUUGAAACGAAGAAGUUACAGCCACUGCAAGUCAAUCACUCUAAGCUGAAGGAAGCAUUUUGCAAAGUGUUGCAAAAUCACCCUUUUGUUGCGAAGUGAUUUCGCAGCCUUUUUGUACAGUGUUGUGGAUUUCCUCCUGAAGUUGCCCGAUAUAUGCGACAAGUUGGAAGCUGAGAACCUCAAGAUGGAAGCCAACUUCGCAGCCUUGCGAGAAUAGCCUUUUGUUGCGAAGUGAUUUCGCAGCCCUUUUUGAGUGUCUGCGAAAUCUCGCAGACAUCAUUUUUCUCUUGCGAAAUGGUCCGUAGUGCUUCCCGAUGUUUGCUACCGACAUUGGGAGAUAUUUUCCAUCAGAUUUUUGUUGUCUAAAUCCCAAAAUACUCCUUGUAAGCCACCGAUUACAAGAUUCCUUAGCUUUUAAGUUAAUAAAAUGAGUAAAUAUCCAUGUAAUAAUUAGUUUUGUAUUAUGUUCAUAUAAAAACCUCUCGAGAGCCUGUUCUCAGGGAGGGGACCUUCUGUAAAGUUUUGGAAAAGCAAGUAAAGUUCAGGCCCUUUGUUUUACCUUACCUUCUCACUUUGUAUUUUUUAUUUCUUACUAAGUUAUGCACUCUCUGAGGAAUUUUCCCCAGAGAAUGAGUAACUAAACCUUUAGUUCCUUGGAGCUAAGGUUGCCGGGGAGGGUUCCAAGUGCAAGAAUGCAAAGCUUUGUGGUUUCAACCAUGAAUGAAGAGGAAGUGAAAUCCUUUAGUGAUUUCUAUGAUUUUAGUUAACUUAAAACGCCUUAGUGUCACCUGGGCCAACACUUGGUAAGGCAAGUGAUCUCCAACCAUGGAGAUGCACUAGUUUACCCCUUGCGAGCCUCUGGGAGGUGACUUGAAGGUAGGAUUUUCUAGAAUUGCCAACACUUGGUAAGCUUUUGGACUCCAAGGAGACAUCCAGUAGUUAUCUCUUGCGAGCUUGUGAAGGGAAGUCCAAGGUUAAAGAUCAUCUUGAAUGGUAAGUGCUCGUGAGAGGCAUGAACCAUUGCAAGGUGCAUCAAUGAGAGGGAAUUAAAGCUGAAAUCCAAUUAAAGGAUGUAUCUGUACAACAUCGGUUAGAGAAUUGACUAUAUGUUGAAUCUCUAACGCAAGGAAAUGAACCAACUGACCUGAGCUAUGUCUUUUGCAUGAGGAACCUCCCCAGUGAACCUGACCCUCCAAGGAAUGUUUUUCUUCCUAAGUAAUUUCCAUUACUUGUUUUGCCGUUAGCUUAAAUCUAAAUCUUUACCAAUCAAAGUUUUUGUUUUAUUUCUUGAGCUAACCUUGAAAUGAAAAAGUACCAAUUCACUUUGAAUUGGUAUCAUUUGUAAUUUGGAAACCCUUCCCAGUGAACGAUCCUAGAGCCACUAUACUAUAAUAGCUUUUUCUUUGCUAUCCUAGUAUAUGGUGUUAUAGGUUAUAAAUUUUGUUGAUUACUCCCUCAAUCAGGGAGCACCAGCUGGACACAAAUCAGUUGAGACACCAAUUGGGCACGAAUCAGCGAGCAUCUCAUCGAUAUACUCGUCAUGUGGCACGACUCCGUCCACUAUGUCGCUGAUCUCAGCAAAUGCCCUAUGAUCGUCGAUCUCAUCAAGGAAACAAAGCGUCAUAAGGCUCAUGCGAUCCGGAGAGGAAGAAGCAAUCAACACAGAAGUCGAAGGACUAGGGGCUCCAUCUCUCAAUCGUAACUGCUGGACAAGGUGCUGAAGCUCAGCCUCCUGGGUGGUGAUAAGUCCUUCGAUGAUCCAAUCAGAUGGUGCGUGCGGAUUCGAUGCCUUCACAAAGUAAUCUGCUAGGCUCCUAGUGUACGAACGCAUAGGAUAAUAAAAAGGAGUAUGAGUCAGCCAAGCCCUCACCCUCUCCUUGCGCAAUCGCGCCAUAUAGAGAUAAUCGGCCUCAGUGGGGAUGAACCCGAGUCUGAACGGUAUGUCGUGAUUAGGGAUGGCUAUGAACUCGCUAGGCUCGUGUUGACAACGCCCUAAUCCCAUGCCUGGAAGAUAAGACAUGCUCCGCAUAAUAUCGAGCACCACCGUGCUGUUGUGCUGAUCGAAGGACAUGGCUACGAAAUCCCGGCAGAAAUCCUCUAUCUCCACGGUCUGCACCUCAUCGAAGGUGAAUUCAGUCAUAAAAAGAUCGUCAUCAAUGUGACAAAUCUCGAGCACAGGCUCGACAACAAUGAACAUGUCCCCCACAGAUUGUACCACGACGACCCGACCAUCGUGAAUAAACUUCACCUUCUGAUGAAGGGAAGAAGGGAUUGCCUUGGCUCUGUGGAUCCAUGGUCGUCCUAGAAGCAGGUUAAAGGAUGUAGGAAUACUCAAAACCUGGAAUACAGUGACAAAAGUGGCCGGACCGAUCAGCAGCUCGAUCUCCAAUGUACCCAUGACCUCCCUCCGAGUACUGUCAUAUGCGCGAACAAUCUGAGUGGAGGGACCGAAAUCAGAAGGAGCGUAUCCAAGGACGAUGGCAGUGGCAAGAGGACAUACGUUCAGGGCCGAGCCAUUGUCCAAAAGGACAGAUGGGACUCGGUGGCCUGAACAGCCAACAGAUAUGUAAAGCGGUCGAGUGUGAUCCGAGCCCUCCGGUGGCAAAUCAUCGUCCGAGAAUACGAUGCAUGUGGCUCGACCGGCCGUCAUCAUAUGGAUCAACCCCUCGGGGGAGAUGGUAGUCUCAACCCGGAUCUGGCUCAAAUGCCGAAUCAGAGCAUCAUGGUGAGUGCUCGAAGAUGCCAACAAACUCCAGAUGGAGAUACGAGCCUGAGUGCUCUGUAGCUGCCUCAAGAUCUCAUCAUCCUCUACUUUGACCUCCUCGGAAGCAGAUGUACCCUCAACUAGCCUAGCUGCCGCAGGAGGUGGCUAUCGCAUCACUCUACCCCCUCGGAGAAUAUACUGGAUGUCCGGAGUAUGAGAAAUAUCAACAUGUGGAGCCCGAACCUCCUCAACAUCCGGGAUCAGAAUGUACGGCGCCUGAACGCUAUAGCGUGUGAAUGUCAAAGGCUCGGAAGUGGUAGCCUGUACAGACGCUGCCUCAGGAACUAAUCGGAAUGGAGCGGGCAUAUGUGGCUCUAGGGUCACCCCACUCGUCUCAUAAAUCUCAGCUGGCAUGAUAGGCUCUGGAUCUGAAUCAUCCCAACUCAACAUAUGGACAUGAUCGUCGGUCUCACCAAAGUCCAAGAAAUGAGUACCACCGGCUGGUGGAGGAACUGCAUGCGUGGUAUGAGUCGGUAACGGGUUUGUGGUCACACUCGGCUGACCCAAGUGUACCAAACCCUGGUUUAUCAGAUCCUGAAUGGCGUGCCUCAGAGCGGUGCAUCAAUCGGUCUCAUGUCCAAGCCCUUGAUGAUAAGCACAGUGCAAAUCCAUCCUGAACUGCGACAGAAUAGGUUGAAGUGGUGGCCGAGGGGUGAGAGCAGUCAAUAAACCAGCCUCUAUAAGCUUCCGAAGAGCCUGGCUCAACGGCAUGCCUAUCUGCGAGAACUACAUCUACGUCCUCAAAGCAAACGGAGCAGAAGUCUGCUGGGCUCCAGGUCGGGGAUAAGGCACCGCAGGUCUCGCGGUGAAUUGAGCAGCGUAGCAUGGCUGCCCUGUGGCUAUGUAGGAGACCGCGGACCUCUCAAUGCCCUAAGUGGCAUAAGAAGGUAAAACCAAUGUCUGUGGCAUGUAUGUCUGAUCACGAGCUGGACGAGGUGCCCGUGGCCUGUAUUGAUGAGAUGCAUAGGAAGAAUGAGGCUCGGAAAACUGUGGGAUUGGUUGAUGGCGCCUGAGAGGCCUUUGACUGGAAUAACUGAUGGCGCUCACAUCUGCUGACCUCGGUCCUACAAAGGGCUUCUUCCCCUUAAUAUCACUAGAGGAAGAAUCUGUCCAUAAUCCUCUUGAGAUGCCGUCCUCGACAUCAUAUAAAGCCAGAACCAAUGAACCAAAAUCUGCGAAUGGUACCCCGACCACGUGCCUGGUGAUCCUGGGCUGUAAACUCCUCAAGACCAUCUGUAUCUGAUCUCUCUCUGAAGUUCUGUCAAUAAUCUUGGCAAUCUUCCCGCACCAGCGGGAAAUGAAUGAAGAAACUGACUUGUCUGAUCUCUGCCUCAGAGCCUCGAGUUCUCUCCUCGAUACAUCCACGACAGUGUUAAAUGAAAACUGUCGUAGGAACUCCCAGGCCAAGUCGUCCCAUGUCCGGCGUCGUGAAGACUCUAAAGAGGCGAACCAUCAUUGGGUUGCCCCACUCAGAGAUAGCGGGAAUAGGGUAAUCAUCUGAGACUCGUCCAAACCAUGAGCCCUCAUCACUGUGCUGUAGAGUCUGAGGUGGAGGCGUGGACAACCCAUGCCCAUAUAUCUCUCGAUGUCUGGCAUCCUGAACUUAGCCGGCAAACUGGCUACCGGCAUACCCUCAAAAUCAUCCCAAACAAUUGAUCCAUCUGACACUCUCAUCUGUCUCAUACACUGCUCGAGGAGGUCCAUACGCGCAUGAGCGUCAUCACCGACAGUGGUCUGGACAAUAGCGGGCAGAGCGAUCUCAGAAUACCCGUGUAAUACAUAUGGUGAUGCCUGAGGCACUGAAGGAACGGGUAGGGGUGGUGGAGGCGGAUGUGAGUCAUACGGCGUCUCAUCCUGAACUGUUGGUGGUCUACUCUGCUGACCACCGAUCUCCUGGUUGAGGCUAGCCAAAGCCUCCUGGAUAGAAGCCAUGACGGCCGUGAACUGAUCCAUAGUAACAACCUGCUAAUCCAUACUCUGUCUCUCUGAAUACCGGACUAAUCUCCCCUCAACUCUGACCCAAGAAGGCGUAUCCAGACCGUGAACGAAGAUCUGAUCCUGUGAAGAUGAGAAAUGGAAUGAGGAUACGAUACAAGGAAAGUGCAGAAGGAAUGAUAAUCUGAACUGAAACGAGCAAGGCAUCCAAGACGAAGACGGAUUGUCCUACCAUACUCAAACUCGCACUGAUUUAUGUGCACUCUCAACUGGAGACUAAAAGAGGGAGCGUCGAAUCCAAAAUGUGACCACAGAGGCGUCGAAGGCCCUCAGAUGCACCCACGUGUAGGGAGGGAGUCCUAAUCGAAGGAUCUACAGCUAAACCUACGAGGUGAAGGUGGCUCUAAAUGGAUAUGGGUGAACUUUAAAAGAUCCCUAGCAGAAGCGAUCAUACCCUCCGGCGGUAUGCAACCCUUUCACGCCUCCGAAGAGAUGGGGUGCUUCCAUGCAAGGUGGUCAGCACCUCCACACAUGCACUACCUCGACAUCCUAGGGGGUUUCCUAUGGUGGAACCUCUCAAACUCUCAACGCUCAAAAGCCAACUAAAGUGCACAGUGAAUGAUGAGGGUGCAUCCAAUAACCCUAGGAAGCUAAAACGGGAAAGGAAAACACGUUGGCCACACAAAUAUCCAUGAAACCUAGCUCAGGGCUAUACAGGCCUUCAAUGAUCGGACUCCAAUCAACAUCAAAGCGUCACUCUCCUCUAGAAUGCUCCCGUGCAUCGAUAUAGCCCGUCGCUAGACCCUACUCCUAAUCUUCGACUCAGUCAGAGAGUAAGCACAGAGAAGGCCUCACACUUGCAAUAGUGAGAGCCGAGAUGAAAGGAAUGACCGAAACCAAGAGAAUUGGAGGUAGGGGGAUAGAAGUGUGACCCACAUAGACAAACGACAUGCAAUCAUGCAGAGGGAGGGCAGUCAUGCAACAUACAGUCAAGCAAAGUACAGGAUAUAUCACUCACGUCCACACACAAUCUAUGGCAGUCAAGAUGAAUAGUGAUACCGACAUCAUGCCCAAAAAGCGAUCAGGAUAAUUUACAAGCCAGAGAAAACAACACAGCAAGUCAAAUGAUGUACAAUAGUGAGUCUAUGCAUGUGAAGUGAGUAGAAUGAUCAGGAAGAAACAUAAUCGCUAUACCAAGCAAAACAAGAUGAGCAAUCUAUGAUAAUUGGCAUGUCAAUAUAUCAAACUAAUAUAGCAAUGAAGCACAGAAAAAAACGACAUCCUAAGUCCCAAUCAAGAUAAUCAAUCAUAUCAAUGUCACAACACAAUAUCCAAGCAUGCAUCAGAACUCCCAAUGUGCAAUCAAGAGACAGGUAUUCACUGAUCGAUUCAUCAAAUGCCAUGUUUGCUUCAUCUUAAGUUCAAGCUUGACCCUCUAAAUGACUCCCCAGCGGAGUCGCCAUUUUGUGGACCCCGCAUUUCGGCUCAAUGCGUUCCCCAUUCGAUGGUGAGCUCGAUUUUGAUUUUGAAAAAUAAUUUAAUCGGUUAAAAAAAUGACUUGGAGUCGCCACUUAUUUUUGUUUUAUUUUUAAAGGGUAAACAAAAUAAGAAAGAAAAAACCAUAAGUGUGACUCCUUAAUUUGGAAAAGGUGGUCUGCGAAAAACCGGAUCGGGUUCAGGGGUCAGGUUACUUAUCGGGAAGGUACGGUAAAGACCGUAGCACCCCUCUAAGUCCCUAAAGUCGGGUCUCUACUAAUAAAAUGAAGCAAUCGUGGCAUCUAAUAAGGAAAAUAAUGAAUACCCGAAACUAUCAUGCACAUAUGAGAAUCAAAACAUACAUAGAGAAUAACCAAAGUGGAAGUGGAUGUGUACCUGAUCAACAAACGGCGACGCGCUAUCACAAAUUAGGGUUAGUGCAUAGUAAUGAACAUAAAGUAUAUCAUUCAUAUCACCGAACAGAAAGAAUCACCAAUAGCACGCAUGACAUUUCGUUCAAAUUCGUUUUAUUUUGAAGAAAUUUAUUUGAUGUCGGGGCCCCACCAUAGCCCGUUUAUUUUGCAUGAACUAAUUCCAUAAAUUCCAUCAUUUGGAAUUACAGAAUUUGACUUCAUGCUUAUUUUAAAUCAUUUUAAAAUCAUGAAAAAUUCGGAAGUUGCUCGCCGAAAAGAAAAUGGCGGCCAAAUUUAUUGAAAAUGGGAUUUUGGGAACCUCAAGAAAAUGCUCUAAGGAUGAAGAAAAAGGUGGAACGUCGGUCGGACAGAAUUCCGGAUGUGAGAUAUCCGGAGAAGGUGGAAUGUCGGCGGAGAAGAAUUCCGGAUGUGAGAUAUCCGGGUGGAAUGUCGGCGGGGAAGAAUUCCAGAUGUGAGAUAUCCGGGUGGAAUGUCGGCAGGGAAGAAUUCCGAAUGUGAGACACCCGGGUAGAAUGUCGGCGGGGAAGAAUUCCGGAUGUGAGAUAUCCGGGUGGAAUAUCGACGGAGAAGAAUUCCGGAUGUGAGAUAUCCGGGUGAAAUGAGCUAUGCCACGCGUCCCAAGGGGGCCGUUUGCAUGUCCAAGGGAGAGGGAGCCACGUGACAAUUUUUAGGGAGGAUCACACAUACACAUGGGUAUUGACGAUGAGUUAAACGGGCAUGAAAGGUGAGAAUAUGGUAGUGAUUAAUUCCUCUUCUUUCCACAAAUUCAAAUACUAGCUUCCUACAUCAUCUUGAGACAUCACCUCCCGGUAUGAGAUGCGUGGGGGUUUACGCAUGAUGAAGAUAAACGGGGAUAUGAGUGGAGUGAUGGAUGGGGGUGUGGGCAUGUGGGAUAAAAUGAUGAAUAAUAAACGAGAAUGGGUAUGGGGAUGCUAAUGAGGUGAGCUUUGCUGCUAUGACAACUACUCCAGAUUUCCUAGGAUCUCCUUCAAGCAGGGAUGAGAAAAUGGAUGCGUACCAUGGACGGAUAUCAGGAGCAGAGGAGGAUAACAAAAUAGAGCACAAAGAGUAGAUACAAGAAAAUGAGCCCGACAAGCUAUGCUUCACAUCAUACCAAUAGGCUUAGAUGAUGGUGGGUAAGAUUAAACGAGUAUCAAAUGAAAGGUAAAACAUGGUUACAAAAAUAUCUCAUGGAGAAAUCAAAAUCAGAGCAAACUAAACCACUACAAAACCAUUAGCAAAAAUAUGAACGUAUUCACUCCCAAUCAACACUCAUCAUCCGAGAAUCAGUAAAAACAAAGUAGAAAAGCAUACCAUUAGAAGCUGACGAAGAAUACACAAUAAACGUACCUUAAAAAUAACUCUCUCCAGCUAGGUGGGCAAGAAAUCGGACAACUAUCCUUCCUCUCAAGCAACCAGCCAAGGAAUGCCCUCUUUCCCACUAAUCCUCUCAAGCUCAACCCUCGUCCCUUCUCUUCCUGUCUUCCUUCUCCAGUCUCCUUCAUGCUGUCACCUCCAAAACCCUUAGAAAAACUCCUCCCUCUCUACUGUCCCUUCCACCUUUUUCUCGGAUUUUUUCUUCUCGAUCUCUUCCUCCGCCACCUUUUUCUGCAGCCCCCUUUCCUUCUCUCUCAUCUGCGCCCUCUGACGGCCUGCGGGACCCCCUUCCAGAAAGUUCCUCCACGUGUCAAAGUCCUACUGCAGCUUCAAAAAUCGAGGUUGAUUCCUUAUGGCCACUAAGGAUGUGACACGUGGCCCGCUGGAAUAGUGACACCUAACUAAAAAUGUGAUCCGCAAAAACAAAUAGAGAAAAAAAAGUGACCCAUGCCUAAAUGGGGGUCUACAAAUAUAUUUUUCAAAAAAAUUGUAUUCAAUCAUUUAUAUGAACUUUCUUUUAAAUUUAUUAAAAAUUAAAAUUUUUGUAUAAUGAAGUUGCACAUUAAUAAACAUAACUUUUAGAAAAGAGAGUAUUGCUCUUUUAUUUAAAAAGUAAUACUAAAGUAUGUUAAAAGUACCAUGAUAGUGUGUUACUUUUAAUAAACUUUAGUGUUAAUUUGUUUUCAUAAAAAAGUGAUUUUUUUUCAUAAAAUAAUGGCACAUUUUUCUAAUAGUUGUAUUGAUUAAUGCACAAUGUCACUAUGCAAAAAUUUUAAUUUUUAAUAAAAUUAAGAAAAAUUAACAUAAAUGAUUAAAUACAAAUUUUUAAAGAAAAAUAUAAAUAAAAAAUUAAAAAUUUUAAUAAAGCAAAAUGCUAAAAUCACAACCGAAUAACAUUUAGCCGGAAAAAAAAAAUUAUGUCCUAAAUCUCAAUUUUGAUUUAGGCUAGUUAAAUUUAUAAGCGAAAAGUUAAAACUAUAAUUAUCAACUAUGAUUUUCACAUGGAAAUUUUAAAUUUAAAAAUAUAAAUAAUAAAAUAAUAUGAUAAUAUAAUAAGAUUUAUAAAAUAAAUAAAUAUUUUAGUUAGUAUAAAUAUAGAAAAUUUUAUGUCUUAAAUUUCUAAAUUUGUUCAUCAUGUAUUUAUUUUUAUAUUAAAUUUAUUAUCAUUAAUUAUUUAUUAUAUAUUAUUAUUUUAUAUUUAAAAAUAUUAUAAAUAAGUAAAUUUAAUAAAUAUAAAAAGAUGAAAUAUUUUAAAAAAUUGAAAUUAAAAAGAUUUCAUCUAGUUUACAUAUUUUUAAAAUAAAAAACAAAAAGAAGAUGAAGAUAUUAUAGGUGAUCGAAAAAAGAAAAAAGAAAAAAAUCAUGUCGUAUGGUGAUUGACACAUGUCAAAGUUUUCUUUUAAAAAAAAUAAUAAUAAUAGUAAUGAUGAGUCCAUUUGUCUUGUCAAAGUAAAUACAAAAAAAUACAAAAAAUAAAAAUAAAAAAAAGGAAAAAAUGUGGAAAAAAAGUGAUAGUCCUUAGGAGGUGAGAGAGGAGGGUUUGAAGGUAAGUUUGAAAUAUUGAUUAUUUUCACUAUUUAAGUGCAUAUUUUUAAUAUUAUUUUCCUCAAAACACAACUUCUUUGAAAAUCAAAAGUCAAAAGUUGAAAAAAAUGCAAUUAUUAUUAUUUUAAAAAAAUGACACAUGAUAACAUGAUUCCCUCGUCUUUGUUGUCAGAGGAAGGGAAACCAGUGGAAGUAUCCACGAUUUUUUCCUAAGAAGUUGUUGACUUUUUGGCGAAAUAUCACCAUUUUUUAUUUAUUUUUAUUUUUUACUAAGGGGCAGUUCCUGUAUGUGCUUAAGGAAUUUUAUUGGUCACAAUAGAUUAAUUGCCAAUAUUUGGCUGGUACCAACAGAUUAUUUUAUUUUAUUUUAAUUUUAUGUUUUUGUCAUUCGAAGGACUCUUACUUACCAAUGUCCCAUAUUUUGUUCAAAUAUCAACUAUAUUUCCCAAUGUUUGAAACCUUAUUCAAGAUCAUAUACACUUAUUUGUGGAUAUUUUGAUACGUACGUAGAUGUACACUUAUUUGUGGUUCAAUUCCUAAUUCAUCGAUUGAAUUCAUGAAGGCAAAUAUUUCCACAUGCCCAUUGGAAUAUUUUAGAAUUUCAUUAUCAUGGUUUCUUAUUAUGUUUUUAAGCAUAACUUUCCUAUUAAACCCAACAAUUUCGUAAUAUUUAUUUAUUUAAUGUUUGAAUUAUUGAUUUAAGUUUAUCUAAAAUUUGAAUAAAAAUCCAUACAAAAAUAUCAUUCAUACUUCAUAUUCCAAAAAAAAAGUUAAGAUUUAAAAUUUUUUAUGUUUAGAUAGGAUAUUUGAAAAUAAAACUUUAAAAAAGGAUCAUAUUAAAAUAACAAAUUUUUAUUAAGACUUCAUAUACAAACCAAAGAGGGCACCUUAGAAAUCUAUUUUCCCUAAGACUAUGUUCGGUUCCUGAAAAUUUUGCGGGAAAAUUUAAGGGAAAUAAAAUAAAGAAAAAUGUAGAAAAAAAAAAAAGUAAAAGAAGAUAAAAGUAUAUAUAUUUGAAGUCAAUAAAUUAUUUUUAUACGCUAUUUAAUCGAUAUAAAUAUUUAAUAAUUUGAAAAUGCACCAAUUUCUAACUAGUUUUAAUUAUGUUUUAUUUUCUUUGGCGUUUUUUAUAUAAUAGAACUAAAAAUAGAAAAAUCACUUUUCUUAAUGUUUUUUUUUUCUUUCUUUAAUAUUUUUUAGGAAUAAAAUAUAACCUAAAUUUCUAAACAAUUAUAUAACAAAAACCCUGCAAAAAAAAAAAAUGAAAACUUCAUUCAAACUAUAAAUCCAUCUUAAAGUCAUGAAAAUCAUAUUUGGCUUGCAACUUGGACGCCACUAGUUGAAAAAAAAAAAAUUGUAUCUUUGAUCAAAACAUAACCAACAAACAAGUAAAACAGGAACAAAAAAGUGUAGACAAGAGUUAUACCUCAAAGGCCAACUCGCCUUGAAAAGUGUAAUAGCAAAUAAAUAAUAACCCCCAUGUGGCACAAAAAAGGAGCACAUUGCGAUUGGGUAUGUAGAAGCUUUAAUACCCACUUGUUGGAGUAAUGAGGUUGAUAGAGCAAGACACCACUUUCUUUUAUUCAAAUAUUACAUAAUCACUUAUUUGUAAAUGCUCACACUUAAUAAAUGGAAACUUCUAAUAAGAAAAAAUAGAAACAAAAGGACUUGACUACUCAAAAAUAGAAACUAAUAAUUACUCAAAAUAAAAUAGUUUUCUUAACUUAUUAGAAACUAAAUCUAAGUGUAAUAUUUUAAAAGUUUCUAAAUCAAGUUUACUUUCCAACAUGCCCCCUUACACUUGAUUUGUGACUAUAAGUAGCAUCCUCAACCUUUUAUAAUCUUCAAACACUACAAGGAAAAAGAUGUAUGGUAACAUUUAUAACGAGUCACCAUAAACAUAGGGUGUCACUACAACAUAGCGUCACCUUUUCCACUGACACCAUAGGGGGUACCAAUUGGUGAUGUAUUUGGAAGUGACAUCAAAGUAGAUAAAUGGUGACCCAUUCGGAAGUGACACUAUAUAUUUCUAGUGAUGAUAGGGUGUAGUAUUAAAUGCAUCAUCUUUGAGUUAUGAUGUCAUAUUAAAUGCAUCACCUUUGAGUAAUGGUGUCACAUCAUUGUAAAUUAUUGUGGAAGAUAUGAUUGCUUUUAGUUAUAGAUUUUUGUAAUGCUUAUGAAUUAAUAAGUAAGAUUAACCUGUUUAUAUUUUGUCCAUAAAUAUAACAAUCAUAUUAUAUUUAACUCAUUUUUCUGUAAUGUUUCUGGAGUAGCUCAUAAUACAUUGAUCAUCUAAUAAUAUUUGUAUAUCAAAUGUUCACAAAAAGAUAGUACAUCCAACAUAUCAAACCCAUCAAAACUAAAAAAAAAAAAGAGUGAAUACAUACCAAAACAUGAUUUAGAAAUGUUAAAGAUCCCAAGAUUCAUGUAUACCUCCAUUUCAUAAGCAUAAAACCGGCUAACUAUAAAAUGAUAUAAAAGUCCCAUCUAAAAAUCUAAAUUUCUCAGUACCAAUUAAAGUAACAUUUAUGUCCUACAACGUAUGACAUAAGAGUUGCAUUUAAAAACCCAAAAUCUUGUUGCCUUUUUCUUUCUUUUUAUUCUCCAUUCCACCAUCCCAAAAGUGUAAAGUUGCAUUUCAUAGUUUAAUGAAUUUUAUAGAUUUUUAUUAAAGAAAAUAAACAUGGAUCGAUGUUAUCAUAAAUGAACAAAUCUAAGAACUAUUUUUUUUUCUUUUUUUUCAAAUAGAAACAUUAUUCAAAGAACCGAUGGAAAAAUUCAUGUAGUAGCUAAGGGACUCACCAUACAUGGUGAUCAUGAUGCAUCAACAUGAUUCAUGAUUAGUUGUAGCACAAAAGUAGCCCAUUCUCCUCUAAUUUCAUCAAAUUCUACUUGAGAAUAUGUUUUUUUUUUUUUUUUUUUAAUCACCAAACUGAAAUCAAAUAAGAAAAUAACAUUAAAAUGUAUAACAUUUGGAAGCCUAAAACUAUGUACAAUUCAUUAAAUUUGUAAUACCUUUGAAGCAAUAAUUUUAGGAUAAAAAAUUAUCUCUUUUAUGAAUCUCAUAACAAAGUAGCCACAUUCGAAUCCUCCUUCUUGUCUUGGACACUAAUCGAUCAAUUAUAAAAUAACAUUAGUACUCAUAUAUAUAAAUGGUGUAAAUGCAUAAGCUAAUGUGUAAAGAAAAUUUUUUGGAUGUCACCUGCACUAGUUGCCAAGAUGGCUCCCUCUUAGAUGUUUUCUUUGUAGAUAUUCGAAGAGCCCUAUGUAAGGUACAUUUUUAAAAUAGGUAAAUGUUAUAUGUUUUAACAUAUAUAUAAAUAACAAAAAAAUGUGUUUGACAUGAUUGUAUUUUUUUUUAAAAAAAAAAAUUAAUAUUAUGAAAAAUAAUAGGAAGAACUUACAUGUUUACGAUAUCCUUUAAGUCCUCACAGGUUUGUGAUGCAUAGGGUCAAGAUAGUGGACUAUCAUUUUCCUUGGCUCAAUCACUACCAAGACCCAAUGAAAUCUAAAACAUUAAAAACAAAAGUAGCAUCUAAUUAGAAAUAUAAAUCAAUCAUAAAACCUCAAAUUAAAGUAUAAUAUUCAUGACUUACUCGGGGUUGUAGGGUAUGAAAACAUAUUUAGCAUUUUGGCACUCCAUUAAGCGUUUUGACAACAAUUGUGCUCUUUUCUCUGUUUGAGGAGUACUAAAGCUUGCUCGUGAUAUUGUAAAAGGAUUAACAAAUAUAAAUUGUGAUUCCUUUUUGGCAAUAUGUAGUUGAUCAUGCAUGUGCCUAUUAUUGUAUCAAAACACCAAAAUAAAAUUAUCAUUAGUUAUAUCCAAUCUUGUUCAACAUGGGAAACUCAUAUUAAAAAAAUAAAAACAAAUGAAAAUAAAAGGUGCACACCAUAAAUAGAAGGAGAUGCAGUUUGAUGACACCACUAAAGAUGAAAUAAUGUAUUCACAAUCCUCUUUAGAUAUAUAUGUUUGAAAUUCGACACCAAAUAGUGAAAUGGGGAGCUAUAUUGGGUAUGUCUUGUCAUUACCAAGACAACCAUCCACAAAUUUCUGAAAAUUUUUAAUGAUUGAAUGAUUUUGAGGCUUAGAUUUUUGAAUAAUUGGUGUCUUCACUAUCUUCUUCUUUUCUUUAUCCAACACCUAUGAGAAAGGAAGGAAUGUUAGAUAUAUAUACUCCUAAACAAUAAAAUACCAAGUUACAAUCAAAUUUACUAUAGGCAUAAAAUGACAUACCUGAGGAUGUUCAGUUUCAAGUAUGACAAGGCUUGUUGGCCAGUCAAGCUCAAAGCCAAUAGCAUCCCCAACAUUGAUAAUCUCAUAUGGAUUUGGAAAUGGGAGUCUAGCAUCUGGCUUGUGUGUAACAUUUAUUACAACCAACCUAUUCGAUCCUUUUUCUUCUAUUAGUGUACAAGUUGCAACAACAUUUCUUUUUCUUUCCACUGCUAAUUUACAUUUAAUUACCUUCAAUACAACAAAUAAUAUCAUUUACAUAGGCUUUAUAUCACUUAUAUUAAUCUUGUAUUAUUAGUAAGUAAAUGCAUACCUUGUGUUUCAGUGGUGGUUCUGGUGGUUGGGGCUCUUCUAUCAUUUUAAACAUUGGUUUUUCUGCUACAACUGGUUGUAAAACAAGUUGUUGUCUCAUGUUAUUACUACCCAUAUCAGAAUGGGGUGUGGGGGGAGACAUAACUUGUCUUAUUGUAGCAUCUUCCAUCUCCUUUCGUACCAUUUCCCAUAUUUCUUCUUUGAUUUUUUUCAUGUCAUCAGAUGGUUGAUGAAAGUAUGAGCUGGGCCUAACCAAAAGAUCUUGACCUACCACACGUCCUAGAUGAUCAAGCUUACCCAAUGCCUGACAUAAUAUGUCAUUGGGACCAGGUGGAGGUAGUCUAGUCUCCUUAGCCUUUUCUAGUAAUUCAUCCUACAACAAAACAUAUAUUAGUAAUAAUUUGAUGAAGAUGAUUUACAUAUCAAUCAAAGACAACCAAUUCAAGGUAGCUAGAAAAUGAAUUGUUUUAAUACAAAGGAUAAUAGACAAAUUGAUGUAUAACAUAACUACUCAUAAAAAUGAUAGCAUUAAGUCUCUUGCCUAUUAACACCUAACGAUAUCAUAACAAACCAUAGUCACAUAGACAUACUAACACUAUAGGCUCUAAAAGGCAUAAAUAUGCUAACUUACUAUCAUGUUAAUCACUGGCUUUGUAAUCUUAUUAAACUUUCCUUUCUUCUCACAUGCUUUCUUCCAUAAAACACUUCUAUCAACCCUACCAAUACCCCCUUCUGCUUGAAGCUAUAAAAAUUUUAACAAUAAAACUCAUUAGUUCAAUAUGUCAAGUUAAUAAAUGACAUUUAAAAAUUGGAAUCAUUUUCCUAUAAACAAAAUAUAUACUCCAUUUUUUUUUACCGAUAUUGAUAACUUACUAUAUCCUGCUCAAAACGUGCAUAUCAUUUUCUUCCAAGAUAAUGAUUGUAAAUGUGUUUAUCUCUUCUCCAUUUCUGAACCUUACGAUAUUCCUACAAAAUAUAGACACAAAAUUAGUACAUGGUGAAACUAUGUAAAUGUAAAAAUUGAAGAUGUAUUAAAAAUAAUGCUUAACAUUAAAAUGUUCGGAAAGUCUAUCUUUAACAAAUUGUCUCCAAUGAUCCUCUUGUAUGCAUGGGUAGAUAGGAGGUGGCUUUUUCAGCUUUUCUGGGUUAUUCUUGAAAAACAAGAUAUAUUUCUUUGUCAACUUGUACUUAAAGGUUUGAAACCUGAUGCCCAUUAGUAGAAAACAAUUCCUCUUGGAAUUUUGAUUCACAUUAAAGCUUGUCUACAAAAUAGCAACCCAUGUUAGCUCAUGUUAAUGAAUGUAUACAAUAAUUAUAUAUGAAAGCUAUAGAUAGACUUACCGUGAUCAAAUCCCAUAACUUCUCCUUAGUCUCUUUAGGGACUUUCCUCCAACUCUCAAUAAUUAUUGGCACAUGGGUUCUAGUUAUUGUACCAAGAUAACUACUUAGUUCAAUUGAAUUUUCCCCAAUGUGACUACCAAGGCUAUUGUAUUCAAUCUUGAGCUUUAUCCCUUUACUUCGAUUUUUUGCAAUCUCUAGUUUCAAUGUACUACCUCUAUGCUUUACUUUUAGCAUUUCCUCUUCUUCUGGAUCCAUAUUUGUGUGAAAGAUAUCAAGUAAAUGUGCAAACUAGUACUUCACCAACAAACCUAUAAAAUUACUCAAAAGCAAGAUUAGUAUAACCUUGCAUAUAUUUCCUAUAAUUAAAUUGGUCAUUCACAAAUAUAGUUUUUGAAAUUUUCUUUCAAAGUUUGUCUUUUUAUUUAUUUAUUUCUUAUCAAUAAUGAAGAAUUUAUUUGUGAGGAUAAUAAUAAAAUAAAUUAGUGCAUAUAUAGUUUCAAUUGUUAUUUGUAGUUUUAAUGAAAAAGAAAUUUAGAAAUGAGAGUUUCAAGUUAUGUGAGCAUAAAAUCAAAACAUAAUAAUAAAAAAUAAUAUAAAUCUAGUUUCAUGGACAACAAAAAAGAUAGUUAAAUGAAGAUUGAAGUGGUACCUUUGAAUAGCAUAUGUUUAUGAUGCAUGAAAGAAAUUUAGGAUGAUCAAUAUAUAUAUCAUGAGCAAUAUAUAGAAGCUAAGCUAAUGUGCAACUCAUGAAAACUAAUAAGUGAAAUGCCUUAUUAUAUCUCAUGUCAAGGGUACAAUAUAUUAUUUAAUUAUUUUCAAUCCAUAUGCCCUCACAGUCUUCUCUCAUAUAUAUUGCCUCUAAUUCAUCCAUAGCAUCAAAUGAUUCAACUUCUAGCAUUGAACUUAUAAAAGGGUGAUGUUCCAUGCAAUUAUCGGUGAAGUCAUCCAGUCCUUCCAUGUUGUUGAAAUCUUUUGGAGGAAUUGAGAGAACUAUUGACCAUUUGGGAUCAAGUUGGUCUUCAACAUAGAAGACUUGCUUGGCUUAUGAUGCUAAAAUAAAUGGAUCCGAUUUGUGACCAAUUUUGGAGAAGUCAACUAAUGUGAACCCGAGUUCAUCCACUUUUAUACCAUUCUUAUUUUCAACCCAAUUACACUUGAAAAUUGGAAUUCUGAAAAUGUUGUAAUCAAGAUCCCAUAUCUCAUUUAUGACCCCAUAAGAGCAAAGUUCACCAAAAACUGGGUUCUUAUCCUUAGAACUGGCAAUUUGCAUAGUCCCUGCUAAAAUGCUAACACCACUAUUUUGGGUGACGCAUGUCAUAUCGCAUUCCUUAUAGUUUAUAGCAAUUAUCAUGAUCUAUUUGUUUGUUUCUUGAGAUAAUUAUCUUUUUCUCAUAUCUUGAUCUCUCUGCACAAUGGGAAACAAUUGCGUGAAGCUUAAGAAAUCCACGACGGAGACCGUGCCUUGCGAAUUCGUUAAAGACUCACUUGUCGUCAUACUCUAUGGAUCUCCAACGGUUCCUCUCACCUCCUACAUCCGGUUCGCCCUGCACCACAAAUGUGCAUCCGUCUAAAUGGUGUCGGCUGAGACACCAAUUCUCGGGCCCGAUAUGCUAGUUCUGCAAUGUAGCUUCGACAUCUUUUUAGGAUCGGGGGAGAUACCGAUGAGGUACAUAGAUAGACUGACCAAAGUGGGUAUUUAUGGCCUUAUGCCCUUCUUGGUGGACUAGGUUCAUAGAUCCAAAUCUGACCCAACAACAUAUGAACUAAUUAGUUCAAACUUUGCAGAGAAUAAUAAAUGUUGACAAGAUAAUCCAUGAGACUUUGUGGAUGAUGGGUAACCAUAAAAGAUAUUGGAUGCUUGUGUUCAGACACAGUUACUUGAACCAAGUGAUCAAUCCCUCGGAGCCGAUUAUGCCAUUGAAGCAAAGGGUGUUGAUAAAAUACAAUGAUUAUUCCUAUAAAGUAUUACAAUUAACCAUCAUAGAAGACAUGUCCAAUAAUUAAUAAUCGCCAUUCAAAAAAGUUAUUUUCAACCAAUAAAAAUCCUAUGCAUGUUUACAUUCCACCUGAAAAAUCAUAACAAUUUAAGCAAUGGUGGUUAUGAACAACAUUUAUAAAAAGUUAGUGGAUGUUAGUACUUUAAUUAACUUGAUCCUUAGAUUGACAUAAUUUAGGAUGCAAAGUAGUUCACCUUGACGUAGGUUGAUAGCUCAUGGGGUCAUUACGCAUUUAGGAAAGUAGGAAAUUGAUUUAUAUUCAAAUACUAAUUAUUUCUUCAUAAAAAUGUUAUCAACAAAUAUAAUCCAAAAAGUGUUUUUUUUUUUCUUUUUAACCGUUGUCAAUAAGGAUAAUACAAACUAAAAAUGCUUUUACAAGUCCUAAAUUAUCAAAUAAAGCCAUUCUAAAAUCCUUCUGCUUCACUCACACAACCCAAAAUCCAAUAUCAUAUAAAUUGUUGAUUAUAAUUAUCAUUUACAUAUUCUUAUUUGAUUGUCACUUAUGGUUUAUUUAUUUAUUUAUUUUAAAAAAAUUAAUGACUUUUCUUGUGGUAUUGGAAAGUCAUAUAGCCAAAAUAUACUUAGAAUAUUUUUUUCUUUCUUUUUAACAAUUUUAUUCAUUGCAAAUGUAAAAUCCAUAGUAGCCUUUUCUAAAACAAUUUUUCAUGAACACCCCUAUGUCUAAAACUCAAAUAAGAAAACAUUAUUCUCAACUUAAUCUUUGUGAAAAUGUGAUGUCUUUAUGUAUAAUACAAAAGAUUUUAAAAUAUUUUUAUAUUUUUAAUUAUUUUUCGCAUCUCUAUUUUCUUUUUAAAUAACUUAAAGUUCUAAAAAAUAACAUGUAGGCAAGGUUGAAAAUACCCCAAAAUUUCAAUGCAAUAUUUCAAAAUUUGUGUAUUAGUUGACCUUGAUUAAAAGAAUUCAUUCACCUGAAAGUUGGCCACUACCAUCUAUAUCUCUAUGAAUUUAUUGAUAUUUUCUAUAUUUCUCCUAAUUUUGCCCUCACAUAUAUAUAAACUUUAUUAAUAAAAUCUCUUACCGUCUCCAUACAAAAAGUAAAAUACCAAAAUAAUAUUAUAAUUAAUUAAUUAAUUAAUUAAUUUUAAUGAUCUUAUCUUUUGAUUCCAUUUUAUUUUCGAAAAUGUAAAAAUGAUCAUAAUAAUUUUUUUUUUUACAUUUUUAUAUGAUAAUUGAAUAUUAAAAAAAAAAUUAUAAACAAAUUAUUUAAAAAUUGUUUUUACUUUUUAAGAAAAUAAUUCUCGGAUUUUCAAAUAUAUAUGUAGUUAGUUAGUUUUUGGAGAAAGGACCAUAAUUUACUCCAAAAAUGAUAUAAAAAAAUAAAAAAUAAAAACACUGUAAACACAACUAUCCCUUUCACUUACAUAUCAGAGCCAGGUUUCGAUCCUGGACCUGUGGUCAUGGGUGUAGGGAAUUAAACCGAAUUCCCAACCCGUGAGAAACAAAAAUUAGAGGAAAAACACACGCCAAAGAAAAACAAUCACACGCACAAGACAGUAUUUACGUGGUUCGGCAAUUUGCCUACGUCCACGGAGUUGCAGGGAUAUCACUAUUAUCAGGGAAGAAUACAGAGUACAACUUGGCGGCUACAAUAUUCUCUAUAUAUGUAUAGCACGACAACCCUACCAUACUAAAAAACCCUAAUUACAAAAUAUGGUUCCACAAUGGGCUAAACGGGCCCAACAGGCCUCAAUAAAUCUCCCAUUAAAAAGGCCAUGCAAUAUUAUUCGGGUCGGGUCGUCAAACCGGAUCAAACAAAACUAGGCUCCACAAAGCCCAACAAAUCUCCCACUUGGAGACUAGUCCAAUCACCAACAUCAAAACCGCUAUCCUCCAAGAAACGAUCCCUCAUCCCUACAACUCAUCCUCCUGUCCUCAAGCUAGAAGACCAAUUGAAGCUGCGCACAGCUUCAACUUCUCAAUAGUGACACCCUUAGUCAACAUGUCUGCAGGGUUCUUAGAUCCACAAAUCUUCUCAAGUAUUACCAGUUUAUCCUCAACAAGAUAACGGAUAAAGUGGUAUUUUGUUUGUAUAUGUUUCGACUUUGAAUGAAAAGCCGAAUUUUUGGCAAGAAAAAUUGCACUCUGACUGUCACUGUGUAGAAUGCCCAUCUCCUGCUUCUUACCCAAUUCAUCUAAGAAACCAUGUAGCCAAAUCAUCUCCUUUCCAGCUUCAGUUGCUGCAACAUACUCAGCUUCUGUAGUAGACAAAGUAACAAUCUUCUGUAGAUUUGAGGUCCAUGAUAUAGCUGUACCACUUAGAGUAAAAACAAACCCAGUAGUACUCUUUCUACUAUCAAUAUCACCAGCAAAAUCAGCAUCUACAUAACCCUGCAAUUUCAAACUUGCACCUGUGAAGCAAAGACAUGUAUCUAAUGAACCCUUCAGAUAUCUUAAAAUCCACUUGACUGCCUCCCAAUGCUGCUUUCCAGGCCUACUCAUGAAUCUGCUCACAACUCCCACUGCAUGUGCAAUGUCUGGCCUUGUACACACCAUAGCAUACAUCAAGCUGCCAAUAGCUGAGGCAUAGGGCACCUUGCUCAUAUGGUCCCUUUCUUCUUCUGUCUUCGGUGACUGUUCUUUGCUUAGUUUGAAAUGACUACCCAAGGGUGUGCUCACUGGUUUAGCUUCAUUCAUGUUGAACCUGCUGAGAACUUUCUUCACAUACUCUGACUGUGAAAGUUUCAAUGUACCAUUAGCCUUGUUUCUAAUGAUUCUCAUACCAAGGAUUUGCUUUGCAGCUCCCAAAUCCUUCAUUGCAAACUGUUUGGACAAUUGCUUCUUCAGAUUAUUAAUCUUCUCAAUGUCAGACCCUGCAAUAAGCAUAUCAUCCACAUACAACAGUAAUAUGAUGUAAGAAUUGUCAAAGGACUUAACAUAGCAACAAUGAUCAGCUUCACAUCUCUUGAACCCAAUUCUAUGCAUAAAAUUGUCAAACUUCUUGUACCACUGUCUAGGAGCUUGUUUAAGGCCAUACAAGCUCUUUCUCAGUUUGCAGACUAGAUUCUCUUGUCCCUGAACAAUGAACCCUUCUGGCUGAAUCAUGUAAAGGUCUUCCUCCAAGUCACCAUGAAGGAAUGCUGUCUUCACAUCUAACUGCUCAAGAUGUAAGUUUUCUACAGCCACCAUUCCAAGUACAAGUCUAAUUGUUGACAUCUUCACAACUGGAGAAAAUAUCUCUGUGUAGUCAAUGCCCUCCCUCUGUUGGAACCCUUUAACAACUAAUCUGGCCUUAUAACGUUUGCUACCAUCAUGCUCAUUCUUUAUUCUGUAUACCCACUUGUUGUGCAAAGCCUUCUUUCCUACUGGCAAUUCAGUCAGUUCCCAUGUCUGAUUCCCCAAUAGGGAAUCCAUCUCAUCCUUCAUGGCUAACUCCCACUUGCUUGAAUUCUCAUCUUGCAAAGCUUCAUCAUAACACUCUGGCUCACCACCAUCAGUCAACAGAAGAUAAUUUAAAACAGGUGAAUAACGUUGCGGAGGUCUAAUGUUCCUGGAAGAUCUGCGAACUUCAGCUACAGGUGUACUCAAAUCUACCUGUGAAUUUACAUUCUCCUUAUCUUUUUCACCCCCCUUUUGGACAGUACUUUCAGUCAAUUCAUCUAAGUUGACAAACUCAGAUUUCUUUUGAUCUAUCUCUGUACAUCUGACGUUACAGUUGACCUAUCCUUGUACAUAACCUGUUCAUUAAAAUAUCACAUUUCUACUUCUGANNNNNNNNNNNNNNNNNNNNNNNNNNNNNNNNNNNNNNNNNNNNNNNNNNNNNNNNNNNNNNNNNNNNNNNNNNNNNNNNNNNNNNNNNNNNNNNNNNNNNNNNNNNGGUCCUCGGUUUAUCAGGUAAGCUGCAGUGCUAACAGCAUCAGCCCAAAAAGUUUUUGGUAGUCCAGCAUGCAACCUCAUACUUCUAGCACACUCAUUGAGAGUUCUAUUCAUGCGCUCAGCCACACCAUUCUGUUGUGGUGUCCCAGGAAUGGUCUUCUCCAUCCUAAUUCCCUGUGCAGCACAAUACUCACUGAAUCCUCCAUCUAUGUACUCUCCUCCAUUAUCUGACCUCAAACAUUUUACUUUCAAACCUGUUUCUGUCUCAACCAUGGCCUUCCACUUUUUAAAAGUUACAAAUACAUCAGAUUUAUUUUUCAGAAAAUAAACCCAUACCUUUCUACUUGAGUCAUCAAUAAAGGUGAUGUAGUACCUUGAAUCUCCUAGGGAUGCAACUGGAGAAGGCCCCCACAAAUCAGUGUGUACUAGUUCCAAUUUUUCAGCCUUCGGUGUCCUGCCAGUUUUCAAGAAGCUCACCUUUUUUUGCUUUCCUAAGAUGCAACUUUCACACAUGUCAAAAUCAAUGGACUUCAAUUCUGGUAGUUUUCCUUUUGACAACAACAUCUUCAUCCCUUUCUCACUCAUGUGACCAAGUCUACGGUGCCAUAGGCUUGUAUCAGUACUUGCAUCAGCAACUGCAAUUGUGUCUCUUGGACAUGAGGUCAUAUAUAGAGUGCCAGUCUUCUUUCCACGAGCCAAUACCCUAACUCCCUUUGUAACCUUCCAAGUACCACCAACAAAUAGUAUUGCAUGUCCUUCAUCAUCAAGUUGUCCAACAGAAAUCAGAUUCCUCCUCAGGUCAGGAAUAUGUCGAACCUUCUCCAGUAACCAAACAGACCCAUUGGGCAACGAUAUCCGGACAUCUCCCAGACCCACAACAUCCAAGGCUGAACCAUCAGCCAAAUACACCUUACCAAAAUCACCUGCAACAUAAUUUUGUAUGAUUUCUCAGUGUGGAGUGGUAUGAAACGAAGCUCCUGAAUCCAAAACCCAAUCAUCAAGUGGACUGUCUACUGCAAGAAGUAAUGCAUCCUGUACCUCUUCUGUUACAGCAUUAGCAGAAUCAUCUUCAUUCUUCUUCUUAGGGCUUUUGCAUUGCCUUUUAAAGUGACCUGUUUUCCCACAAUUCCAGCAUUGUACUUGUUGGCCUGAUCUAGAUUUGCUUCUGUUCCGAUUAGAAUUUCUGGAAUUUGAUCUACCCUGAUUUGAAUUUCUGUUAUUACCUCUACCUCUUGUCUCAAGGUUUAGGGCAGAACCAGAUCCUGAGGUUUCACCUGCAUCUCUUCGGCGAAUCUCCUCAGCCAGAAUUAAAUCUCGUAUAUCAUUGUACUUGAGUUUUUCCUUUCCCGUAGAAUUGCUUACUGCCAUCCUCAUUGCCUCCCAACUGUUUGGCAAAGAAGCCAAGACGAUCAGAGCACGAAUCUCAUCAUCAAAAUCAAUUUCUACAGACGACAAUUGAUUUGUGAUUGUAUUAAAUUCAUUCAGAUGUUGUGCUACUGAUGCAUUCUCUGCCAUCUUCAAAUUGAACAAUUUCUUCAUCAGAUGUACCUUAUUGUUUGCGGACGGCUUUUCAUACAUACCGGACAAAGCCUUCAUCAGAUCUGCUGUGGUCUUCUCCUUUACAACAUUGUGUGCAACAGACCUAGACAAAGUUAACCUAAUAACUCCUAGAACCUGUCUGUCAAGAAGCGCCCAUUCCUCAGCCUUCAUACUCUCAGGUUUUGUCCCCAAAAGAGGCAGAUGCAAUUUCCUCCCAUAGAGAUAAUCUUCAAUCUGCAUCCUCCAAUACGCAAAGUCUGUGCCAUCAAACUUUUCUAUUCCAGACGCCUUUCCUGCUUCCUCUGCCAUUGCUCCCACUCAAACCUAACCCUAGGCUCUGAUACCAGUUGUAGGGAAUUAAACCGAAUUCCCAACCCGUGAGAAACAAAAAUUAGAGGAAAAACACACGCCAAAGAAAAACAAUCACACGCACAAGACAGUAUUUACGUGGUUCGGCAAUUUGCCUACGUCCACGGAGUUGCAGGGAUAUCACUAUUAUCAGGGAAGAAUACAGAGUACAACUUGGCGGCUACAAUAUUCUCUAUAUAUGUAUAGCACGACAACCCUACCAUACUAAAAAACCCUAAUUACAAAAUAUGGUUCCACAAUGGGCUAAACGGGCCCAACAGGCCUCAAUAAAUCUCCCAUUAAAAAGGCCAUGCAAUAUUAUUCGGGUCGGGUCGUCAAACCGGAUCAAACAAAACUAGGCUCCACAAAGCCCAACAAUGGGCCCACCAUACUUCCGCUGCGCCACUCUGAUUUGUCGUUUGUCUUGUCAAACAAAAGAAAUGUAUAUCAUUGAUAAGGUUAAAAAUUCUGACAUUUUAAAUUUAUUCUUGAAGGUGUUAGCUUUUCAACUAAUUUGAAUUUAAUUAUAGAAAAAUUUGAUUUUACUAUAUGGAUGUAGGCUUAAUUAACAUGCAAUUUAUAUUGUUAAAAUAAAUAAAUUGUGCGGUAUAAUGUAUAUUUGAAUAUAUUAUUAAAGGAUAAAUUGGAAAAUUUAUUUUGAUAGAGAAAUUUAAUUAAAAUUAAUUUGAUGUGUGACAUUUGAUUUAGAAUGUUAGGUGAAAUGUAGAAUACGAAGUAUAAGAAUAUAAUAGGAAGGAUUGAUAAUUGUAUAGUGGAUGAAGCGCUGGUUUCUGUAUAAGUGACAGGUACAAUUUGAAUGUGCUGGCUGUUUUUCACAUAUGGUUUAUGAUGGAAAUUUGGUGGUAUAGUGGACUCUUGGGAUAUUACAUAUUUAAAGUAGAAUUGAAGAAUAUGAAAAUAAAAAUAAAAAUGGCAUUUAUCUGGCUUACUAAAAAGUUUGGAAGGGUGAUAUUUAGAAGAUAAAAACCUUUAAUCAAGAGGCCACGUGAAGUAACGAUGGAUUGUGCUAUGACAUAUCUCACUUUUUGUAUAAAUACCCUUAAUUAUUUUAAGUAUUUACAUAUAAUUAUAAAAGAAAUAAAUAUUUUUACAAGAAAAAAAUGAGGAUAUUUUUGUUAAAAGGUGAUCAAAAAAUGAUAGAGGGUUAGAUUUAUAAAAUUGGGUUUCAAUGACCCUUUUAAUCAAAUAACCCUAUAAAAAAUUGAGAGAUUAUUUGAUCGAUAAUCCAUAUGCGGGAGCAUCAACUAAGUAUGAUUAAGGCUGUUGGUCAAUAAUGAUUUUACAAGGUAUAAAUUGAUUUAAUUGAAGGAAAAAAAAAAAGAAAAAGAAAGAGAAACUCAAAUAAGCCAAGAAAUCAAAAUUUGAGAAAAAAAAACCCUUAAGCACUUCCGUGCUCUAGUGCCUCUUGAAAUCAAUUAAAUACUCAAAACAUAUUUUACAUAUUUUUAGUAGGGUUUUUAAGAGUACUGGGAAAAUGAAAAUCACAUAAAUUUAGAAAAAAAAAACAAUAGAGAAAGUAAAACGAUUGAAAAGAAAUUAAACUUUAAUUAUAAAAUAAAUAAUCCUUAAAAAUUGAUUAAAAAAAACAUAUAAAAUUCAAAUUAACAACUAUGUUAAUUUACUUCAUCAAGAAGCAAUACAUAGAACAACAGUUAUAAUCUUGAGAUUUCAAAAACCCUCCUAUGAUGAUGAUUUACUAGACAUGUCAUAUGUUAUGAAUUUCCAAUUACUAAGCCCAUCAUGUCGUCAACAUCCAUACAAAUUCCAUCAUAUCCAAAUUAGAAAAAGUAAAUUGGAAUUAAAGUGCUUUAUCAGAAUUAUGAAGACAUGAUGAGAUCCCAAUGCCAGAUUUAGGAAGAGCUAAAUAUCUGCAUAUGUUAUUGUAGAAAGAUAGCAAGCCACUCCAAAGAAGAAUAUAUUAUAGAGAAGAAUAAGAUUAUCCUUAUAUUAUGCUCUUGAUAAAUUUAGUGUUGUGAUCAUAAAUUUAUAUUUGGUUCUUCCAACUCAUCCCAAUUUAGAUGCUGUUUGUUUUUUUACUUAAUUCUAAAUAGAUUUAAUACUUAAUAGUGUUAAGUAUUAGGUUAUUUAUUUUUGUAGUAUUUUAUUUUUAUUAAGCAUUAAAAAAUUAAAAAAAAAUCAAUAUGCUAUUUAUUCUAUUUAGAAAAAGUAAAAUAUUUUGGUUUUUUAUAUUUAGCAAAAAGUUUAUAAUAAGAUAUGAAAAAGUAGAAAAACAAAUAAUCUAAAUUCUGAAAACAAAUUGCUUUGAGCAAAAAGCCAAAAAACAAACACCCUCUUAGUCAAAAUAUAUGGGUUCUAUUGCUAUUUAAGUUAAUAAAAAAGAAGCUAACACCAAACAACAAAAAGACAUAUUUAGGGCUAUUGCUAUUUAAAUUAAUCAACAACGAUAUUCUUCUAUUCAAGUUAAUUAGUAGUAGAUUAAGAUGGUGCUUGGUAAAUGAACUUAAUAACUUAAAAUGAUUUAAUAAUUUAAUUUAAGUCAUUAAGUAAAUUAAGUAUAUUUGAUAAAAUAACUUAAUUGUAUGAUUUAAAGUAAAAAAUAACUUUAAGUAAUAAGUAAAACCAAUUAACUUAUUCUUAAGUCCAUAUUUUCAUUUUACUUUUUUAUCCCUUUUUAUCCUAAGUACCUCUAUGAUCUUCUUUACUACUCCGUGACCUCUACUGUUAUUCAACUUUCUUUGUACUAAUUAUAAUUUAUGAGGGUAAAUAUGUCAAUUGGAUAAUUUAAAAUUAAGUUUUAAGUUAAUUUUAUCAAACAAACUUAAUACUUAAUACUUAAAGUAAUAAUUAAUUAAUUAGUUUUAAGUAAAAAACUUAAGUAUAAUUUUAACUUAAAGUCAACUUAAGUUAUUAAGUAAUAAGUAUUAAGGUUUACCAAAUAACCCCUAGGAGUUUGUUUGACAAUGAUUUUAGGAAACGCUUUUAACUAAAAAAAAAAAAAUGUGUUUGCAAAAAAUAGAUUUUUGGUAAAAUUUAAGAAAUCAUUUUGAAAAUCUAAAAAAUCACUUGUAAUGUUAGAAAAAUUAGUUAUAGUAUUUUUUGGAAAAACAUUUGAUAAGUAAUUAUCAUAGAAACACUACAAUGAAACACACUCUAAUACCAAGUAAGAAAAUGAUUUGGGCAUUGUUGCUAUUUCAACACAUAUACCUAUUGCAAUUAGAAUUCUUGCUAUUCGUAACAUAUAUAUUUACCCUAAUUACUAAUAAAAAAAUCAAUCAUGUAAAAACUUAAAGAAUAGAUAACCUCUUUGUUAAUUGAGGAAUAUAAAGUUAAGUAAACAUGAAUGACUUAUAUUUGUGACUUUUAAUGGAAAAGAUAUUACAACAAUGUUCAUUACCACAAAUAAUUCUCAUGCCUUUAUCAAAAUAUUUUUUGUUUUCCCUUUUUUACAAGGCAAUUGGCAAUAAUUUUAUUUAUUUAUUUAUUUUGUAAUUCAAAGUAUCAAGUUUAACAUCCUAGUUAAUAUUAUCAAAUAUGGAGUUCAAUAAGCUAAAGAUAAAGAAAAAUAUGCAUCAUUAGAAAAAAAAAAAAGAGGGGGGAAGAGCUAGACAAGAAUCACUUGAAAAAAAAUAUGUGUUUAAUAAUAAUAAUGGUUGAAAAAGUAAUGGGGUUUGUAUCAAACAAUAGAAAUUUUAGUCAAACAUCAAAAAAGAAGAUCAAGUCAUUUGUUUAGAGUUAGCAUUAGAUGAUAAAUAAAUCCAUUAAAUGUUAGGAUAGAUCCUUUAAAAGCAUGAUAUAAUAUAAUAAAUUUGAAAUUCGUUAUUUAUUUAAUAAUGUUCCAAUUUCACUUUUAUCUAUCUUUAUUUAAUAAUUUUCCAAUUUCACUUUUAUCUAUCUUUAUUUCAUGUAUUAUACUUUAUAAGCAUUUUUGUCUACAUCUUUUGCAUUGUACGUGACUUGGGUGCAUUAGGAGUUGCAUAGAAGAUCUAAGUCAUGGGUUCCUUGCAAAUAGAUGACUUGUUCAUAACCGGUUUGUGAGUCUAGGCAACCCAUUAGAGGUUAUACUGCACUAUCUCCUAAUUGGAAGGAUAGUCGAUCUUGGCUAUCGGUAUCGGUUUCCCAUGGUGAGUGCACUAGUGUGUAUGGUUAUACAUUGGACAGGACCUAUGGCGAGUCAUGAUUUAAGGCUAUCAAGUAGCCCAGAUCNNNNNNNNNNNNNNNNNNNNNNNNNNNNNNNNNNNNNNNNNNNNNNNNNNNNNNNNNNNNNNNNNNNNNNNNNNNNNNNNNNNNNNNNNNNNNNNNNNNNUCUUUAACCUUGAGAAAANNAUCGAGCUUGUGCUAAAGUUAGUGUUAGGAAUUUUAGGCUAAUCCAAACUAUGGUAAUCACCCUAGAAGGGGGGUAAAUAGGGUCAUGACCUUACUAAGCUACUUCAUUGUGUUGUCUUUAAACCUUGAGAAAAUAUCGAGCUUGUGCUAAAGUUAGUGUUAGGAAUUUGAGGCUAAUUCAAACUAUGGUAAUCACCCUAGAGGGGGGGGGGGGGUAAAUAGGGUGAUGGUAUCUUUUUCACAAAUUUAAACUAUGCAAAAAUAAGAGACAAUUAUAUGCAAGUAUAUAAUAAACAAAAUAAAGACAAUUGCAUAUAAUUUAAAAGAGUUAGGGAAGAGAGAGUGCAAACACGAGACUUUAUAGUGGUUCGACACUUCUUUGCCUACGUCCACUCUCCUCAACCUCCUAACCAAGUGAGGGUUCCACUAUCUUGAAGCUUCAACCAAGCUUCCAAUCUCUUUACAAUUGGAUUAUGGUUCCAAUUCAUCUUCUUGGACUUUUGGCUCCAAGCACCCUUUACACUUCUCAAGAGUUAUCGCACUCUUGAACAACCUCUUAAGUGAUACCCCUCACUUGAGAAAAUUCCUCUCAAAGAUAUACAAAGAUUGAUCUCACAAAAAUCCUAGUAAUAGAACUUUAGGCUCAAAGAUACAAGAAAAACUAGGAUUGAAUGGUGCAUUAAAGAUAUGCAAGUUAUGAAACAAUGGUGCACUCAAAAACACUCUUCCAAGGCUCAAAUAUAUUCAAGAAUGAUUUGGGAAGGUUAAGCUUUUGAAACAAUGAAGUUUGGAGCUUUUUUAUAGAAGAAAAAAGUUAAACUAGCCGUUGGGGGUUCGACCGGUCGAGCUAGGGGUCGACCGGUUGACUAACCGUUAGGAAAAGUGACUGUUGGGCCUCAACCGGACCUCAACCGGUUGAGGUUCAACCUUGACCAGGAAAAGAAGGCCAUUGGGAGAGAGAGAAGCUUUUUGGCCUCUCUCAACCGGUCAACCGAUUGAACCGAUUGAGCCAUUUUUUGGCUCAACUCUCAACCUUUUUCAACUUAAAACCUUUUAACACAAGUUUGAAAAUCAUUUAACAUAAGGUUUUAGUUGAAAACAUGAAAUCAUCCAAUUUUUAAGAUAUUUAAAACAAUAUUACUCUUGGAUGAUUUUGGUGCAUAAAUAAAGAAUGAAAUGCAUGAAAGUCCUAGUGCACCAACAACCUUACAAAGAGAUCUUAAGAAGCUUUGGUCUUGAAAAACUCUUCUCCUUGAGGUGGUCUUCUUCUUCAUGAUUUUUCCUUGGCUUGAUUUGUCUUUGGAUUGUCACUUUGGAAGUCGUCUUGCCUAAUCACACUUGAAAUAUGAUCAUUAGUUCUAAACUUUGUUUUCUUAUCAUCAAAAUCAAGAUUAACCAAACCUUGGUUUCACAGUUAGCAAUGACUUUGACCUACGAGUGAGAUUGUAAGCUGGUCAUAUAUUCCUUAUGGAUUGGGUCACUAUUGAUGAAAGUCGGUAGCAAUAGGUAUUCUUAAUAAAGGAAUCAUGAUAUCUCAUGGGAUUGAGAUAGUGUGUCACCUUGGGUGAUCCUAAGAAGGUGUGUUCAUGGAAACCAUGGUCUUUAUAGUUCCUUAAGUGGAACUUGACACAGGCUCUUUAAGAGCUAAGACAUGUUAGUUAAAUGCACAAUAGGAGGAUCUGUAACUCAAAGAUAGUAGAGGUAGUCUUGAAAGGCCAAUAACUUUCACCUUGUUAGACUACAAACACUAGGUCAUGGGGAGACUAAAAGCAAUGGAUAGCAUAUCAUGGAUUCGAGUAUGUUAUGUCUUGUUGUUUUUUAUACAGGAUACUAGAGUUUAGUGAAUUCUCUAUAGUGGGAUUUUGAAUCAACUUUAGAAUUGGAUUAUGAGGAAGGGAACUAAUACUCAUAUGGAUCUUAGUGGUUCAUACUCUAAGCUUAUAUACCUUGUUGGCACGGAAUAUGAGGGUCAAAUUGACUCUAGGUUACUUUUGUGCAAAAGGGGAUUUUGGUAAUUACAUAAGGUUGCACAGAGGAAAGUGAACAAGGUAUCUGGAUUGAUUUAAUUGAUUAAUUAGUAGGCCCUAUUGGGUUAAUUGAUCAAUUAGGAUCCAUUUUGGGCUAGAUUAAGUGACCUAAACCUAUGUGGGCUCAAGUCACUUAAGUCCAAUUAGAACCCUAUAAAUACCCCUUAGACGUUAGGGUUUCAUCACUUUUUUCUUCCACCACCCAGAGAGAAAGAGAGCUAUAGCCUCCACCUCAUUUCCUCCCCAUCAGAAGUGUGUUAAGAACAAGGUUGAGUUAGUGGACGAAAGAUCAUGGGUUUACAAGACUUCCAACAACUUUAAGGUCAUCUUCACCACUUGGAAUUUAAGGUUUGAGAACAUCCAAACUUAAAGGUUAGUACUUAACCUUAAAAGAUUAAUUUUAAAAAAUUGGUAUUGCUUUUAUUGCUUAGAUCUAAGAUGCCAACAUUAAAAAGUAGUCUAACAACAUAAUUGAUAUCUCUAACACUCCAACAUUUCUACUACUAAAGACAUCAACAAGAUGCACAUGACCAAAACGCUUAGACAAUAAGUUGACCUUACAACAUUUUUCUAUUAUAGGCCUUUUUUUUUAUUAAAGUAUUGAAGAUACAAAAAAACUUGUAAGCAAAGGGUUUGUUUUUUUUUUUUUUAGUGUUAUUUAUUUUUAAAGAACAUGUAUUAACCGAUGUAAAAUAGAAUGAUAAAAAAGAUUAUCACCACUUACAAGUCAAGAUAAGUGGUUCAAUAAGAGAUCCUAUACUUUAUAUUUCCUUUUCAAUUAAACAAAGUAGAAAAUCCCAUCUAUUGUAAAGAGGACCUGGGAAAUUUUGAUACCAUGUGGCUUUUCCUCAGUCAUUUGCUUGGAAGUGUAGGUUAUAGGAUUUCACAUACAUACAAACUAGUAUGGGUCAUGCAUGCCUUUUCUUCUUAGAGGUAAGUGUUCACAUUAUUGUUGGGAUAGAGCCUUUAAAAAGAAAACAAGAUAUAACAAAUAAGAUUUUAGUUUUCACUAUUCUAUUUAUAUUUAUGCUUAUUUGAGGAUUCAAACUUGUAUCACUUGCAUUUUAUACAACUUGGUGCAUUAUGAGUUGCAUAAAAGAUCCAAAUCAUGAGUUCCUUGCAAGUUGAUAAUUUGUUCAUAACUAAUUCAUAAACUUGGGUAAUUCAUUUAAAAAUAUAAUGCACUACUUCCUAAUUGAAAGGAAGAAUUGUCUUGAUUAUUAGGAUAAAUAUUCAACAGUGAAUGCACUAUGUGUAUGACUACAUAUUGAACAAGAAACUGUAGUGAAUCAUGACAUUAGCUAUUGGAUAGUCAUGAUUUUACCAAUCUACUAUGUUGCAUGGACUCUCAACCUUAAUGUAGACCCUCCAUUUUGUCCUCCUAGCUCAUGUCCUAUUAGGUAUUUGUUCGAUACUUUACGACAAUUCCCUGAUGGCUUAUUACUACUCGUGUAGCCUAUCUUUUUUAAGUCACCUUGAGGACUUUGGUUGAGAGAUUUAUCUAACCCCAUUGUGGCUCUUGGCAGUCCUAAUUUAGCCUUAGGCCCACUUAGGCACCAUCUUAGGCCCACUUAGGCAUCCUAGGCCCACUUAGGCAUCCUAGGCCCAUUUAGAUACAUUUAGGUCCAUUAGGCACCACAUUAGGCCCACUUAGUACACCUUAGGCCCAUUAGGCACCACCCUAGGCCCACUUAGGAACCACCUUAAGCCCACACUCUAGGCUCAUUUAGGCAUACUUGGCCCAUUAGGCACCACCUUAGGCCCACUUAACCACACUAGGCACACUUAGGCACCCUAAGCCCACUUAGGCAUCCUAGGCCCAUUUAGAUACACUUAGGCCCAUUAGGCACCACCUUAGGCCCACUUAACCACACUAGGCCCACUUAGGCACCCUAAGCCUACUUAGGCAUCCUAGGCCCAUUUAGAUACACUUAGGCCCAUUAGGCACCACCUUAGGCCCACUUAGUACACCUUAGGCCUAUUAGACACACUUGGCCCAUUAGGCACCACCCUAGGCCCACUUGGGCACCCUAGGCCUAUUUAGGCACACUUGGCCCAUUAGGCACCACCCUAGGCCCUUUUAGACACACCUGACCCAUUAGGCAUCACUCUAGGCCCACUUAGUACACCUUAGGCCCAUUAGACACACUUGGACCAAUAAACACACCUGGCCCAUUNNNNNNNNNNNNNNNNNNNNNNNNNNNNNNNNNNNNNNNNNNNNNNNNNNNNNNNNNNNNNNNNNNNNNNNNNNNNNNNNNNNNNNNNNNNNNNNNNNNNUAGACACACUUGGCCCAUUAGACACACCUGGCCCAUUAGGCACCACCCUAGGCCCACUUAGGCACCACCUUAGGCCUAUUUAGGCACACUUGGCCCAUUAGGCACCACCUUAGGCCCACUUAGGCACCCUAGGCCCAUUAGGCACCACCUUAGGCCCACUUAGACAUCCUAUGCCCACUUAGGCACCCUAGGCCCAUUUAGGCACCCUAGGCCCAUUUAGGCACCUUAGGUCCAUUUAGAUCAUUUUUUGCAUGAAUGCAUGGUUUGCAUGGCUUGCAUGGUUGCAUAGCUCAUAUGGCUUGCAUGUGUUUGAUUUUGUUUUUGUUUUUUUAUUUCUUUCUAUUUAUUAGUUUUAUUCAUUUAUUUACUUAUUUUUAGAAAAUUGCAUGAGCUUAAUAAUCAUAUUCAUUUUGUUUUUAUUUAUCUAUUUAUUAAUUUAUUUUGAUAGAGAGUUGCUUGAGUUCAUAAUUCAUUUUAAGUUAUGCAUGUGAUCUCUAUUUUUUAAUUUCGUUUAAAAGUGCAUAUUUUGGAUUUUUAAUUCUUAGUUGCAUGUUUCUUUUAUUAUUAUUAUUAUUCUAACCCUUAGUUUUCUUUUAUUUGUAUUUUUAUUUUCCUUUUAUUUUAUUUUUUUAUUAUUUUUUUUGCAUGGAUCCAACAUGCUCCAUAAAAGAAAAGGAAAGACACCAUUAGAAAGGAAAGAUGGAGGCACCUAGUAAUUGGAGAGAGAGUAAGAGAGAAAAGGAAAGACACCAUUAAGAGGAAAGAUGGAGACAACCGGUGGAUUGGAGAGAGAGUAAAAGAGAAAAGGAAAGACACCAUUAAGAGGAAAGAUGGAGACAGUCGGGUGAUUGGAGGGAGAGGAAGAGAGAAAAGGAAAGGCAAAAGAAAAAAUGAAUGAUUGGAAGGGAUUGAGGAUGAUUUGAAAGUGGGAAGAAAGACCUUUCUUGCUGUGUUUUCCAUCACCGUGGCUGGAGAGGGGUCUGACGGAGUGAUUGAGAAAAGAUUAAGGAAAAAAUGAAGAAUGACGCACGAAUGAAGGGCAGUAGUGGCAUCAUUCUGGAGAGAGAGGGUUAAGGGGCAUUUCAGAAGGAUUAUUUUUGGAAGUUAGACUGUCAUUUUUUCAAGGGAGGAAUCAGUCCGUGUUUGAAAAAGGGCAUUUGGGGUUGCUGUUUGAGGAGGAAUCAGUCCAGGUUUUAGAGGGGAUUCAAGCUGCUGUUUUGGAACCCACAUACGUGACUGUUUGUUGAUAUUCACCAGCUAUUCACCCCGUGAUGGAAAAAAAUAGUAUAUACCUACCUUGUUGAAUCGGGCGGAGUAGAUGGGCAGCCGCAUCAUUCUGGGAGAAGGAGUCUAACUGAGUAAAAAAAAAAAUGGUGAUAAAACACUGAGGAAGAAAAGAAAAGAGAGAGCACCAUUGAAAAACAAGAUCGACAGCUGCACCAAGGGAGAAAAUAGAGAGAGGUGGUCUGAAAGGGGCUGGUUCUUUCUGUCGGUAGAGAAGUGCAAGGUGUAGCCACACCAUUGAAAGACAAGAACAGAUCCCCUUCCCCUUAAGGAAGAGCAAGAUCAUUUCUUCUGAAGAUGAGAAAGGCAGCCGCACCAUUGGGAGCAAUUUCGGAACAGUCGCACUGGUGAAGGAAGGAAAGAAAGGUACGUAUUAGAGAGAGAAAAGAAAGGUAGCCGCAUCAUUGAAAGGUUCCAACUAAGCCGUACUAUUGGAUGAGAGGAAGGUUCCAACUCAGCCGCACCAUUGAAGUCCCCCCAAGCACCCAGUUCUCACUGAGAUCAGUCCACAGAUAGUAGACUAAAAUUCCAUCAUCAUCUUCUCUCAACGCGGAUGGUCCCAUACAUUCAUCAUGUAAUCUGACUCGAAAAUUGCAACGGAGGAUCGUCGAAGACAUCAUGAAGACCGAUGUCGGAGUGUCUCAAAGGAGUUUUGGGUGACGAAACAGAGGUCACGAGUAAUUGUAGGGACCCCGCCCUCUGAGAACACGUGGCACGCAUCUGGCCGUGACACGUGGCAUGUAUCUUACAGUGACACAUGGCACGCAUUGUCAUCCGGGUCACCCUUAUCCGGACCUUCUUAUAAAGCACACAUGGCGCACCUUGUAUAUCCGGACUGCCUCAAGGAAGAGCAAACGACGCUUACAAAGCAUAGGCAUCCGGACGACUUCCAUAAAUACGUCCGCUCCACAAUACAUCCGGAUAACCAACAAGGGCUAUCCGGAUAUGAUUGUCCGGAUCAUUGACUAAAGUAAAGCGAGUCUUACACGCUAUUGCAACAAACCAGCCAUGGCCCACAUCCCAUCACAUGCAGAGUGAAAGGACGAGUUGAGGUGACAACAAGUCACUUCCCACGAUCAUUCUACAUGAUCACUUCCCACGAUCUCUAACAGCAGCAUCACCUACCAUGGUUUCUGACAGCCGCCAGUAGGGUGGCGAUGACCAUGCUGCCUCCGAAUGUCAUCAUGACAAACAUAAAAUAUCUCCUCGCCAUUAAUGAGAGGAACGAUAUUUCUGGCACUAUAUAUGAACCUUCGCAUAGAGAAGAAGGUAAUCUCCUGAUACCUAAAAAAAGGCCAACUGAUUUAUAUCUCCCUCUCUAACCAUGGCUAACAAAACCAUCGGAGGGUGCGUCCGGACACCUUGUCUGGAUGUCUUUUGCAGGUAUAACGACUGAAUCAAGAACCUAUUUUGGUUGAGGUCGCGCAUCCAUCCAUUUGGCAACUACGUGGAACCCCAGGAGCGCGAGGUAUGAACAUUGGCGCCGUCUGUGGGAAGUUUUUUCGUUUGAUUCAGUCACUGACAAAGAUGGCUACGCCUUCCCGAAGCCGUUCAUCUGGUAGGGGAGAUGAUGAUAAUUUUGAAUGGCGCCUAGCCAUCGAAAGGAGACAGUUGGCAAGCGAAAGACAACUGAAAGCUCUCCUCCAGGAGACAAAAAGAUUGAGAGAAGAAAACGCUGUAUUACGCAUCCAGGCUUCAACAUCAGGGCCUCCUCGACGUCAGCGUUCAAGGGGCCAAGUAGCAAACUCAAGGCCUCAACAAGAACCAGAAUCAAUAUAUCCUGGGACAACAGGAGCUAUCCCAGGAGCAUGCAACGUAAGACCUCAUGAGCCACGCACGCCUAUGCCUCAAGUUCCCCAUGAGGAAAGCUCAGACUCUACUCACUUUUCAGCGAAAAGACAACGUGAUAAAAAAUCCCAGUUGUCAAAUUCGAUGCGCGCAAAACUAGGCCCACAAGAACCUGGAAGAUCAAGGCCACCAAUGGCCACAACCUGGGCACCACGCCCUGACCCCAUGGCCAUUCCCAUGGUGCAAAACGUUCACCCGCAUCGUGACCCCGUAGUCACCCCCGUGAUGCGGAACGUUCAUUCGCACCCAGCGGAACAACCAACUGGGAGAAACAUCCCCAACGAGCCACCCAUUGGCUCCAUCAGCAAAAGGCUGGAUGACAUGCUCUCCACGCCUUUCUGCUCUCAUAUCGUUAAUUACGAGCCCCCAAGGGAAUUCCUAGUACAAAAAUUUUCCACAUACGAUGGAACCAACGAUCCCUUUGAUCACAUCAUGCAUUAUCGACAGCUCCUGACGCUCGAUAUUGGCAACGAUGCACUAUUAUGCAAAGUAUUUCCCGCCAGUCUACAAGGACAGGCCCUCUUAUGGUUUCAUCGCCUACCCUCCAACUCUGUUGGCAAUUUUAGGGAUCUGUCCGAAGCUUUCGUGGGACAAUUGUGCUUCGCUCGACACAAGCAAAAUAUCAGCACCCUGCAGAACAUAAAAAUGCAAGAUAACGAAUCCUUGAGAGAAUUCGUGAAGCGAUUUGGCCAAGCCGUGCUUCAAGUAGAGGCUUGUAGUAUGGAUGCUGUCCUACAGAUCUUCAAGCGAAGCAUCUGUCCAGGCACUCCAUUUUUCGAAUCACUGGCUAAAAAACCUCCUACAACAAUGGAUGAUUUAUUCAGGCGCGCCAACAAAUAUUCAAUGCUCGAAGAUGACGUACAUGCAGCCACCCAACAAGUUUUGGUUGCCGAACGGCCAUUUAGAAGUAAUGCGGAGAGAAAUACUAAACCUCUGGAUCGGCCAAAGCCGUCUGACCGAAGGCAGGAAGGGCCAAGUCGCCCGGAAAUGCCGCCUCCCACACCUCUUUCCAUAUCAUAUGAGAAACUUCUCCCAAUGAUCCAAGGCUUGUCCGACUUCAAGUGGCCUAGACCCAUUGGAACGGACCCAUCCAUAAGGGAUCGUAGUAGGAGAUGUGCCUUCCACAAGGAUCAUGGCCAUACAACAGAGACAUGUUGAGCUUUCCAGUUUCUGGUCGAGAGGCUCAUAAAAGCAGGACAUUUGAAGCAAUACCUCCGAUCAGAUAAUGAAGGAAGGGACGCAUCCCAACAUCACAACCCUGGGGCCCCUAGGGCCCCAGCUGCCCCCAAGGUCGUUAUAAACUAUAUUAACGGAGGUCCAUCUGACGAGGAGUACGACUCUAGGCGAAAGAGACAAAAAUUGUUGCGGGCCGCAUCAAUACGCGAACGCAUCAAUUCCAUCCGGCCUGGGCUAACUGGAGGGGGCCCUCGCCCCAUAGAUGGGACAAUCAUUUUCCCGCCAGUAGAUCCCACCCGGACACUACAACCACAUCGCGACGCCCUCAUCUUGUCCCUGGAAAUUGGGGACUUCGAUGUGCGGUGUAUCUUGGUUGACCCAGGCAGUUCAGCCGAUCUUGUGCAAGCAUCAGUCGUUGGCCACAUGGGACAUAGUCUCACAGGCCUCGAAAACCCUGGACGAAUCCUAUCCGGAUUCAACGGGUCUUCAACUACAUCCUUGGGAGACAUUGUACUGUCGGUCCAAGCUGGCCCAGUCACUCUCAACGUACAAUUCUCGAUGGUACAAGAGUUAUCACCCUUCAAUAUCAUCUUGGGGCGCACAUGGCUACACUACAUGAAAGCCAUUCCCUCUACAUAUCAUCAAAUGGUGAGUUUCCUCACCAACGAGGGGCAGAUUGACCUGUAUGGCAGCCAGUUAGCCGCUCGCCAAUGCUAUCAAAUAGCACGAGAAGCAGGGGCCAACCAGGAGGAUGCAUCUCCCCCUGAACCCAGCAUUACACAUGACCAAUAGCAAUUAUUGGGUCCGGCGGACAAAGAUCCCCCGGCAGCAGAUCCCUUACAAACAAUCCAAAUUUCGAAGGAAAACACUCACCUCACAAACAUCAGCUCCCUCAUGACAACCGAAGAAACUCAGAGCAUGCAAAACAUUCUCAGACAAAAUCAUGACAUCUUCGCAUGGGCACAUUCUGAUAUGAAGGGAAUUCAUCCCUCUAUUGCAUCUCAUAGGCUUAACGUCUUUUCAACUGCCAGACCCGUCCGGCAGAAAAUUAGGCGCUUUCACCCGGAUAGACAAAAAGUCAUCCGGAAUGAGAUUGACAAAUUGCUCGAAGCCAGAUUCAUCAGAGAAGUUUCUUAUCCGGAUUGGUUGGCAAACGUAGUGGUGGUACCCAAAAAAGAAGGAAAAUGGCGAGUUUGUGUAGACUAUACCAAUCUCAACAAUGCAUGUCCAAAAGACAGUUUUCCCUUGCCACGAAUAGAUCAGAUUGUGGAUUCCACUUCCGGGCAAGGGAUGCUCUCUUUCUUGGAUGCCUUCUCCGGAUAUCAUCAAAUCCCCAUGUCCCCGGAUGACGAAGAAAAGACAACAUUCAUAACGCCACACGACCUCUAUUGCUACAAAGUCAUGCCAUUCGGACUCAAAAAUGCUGGUGCCACUUAUCAAAGAUUGAUGACUAAAAUCUUCAAACCUCUGAUAAGCCACACGGUAGAGGUAUAUAUUGAUGAUAUCGUGGUUAAAAGCAAAACCCGAGAGCAGCAUGUCCUUCACUUACAAGAAUUUUUUCACCUCUUACGAAAGUAUGACAUGAAGCUAAAUCCUUCUAAAUGCGCCUUUGGCGUAAGUGGUGGCAAAUUUUUGGGAUUUAUGGUCAGCCAAAGGGGCAUAGAAGUCAGCCCGGAUCAAGUCAAGGCAGUCAUGGAAACACCCCCUCCCAGGAACAAGAAGGAGUUACAGCGACUCACAGGCAAGCUCGUCGCACUAGGGCGUUUUAUAGCCCGCUUCACUGAUGAAUUGCGACCCUUCUUCUUGGCAAUACGAAAAGCUGGAGCACACGGAUGGACGGACAGUUGCCAAAACGCUUUCGAAAAGAUUAAGCAUUGUCUUAUGCAACCACCCAUCUUGAGCAGCCCCAUCCCAAAGGAAAAAUUGUACAUGUAUCUGGCGGUAUCAGAAUGGGCAAUCAGCGCCGUUUUAUUCCGCUGCCCCUCACCCAAGGAGCAGAAAUCUAUCUACUACGUCAGCAGGGCAUUGGUAGAUGUAGAAACCAGAUAUUCAAAAAUGGAGCUAAUAGCCUUAGCCCUUCGAAGCGCUGCCCAGAAGCUCUGCCCCUAUUUCCAAGCUCACCCAGUGAUCGUACUAACUGAUCAGCCCCUGAGAAACAUUCUGCACAAGCCAGAUUUAACCGGGAGAAUGUUACAGUGGGCCAUCGAAUUAAGCGAAUUUGGAAUCGAAUUCCAACCCAGAUUGUCCAUGAAAGGCCAAGUAAUGGCUGACUUCGUGCUAGAAUAUUCCCAAAGACCCAACCAACACCACGAAUCAAGUAAACAAGAAUGGUGGACUCUGCGAGUUGAUGGAGCCUCACGCUCAUCAGGCUCUGGAGUUGGGCUCCUACUAUAGUCCCCAACUGGGGAACAUUUGGAGCAAGCCAUCCGGCUGGAAUUCUCUGCCUCUAACAAUGAAGCAGAAUAUGAGGCCAUCUUGUCCUGAUUGGACCUCGCCCUUGCUCUAUCCGUCUCCAAACUCCGGAUCUACAGUGACUCACAACUCGUGGUAAAGCAUGUCCAGGAGGAAUAUGAGGCUAAGGGCGCAUGCAUGGCGCGAUACUUAGCUAAAGUAAGAGACACCUUGCAGCAAUUCACCGAAUGGACAAUAAAAAAAAUCAAGCGAGCUGACAAUAGGCGUGCUGACGCCUUGGCCGGCAUAGCUGCCUCCCUCCCCAUCAAAGAAGCCAUUCUAUUGCCUAUACAUGUGCAACUCAACCCGUCUGUCGCAGAAAUUUCCACCUGUAACACUAUUAAAGCAAACCAAGCGGACGAUCAAGAAUGGACGUAUGACAUCACAGAAUAUAUCCGGACAGACACUCUACCCGGAGAUCUCAAACAGGCACACAAAGUCCGGGUGCAAGCUACCCGUUUCACCCUGAUUGGGGGACACCUGUACAAGCGAUCCUUCACAGGACCUUACCUCCGGUGCCUAGGACAUUCGGAGGCCCAGUAUGUGUUAGCUGAGUUGCAUGAGGGAAUAUGCGGAAAUCAUUCGGGAGGACGAUCUCUGGCACAUAGAGCUCAUUCACAAGGAUAUUAUUGGCCAACAAUGAAGAAAGACGCGGCAGCAUAUGUCAAAAGAUGUGAUAAAUGUCAAAGGUAUGCUCCCAUUCCGCAUAUGCCGUCAGCAACAUUAAAUUCAAUAUCAGGCCCAUGACCCUUCGCACAAUGGGGCAUGGACAUAGUGGGACCUCUCCCAACUGUACCUGCCCAAAAGAAAUUUUUGCUCGUUGCCACAGAUUAUUUCAGUAAGUGGUUGGAAGCUGAAGCAUAUGCUAGCAUCAAAGACAAAGAUGUCACCAAGUUCGUAUGGAAAAACAUUGUUUGCUGUUUUGGAAUCCCCCAAACCAUCAUAGCUGACAAUGGUCCACAAUUUGACAGUAUUGCAUUCAGGAAUUUCUAUUCAGAAUUGAACAUCCGGAAUUCAUACUCCUCACCACGAUAUCCUCAAAGUAAUGGGCAAGCAGAAGCUACAAACAAGACCCUAAUCACUGCCUUAAAGAAAAGGCUUGAACAAGCCAAAGGGAAAUGGGUCGAGGAGCUACCCGGCGUCCUAUGGGCCUACCGAACCACACCCAGACGACCAACAGGAAACACUCCUUUCGCCCUCGCAUAUGGAAUGGAUGCAGUCAUUCCUACUGAAAUAGGUCUUCCUACUGUCCGGACUGACGCAACAAAGCAGAAUGAUGCAAACGUGGAAUUAGGAAGAAAUUUGGAUUGGGCAGAAGAAGUGAGGGAAAGCGCAGCCAUCCGGAUGGCGGACUAUCAACAAAGAGCAUCCGCCCACUACAAUCGCAAAGUAAGGCCCAGAAGCUUCAAAAAUGGUAUGCUAGUCCUUAGAAAAGUUUUUGAAAACACUGCUGAAGUGGGUGCAGGGAAAUUCCAACCUAACUGGGAAGGACCCUAUAUAAUGUCUAAGGCAAGUGAAAGUGGGGCCUAUCAUUUACAAAAGUUAGACGGAACUCCAUUACUUAGACCAUAGAAUGUGUCCAAUUUAAAACAGUACUAUCAAUAAAAAAGAGAGACAAGUACAAAUAGAAGAAAAAGACAUAUUUUAUUGAUAUGUAUCAGUGAAUGUACAAAGAAGUCUCCGGACCACGAAAAUACAAAAAGAAAAUUACAGCAAAAAGUUGCAAAAAGACAAAAGCUAUCAGGGAGCAGCCUUAAAAUUUCUUCUCUUCACCCGGAGGAAUUGAAGGGACAUCCCGCUUUAUGCCAUUCUUCUUCAUACAGCAGCGAUAGCCAAAGAUGAAGGUGUCAUCCACUUGUUUUUGGUAGUCCGCUUCAAGUUCCUCCCUCUCUGCAGCAAACUCCCGUUCUAGCUCUUCUUUUUGCGUUGUUAAGCGCAGCUGCAAAUCUUCUUUUUGCUUCUUUUCAAUAGAAGCCUCGGUCCGGAGUUGCCUCAUCUCCCCCCGCAGCCGGACCAUCUCAUCCUUUGCCUCAUGCAGGCGGGCCUCCAUUGAUUCCUCCCGGCUCUUUGCAUCAGCCAAAUCUGCCCGGAGGGCCUCAUUCUCCCCCCGAGCGGUGGAUAAGCUGGCUUCGGCCUCCCCCAGUCUCAGGCGCAACUGAUCUUCAGUAUCUUUGUGCCGAGCGGCGAAGGCCUUCAUAUAAUCAGUGGUCCGCAGCAGGUCAGUGAAAAGAUCGUAUUGAUUGGCCAUGCCACGGAGACCACUCACCAGCUGCAGGCAAACAGACAAACGAGAGAAGCAAAGUUAGAAAUCACACCACAAACACACAACACAAUGACAAAGAAUCAAAAAGCACAAAAAUAGUAUACCGAUUCCACCAUCUCGAACAUCUUGGCUGAAGGCAUGGCAGUAGUCAAGCCGGGUGGAAUCUGUUUCAGCUUAUCUUCCAACUCUGCGUAGCUAAAAGGGCUAGCGGAGAUGCAAGCCGCGUCAUUAACAAGAUCCCCACCUGAUGAGGCGACAGAAGGCGACUCUUGUUCUGGAUGUGGGGCCUCAACAUUGCCGGACGGAUGGGUCUCCCCGGGUGCAACAUCAUCCGGGACCAUCAUCGGGGCGGCUGCAGUCUCAGUUGCCAUCUCUACUUCGCCCCCCUCCGGAUGAGCGUCGUAGGUGGAUGAGCAACUAACUUCGAUCUCUUGCUGACGAUCUUGAAGCCGCCCAAAGAGUCCGGACCUCAGAUUGUGCGCCGAGCGAGGCCUCUUUGAAGGUGGCCCCUUCACCAAAACAAGAGCCAGGCGGUCCAGAUCGUUAAGGGGCUGACUCUGGCUUUUUGCCCUUGCUUCCUCCAUCGGGGCCGCGCAGAUGGCUUCAACUGCAUCGACAUCCGGGGUAGGGGAGCCCGGAUGGUUGAUGGACGCAGCUUCAUCAGCCAAGUUAGCCAGUCGGGCAACCGUUGCCAAGGAGGUACCCGAGUGGUUCAGCCCCGCGACGUGUCCAAGUCCGCUUGAGAUGGAGUGGGGGGCAGGAUUCACUGGCUCCUCUAUUAUUACCUCUGCCUCGUGAGUAAUUGGCGGAGGAGAAAAUUCCUUGGGAGGAGUGGGCUCCUUCACUCCCUUCCCAUUCUUCACCAGCUUCCUCUUUUUCGCUGGAUCUUUAUUUACAGGAGAGGCUGCGCCGCGUUUCUGUCCGGGAGCCUUCCGAAGAGUCCUUUCGUUCUUUUUCUUCUCCCGAUUAUCCAGGAGUGCUCGACUUUUUUCAGCGUCAGCCUCUUUAGACUCCUGGUAGAUCAGGAGAUCCUUCACAGUAUAAUGCUCCCCAGACACUACCUCCUUUGGCAUUUUCCUGGGGAGAAUGUUGACGACAUACUCUUGGGACUCCCGGACAACCGCCAUCAGGUUCCGCGCGGUAAGCAGCGUCUUGUAGCACCUCUCCUUGGCGUCUAUCUCAAACAACUUAUUGAGACAGGCAAUAGACGUCUUCUCCACCCAAUCCACGAUGUGGCCCCUCCUUUCCGGACCUGCAUUGACAACAACAAAGACUGAGAAUACCAUCCGAAAAUAUCAACAAAGAUACAACAAGGUAAAAUCCGGACAACAGUCACAAAGCAAACUUACCCGGAAUCGCUAAAGAGUAGUUUGGAGAGAAGGGCCUCCCUGGACGCCCUGAGAACCCCGCCUAUCCACCCCGGACCGCCACGUGUCCCUUCGCCCCUCUCUUCGUAGAGUCUGGUAGUUCUGUCACCAAUUGAAGGGAGGGCAAGUGCGCGGACAUACUGAAAAUGUCAGUUUUCGCCUUCUUCAGCGAAUAGACGAAAAACACCUCCAGCAUAGUGAGGUCGAGGCUGUACAGCAUGUUUAUGAUGCUGCAUCCCAUCAGCACCCGGAUGAUAUUGGGAUGAAUGAAGACGGGUGGAAUCUUGGUAAAAUGCAGGAACUCCUUAAACAACGUCGGUAGAGGGAAGCGAAGCCCCGCGUUGAAUUGUUCCUUUGAGAAGAUAAUGGUAUUUUUCUCAAACUUCUCAGUCGAAGCAGGCACCUCCUCAUCAUUCAGUAGUUCCACAAUCACGCCAUUCGGGAUGCAGAACAGGUCCCGGAAUUCCUUCACAUCCAAUUUGUCGGUCGCUUUCUCACGGACAUCGCUGGCCCGGGAAGAUGAGGUAGCUUUCUUCUUUGAAGACAUUUUUUAGGCCGAGAUUGAACCGAAACCUACAUACAAGAAAUGCAACAGUCAAACAUAGCCAACCAACCCCACAAACCCUAAACAAUAACAACACUCAGAAAAAUCUCGCACCACCAAUAUACCCAUUCCAAAAAUCCUUGACUCUACUCCAACAAGAAACCCCCAACCCACAAAAACACAGGGGGGCAACGGUAACCCUUAAAACACCCAGUCACAAGCAACACUCGCCCAAACAAAUCAGCAACAAAUCAACAAACACCAAAGCGCAGAAAAGAAGAGAACAAGGCACAGAGAAUACGUACCGAAUGUAAGAGAAGAGCAAGGGUUGCAAAACCGCAAGACAAACACCGUCAAAACGCAAAUCACCGUCAGGAAAAUUCUGGAGUUUUACUCAGAAGAAAGCGAAGGUACGUACAAAGUUGAAGAAGAAAGCAAUCUCAGAAAAAAAUAGUAGGAAAAAAAGCAACAAUGGGCACAUCAUGCUAUUUAUAGGGAGACAAGCCCUCGGAAAACCAAACGCCCAAACAACGCCAUCAUUGAAACGACAUGCUGCCUGGGAAUACCCAGAGUCGGCGGCUCAUUAUAAAUGCCUUUCUUGGCUCCCGCACCCCCACUCGCCACGUGGCCCAACCAGACGAAAGGUCGACUUCGGUUUCAAAAACCAAUUAUUUUUUAACCUGCCCAUUUUUUCUAAGGCAAAAUAGGCAAGUUAAAAAAUGAGGGCAUUGUAGGGACCCCGCCCUCUGAGAACACGUGGCACGCAUCUGGUUGUGACACGUGGCAUGUAUCUUACAGUGAUACAUGGCACGCAUUGUCAUCCGGGUCACCCUCAUCCGAACCUUCUUAUAAAGCACACAUGGCGCACCUUGUAUAUCCGGACUGCCUCAAGGAAGAGCAAACGACGCUUACAAAGCCUAGGCAUCCGGACGACUUCCAUAAAUACGUCCGCUCCACAAUACAUCCAGAUAACCAACAUGGGCUAUCCGGAUAUGAUUGUCCGGAUCAUUGACUAAAGUAAAGUGAGUCUUACACGCUAUCGCAACAAACUAGCCAUGGCCCACGUCCCAUCACCUGCAGAGUGAAAGGACGAGUUGAGGUGACAACAAGUCACUUCCCACGAUCAUUCUACAUGAUCACUUCCCACGAUCUCUGACAGCAGAAUCACCUACCAUGGUUUCUGAUAGCCGCCAGUAGGGUGGCGAUGACCAUGCUGCCUCCGAAUGUCAUCAUGACAAACAUAAAAUAUCUCCUUGCCAUUAAUGAGAGGAACGGUAUUUUUGGCACUAUAUAUGAACCUUCGCACAGAGAAGAAGGUAAUCUCCUGAUACCUAAAAAAAGGCCAACUGAUUUGUAUCUCCCUCUCUAACCAUGGCUAACAAAACCAUCGGAGGGUGCGUCCGGACACCCUGUCCGGAUGUCUUUUGCAGGUAUAACGACUGAAUCAAGAACCUAUUUUGGUUGAGGUCGCGCAUCCAUCCAUUUGGCAACUACAUGGAACCCCAGGAGCGCGAGGUAUCAACAGUAAUCUCUGAUGCUUACAUCCCAACAGAGUCCACCAGCGAUAUCAUCUCCAUUUCUGAAAGGAGGACGCACCACCGUCAUUAGAGACCUGUACCAGCACACCACCUCGGAUCAUGCCGUACACAUUCAGGUUGCUUGGAAGCAUCACAACCGGCUAGGUUGAUCCUCUACUUGUCCUUCACUGCACCAGCCACACACUAUCAGUUUGCUUUGGGAGCAUCAUAGCCGGCUAGGUUGAUUCUCUACUCGUUCUUCACUACACCAGUUGCACACCACCUUGCCUUGGUAGCAUCACAACCGACUAGGUAAGUUAGUUUAUUUUUAUAUAGUCUUUCAAGAGAAUUUAAGGUUUAGUUUAUUUCCACUUUGGAUUAUUAUAUUGAGUUGAGUGGGUUGACUUAUUCUAUUAGUUUCAGCAUAUGUUUGUUUUAAUAUGGCAACAUGAAUCUCACUCUUGUUUAAUUUUGAUUUAUUACAUUAAAAAUUAGAUUUGUGUUUAAAGUUAGUUUUGAUUUAUCGUAUUAAAUUCAAAAAAUACAAUUUUAUGUAAUUUUUACUUUGAGAAAAAAAACUAUAUAAUUUGAUAUCUAUUUAAUUCAGUUUUGAUUCAUUUAAUUAUUAUUUAUUUAUUUAUUUAUUUGCUACUAAUUUAAUGAUUCGUUAUUUAGUUAUUUAUUUAUUAAUAAGAUUGAUGCUAUGGGUUAAAGAUUCAGUUUCCAAAAAAAAUAAAAAAUAAAAAUUCUAUUUUGGGUAGUUUGAUUCAACUUUAGGUUUAAGUAAAAUUUUAGUUUGUCGAAAUGAUUGAUCUUAUGUGUUAAAUAUUAGAUUUUAGACUUGCCUUAGUUAGGGUUAAAAAAACGUUUGUUAAACUUAGAUUUUAUUUUAGUAAUGUAAGUUUAUUUAAAAAGUUAGUUCCAUGAGUUCGUAUUUUGUUUUAGUUAUAUGUAUUUAUUCACGCGCUAUCUAUUUAUUUAUUUAUUAAUAAGAUUAAUUUUAUAGGUUAGAAAUUUAGUUUUAAAAUUUGUUUUGGAUAGUUUUCAAUUUAAUUUUGGGUUUAAGUGAAAUUUUUGCUCGUUAAAAUAGUUAAUAUUAAGUGUUAAAUAUUUGAUCUUAGGAUUACCAUAAUUAGUGUUUAAUUCAUUUUGAGCUUAGAUUUCAUUUUAAUAAUGUAAAUUUAUUUAGGAAGCUGAUUCCAUGAAUUCAUAUUUUGUUUUAGUUUGCUUUCAUUUAAUUUGAUUCAUUUUAAUUAUUUUAGGUGUUUUUUUUUUUUAUAAUUUUAAGUUAUUAAUAAAAUCAAUUCUAUAUUAGCAGGUGCCUAUGUUGAGUUUAUUCUAAUUUAGCUUCACUCAUCUAUUCAAUUUAGGUAUUUUCUAUAAUGUUAGCUCACUAAUAAAAUUAAUUCUAUGAUUGAGAAUUCAUGUUUGCCCUGAUUUAAUUUGGUCCAUUUUAAUCAGUCUAGAUAUGUUUGUGUGUUUAAUUGAUCACGUGCUAAUUCUUGAUUAUUACUCUUAAUUAAUAUGUUUCUUGAAUAUUAGUCAUCAAUUUAAUUGAUUUAAGUUUGAAUAGUUUAUUGCUUUGGUGGUCUCUGGUGAUUGUUAUUCUCAAUUGACGUGUUUCUUGAAUAUUAGUCAUGCAUUCUUGGUGGGUAUUUCGUUACCUUAUUUGAUCUAAGUUUGAAUAGUUUAUUGCUUAGGUAGUCUCUAGUAAAAUUUACCUUUCAGAGGCCAUCGAAAAAUAGUGAAGAUUGGCCUCCAUUCUCACCACUUUAGUUUGCUCGGUUGUAAAGAAAAAAAAAAUUGUUUUGUGAUUUUGUUUUUCUUUUGUUUCACUUGGUAGUUUGUUUCUCGUGUUUUGUUGUUUUCAGAUUAAUUUCUUUUAUUUUAAAAUAAAAUAAUUUUCUCAAAAUAUUCCUCAUAAAAGUCCAUUUUAAAAAUCCAUUUAGAGUCCUUAGAAUCGAAAUCUCAUUUUCUUAAGUAAUAUGCAACCAUGUUUUGGUCGAUUUGCAUCCUCCUCAGUUUUCAAUAAAAAUUUUGGUUUUGAGUGGAAUACGAAUUCAAGCUUGUAGUCCCAAACAAAUGGGAUAAUUCUAGGCUAGAUUUGUGUAUAUUAAUUGGGGAAUUGGUGAAACCCCUACAUAAGAAAAUCUUUUCAAGACUUAUUUUUGCUACCACCUUUGCUACUUGUUAUAAUCAUAAUUAUAUCUAUUUUUUCUAGGAAUUGUAUGCAAGAAUAUGCAUGCGAUAAUUGAUGAUUUCGUAUAUUUUGAUCAUUUUUGCUAGAAUAAUUAGAUAACAAGCAUGCUAGGAUUUCUUAUUUUAUUAUUUAUUGUCUAACCCCUCAUGCCUUGUGGAAGCACAUUAUAAGUUAUUCAUGCUAUCCAAGUACGUCCUCUAUCACCCACUUUCUAAAUUCUAUAAAUAUGCUUGUCAUUGUGAACUAUGCCUAUGUUUGGUAGUGAUAGGGUGUCUUGAUACCUAUUUCAUUGUUUGAUUAUUUUUUAUAAAGCACAUGUUGAGUGAUAUACUAUUUAAACUAACUUUGAUGUCUUGUGAUAACGUUUAAGAAGUAGUCCAGGUAUGCACCCUAAAUCUCUUUUAUGAUCAUGAUUUGAAUUUUCUUGUUUAGCGUGCUAUUUUUUUGAAAUCACCUCACUCUAUCUAAGUACCCUUAAUCAACCAAUUAAUUGCCACAUUCCUCUCAACUUAGUCAGUAGAGACCUCUUUUUAGAGGGGUGAUACCUCUUAGAGGUACCUUCCCAAUAGGUAACCUGAUCCCUGGACCUAGACUCGGGUUUUUCAAAGACUCGCUUUUCCAAAAACUAUGGAGUCACUUCUUUAGGGUUUUUCUUUCUUGUUUUAUUUUCCCUUUAAAAUAAAAAUAAAAUAAGUGGCGAGUCCGAAUUUUCCAAAACUAAAAUUUUUCACCAAUAAAAAGAGAGUCAUGUCGAUCGAGUAGGGGCACACAUGAGAAAUGCGGGUCCACAAAUUGGCGACUCCACUAGGGAUUUUGAGGAUCAAGCUUCAACACUAGUUGAGAAAAAUGUUGCGUUUAAUUAAUCGAUUAGAGAGUACCUCAUUUUUUUUAGGCAAGGUGAUUUAGUUUACUUGCUUGAUGGGUUUGCUAUCUUAACAUGUCUUUAUACUUGUUUGUUGUGCAUGAUCACUUGAUUACUUGCUCACUUAAACAUGAUUCACUCUCACAUAUGUUAGAUAGGACUUUGUUUGUAUGAUAUCUAUCUACUUCGCAUGAAUGCUUGUUGCAUGAAAACUCUUGCUCCUGCAUGAUUGUAUGAUUGAUUAUCUCUAUUUACUAUCUCACUUUAGAUUUUAGGUUUUUCAGAUGCACCCACAUUCUUCACUGUGCACUUUAGAUAAUCCUUGAGUAUUAAGAUAUGAGAGAGCCUUCACCGUUAGGAAACCCCCUGGGAAAGCGAGGAAGUGCAUGUGUGGAGGUGAUGACCACCUUGCAUGGAAGCACCCCAUCUCCUUAGAGGCUUGUAAAGGGUUGCAUAUUGCUGGAGGGUACGAUCGUUUGUGCUAGGGAUCCUUUAACCCACCCAUUUUAUCUUAUAGAGCCACCUCAACCUUAUAGGUUUCUAUACCCAAUUAGGAUUUCAUUCCUACACGUGGGUGCAUCUAUGGACCUUCAGAGCUGCCUUGGUCACAAUUGAUUACUACUCAAAAAGUGCUAUUUGAUAGCCUAUAAUUAAUCCUUUUAAACACUUUUGAGUAGUAGUUUAGGCCUUUUAACUCAAUUGGCAUGUUAAGGAUCCUUUAAAGCAAUUUUAAUCACUUUGUGCAAGUUUUGGUGUUUUUGUUAGUAUUUUGAUCACCAAAGCAAGUCAAGACUGAGGAGAGCUAUGAGGAAUCUUGGGCAAAGCUUAGAAGUCAUUUGCCAAGAGUGAAUCCGGAUUGCAAGGAUAAAAAGCAAAGAGAAGCUGCCAUAAAGCAUAUUCUUGAUGACAGUCGUAGCAGCCACUUUUGGAGCACUUUCUGAAGUCCAAAUGAUGCAUGCUAUAUACCAUUUCAAAACUCAAGAAGUCAACAAUCCAAUGCUUCAAACAGUGUGCAAUUCGGAGUUGAAACGAAGAAGUUGUAGCCAUUACAAGCCAAUCACUCCGAGCUGCAGGAAGCAUUUUGCAAAGUGUUGCGAAAUCACCCUUUUGUUGCGAAGUGAUUUCGCAGCAUUUUUAUACAGUAAGGUGUUUCUCCUUCUGACGAUGCACGAUUUAUGCCGCGAGAAGGAAGCUUGGAACCUCAAGGUGGAAGCCAACUUCGCAGCCCAGUGAAGAUAGCUUGGUGUUGCGAAAUUAUUUCGCAGCCCUCUUGAGUGUCUGCGAAAUCUCGCAGACACCAUUUUUCCCCUGCGAAAUGGUUCCUGAAGCCUCCCGAUAUUUGCUACCGACAUUGGGAGAUAUUUUCCAUUAGAUUUUUGUUGUCUAAAUCCCAAAAUACUCCUUGUAAGCCUCCAAUUACAUGAUUCCUUAGCUUUUAAGUUAGUAAAAAGACUAAAUAUCAAUGUAAUAAUUAGUUUUAUAUUAUGUUCAUAUAUAUACCUCUCGGGAGCCUGUUCUCAGAGAAGAAUUCCUUCUGUAAAGUUUGGGUAAGCAAGUAAAGGUCUUUUCUUUCUACUGCCUUACCUUCUCACUUUGUAUUUUCAAUUUCUUACUAAGUUAUGAAUUCUCUGAGGAGUUUUCCUUAGAGAAUGAGUAACUAAAUCUCUAAUUCCUUGGAGCUAAGGUUGUCGGGGAAGGUUCCAAGUGCAAGAAUGCAAAGCUUUGUGGUUUUAGCUAGUAAUGAAUAGGAAGUGAAAUCCUUUAGUGAUUUCUAUGUUUUUAGUUAACUUAAAACACCUUGGAGUCACCUGGGCCAACACUUGGUAAGGCAAGUGAUUUCCAACCAUGGAAAUGCACUAGUUUACCCCUUGCGAGCCUCUGGUAGGUGACUUCAGGGUAGGAUUUUCUAGAAUAGCCAACACUUGGUAAGCUUUUGGACUCCUAGGAGGCAUCCAUUAGUUAUCUCUUGCGAGCUUUUGACGGGUAAUCCAAGGUUAAAGAUCACCUUGAAUGGUUGAGGCUUAGUGAGAGGCUUAAACCAUUGCAAAGUGCAUCAGUGAGAGAAUUAAAGUGAAAUCUAAUUGAAGGAGUCUCUGUACAUCACCGGUUAGAGAAUUGACUAUAUGUUGAAUCUCUAAUGCGAGGAAAUGAACCAUCUGACCAAAGCCAUGUCUUUUGCAUGAGGAACCACCUCAGUGAACCUAAAUCUCCAAGGAAUGCUUUUCUUCCUAAAUUAUUCCAAACUUCUGUUAUGUUAGUUAGUUUAAGUCUAAACCUUUACCAAUCAAAGUUUGUGUUUUACUUAUUAAUCUAACCUUGAAAUGAAACAAGACCAAUUCACUUGGAAUUGGUAUCAUUGAUUGCUUGUUAAUCAUUCCCAGUGAACGAUCCUAGAGCCACUAUACUAUAGUAGCUUUGUCUUUGCUACCCUAGUAUAUGGUGUUAUAGGUUAUAAAUUUUGUGGAUUACUCCCUCAAUCAAGGAGCACCAGCUGGACACAAAUCAGCUGAGACACCAAUUGGGCACGAAUCAAAUGGCGCCGUUGUCGGGGAAUGAGUGUCAAGUUUAUAGUGAUACCAUUUUUGAGCACUUGUGAUUUUCAUCACAAGUUGGUAAAGUUUUUUUCGCUUUACUAAUUUUCAUUCUUUCUUUGUUUAUUCAUAAUCUAAGUUUAUCUUUUAAAAUUUAGUCUAGUUUAAUUUUGCUGUUGUAGCCCUGUUUCUCUUAUUGUCCUCUGUUUUUUUUUUAUUCAAGUUGCAGCUGGAUACUAGUUGUGUAUGCCAAAGUGGAUACGAGACAGUGGAGGAAGGCUUGUUAAGUGUGAUACACCUUAGAGGGGAGAAUUUGAAGUAAUCUUGAAUAUCAUGGAAGCUACACCUGAAGAUCAGCAUAGUCACCAAGGUCGUCAAGACAAUCUCAAUGAAUUCAGAUCAAUGAGGGACCGUAUGAAUCCACCUCGUAUGAGUGCACCAUCAUGUAUAGUGCCCCCUAUAGAGCAGCUAGUGAUCAGACCGUAUCUUGUUCCACUUCUACCAACUUUCCAUGGGAUGGAAAGUGAGAAUCCGUAUGCACACAUCAAGGAAUUUGAAGAUGUUUGUAAUACAUUCCAAGAGGGAGGAGCUUCAAUUGAUUUGAUGAGGCUUAAAUUAUUUCCUUUUACUUUAAAGGAUAAGGCCAAAAUUUGGCUUAAUUCUUUAAGGCCAAGGAGUAUCCGCUCUUAGACUGAUUUACAAGCUGAAUUCCUAAAAAAAAAAUUUCCCACUUAUAGAACAAAUGGCUUGAAAAGGCAAAUUUCAAACUUCUCAGCUAAAGAGAAUGAGAAAUUCUAUGAGUGUUGGGAAAGAUACAUGGAAGCUAUAAAUGCUUGUCCUCACCAUGGCUUUGAUACUUGGCUAUUGGUGAGCUAUUUUUAUGAUGGUAUGUCAUCCUCAAUGAAGCAACUCCUCGAGACAAUGUGUGGAGGAGAUUUCAUGAGCAAAAAUCCAGAGGAAGCUAUGGAUUUCUUGAGCUAUGUAGCUGAUGUUUCAAGGGGAUGGGAUGAACCAACUAAAGGAGAAGUGGGAAAGAUGAAGUCUCAGUUGAAUGCUUACAAUGCAAAGGCUGGGAUGUAUAAUUUAAAAGAAGAUGAUGACAUGAAAGCAAAGUUGGCAGCUAUGACAAGAAGAUUGGAGGAGCUGGAGCUGAAAAGAAUACAUGAAGUGCAAGCUGUUGCUGAAGCACCAGUGCAAGUGAAGCUGUGUCCCAAUUGUCAAUCAUUUGAACAUUUGGUGGAGGAAUGCCCUGCAAUUCCAACUGAAAGGGAAAUGUAUAGAGAUCAAGCAAAUGUUGUUGGACAAUUCAGGCCCAAUAACAAUGCGCCAUAUGGAAAUACCUACAACUCAAGUUGGAGGAAUCAUCCAAAUUUCUCAUGGAAGGCCAGAGCAACUCAAUACCAACAGCCGGAUCCACCAUCUCAGCAAUCUUCAAGUAUUGAACAAGCAAUAACCAAUCUCAGCAAGGUAAUGGGAGAUUUUAUUGAAAAGCAAGAAGCCACCAAUGCUCGAGUCGAUCAAAGAAUUGAUAGAGUGGAGAGUAUGUUGAAUAAAAGGAUGGAUGGAAUGCAAAAUGAUAUGAACCAAAAGUUUGAUAACAUCCAAUAUUCAAUUUCAAGGCUUACAAAUUUGAAUACACUACAAGAAAAGGGAAGAUUUCCUUCUCAACCUCACCAAAAUCCCAAAGGUGUCCAUGAAGUGGAAAGCCAAGAGGGACAAUCAUCACAGGUCAAAGAUGUGAAAGCCUUGAUCACUCUAAGGAGUGGUAAGAAAAUUGAGCAGCCAACACCCAAGCCACAUGUUAAGAAAGAAGAAGAGAUAAAGAAAGGGAAGGAAAUGGAAGAUAAAGAGAGUGAGAUCAAUGAAGAAAAGAAGGACUCUGAUGCAACAAUGAAUGCAAUUCCAGAGAAGGAGCUUCUGAAGGAAGAAAUGCUGAAGAAAUCAACUUCUCCACCUUUUCCUCAAGCAUUACAUGGAAAAAAGGGGAUUAGAAAUGCAGCUGAAAUCCUUGAAGUAUUGAGACAAGUGAAAGUUAAUAUUCCACUGCUGGAUAUGAUCAAACAAGUUCCAACGUAUGCAAAAUUCCUAAAGGACUUGUGUACUAUCAAGAGAGGGUUGACUGUAAACAAGAAAGCCUUCUUGACUGAGCAAGUAAGUGCAAUCUUACAGUGUAAGUCCCCUUUGAAGUACAAAGACCCUGGAAGUCCUACCAUUUCAGUCAUGAUUGGAGGAAAGGUAGUUGAGAAAGCCUUGUUAGAUUUGGGAGCAAGUGUGAAUUUGCUUCCAUACUCUGUCUACAAGCAAUUGGGACUUGGAGAGUUGAAGCCAACAGCAAUCACUUUAUCUCUGGCAGAUAGAUCAGUGAAAAUUCCAAGAGGGGUAAUUGAGGAUGUAUUGGUUCAAGUGGAUAAUUUCUACUAUCCAGUAGAUUUUAUUGUUCUUGAUACAGAUCCUACUGUAAAGGAAGCUAAUUUAGUUCCUAUCAUCCUUGGAAGGCCAUUUCUUGCAACUUCAAAUGCAAUCAUCAACUGUAGAAAUGGGCUUAUGCAACUCACUUUUGGUAACAUGACACUGGAUCUCAAUAUUUUCUAUAUGUCUAAAAAGCAAAUCACUCCGGAAGAAGAAGAAGGUCCAGAAGAGCUAUGUAUUAUUGAUACUUUGGUGGAGGAGCACUGCAAUCAACAUAUGCAAGACAAGUCGAAUGAAAGUCUUGAGGAUAUUGAGGAAGGUUUUUUUGAAUCUCCUAUUGGGCUAGCUACUCUACAAAGUUGGAGAAAGAUAGAAGAAAUUCUACCUUUGUUCAAUGAAGAAGAGGAGGCAGCUGUUGAAAAAGAAAUUCCAAAACUCAAUCUGAAGCCUUUACCUGUGGAGCUGAAAUAUACAUAUCUUGAAGAAAAUAAUCAAUGUCCUGUUGUAAUAUCUUCAUCUCUGACCAGUCAUCAAGAGAAUUGUUUAAUGGAAGUUCUCAAGAGGUGUAAGAAGGCAAUAGGAUGGCAAAUAUCUGACUUGAAAGGCAUUAGUCCUUUAGUUUGUACUCAUCAUAUAUAUAUGGAGGAGGAAGCAAAGCCAAUUUGUCAAUUUCAAAGAAGGUUGAAUCCUCAUUUACAAGAGGUGGUGUGAGCUGAGGUGCUGAAGCUACUUCAAGCAGGAAUCAUUUACCCUAUAUCUGAUAGCCCUUGGGUGAGUCCUACUCAAGUGGUACCAAAGAAGUCAGGGAUCACAGUGGUUCAAAAUGAAAAAGGGGAAGAAAUUACUACACGCCUCACUUCAGGUUGGAGGGUGUGUAUUGAUUAUAGAAAGCUGAAUGCUGUCACCAGGAAAGAUCAUUUUCCAUUGCCAUUUAUUGAUCAAGUGUUGGAGAGAGUCUUUGGACAUCCAUUCUAUUGUUUCUUGGAUGGGUAUUCAGGGUAUUUUCAGAUUGAAAUUGAUUUGGCAGAUCAAGAAAAGACCACUUUUACAUGUCCAUUUGGAACAUAUGCUUAUAGAAGAAUGCCUUUUGGUCUAUGCAAUGCACCUGCUACAUUUCAAAGAUGUAUGUUGAGUAUUUUCAGUGAUAUGGUGGAGCGAAUUAUGGAGGUUUUCAUGGAUGACAUCACCGUAUAUGGAGGUACAUUUGAGGAAUGCUUGGUUAAUUUGGAAGUAGUUCUUCAUAGAUGCAUUGAAAAAGACCUGGUGCUCAACUGGGAGAAAUGCCAUUUUAUGGUACGUCAAGGAAUUUACCUUGGCCAUAUCAUCUCUGAAAAAGGCAUUGAAGUUGAUAAAGCAAAGGUGGAGCUUAUUGCCAAAUUACCAUCUCCAACAAUUGUGAAAGGAGUAAGGCAGUUCCUUGGCCAUGCAGGGUUCUAUAGGAGGUUUAUAAAAGGUUUUUCAAGUCUUUCAAAACCUCUUUGUGAGCUGUUAGCUAAGGAUGCUAAGUUUAUAUGGGAUGAAAGGUGUCAGAAUAGCUUUGAUCAACUGAAGAAAUUUUUAACAACAACUCCAAUAGUGAGAGCCCCUAACUGGCAAUUACCUUUUGAACUGAUGUGUGAUGCCAGUGACUUUGCUAUAGGAGCUGUGCUUGGCCAAAGAGAAGAUGGGAAGCCCUAUGUGAUUUACUAUGCAAGUAAAACACUAAAUGAAGCUCAAAGGAACUACACAACUACAGAGAAAGAAUUGUUAGCUGUGGUAUUUGCUUUGGACAAAUUUCGAGCUUAUUUAGUGGGGUCUUUCAUCAUUAUCUUUACUGACCAUUCAGCCUUGAAGUAUUUAUUGACAAAGCAAGACGCAAAAGCAAGGUUGAUUAGAUGGAUUCUUUUGUUACAAGAGUUCGAUCUUCAAAUCAAAGAUAAGAAAGGAGUGGAGAAUGUAGUAGCUGACCACUUGUCAAGGUUAGUUAUAGCACAUAAUUCCCAUCCCUUGCCUAUCAAUGAUGAUUUUCCUGAAGAAUCACUCAUGUUCCUAGUGAAAACUCCUUGGUAUGCUCAUAUUGCUAAUUAUUUAGUAACUGGUGAAAUUCCAAGUGAGUGGAAUGCAUAGGACAGGAAGCACUUCUUUGCCAAAAUUCAUGCUUAUUAUUGGGAAGAGCCCUUUCUCUUUAAGUAUUGUGCAGAUCAGAUUAUUAGGAAGUGUAUCCCUGAAGAUGAGCAGCAAGGGAUUCUAUCUCAUUGUCAUGAGAAUGCAUGUGGAGGCCACUUUGCCUCUCAGAAAACAGCCAUGAAGGUAUUGCAAUCAGGGUUUACUUAGUCAUCUCUUUUCAAAGAUGCCCACAUCAUGUGUAGGAAUUGUAAUAGAUGCCAAAGGCUUGGAAAGCUAACAAAAAGAAAUCAAAUGCCUAUGAACCUCAUUCUGAUAGUUGAGUUAUUUGAUGUAUGGGGCAUUGACUUCAUGGGACCUUUCCCAAUGUCUUUUGGUAAUUCUUACAUCUUGGUGGGGGUAGAUUAUGUUUCUAAAUGGGUUGAGGCAAUCCCCUGUAAACAAAAUGAUCACAGGGUGGUUCUCAAGUUUCUUAAAGAGAACAUUUUCUCAAGAUUUGGGGUGCCCAAAGCCAUAAUCAGUGAUGGAGGUGCUCAUUUUUGCAACAAACCUUUUGAAGCUCUGUUAUCCAAGUAUGGAGUGAAGCAUAAGGUGGCCACACCUUAUCAUCCUCAGACUUCCGGGCAAGUUGAGCUAGCUAACAGGGANNNNNNNNNNNNNNNNNNNNNNNNNNNNNNNNNNNNNNNNNNNNNNNNNNNNNNNNNNNNNNNNNNNNNNNNNNNNNNNNNNNNNNNNNNNNNNNNNNNNGGAAAAUUUCAAAUAAACAGGAGAAAUUGAACUGUUGUUUUUCACUUGACUUAGAGUAUGGAUUAUGCUUACUAAAGUGGUUCAAUUGUUGAAACUUCUACUAAAAUUGAAUUGAGUUCUUCCACUUUAAGCUAUCCACACACUGUGCACAUUAGAUUCCGAUUAUAAGAUGAAAAACUAUUUCCCUCUUGACUUAGGAUAAUUUUGGGACUUGGUAUAUUUGACCUCAUUUGAUAAAAAUUGAAACACCCUGCAAAAGGCCAAUGAGCCUUUGAAAUAAAGAAAGUUGUUUGCUUGCCUUGAAACCCGAGCAAGGUCUGAGGGGCAUAUGGUGAAAAUCUUUAAAGCCUGGUGCCCUAAGCCUUAAUUGGUUGGGAGACACCGACCUCAAUGCUCGUUAUAAAGGUGAAUAGGUAAAGUUAGCAUAUGGUAGAUGCUUGGGUAUUAGAAAUUCAUUCUUAAAAGUCCGGGGAAAAAUCCGAGGAGUUAGUGGUUGAAAGAUCCUUAAAGCUUGGUGCCCUAAACCUUAAUUGGUUGGGAGUCAUCGAUGGACCCCCAUUACAUGGACAAGUCAGAAAGAGUACCCCAUAAAGCUACCUUGAAAAAAAAAGAAAAAAAAAAAAGAAAAAAAAAGAAAAAAAAGAAAGGUGCGUUCUUUUCUUAUUGAUUAUGGUCAGAUUAUUGCUAAAGUGUUGAAAAGAGAUAGGUUGGGGGGUGAGACUAGUUUAGCAUAUUAUUCUCGGAAGCUAAGGAACCAAUACACAUAGAUUUGUGUGGAAGACUAAAGUUUGAUUCUUAGAAAGUGGAAAUGAUUUUAAAACUUCAGUUUGCAUAAUGCACUCCCUUGAUUGACAGUGUUCAGCAUAGGUGUUAUGACUCUUGUUGAGAUUUGGGUUUGUAUUUCUUUAGUGAUUCAUGUGAGAAUUAGAUCAUCAUGCCACUUGAGAAUUAUUUCCUUUCAGCAUGAUGUUGUAAAUUUUAGAUUAGUUUGUUUUUAUUUUUAUUUUUCUCUCCUAUAUUGCUAAGGGACUAGCAAUAUGUCGGUUGGGGGGAGUGAUUACUACUCAAAAAGUGCUAUUUGAUAGCCUAUAAUUAAUCCUUUUAAACACUUUUGAGUAGUAGUUUAGGCCUUUUAACUCAAUUGGCAUGUUAAGGAUCCUUUAAAGCAAUUUUAAUCACUUUGUGCAAGUUUUGGUGUUUUUGUUAGUAUUUUGAUCACCAAAGCAAGUCAAGACUGAGGAGAGCUAUGAGGAAUCUUGGGCAAAGCUUAGAAGUCAUUUGCCAAGAGUGAAUCCGGAUUGCAAGGAGAAAAAGCAAAGAGAAGCUGCCAUAAAGCAUAUUCUUGAUGACAGUCGUAGCAGCCACUUUUGGAGCACUUUCUGAAGUCCAAAUGAUGCAUGCUAUAUACCAUUUCAAAGCUCAGGAAGUCAACAAUCCAAUGCUUCAAAUGGUGUGCAAUUCGGAGUUGAAACGAAGAAGUUGCAGCCAUUACAAGCCAAUCACUCCGAGCUGCAGGANNNNNNNNNNNNNNNNNNNNNNNNNNNNNNNNNNNNNNNNNNNNNNNNNNNNNNNNNNNNNNNNNNNNNNNNNNNNNNNNNNNNNNNNNNNNNNNNNNNNAAUCAGGGUUUACUUAGUCAUCUCUUUUCAAAGAUGCCCACAUCAUGUGUAGGAAUUGUAAUAGAUGCCAAAGGCUUGGAAAGCUAACAAAAAGAAAUCAAAUGCCUAUGAACCUCAUUCUGAUAGUUGAGUUAUUUGAUGUAUGGGGCAUUGACUUCAUGGGACCUUUCCCAAUGUCUUUUGGUAAUUCUUACAUCUUGGUGGGGGUAGAUUAUGUUUCUAAAUGGGUUGAGGCAAUCCCCUGUAAACAAAAUGAUCACAGGGUGGUUCUCAAGUUUCUUAAAGAGAACAUUUUCUCAAGAUUUGGGGUGCCCAAAGCCAUAAUCAGUGAUGGAGGUGCUCAUUUUUGCAACAAACCUUUUGAAGCUCUGUUAUCCAAGUAUGGAGUGAAGCAUAAGGUGGCCACACCUUAUCAUCCUCAGACUUCCGGGCAAGUUGAGCUAGCUAACAGGGAAAUAAAGAACAUCUUGAUGAAAGUGGUGAAUUUCAACAGAAAAGAUUGGUCUAUUAGGCUUCAUGAUUCAUUGUGGGCAUAUAGAACAGCUUAUAAGACUAUUCUUGGGAUGUCUCCCUAUCGUCUUGUCUAUGGCAAAGCAUGCCAUCUCCCUGUGGAAGUUGAAUACAAAGCUUGGUGGGCAAUAAAGAAGCUGAACAUGGACUUGAUUAAGGCAGGAGAAAAGAGAUUUCUAACCUUAAUGAGAUGGAGGAAUUAAGAAAUAAUGCUUAUAUCAAUUCCAAAGUUGCAAAACAGAGGAUGAAGAAGUGGCAUGAUCAACUUAUCUCCAACAAGGAAUUUCAGGAAGGGCAAAGAGUUUUGAUGUAUGACACAAGACUCCAUAUCUUUCCUGGGAAGCUUAAGUCAAGGUGGAUUGGCCCGUUCAUUAUUCACCGAGUAUGGUCCAAUGGAGUGGUGGAAUUAUUGAAUUCCAAUGGCAAGGAUAGCUUUAAAGUCAAUGGAUAUCGUCUCAAGCCAUUCAUGGAGCCAUUCAAAUCAGAAAAGAAGGAGAUCAACCUCCUUAAGCCUCAAAAAGCCUAAGUGAAAAAGGGUUUGCUGGAUGUGGUUUUACCACAGUCCAAAAUUUUUGUAAAUUUUGUAAAUUUUCAAGUUGUUUCCAUACUUUUGAUCUUAGUUUUUGAUCUUAAAUCAUGUUUUUAGGUGUGUUUUAAUCGUUUUAAAUGAUCCCAGGUGGAAGAAAUUUCAAGGAGAUUGAAAGAAAAAAAUCGGGGCGAAAUUGGAGCCGAAACAGAGCAAAAACAGAGGAAAAACAGAGCUCUGCGAAAUUUUGCAGAGUGAAGGAAACUUUUGCGAAAUGAGCAUUUUGUUGCCAAACCAUUCCGCAACACUGUAGAAGUUUCUGCGAGUGUGUUUUGUAGCUACGAAAGUGAAUUUGGCACACGAGUGCCACUUCGCAGUACAGUAGCAUUCAUUUCGCAGCUGCGAAACGCAUUGCGAAGUGGAAAAGCGUGAUUUCGCACCAAAAGUUCCAUUCCGUAGGGUAUUUCGCAAUUGCGAAAGUGGUUUUGGCACACGAGUGCCACUUCGCAGCACAGUAACAUCAAAUUCGCAGCUGCGAAACCCACUGCGAAGUUGCUGCGAAAAUGACAUUUUGCUGCGAAAUUGGCGUUUUGUUGCAAAACUUAAACUGACCCUUAGGCUUCCGUUUUUCCUAUUUAUACCGGUCAUUUGAGCUGCGAAAAGGGUUUUAAAAAUCAAAGCACCAUUCUCGCAGCCUGUUCGUCUUCUUCAACCAGCCACGCCGUCCGAGCCUCCGGUCACCUUCUCCGAUCAGCAACGCCGGCCAAGGUUUGAUAGCCCAAAAUGGCGCGAACACAAGGGGCUAAGUCUUCAUCUCCUUCGAACCGUAAGAAGAGUCUGCGAAAGGAGCCAAGUCCAGGUUUUGCUCCAGAGCCUUCGCCGUCGAGACCAAUUCCACCUCCGGUGAAGCCCGCGCCACCAAAGCCGCUGGCAAGACGAUACCUUACCAGGUCAGGCGGUCGGCCGUUGCAGAAGAAACCUAGGGUGGAGAGCUCAGAACCCAUCGAUUUGACUGAGCAAUCUCCAGAGCCUUCCCCAAUUCCAUCACCGGUUCAAACUCCAGUGCCGUCUCCGGUUCCUUCGCCGAGUCCCCUGCCAGUUCCAUCGCCGGUACCAUCUCCGGCGCCGCAAGAAAAAUCUCAGGAGCCUCAAGCGCCGCUUCCCGAGCACCAAAUUCAAGCUGAACCAGCUCUAGAAGAAGUAAUUAGGAGGCCAAUGCUACCUCAGCCCCCAAUUGAGGGAAACUUGGAUUAUCGAACUCGGGCAUUUCAUUCCGAGCUUUGCUUCGACUUAGCAGCAUUUAGAGUGAGGCCAGAGCUUGCCCAAUCAUUCUAGCUGCUGAGGAGGUAUCAUAUGGAGCAACUGCUAGCUCCAAGAGACUUUUUCUAUCCCCGGAUAGCCACAGAUUUCUACCAGUCCAUGACAACCAAAGAGGUCAGAAAUCCAACCUUGAUUCAUUUCACAAUCGAUGGGAGACAUGGUAUAUUGGGAGCACGACAUAUUGCUGAAGCCCUGCAAAUUCCUUUUGAGCCAACCCAAUUCGAUAAUUUUAGAGCUUGGGCAAAUCCUACUGAGCUAGAGAUGGUGUGCACCCUUUAGAGAGGAGCUGCAAAUCGAUCACAUCUGCUGAGGGGGGAGCUUCCUCCAGUUAUGUUUUUGAUUGAUGCCUUUUUGCGCCAUAAUAUCUAUCCAUUGCAGCAUUGGACCCAAAGAAGGGGAGUUCUCCUGGAAGCUCUGUACAAGAUGUCAGAAGGAUUCUUCUUUGGGCCUCAUCAUCUGAUCAUGGCAGCCCUUCUCUAUUUUGAAGAGAAGGUUCACAAGAAGAAGCUUCAGAGAGCAGAUUGCAUUCCCCUCCUCUUCCCAAGGCUGUUAUGCCAAAUUUUGGAGCAUCUGGGAUACCCCUCUGAGCCUCAGCUGGAGAGAAAGCGAAUAUGCCGUGAGCCAUUCACUCUUAAUAAAUGGAAUAAUAUGACGGCCUACAAAGUUGAUCAGCCUGGGCAGCCUCAACCAGCUGCAAGGAAAGCCUCCCCAAGACGUGUACCUGAGGGUAUAACAGUUGCUGCUCCUGCCAUUCCUAGAGCUCCACCAGCUGCGCCUGCUUCAUCUCAGCCAUCCACAUCAGUUGAGCCGAGGAUGGCCAUUCCUAUAUCUGAAUAUUGAGAGUUGUGCCGUGCUUUGGAGACUCUUACAGCUUCUCAGAGCAAUCUUGCUCAGGAGAUGGCAGCCAUCAGAACAUGCCAAGAGCAGAUGUUAGCCUCUCAGGCUCAACAAGCUGCCAUCUUAAGGCAGUUCCAAGUCCAUUUCGAUCUGCCACAAGCUGUAGAGCCCUCCACUGAUACACCAGCAGAGCCACACCCUCAUCCUUCAGAGUCUCAUCCUCCAGAGCCCCAAGCCCCAGCUGAUGCACCUACUGAGGAGGCAGAUCCUUCUGCCUAACACCACCACCCCACUCAUCAGACUAUAUUUUAUAUCUAAUAUUUUUAUGUUUUUCAUUUUUUUAGUUGAAAAGAAAUCCUAGUAUUUUGGUACUAUAUUUGGGAUUCCUUAUAUUACUUGUCUUUUGCAUUGUAAUCAAAUGAAUUUAAAGUAAUACAAGUUGAAUAUUUCGUGUUAAAAGUUAGCAUUAAGUUAUUCUUAUUUCCUUUUCUCACAAAUUCUAUUCUUUUUGAAACAUGUGGUUUUCCCCAAUCAAUAUUCGAAUUUGAUUUCAGCAAGGAGGUACCACUUCCUCCCUUUUAUUACAGUCACUCAAAUCACAUUGAGGACAAUGCUCAGUUCGGUUGGGGGGUAUGAGGAAGGAAGUAGUCUAAAUCUUUUUGGUAUUGCAAUUAUAUUGGUUAAUUAGUUGUAGUUUUUACUUUUUACUCUUGUUACUCUAUUCUCCAUGAAUUUUGAGGAAAAAUUUUCAAAUUAAACCAAGAGAAAUUGAACUGUUGUUUUUCACUUGACUUAGAGUAUGGAUUAUGCUUACUAAAGUGGUUCAAUUGUUGAAACUUCUACUAAAAUUGAAUUGAGUUCUUCCACUUUAAGCUAUCCACACACUGUGCACAUUAGAUUCCGAUUAUAAGAUGAAAAACUAUUUCCCUCUUGACUUAGGAUAAUUUUGGGACUUGGUAUAUUUGACCUCAUUUGAUAAAAAUUGAAACACCCUGCAAAAGGCCAAUGAGCCUUUGAAAUAAAGAAAGUUGUUUGCUUGCCUUGAAACCCGAGCAAGGUCUGAGGGGCAUAUGGUGAAAAUCUUUAAAGCCUGGUGCCCUAAGCCUUAAUUGGUUGGGAGACACCGACCUCAAUGCUCGUUAUAAAGGUGAAUAGGUAAAGUUAGCAUAUGGUAGAUGCUUGGGUAUUAGAAAUUCAUUCUUAAAAGUCCGGGGAAAAAUCCGAGGAGUUAGUGGUUGAAAGAUCCUUAAAGCUUGGUGCCCUAAACCUUAAUUGGUUGGGAGUCAUCGAUGGACCUCCAUUACAUGGACAAGUCAGAAAGAGUACCCCAUAAAGCUACCUUGNNNNNNNNNNNNNNNNNNNNNNNNNNNNNNNNNNNNNNNNNNNNNNNNNNNNNNNNNNNNNNNNNNNNNNNNNNNNNNNNNNNNNNNNNNNNNNNNNNNNNNNNNNNNNNNNNNNNNNNNNNNNNNNNNNNNNNNNNNNNNNNNNNNNNNNNNNNNNNNNNNNNNNNNNNNNNNNNNNNNNNNNNNNNNNNNNNNNNNNNNNNNNNNNNNNNNNNNNNNNNNNNNNNNNNNNNNNNNNNNNNNNNNNNNNNNNNNNNNNNNNNNNNNNNNNNNNNNNNNNNNNNNNNNNNNNNNNNNNNNNNNNNNNNNNNNNNNNNNNNNNNNNNNNNNNNNNNNNNNNNNNNNNNNNNNNNNNNGGGGGAGUGAUUACUACUCAAAAAAGUGCUAUUUGAUAGCCUAUAAUUAAUCCUUUUAAACACUUUUGAGUAGUAGUUUAGGCCUUUUAACUCAAUUGGCAUGUUAAGGAUCCUUUAAAGCAAUUUUAAUCACUUUGUGCAAGUUUUGGUGUUUUUGUUAGUAUUUUGAUCACCAAAGCAAGUCAAGACUGAGGAGAGCUAUGAGGAAUCUUGGGCAAAGCUUAGAAGUCAUUUGCCAAGAGUGAAUCCGGAUUGCAAGGAGAAAAAGCAAAGAGAAGCUGCCAUAAAGCAUAUUCUUGAUGACAGUCGUAGCAGCCACUUUUGGAGCACUUUCUGAAGUCCAAAUGAUGCAUGCUAUAUACCAUUUCAAAGCUCAGGAAGUCAACAAUCCAAUGCUUCAAAUGGUGUGCAAUUCGGAGUUGAAACGAAGAAGUUGCAGCCAUUACAAGCCAAUCACUCCGAGCUGCAGGAAGCAUUUUGCAAAGUGUUGCGAAAUCACCCUUUUGUUGCGAAGUGAUUUCGCAGCAUUUUUAUACAGUAAGGUGUUUCUCCUUCUGACGAUGCACGAUUUAUGCCGCGAGAAGGAAGCUUGGAACCUCAAGGUGGAAGCCAACUUCGCAGCCCAGUGAAGAUAGCUUGGUGUUGCGAAAUUAUUUCGCAGCCCUCUUGAGUGUCUGCAAAAUCUCGCAGACACCAUUUUUCCCCUGCGAAAUGGUUCCUGAAGCCUCCCGAUAUUUGCUAUCAACAUUGGGAGAUAUUUUCCAUUAGAUUUUUGUUGUCUAAAUCCCAAAAUACUCCUUGUAAGCCUCCAAUUACAUGAUUCCUUAGCUUUUAAGUUAGUAAAAAGACUAAAUAUCAAUGUAAUAAUUAGUUUUAUAUUAUGUUUAUAUAUAUACCUCUCGGGAGCCUGUUCUCAGAGAGGAGUUCCUUCUGUAAAGUUUGGGUAAGCAAGUAAAGGUCUUUUCUUUCUACUGCCUUACCUUCUCACUUUGUAUUUUCAAUUUCUUACUAAGUUAUGAAUUCUCUGAGGAGUUUUCCCCAGAGAAUGAGUAACUAAAUCUGUAAUUCCUUGGAGCUAAGGUUGCCGGAGAAGGUUCCAAGUGCAAGAAUGCAAAGCUUUGUGGUUUUAGCUAGUAAUGAAGAGGAAGUGAAAUCCUUUAGUGAUUUCUAUGUUUUUAGUUAACUUAAAACACCUUGGAGUCACCUGGGCCAACACUUGGUAAGGCAAGUGAUUUCCAACCAUGGAAAUGCACUAGUUUACCCCUUGCGAGCCUCUGGUAGGUGACUUCAGGGUAGGAUUUUCUAGAAUAGCCAACACUUGGUAAGCUUUUGGACUCCUAGGAGGCAUCCAUUAGUUAUCUCUUACGAGCUUUUGACGGGUAAUCCAAGGUUAAAGAUCACCUUGAAUGGUUGAGGCUUAGUGAGAGGCUUAAACCAUUGCAAAGUGCAUCAGUGAGAGAAUUAAAGUGAAAUCUAAUUGAAGGAGUCUCUGUACAUCACCGGUUAGAGAAUUGACUAUAUGUUGAAUCUCUAAUGCGAGGAAAUGAACCAUCUGACCAAAGCCAUGUCUUUUGCAUGAGGAACCACCUCAGUGAACCUAAAUCUCCAAGGAAUGCUUUUCUUCCUAAAUUAUUCCAAACUUCUGUUAUGUUAGUUAGUUUAAGUCUAAACCUUUACCAAUCAAAGUUUGUGUUUUACUUAUUAAUCUAACCUUGAAAUGAAACAAGACCAAUUUACUUGGAAUUGGUAUCAUUGAUUGCUUGUUAAUCAUUCCCAGUGAACGAUCCUAGAGCCACUAUACUAUAGUAGCUUUGUCUUUGCUACCCUAGUAUAUGGUGUUAUAGGUUAUAAAUUUUGUUGAUUACUCCCUCAAUCAAGGAGCACCAGCUGGACACAAAUCAGCUGAGACACCAAUUGGGCACGAAUCAACAAUUGGGUUUAGUUAUCCUCUUCAUGGUCUCCUUUUGGUGUGCUUAGAGAUUGGUACAUGUUUGAGUUUCAGUUGGGCCACCUUUCAGCAUUGUGAUUAGUGCAUUUCCAUCCUUUCUAAGCUUCCUUCAUGUCAUUUCUCUUUCCAUGUCUUUGUACCUUAUAGGAGUGUUAUUCAUUUUAGUUUGGAUUCGAAUUCUUAGAUUAAAGUUGGAGAUAGAUUGAUUAGAGUUUCAAAGUAGUCAGGUAUGGAUCCUCAGCAUGAUACAAUUGAUCGACUUACAGUCACUAUGACUCUAUUCAGGAGGCAUUAAUAGGUUUUAGCUAGAGGAUUGAUGGACAGUGAGAUAGAUAACCUCCAGUUCAGGAUGAGAUAUCGUGAGAUUCAUUGCCUCCCACCCCCACCACCUAGGUAGCCAAUGACAUUGUUGAGGGUGACAUCAUACUUAUGAUGAGUUUGGUGGAUAAUGAGUCAAAGUUUAUCAGAUGAGAGUUCUUAUAGAGGAUGUUAGUUUUUUCUCUAAGAUGGGAGAUUUGAUUGACAUGGUUUUCUUCAUGACGAGCCUGAGAUGGACAUAUUGGAUGAUAGUUGGAUGGUUAGCAUAGAUUAACCAGAGAUAGUUCACUUUCUUGAUAUGAUUGAGAUCUUCAUUGUUGAGAGUUUAGAAGAGAUUCGGUUUAUUUAUGUUGGGGCAUUCCACUUAUGUUGAUGAUAUGUUUGAGGACAAUGUUAACCCAGUUAUGGUCAUGGAGAUCCAUCUAUUCCAGGAGACCUUAGAGAGUUAACCCUAGAGAGGAAAUAUGAUUGACAUAUCUAGAUAGAGACCAGUUCUCAGACCCUACCAAUGUGGAUCAGCAGAAGAAGUAUUACAUUUGAGACCAUGGUCGUAGGAUGGGUGGUCAUCAAUUCGGUUAGCCUUACUCUUUAUCACCUCUAUUUAUAUACGUUGCUAGCCCAUUGAGCCUCAUGUGGUACAUGAAAGCUUUUUCUUUCUUUCUUAUAGCCUUGAUUACCAUUUCGAAACUUAGGUUGGGACCCUUUGGUGUAUAGGCAUGCUUUCCUAGGAAAGUCUCAUGAGCUUUAGACUUAUAGGCCUAUCUUCUCAUUCUUGUUACCAUCUAAUUACUACCCAAAAAGUGCUAUUUUACACCUUUAAGUCAUUAUGUUUUAAGCACUUUUGUGUAGUAAUUCUUCAUCUUUAUUCCAAUUGGCAUGUUAAAGACCUAGAAAUGACUCCUAAUCAUAUUUGUGGCUAGUUUAAGUGUUUUUGACAUCUUUUUAGAUCAUUAAGACAAGCCAUCCAAAGGAGAAAAGCAAAGAAAACCAAAGAGAAGCAAAGAGAAGCAAGGAGGAAAACAGAGGACAGCAGCUGCAGUAUUCUUUGGCACUUUUGGAGCACUUCCCGAAGUCCAUUUUUUACAUACUAUAUACUAUUUCAAAGCUCAGGAAGUCAAGAAUCCAACGCUUCAAACCGUGUACGAUUUGGAGCUGAAACGAGGAAGAUAUGGCCUUCGGAAGACAACUGCUCCAGGUGUGUGAAUGGUGUGCGAAUGGUGUGCGAAAUUCGCACACCCCCUUAGCUGUGCGAAUGGUGUGCGAAUGGUGUGCGAAACUUGCACACCCCCCUUAGGUGUACGAAAAUUCACACACCCCAUGCGUGGUGCGAAUUUUCCUCUGUUUUUGCCGACUCCACUUUAGAUAUUUUCUUUUGUAUUUUUUGAUGUAAUUUCCUUUCUUCUCCUUGUAACAAGCCAAUCACAAGCUUUGCUUUUGUAAAAACUAUAUAAGGGGUGGAAAUCACCUCUUGGAGGUAUCACGCGUGUUAUGUUUUACACUUAGAAAAAUAUACAGAGCUCUCUCGUUUUCCCUUUUCUCUUUACUAUUUUCUUUUUCUUGGAAGCCAAAGAUGUUUUCUCAGUGGAUGAGAGGCUAAACUUUUGGUUUCUUGGAGUGAUGGAAGCUAGGUGAAAAGUCCAGAUGCAAGGUGGAAAACGCUCGUGCUUUAAAUUCAGGUAGUUGAAGUUCAUAAAUGGCUUUUAAAUCCAAAGUUUUGCUUUAAAUCCCUUAGAAUCACUUUGAAUGGCCAAUACAUGGUAAGCUUCAGGUCUUUGUGGAUGCUUAUUGCUAGAUCCAUAUCAGUCCAUUAGUUAUCAUGUACGAGCCAUUGGAAAGUGGUUCAAGGUGAAGACCCAUAGUGUCUAAAGCCAUUAAUGGACCUUGACUACCAUUUCUAUUGAUUUUUAUGGAUUAAAUCUUCAUUGUUAAACCUAUACCGAUUCGGGAAAUAACUAUAGGUUAAAUCCCCAAUGCGAGGAGAAAAAUCCGGAAUUUUCCACUUUGCAUUCUAAACUUGAUCCUAGCAAUCCUGAGCUCCGGGAGACUUUCUUUCUUCCAUUUUUAAUUAGUUUAUGUUAAUUUAGUUUCAAACACUUUCAAAACAAAUUUUAUUUUCUUUUAAACUCUAAGUUUUUUAUAAAGGAAAUCAUUAAAUUCAAUUCCUAAUCAUGAGUAUAUCACUGGUAGAAUGAAAACCCAUCCUAGAGUUCGACCCUAGAGCAACUAUACUAUAGUAGCUUUGCUACACUAGUAUGAGGUCAUAAGUUUUAUAAAUGUUUUUGAUUAAAUGACCCGACUGGAUUUACAUACGCGAAUCACCAUCUCUUUAUCACCCCGAUUGUUCUAUUUUACUAUCAUCACAUUUUCAUUGUCUUUCUUGUUUUUAUCAUUAUUUGCUUCAUCUUAUCUCUCCUCUUCUCUGGGUUGAUGAUUCUUCACAUCUUGGUGCAAAUAGGGUAGUCAUAUCACUCCAUUCAUUCCAUCAUUUAGCAUUGAUUAAGAGAUUUUAGUUUGAGAGGUUGUCUCAUAGGAUGGGGUUCAUGUAUUCAUCAGUGAUUUGAGAGAGUUUGUUCACUCCUUGUAUCUUUCCCAUUGGAGUUUGAUUUAUCGAUGAUCAAAGCAUGCACAUUUAAAAAGAAAAGAAAGAAAAAGCGCAAUGAUAUGUUUGUGUAUAGUAUCUUGCUCCAUUGGGCACUUAUGUCCCUUUUGAGGUCUGCUUAUUAGGUAUAUUUGUCAUUAUGGGUUCUUGUGAGAUUUUUAAAUGAGUUUCCACUCCUUGAGCCACUCUUGUUAUGCAUUAGGAGUGUCAAGGGUUCAUGUGAGAGUUAUAUGAGAUCCUAUGCUUCUUGGAUCAUGGUUGAUAUAUAUUAGGUAUGAGAGAUGAAAGACCUUUUACUAGGGUCUCCGAAUCAUUGUCUUAUCCACCAUUCCAUCAUUGGUGAUAUGAAUUUCCUUUAUUGUACUGAUAUGGGUUGUUCAUCAUUCAUUCCACUUUCUCAUUUCCUUAUUUUGUAUCCCAUCACCUCUUUCCAAAUCUUCAUUCCACCUUUUAUCCAUUUCCUACAUAUUGAUACACAUUUCUAGUUCGAUACCUUCUACAAAUCAUUCACAUGUUUCAUUGAUGGUUUGACUACUUAUCCUUUCUCUCGUUCCACCAUCAACAUUUCGUUUAGUUACCGUUAGGUCCAUGGAUCAUGAGAUUUUUCUAUGCAUUAUAUCUUGUACACAAGGGUAUGGGUUUAAUCAUUGGGUAUUUUAGCCUAGUUUCCCUUCAUUUCUUUUACCUUAUCACCCUGGCCUACGUUAUGUCCCAUGCCUUAAGACCACCUUGAGGCUAUGAGAUUAGAUGCUAUCUUUGAAAACAUCUACUUAGGUUGGUGUUUGGGAUUUGGUUAACAUAUGGACGUCGUCCUGUUUCUUCUUUUAGGAGAUGUUUAUUUUAUGUUUGGAGGUGAUUUAGUGAUGGAUGUAGAUGAUUGCUUCAUAUUAUGGAUGAUAUUUGAACUAUCAUAUUGGGGCAUAUUUCCCUUUCAUUUGGUUGAGAUGAGCCCCUACUUUGAGCCUGGGCAUUUUCAUCGAUCGGAGAUCCCUAAUGGAGUAUGUUGAGAUGACAUUAGUUCUAGUGGAGCAUUGUUGAGCUCAUUGACCAUUUUCAUGAUUCUAGGUUCCAGUUGCAGAGUAUUUCUAAGAUGGACUAGUGGAUUAUUGUUGAGCUGGGGAUAGUUGAUUGAUGAUGUUAGAUUCAAUCUUUGUUAUGCACCAGAUAUCCACAUUGGGGCAUAUUUUCCCUUUUUCUGAGAUCCUUAGUCGUGGUUGGGUUGUGUGGCUAUCCUUGAUCUUAAUUAUUAAGAUGUUUGAUUGAUGCUAGUAGAUGAUUCAUUGACAAUGACAAAUGUUUGGUUGAUGAUGUCAUAUUCUUUGUUUCGUAUUAGAUAUCCAUAUUGGGGCAUAUUCCCCCUUUCCUUGUCAAGAUUUUAUUUGCACAAUGGUAUGAGGAUGGAUGAUUAAUGUUGGUUAUUUACCUCAUGACUUUGACAUUAGAUCUUAUAUUAGGUCAUAUUUCUCCAUUUUCUUUGAGUAUCCUUGAGAUUGGGACAACAACCAGCUUGGUUUUAGAUUGAGUACUAGUAUGGGGCUUCCGACGAUUGAUUGUAUCAGAACCACCCUACAUGGAUUUUUUGAGACAAAGAUGGAUCCCAUCAGGUUUCAUUCGAGGAGCAUAGGUGGAUCCUUUAGCCAGAUGCUCAUGAGAUAGAUUGCUUUCAUCAUUGAUCACCUUAUGGAUUAGGUUAUCCAGAUGAGCAAUAUUUUUUUAGCACUUUGAGAUAUGCUUUUAGAUAAGUUGCGAUACACACUCCAAGAUUUACAUUUUGAGGUUUGUCGCCAGAGCAACUUAUGAGACAUAGAGAGUUCUUUCAGUUAAGAUUUUUCAGAGGUUUGUCAUGAUGCAUUAGUUUCUGACUCAAUGAUUUCAGCGGAUGCUUGAUUCACUAGUUGUUUUAGCAGUACGAGCACCCUGGAUACUGGGGCAUAUUUCUGUUCCUAAGUUUAUUAGUCUAACCCUUAGCAUUUUAAGCAUUCAACUUUGAGCCCAUUUGCUUCCUAUCCACUUUCGAGUUGGUCUUCAUUUUUUUUUCCAUUUCAAGCCUAAAGCUCGCGACCUAGAGUUAAUUUUCAUUUAUCACCUAGAGUCAUUUCUUUUCCAUUUAGUGCCUAGAGCUCUUGACCUACAAUCGAUUUUCAUUUAUGACCUAGAGUAAUUUCUUUUCCAUUUAGAGCCCGAAGCUCUUGACCUAGAGUCAUUUUUCAUUUAUGACCAAGAAUCACUUCUUUUCAAUUUAGAGGCUAGAGCUCUCGACCUAGAGUCGAUUUUCAUUUAUGACACAUAGUCAUUUUUUUUCCAUUUAGAGCCUAGAGCUCUCGACCUAGAGUUGUUUUUCUCAUUUACGACCCGAAGUCAUAUCUUUUCCAUUUAGAGCCCAGAGCUCUCGACCUAGAGUCGUUUUUCAUUUAUGACCCAGAGUCAUUUCUUUUCCAUUUAAAGCCCAAAGCUCCCGACCUAGAGUCAUUUCUUUUCCAUUUAAAGCUUAGAGCUCCCGACCCAGAGUCGAUUUUCAUUUAUUACAUAGAGUCAUUUCUUUUCCAUUUAGAGCUCGGAGGUCUCGACCCAUAAUCAAUUUUCAUUUAUGCCCAAAAGUAAUUUCUUUUUCAUUUAGAGCCUAGAGCUCUCGACCCAAAUUCGAUUUAUAUUAAUGAACCAGAGUCAUUUCUUUUCCAUUUAGAGCCCAGAGCUCUCAACCCAGAGUUGAUUUUCAUUUAAGACCCAUAGUCAUUUCUUUUCCAUUUAGAGCCAGAACUCUCGACCCAGAGUCGUUUUUCAUUCAUGACCUGGAGUCAUUUCUUUUCCAUUUAAAGUGAGAGCUUUCAACCCAGAGUCGAUUUUCAUUUAUGACCUAGAGUCAUUUGUUUUCCAUUUAGAACCCAGAGCUCUCAACCUAGAGUCGAUUUUCAUUUAUGACCUAGAGUCAUUUCUUUUCCAUUUAAAGCCCAGAGCUCUCGACCUAGAGUCAAUUUUCAUUCAUGACACAAAAUCAUUUCUUUACCAUUUAGAGACCAGAGCUCUCGACCCAUAGUCAAUUUUCAUUUAUGACCCUGAGUAAUUUCUUUUCCAUUAGAGUCAGAGCUCUCGACCCAGAGUCGAUUUUCAUUUAAGACCCAGAGUAAUUUCUUUUUCAUUUAGAGCUUAGAGUUCUCCACCUAGAUUCGAUUUUCAUUUAUGAUCAAGAGUCAUUUCUUUACCAUUUAGAGCCCAAAGCUCUCGACCCAAAGCUCUCGACCCAAAGUAGUUUUUUUCAUUUAUGACUUGAAGUCAUUUCUUUUCCAUUUAUAGCCCAGAGCUCUCGACUUAGAUUUGAUUUUCAUUUAUGACCCAUAGUCAUUUCUUUUCCAUUUAUAGUCCAGAUCCCUUGAUCGAGAGUCGUUGUUCAUUUAUGAUCCAGAGUCAUUUUUUUCCAUUUAGAGCCCAGAUCUCUCGAUCCAGAGUCGAUUUUUAUUUAUGACCCAGAGUCAUUUCUUUUCCAUUUAGUGCCUAGAGCUCUCGACCUAGAGUUGAUUUUCAUUUAUGAAAGUCAUUUCUUUUCCAUUUAGAGCCUGGAUUUCUCGACCUAGAGUCGAUUUUUUAUUUAUGACCCAGAGUCACUUUUUUUUCUUAUAGAGUCUAGAGCUCUUGAUCUAGAGCGGUUUUUCAUUUAUGAACUAGAGUCAUCUUUUCCAUUUAGAGCCUAGAGCUCUCGACCCAAAGUCAUUUUUCAUUUAUGACCGAGAGUCAUUUCUUUUCCAUUUAGAGCCCAAAGCUCUCGACCCAAAGUCGAUUUUUCAUUUGUGACCUAGAGUCACAUCUUUUCCUUUUAGAUCCCAGAGCUCUUUAGCUAGAGUCGAUUUUCAAUUAUGAUCCAUAACCAUUUCUCUUCAAUUUAGAGCUCGGAGCUCUCUACCCAAAGUCGAUUAUGACGCAGAGAAAUUUCUUUUCCAUUUAAAGCCUAGAGCUCUCGACCGAGAGUGAAUUUUCAUUCAUGACACAGAGCCAUUUCUUUACCAUCUACAACCCAAAGCUCUCGACCCAAAGUCGAUUUUCAUUUAUGACCCAGAGUAAUUUCUUUUUCAUUUAAAGCCCAGAGCUCUCCACCUGGAGUCGAAUUUCAUUUAUGAUCCAAAGUCAUUUCUUUUCAAUUUAGAGCUCAGAGCGCUCGACCUAAAGUCGUUUUUUUCAUUUAUGACCCAGAGUCAUUUAUUUUCUAUUUAGAGCCCAGAGCUCUCAACUUAGAGUCGUUUUUUUUUAAUUUAUGACCCAAAGUCAUUUCUUUUCCAUUUAGAGCCCAAAGCUCUCGAUCCAAAGUCGAUUUUCAUUUAUGACCUUGUGGAUCCUCCCCCAAUCCAUCGAUUGGCGCGACUCGCGAAUUAAAGCAAUGAGGUGAUUGUGGAUAAAAAGUGGUUUUCGAGUUUUAGAAAAUCCAUCCCGACCAGGAACGAUUUUCGUUUGGAGUCGCCACUUACUUUUUAUUUUUAUUUUUGAAAUGGGGAAAAUUAAAUAAGAAUAAAAACCCCUCAAUGACUCCAUUUAGGAAAAAACGGUCCGCAAAACUAGAUUUUUGGGUCCAGGGAUUAGGUUACCUAUCAGGAAGGUACCCCAUACAAGGUAGCACCCCUUUAGGCCUGGAAUCCGGUCUCUACUAGUGAAUUGGGUACAUUGGAGCAUACGGGUCGAAGAUCAGGCAAUUUCACCAUGGGUAUUAUGAAUGAAAAGACUUGCAAUUCUAGUCGGUAUUCGGUACACAUAGGAAAUUAAUAACCAAAACAAAGUUGUGUACCUGAGGUCCCUAGUCAUGCGUUGCGAGAAAGGGUUAGUCAAUAAGCAUAAGCACAUAAUAUAGGCGAAUUCCAAAUUUACUAAAAUUUCCAUCCAUGACCAAACUAUAUAUAUGUAAUCUCUAGGCUCUACCCAAUGGCCACCAAACGCAGCCAUGACUCUGGACUAUGUGGUUAAAAAUUUAGCUACUCCUAUUCCAUUGGUUUUCAGCUAAGGGCUAACAUCUUUCUCACUUGAACUUCAUCCCCUAAUAAUUGGAAUUUUGGAAACUUUGGAAAUUUUUGGAAAUGACACUAAAAAAUUGAAUCCAGACUUUUCGCAACAUUGGAAAUUUUUGGAAAUUGACACUUUUUGAAACCUUUGGAAAUUUUUGGAAAAUGACACAAGAAAAAAAAAUUAAAUCUGAAAAUUUUGAAACUUUAGAAAAUUUUCGAAAUUGACACUAAAAAAAUAAAUCUGAAAUUUUCGAAACUUUUGGAAAUUGACACUAAAAAAAUAAAUAAAUAAAUCCAAAAUUUUCGAAACUUUAGAGAUUUUUCGGAAAUGACACUUAAAAAAACAAAUCUAGAAUUUUUGAAACUUUAGAAAUUUUUUGGAAAUGACACUAACAAAAAAGAAAUCCGGAAUUUUCAAAACUUUAGAAAUUGAUGCUAAAUAAAUAAAUCCAAAAUUUAGAGAUUUUUCGGAAAUGAUAUUAAAAAAACAUAUCCGGAAUUUUCGAAACUUUAGAAAUUUUUUAGAAAUGACACUAAAAAAACCAAUCCAGAAUUUUCAAAACUUUAGAAAUUUAGAUAUGGGAAUUUUUUUAAAAAAUGAAUCCGGAAUUUUUUAGAAUUUUCAGAAACUUUGGUACAGGAAUUUAAAAAAAAAAAUGAAUUUGGAAUUUUUUUGAAUUUUCGGAAACUUUGGUACAAGAAUGUUUUUUAAAAAUGAAUCCGGAAUUUUUUCGAAUUUUUGGAAACUUUGGUAUGGGAAUUUUUUUUAAAUGAAUCCGAAUCUUUUCGAAUUUUCGGAAACUUUGGUAUGGGAAUUUUUAAAAAAUGAAUCCGGAACUUUUUUGAAUUUUCGGAAACUUUGGUAUGGGAAUUUUUUAAUAAUGAAUCCGGAUCUUUUCGAAUUUUUGGAAACUUUGGAAGAUUUUGGAAAUGUUAAGUUGGGAAUUUGGAAAAUUGGAAAUAUGGGAAAUGAUAUUUUAAAAGUUAAGUUGCAUGUGGAAAAUUGGAAAUGUAGGAAAUGAUUUUUUAAAAGUUAAGUUGCAUGUAGAAAAUUGGAAAUGUGGGAAAUGAUAUUUUAAAAGUUAAGUUGCAUGGGGCUGUGCAUGUGAGGUAUAUGAACUGAAUGGGAGGGGUGAACGUAGGGGAGGAAUUGUAGUGAGAGGUAUUUGGUGCUGUUUGGAGACCUUAAGCUUCAUGUGACUGUGGAGUGGCUUUAAGCCAUAUGUGGGUUGCAUUUGGUGGCCGUUUGGAAACCUUGGGCUUCAUAUGGGCAAUGGGGUGACUCUAAGCUGCAUGUGGGCUGCAUGUGGAGGCUUUAGGCUAUGUAUGUGGGCUGUAGGUGAGGGUGCGGAAGCUAUGGGUGCGUGUGAGGAUGAGGUGUGACUUGUACGGGUGGUCAUGGUAGGGUGAGGGGAUGUAUGUGGUAGUGUGGGCUGCACAAUGGGUGAGUUGUGGGCUGUAUGGGAGAUGAGUUUCAUGAAGACUGAACAGUGGAGGAGGUAGAGAGAGAAGUGGGUUUGGUGGGUAUGGAAGAUGAAAACAUCUCCUCUCCCUUUUUGAAAAAAUCUCCACUGUAAAGAAACCAUGAAACAUCCAAAAUCAACAACAACAUGUGACCUCUAAUGGCCACCCCAAUCAUACAAACAAAUAUCAGUAAUAGUAAAUAAAAGAAACGUAGAAAAGAGUAGAGAUUUUCACACUGAGUCACUUACCUCUAAGUUGAUGUAGACCGACGUAUAUUUCUCAAGAAUCCCAAAACUAGUGAGUUUUCAUCUUCUUCAAACCUCCCAUAUCUUCUCUUCCUCCUUUUUUUUUUUUUUUCCUUCCUCCUUUCUCUCUUCCAGUCCCUAGACUCUUCUACCCCAUCUCAAAACGUCUUCUCUCCCUUUUUGAAAAAAUCUCCAUCUCUUCCCCAUGCCGAGAAGACCCAUCGGAAACCUCCAUUUUUCUCUUUUCCAAUAUUCGUCUUUCACUCUUCUUUUCUUUUUUCAAAAGAAACAAUCUCUCUUCCCAUGCAUUUUGCCAGCUUCCCAAGUAUCCAUUUUUCAUUUUUCAUUUUUCCAUAAAACAUUUUUUUUUUUUUUACCUUCCCAUGCAGUCCACUGACUUUCCUUUUCUACUUUUUUUUUCUUAAAGUAAAUAAAGCUUUUAUACAAAAUGAAAAUAAAAUGACAUAGUAAAAGCAUAAUAUAAAUAAAUAAUAAUGAUAAUAAGAAUAACAAAUACAAUGAUAAAAAAAUAAUAAUAAUGAUUAUAAUAAUAAUAAGGAUAAUAAUAAUAUUAAUAUUAAUAUUGAUAAUAAUAAAAACAACUAGUAAUACUAGUACUAAUAAUAAUAAUAAUAUAAGAUGUCCAAUCACCUACAAUUUUCUGAAAAUAAAUAAGUGGAUGAAUAAAUAAAUAAAGAAGGAAAAAUAAAUAAAUACCACACCACAUAAAAAUAAUCUAAAUAUUAAACUAAAACACAAAAAAAUAAAAAUAAAAAAAUAAAAAAAUGAAAAAAAAAAAUAGAACAUCAAGCUGAUACAAUUAAACAUCGAAAACUCAUCUCAGGCAAUCGAAAUAAAAUAAUAAAGAAAUAUCAAGCUAAAUACUCACCUAGUCUCAAAAAUUCAUAAAUCAAGAAACUAAUCUUAGAGAAUUAAGCUCACAAAAAAUAUCUAAGUGACAUGGGUGACCUAAGUGGAAAGUGCCAAGGUGAACUAAGUGGAAACUAAACCAAGGAGGUGUCCAAGUGAUAAAAAAAAACAUGCAAAGUGACUUAGGAGUGUACCUACCGGGCCAGAUGUAUCUUAAUAGGCCUAUGGUGCUAAGAAAACCAAAAACAAACCGGUUGAUCUAGUUUAUAAAAAAUUCUCAAAUUUUGACAGAAUAUCCCUUGAGAAUUAAGGAAUCCAACAAAAAAACGGUGCGCAAUUCCGAGCUCGGAUGAGGGAGAAAUGACUUAAACAAGAUAGAGUGCUCCCGACUUGGAUGGGCUUCAGUGAGUUUUAAAUAAACUAAUGUGGAGACCCUAACUCCUGACCUGUAGCAAUGAUAUGAACCAAGGAAUUGACCAUGAUGGCAUUUCAUAAUGGACCAAACGCUUUUACUAAAUUGGAUAGCAGAUGAACCUACACAAGGCUCAAAAAUCGAUUAAGCCCAAAAUGAGGCCAUAGCGGUGCCAUACGGAAAAAAUUGGGUGCUUGUGACACCCCUAAGAUAAAUGCAAGUGUCGAAAGACAAAAUUGAGGGUCUACAAAUAUGCCCCUCUUCAAUAGAGUGAAUGAACAAGUGAAACACGAGUGUGAAGUGCACGUAAUGAAUGAGUGAAAUGAACUCUAGUAAAGAAUUCAAAUGACCAACAAUUUUAUCCCCACACAACAAUAAAGAAGGCUAAGGGAAAUGAGUCAUGCUGACCGAAUGGACUAGAGGAUCCAGGCACAAUGCCGGAGAAAGCUAAAGGAAUCUGGACAUAAUGCCAGAGAAGACUAAAGGAAACCGAACAUGAUGCUUGAAAAUAUUAGGAGAUCCGGACACAAUGUCGGAUUAGACUAAAGGAAAAUGGAUCAAGUUCGGGCGAGUACUGAAGAAGGGUUUGGGCGAGUACCGGGAAAGGGGUCCGGGCGAGUACCGGAGAAGGGUUCGGGCGAGUACCGGAGAAGGGUUCGGGCGAGUACCGGAAAAUAGUCUGGGCAAGUACCGGAAAAGGGUCCAGGCGAGUACCAAAGAAGGGUCCAGGCGAGUACCGGUAGAGGGGUAGAAUCCGGGUGAGUACCGAAAAAGGGUCCGGGUGAGUACCAAAAAAGGGUUCGGGCGAGUACCGAGAAAGGGGUUCAGGCGAGUACCGGAGAAGGGUUUGGGCAAGUACCGGGAAAGGGGUAGAAUCCGAGUGAGUAUCAAAAAAGAGUCCGAGCGAGUACCAGAAAAGGGUCCGGGCGAGUACCGAGAAAGGGGUCUGGGCGAGUACCAUGUAUACAUUUGAAGUAUCAAUCCCGAUUUCAUUUGUGAAUACUUUUGAAGCCAAUGGCUUUUCAACGCUUAACUUGUUUGGUUUAAACAUGAAUUGUACUAUUGUUAACCUUAGCUAUGAAUUCAUCACUAACUUCUAUAUAUAAGUCGUAAUAUAUGCAAUACAUUGAAAAUAGUUAGGUUUGACGAAAUAAUGUACAAUCAAUUGAAACUAUUUUUGGCAUAGCCAAUUUAACAGUGUCCCUCAAUCCACGAGAAAGCGAUGUCGAUGUGCAUUAUGUGAUGAAAGCAAAAAUCUCCCCAAUAUCUUCAAUCUAUACUUCUUAAUCUUGCCCUGCAUUCAUUAAUGUUUAAAAGGCAUAUUAGGAAAUGUUAAAUAUUUUGGCCAUGGAAUGCAACUUUGAUAUAAUCAUGGUAUAUUAAAAUCGUGUAUGGACAUAACACAUUGAUGGAUUUCGAGAGUCCUCCAUUUGACCAGUUGUCCAUGAAUUUCAUAACAAAUACUUCGUAGUCAUUACUAACACACAAAGUAACAAGUAAUUAUUUAUUAGGCGUGACAUGGCAACUAUAAUAUACAUAAAUUGCCUUGCAAUCAAAUUUAAAUCUAGUUACGGACUGCAAAGUAAACACUAACUCAUUUGGCUGACAUGGUACGUUUGGCAUGACAAAGCGGAACAUCUUCAAGUCUACAUCCACCAUUUGUUUCUUGUAGGCAACAAGCCAUAGAACAACCUUGGCCUUAAAUAAUGAAUGUAGAUGCAUUCAAACUUCCCAUCUUAGGUACAAUGGAAGCAACAAAGAUUACGGAACUAGCAGCUACUUUACCAAAUUUUGUUGUAUCCUACUCAUACAACUCCUUCUCCUUCCUAGUCGAGAAUCCAAGAGCUGGAUUUGUUUGUUAUGCAAGUCAUAAACAUAAAGCGUCCAAUGGUUUUUGAGAAGAACCGGUAAGUAGACCUGCAUGAUGCCACUCAGAAUGUAUUACAACAUACAUUAGGUGAAGGAGAUGACAAGUGUAGAAACAUCGAACAAUGCAUUUAAGCUGACCUCAUUAACAUUCUGAUAUGAAACAUAUAAGUGAUACAAAUAUGGCUCAAAACGGCCAAUUGUUGUGUCGUGCGUCAAAUGUUUGGCGUUGGAACGCAUGACCAUUUCUUGCAUAUGAUAUGAAAAAAGUUUAAGUUUUAAAGGGUAGGGAAACUUCUUGACAUGUUAUAACAACAAAUCAUUGAAUUGUAGUGUCCAUCAAAGGCCUCCAUUACAACUAUGUAUGGCGAAAGAAAGAGUUUGGUCCUUGAUACAUCAUUGAAUUGAAACAUUCUACAAUACGCAUCCACGACCUAAGAUAAGAAGUGAUUAAUAUUUAAGCAAUAUUCAGAGCGACUAAUGACAAGAUGUUACAUGAAUAUUAAAUUAAAAAUAUUGCAAAGUAAUGGAGAAAUUGAUAUAUUAACAUGAUUGCCAAUCCAACUGUCUCCUUGGAAAGAGGCAAGGUUGCCUCUGCUUAAACUCGUGUCAUGCAUUGAAACAAGUUCCUCACUGUCAACAAAACCAUAAAUGUUAGGGUAAUACCAAAUAUGUGGAGGUGAAUACAUUUGAAAGUGGAGUAUUAUAUGCUAUGUUAAACCUCGGGUCCAAGUCCCCAUAAAAAACAAUUGCAGCUGCUUGUUUGAGGUCCAUCUUAAUGGAAAACUGGCGGGUUUGUGGCUGCACUAUGAAUGACGACAAUAGAUUGGGAGCCAACUGACACACUCUUCGUCGCCUCCCACUCCUAUCAGAUGGGGCCACAACCAUGGAACGCAAAGGCAACUGUUCAUAGACAACUACUUCUUCAUCAGCUGUUAGUUUGGAGUAACAACAGUUAAUUCAUAAUGAAAGGUAAUAUAAUAUGAGUUAUUAUGUACACAUUCAUGUAGUAAUAAAUGUCCCCCAUACUGUUACCAAUAACUUAUGGAUGUCGAAUUGGUGUGUCAGGUACCUCUUCAGUGCCAUGGGAUGCCAUGUCAUCUCCGCCAUAGUCUAAAUGCGGUUCGGCCUCCAGAAAUUCAUAGGCUGCAUAGCUUGAGUGAUCAGCAGCAGGUGAAGGUUGACUUCAUUCUUUUCGGCCAUCCAAUGUAUGCAUCAGACCACACAUGAUGCCAAGCUGUUGUUGAAUGCCCUUUUGAUAUGCAUUUAUUGCGCGUUCUGCUGCAUAGUGUUUCUCCAAUAAUUCCUAUGACAUGUUAACGAAUAGCUUGCACAUAAAUUACUAUAAAAAUAUUGAAGAAAAAUAUUUAUAACCAAUGAUUUAAAACAAUGCAAUCAGUAAACCUAAUUGUAAUGGCAUUCAGACGGAGUUAAUUCAUAAAGUAACAAACAGUAUCCGUAUAUGACUACUUGUCGGGCCACUCUCAGACACCACAUGUGUACGAGGCGGUGACGAAUUAUCAAACCCCUAUAAUUGAGAACAUGACACAAAUUAAGAACGUAUAAACCUUCAAGGUAUUCAAUUUCUAUGUCAUCAAAUUACAUAACAAAAUGAAUGUAGAAUAAAUGGCUACCUUGCCAUGUCCAAAACUACCAAACUAACUGAUCUCAGCAGCUAAGCGCUCCUUUAUCAACUCAUCCGACCAUCCGGAGAGGAAGGGCAUUGUCACGGGAACAUGAAUCGAAAGAAUCUUGGAUUUAAUUACGUACUGAAGCUGCAUAAUGGAAAUAAACAUAUGUGGAUUCGUUACUUGAUGGUAGUGAUGUGAACAAUUUAAAAGUGACCAAGUUAUCAAUGUAAAAGAAGGGCAAUACCUAGAGGAAGAGGAUGCAACCAUGUACCCAAACACUGUUCCGUUGUUUAAAUUGUCUAAUACCCUCAACCAGCUGGUGAACAACAAAUUGGCCCCAAUUGACAUCGUUUCGAAAACCAUCUUCAUGGAUGGUAUGCCAUAAGUUUCGGCAUCCAUCUAUCCUUGACAUUGGCGCCAAUAUCGUCGCACAUGCGUAGUAAAGGAAGCAUCUACGGAACUCCUCCUCGACAGGUAAGUUGAGGAGUCUCUCCUCACAAGUGUUGAGUGUACCGAACGGAUGCUUAGAUAAGGUUGAUGCAAUUUGUAGAAUCCAUCCGCUUGUCAGGAGGCCAAAUACAAGGCCAACAUCUAUAGCAGUCAGAUCAUAGCUUUUGUCGGAUGAUAUGUCUAUGUGUCUGAAGCCAACGUUAAAAUGGUCGAUCAACCAUAGACAUAUAUUAUGUCAUAUCUCAUUUCAAUUUAAGUUGAGAAGACCUCCAAACUGAAGGUCUUGAACAACUUCCAAUUUAUCAAUUGGCAGCCUGUUGCAUAGUUUUAAGAAUCUUGAAGAUGAACAACAUGUGAACAAUCUUGUGUACUGCAUUAAAAGUGUAGGACAUAAUUAGUAUCUUACACAUGCAUUUUAGUAAUCAACAUAAAAAUAAAAAAGACAAUAUGAAUACAUAAACGUGGUGGAAAAAGAAAUACAAUUAAAUGAACUAACAAACAAAAUAAUGUGGAUGAAUAAUUUACAACUGGGAUGUUUAUGUGAUAAUGAAUAUGUAAGACCCAUAACAAGUAAUUGUGUUAAGUAGGUUAAAAUAUCAAGUAUCCAAAAUAAGGUAUGAAAAAUAAAAACGAAGAAAUAAUGCAAUACCUCCGUAGUGGCCAUUGAAGAAUGAAUUUAUUGCUGGAGGUUUGAACCUUAGAAGAACCGGUAACUUCAAAAGGGUGUUAUAGUAGUUAUCGAUGACUUGGAGAGACUACUAAUAAAGGGAAAGGUCAUUUCACUAUUCGUACCAUUAAUCAGUUAGAUAAAUUUGGUAAGGCUAUACCAUAUUCAGAUGUAUAAGGUAAAAAUAAAUAAAAUAAAUAAAAAAAACCAAUUGAGGAAAGCGUUAAUAGUUUGGGUGCAAACACGUGUGUGAAGUACUAUGCUACUGCCAACAGAUCAUAUAAAUUACAAGAUAAUAACUGCAAUGCUUACAAUGUGCGUAACAAGUAUAUCUCAUUGAAGACAAAUAGAAAGACAAUUUUUAGUAGGUGGCAUGAAUUCAUGCCACAUUCAAAUAGGUGGAACCACAAAUGCUUGAUAAUGUAGACACACUGAUGGAAUUAAAUAACAACUUAAAAGAAACCACAUUCAAAUAGCACUUUCAAUUAAGUAGGUUAAGCAAACAAACUAUAAAUCAUGAAAAUAACAAGAUAGUGCAUCGUGCCUAUAACCAGGCCAAUACAUAAGAACGAAAAACAACAAUACUGUACCAUAUACCCUACAAUAGAAUGUAUGGGCUGAUACAAAUUAUGAGAAUCGUACAAGCAUAAAAAAGGCACAUGUCACGACAACGCAUUAUUACAUUUAGAGUGGUUGUGACCUAUGCCAUUGCAUCAAGAGCAAUGAAUUGCUCUCUUAUGACUAAACUAUGACUCAACACGUCUUUGGCCGGGUCUUCCUGGAGGACGUCUCACAUGAGGGGGUUGGAAAGCAGGAAAGAAGUUGUCGGCGUAAUCUUGCAAACUCCCAUCCUCACAAACUUUUGACAUAUUAUGUGUUGGGAAUGGUUGAAACUGACCUGAGUAAAUCAAAUGUUGGGUGGAGACAUUAAAACAUGGGUCAAUAUAGUCAUACACCUCGUGUCUGAGUAUGCGGAUGACAGUACAUACAUGUGAACAUGGCAAGCCGGACAUUUGCCAUGUCAUGCAAGUACACGUACAUUGAUUGAUAUCGACAACCAAAUAAACCUCCCCGGUAAACACCUUAAACGUCCCCCCCAAAUAUGGCAACACACUAAUCGAACCAGACCUCAUGAUAUUUGACAUUAGCUUCUCUUCAGUUUUCGGUCCAAUCACGCUCUUCCACUUUUGCGUACCAUGCAUAUGGGUGUCCAACAUGGCUACAAGCUUAUCCAUGUGCAUUAACAUUAACGUAUAAAUUUUUUGGUGACGCUCAUCUCUUAACCAUGCAUUGAAGGACUCUGCAAUGUUAGUUGUCAUUUUAUCCCAUCGUUUUUUUAGAAACUUUGACAUUGCCCAAUGUUUCGGAUUGUUUUCCACAACCCAUUUAUCGAGGUUGUCAUUGAAGCGCACAAGUUUUUCAAAUGCCUCGUUGUAGUCUAUCUCCAACCUAGCAUAUGCAAUGCUAUCUAGAAGUAACAAAGCAUCUUCUUUCCAUUUCUUUCCUCUAAUGUUUUUCUUAUUCAAGAAGCUAGAAAAUUUUUCCUUAACAUGUCGAUAACAAUAUGCAUGAUUUCCUAUCCCGAACAACUCGGAAACACUACGCAAGAUUCCCUAAUGUCUAUCAGAUAUAAUAACAACUUCCUUACCAUCUAAGACCCCUUUUAAUUUCUCCAAAAACCAAUACGAAUCCUCAUAAUUUUUUGAACUGACCACACCAAGGGCAAGAGAGAACAUUCCAUCAUUUGCAUCAUAUGUAAUGGUGGACAAAAGAACUCCCUUAUAUGGUUCGCUUAGAUGGCAAGAAUCAAUAGUCAAUACUCAUAGACACCCCUUGAUGAACCUUUGAAUUGAAAAUGCAUGGGUAAUGAACAAUUGCAUGAAGUGACCUUCGUCGGAAGUGUACUCCGCAAUUGUGCCAGGGUUGAUUUCCCUUAGCCUAUGGCAUAACCAAGAGACAAAUGUGUAGGACUCACAUGGAGCUCUAUAUAUGCGCUCUUUUGCCUUCUCUUUAAGGUGCCAUGCUUGGUUAUAUGUCAAUUGAACUCCAUGAUCACGUUCAAAAUCCUUACAAAUUUGACGAGGAAUAUAGUUUGGAGUGGUUCUAAAAACAUCUUCAACAACAACCGCGCCUCUCUUUGAAGAAACCUUGACCUUAGAUGAACACUUGUCCUAAGCUAUAUGAUUAUGAUUCACUUGGUAAGUAUGAACUCGCAAGAUGACAUUUCCCUCUAUAACGUGAGCUGUUAUUUUCCAAGGACAACUGUGGACCCUUACCCGAUCCACCGGACCGACGCGACUCGCUUUUAAAAGAAAAGAAAGAAAUGAAAAAGUUGGUGUUUUCCAGUUUUGAAAAACCCACCCCCGGUGAGGAACGGUGUUGUUUGGAGUCGUUACUUACUUUUUAUUUUUGUUUUUAAAAUGAGGAAAAUUAAGUAAGAACAAAAACCCCUAAUGACCUCAGUAUGGAAAAAACGGUCUAUGAAAACUAGAUUCUGGGUCCGGGGAUCAGGUUACCCGUUGGGAAGGUACCUCAUGCGAGGUACCACCCCUCUAGGCCCGAAACUCGGUCUCUACUAAUGAAUUGGGUAUGUGGGAGCAUAUGGGUCAAAGGUCAAAUGAAACCCUAGGUUAAAUAGAUGUCAUGAAUCACAUAAUCCUAAUUGGUAUUUGGCAUGCAUAUGAAUUCAACCAAACAAAAAAAUGGGUGCGUAUCUGUGGUCCCUAGCCAAGCGCUGCAUAAAAGGUCAGCCAAACACAGAUAAACACAUAACAAACAUUCAAGAUUAAGCACCAUGCAUGCAUAUGAAUUCAACAACCAAAGCCAACGAUGCGUACCUGUGGUCCCUAGCCAAGCGCUGCAGCAGAGAGUGAGUCAGUCACGCAACAUGUAUUCAAAAUCAAGCAUCAAAGCUUGUGCCAAAAAGGAAGAUAGCUGGUUGAAAUGAGGUAAGGGACUCCCCAAAUGUCAUACAAAUCGAACUAGACUCAUCUAGACCACACCACCCAUAACUUCCAAAUUGCCCAUACUAACUGAAAUCAAACACUGACUUAAACCUUCAAGAUGGCUCACAAGUGCCCUAUAUCAAAUGGGUUUGAGCCCCCAUGGAUAAGGGCUCGAAAAAUGCCAAAAUCGAGGGCUACCUAAAGUCCUCCAGCAGAACAGUUUGAACUAGUUCUCAACUGGUACAACCUAUUGAGAAGAAUUCCCAAAUUUUUCUAGAAAACUCCUAAAUGAGUGAGGAUUCAAACAAAAUAAAUGACACUCAAUCCCGAGCCCGGAUGAGUGAGAACCAGACAAAGAAAGGCAAGUGUUCCUCAUGGCUGAUAGAGGUAGACAGCUAUGGUGCUGAACCUGUUGAACCGGUUCCCAACUAGUUCAUCCGGUUGAUAAAAAAUACCAAAUUCGGUCAGAAAGUUCCUAAGUGAUUAAGGAAGCAAAAAAAAAGAAACGGUUCUCAAUUCUGAGCCCGGAUGAGUGAGAACCAGACAAAGAAAGGCAAGUGUUCCUCAUGGCUGACAGAGGCUGCCAGUUAUGGUGCUGAACUGGUUGAACCGGUUGGUAAAAAAUCCCAAAUUCGGUCAGAAAGUUCCUAAGUGAUUAAGGAAGCAAAAAAAAUAAACGGUUCUCAAUUCCGAGCCUGGAUGAGUGAGAACCAGACAAAGAAAGGCAAGUGUUCCUCAUGGCUGACAGAGGCUGCCAGCUAUGGUGCUGAACUGGUUGAACUGAUUCCAAACCGGUUCAGCCGGUUGGUAAAAAAUCCCAAAUUCGAUCAAAAAGUUCCUAAGUGAUUAAGGAAGCAAACAAAAGAAACAUUUCUCAAUUCCGAGCCUGGAUGAGUGAGAACCAGACAAAGAAAGGCAAGUGUUCCUCAUGGCUGACAGAGGCUGCCAGCUAUGGUGCUGAACCGGUUGAACUGAUUCCAAACCGGUUCAGCCGGUUGGUAAAAAAUCCCAAAUUCGAUCAAAAAGUUCCUAAGUGAUUAAGGAAGCAAACAAAAGAAACGUUUCUCAAUUCCGAGCCCGGAUGAGUGAGAACCAGACAAAGAAAGGCAAGUGUUCCUCAUGGCUGACAGAGGCUGCCAGCCAUGGUGCUGAACCGGUUGAACCGGUUCCAAACUGGUGCAGCCGGUUGGUAAAAAAUCCCAAAUUCGGUCAGAAAGUUCCUAAGUGAUUAAGGAAGCAAACAAAAGAAACGGUUCUCAAUUCUGAUCCCGAAUGAGUGAGAACCAGAUAAAGAAAGGCAAGUAUUCCUCAUGGCUGACAGAGGAUGCCAGCUAUGGUGCUGAACCGGUUGAACCGGUUGGUAAAAAAUCCCAAAUUCGGUCAGAAAGUUCCUAAGUGAUUAAGGAAUAAAAAAAAAACAAUCAUGUGUGGCCUUUAUUAUCCACACCCAAGCAAUACAAUCUUCAUAUCAAAGGGAAGAAAAGAUGAUGAGGAAGGAGAAAAAACAUAUGAAGACGAGGAAGAUUUACUGUAAGUAAAGAAAAUUCAGCAUGCUUACCUCAGAAUCUCCACCAAAUAUGAUCCGUGUAUGCAGAUGAUGACUUCCAAAAUUGAGAUGCUGUCACUCUCCUCUUCAAAAAACCACAGUGCUGAAGCUUUCCCCCACGCUCUCAACUCAGAAGAUGCUACUGACCUUUUGUUUUUCUCACCAGCAAAAUUUCCCCUUUCCAAAAUGUCUCCUCCUGUCCUUUGCUCUCCUAUCCUCUCACCUUUUAUACUCAUACCCCUCUUAGCAUUUGAGCCUCCUGGAUUCCUUCCCCUUCAGCACCGAAAUCCCCUUCAUCAGCAUGGGAACCACACCCCUCAUUACUUCUCUUAAACUUACAAGGCCAGCUCACUCCUUCAGUUUUCAGCUUGUUUCACCACCAAGAAUCCAUAUGGAUUCGUGGUGGGCUGCAAGGAACCCAAACCAAGGCCAAAAAUGGACCCACAACAUUGCCCAUAACCGAUCUGGAGCUUACGGGCCUGAGCCAUGUAGGAUUUGGGCCUCAAAAUUACUAGAAUUAGUGUUUUACCUCAGCUGACUCAAUGAACCGGCUGAACCGGCCGAACCGGAUGCCAAUUGGUAUAACCGAUGGAAAAAAAUUCUGAAAAUUUGAAAUAAUGUUCCUAGUAGAGUAAGGAAUCCAUUAAAAAAAUGGUGCAUGAUUCCAAGUUCGGAAGAGGGAGAUAUGAUCAAAACAAUUACCAACAAUUAGUGUUCUACACUGGUUGACUCGAUGAACUGGCUGAACCGGCUGCCAACCAGCCGACCGGUUGCAAAAAAUUUUGAAAAUUUUACUGAAUGUUCCUGGAAGAAUAAGGAAUCCAUAAAAAGAAACGGUUCUUGAUUCCGAGUUUGGAUGAGAGAGAUACGAUCAAAACAAUCCUGAGUGCUCCGAACCUCAACAUGCCCCUAUAAACUCCAACUAAGCUAAGACAUCGGGAUGACCCCACUUCCUUCCUAUAGCGUGAUGUGAACGACUAGGAAAAUGGCCAUGGUGACCCUCCAAAAUGAACCACAUAUGCACCACAAUGGACCACAGACAAACCCACACGAGGCUCGAACACCGACUAAGCCCAAAAGGGGCCCUAGUGGUGCCAUAUGCGAACGAUGGGUGGAUGUGACACCCGAAGGAUAAAUGCCAGUGUCGAGGGACAAAAUUGAGGGUCUACAACAACCCUCAAUCGAACACUUUACAAACAUAUGCGUAGGGGAAUUUUUCUUGUACUUGUAUUCAAACCUUCCACCUAAUGACAUCUGGUAAAUUACGUUGCGAAACUCCUCAACAUUUUUAAAUGUAUGUCCUGACCCUAAUAUUGCCUCACGAAAAUGAAUCGAUUCCAUAGGGGUGUACUCACUAUCUGCACAACGCGACGCAAAACCUCUUGAUAGCAUCAUAGUAUUAGGAAUUGCAUUGCAUGAUGCAUUAGAGGAAGGAAACGACGCAGGUGGACCUCUACAUUUACAUACAUUAACAUAAUUAAACUACGUGAUGCGUAAAAGUGAUAUUCACAAUAUUUUAAAUAGACAUUCAUGUUAAAGUCCAUUACCCAAUUGCCAAUUCUGUAUUCGGUAUAUUUGCUUCAAUGGCUUCCACACAGGGUAAGUUUACUAGGUAUACAUUUGCAAAGUCAUCACUGUGGGAAACCACGUUAUCCAAGUCAUCCUCAUCUUCUAAAUCUUGGAUGACUCUAGGGUUGAACUUGAGGGUGUAGUGCAUCUUCAUCGCAUCAAAGGAGAUGUCGAAUUUCUCUAAGAUUUUUUUGGUGAAUUCUUCAAAUGGCAUUCCUUUAUAUAUGUGAAUACCUUUGCUUCUUCCACCCACGUAUUCCCAUUGCCCAUCAUUUUUUUGGACAAGUUUGCCUCCCACAAAAAUGUAUCAAUAUAUCCUAUUAGUUGCGUCCAUCAACCUAUACAAACAUAGCACAAAUUUCAUAUUAUAAAACAAACAAUUAUGCAUAUUAUAGAAAAUGGGGUUGAUCUUCUCUCCCAUGUGGCCUUUAGCUUUGAAGUUAACAUUAUUAUUAGUCGCCAUGUCAAGUAUAUAAUAAAUCAUUUAUACAGAUACUUUUCCUUUUGUUACUUUACUUAUUUAUUUAUUUUUUUUUCACAAAUUGGUUGACUCUUUCUCUGUUUUUGCAUAUUGCUAUCACCCUCUUGAUCCCAAUGGGAACAUAACAGUUACUUUUGACACUCAUAAAUGGACAUAUGAUGGCUAUGUGGUUAGUGUUUUGAAUCAAUUCAACUGAUUUGUUUCUUUAUUUGCCACUUAUAUUCAUGUUAGCUACAGAUUUCAUGAAGUUGGAAAUGAUAAUUUAUCUACACAUACUAAGUAGCCCACAAUAGCUCAUACUAUAGGGUCACCAUAACUUGGGUUUUAUCGAAGAAAGUUAACAUACGAACUAUCGUACUUAACUAGACUGCCACAUGAGGAAGUCAAUAUAAUGCUAAAAGAUUUUAUUUCAACCAAGGGAGGAAAAAUAUGUCUGCACUAAUGCAAGGGGAAAAAAAAUAUAUAACCAGUAAACAUAUGUUGCCUUUUGACUUGUUAUUGGGCAGAGACAAGGAGGCGGUGGUGAGAAAAGCAAUCAUACUUAUGAUUUCUCACUAGCACUUCUAGUCCAAUAGGGCUCUUUAAUUUUAUCCUUCUUUUAUAGGCAAUCCAAUAUGACUUGUAUAACAGCAUCAACGGCUUCACAAUUUCUUUUUUUUCUCUCUUUCAAUGGAGCUUGAAGAAGGUGGUUGGGCAGGGAAGGAAGGAGAAGGAACAUAAACCUCUAGUACCCACCGCUCAGUGUCCACUAUCCAUGGCAAAUGGCUUCCACUCUUUGUAGGCUGGUGCUCAGGGGUUAUUUUGUUAGCAGAGCGAUAAAUUGGAUCAUCUCCCUUUUUGCUAGAACUACUUGAUUAGCCCUAGUUACACAACUAUGCCAAGCUCCAACUAGUUGGUUUAUUUUGUUUAUCAACAGAGUUGAGAAUAUAAUUGUCAAUACCUAGUUUCUAUAUCCUAUUUUCUUCAGUUUUUAUCAAGUUAAUUGAAUUUGUUGGGUUCUGUCACGUACACAUGCUAGGCUAGUAUAUUUGUGUCUAUAUUCUAGUAAAUAAAGCUUUUAAGAAAGUAGCUUAACAUCAUAUCGUGGGUGACCCUCACAAGGGAGUAUACCUUAUAGGUUUUGAUCCUAAUCUGGUUUGAAAUAAUGCUUAAUAUAUAUAUAUAUAUAUAUAUAUCAAAACGUUUUACCUAAUGCUAAGAGAACUUCACUCCUCAAUUCAGACAGUAAUGCUACCUCCACAAAGUCCCACCUAACAUCAAAUACGCAACAAUGCUCACCAUGGAGGGCAUCGCCGGUGGGGAUCGAUCAGGGUACAAUAUAUGGCAAACUAAAAUGGCGAGAUAAAUUAGGGCAAUGAAGGAGUAGUAAUCACUUUUUGAGUAGUAAUCACUCCCCCCAACUAACAUAUUGCUAGUCCCUUAGCAAUGAAGGAGAGAAAAACAAAAAUUAAGACAGUAAAAUAAUUUACAAAAUCAUGUUGAUCACUCCAAAAAAUCAUAAGUGGCAUGAUUGUAAAAUAUACUUUCACAUGGAACAUUAAAGAAACAAAACCCAUCCUUCAACAAGAGGGAAUAAAAAAUCUUACCUAAUGAUAAUUCACAAAGAGUAGGCAUUAUGCAAAUUUAAGUCAUGAUAGGAUUUCCACUCUCCUAGGCUCAAUUAAUACUCUUCCACAAAAAUCUAAGUGUUAUUUAUUAGCUUCCGAAUAUAGUACUCUGAAUUAAUCUCUCCCCCCAACCUAGUUCUUUCACAGACUUUAGCAAACUGACCACUUUCAAUAGGCUAAGAACACACCUCUUUUAUUUCACAAUUUUUUUUUCUUGUAGGAGUGCAAUGCUAAAGGUAUUAUUUUCUAAAGUGUCCAUGUAACGGGGGUCCAUUGAUGACUCCCAACCAAUCAAGGUUUAGGGGAUCAAGCUUUAAGGAUCUUUUGACCACUAACUCAGAUUUUACCCCGGACUUUUGAGAUUGGAAUUUAAUACCCAAGCACCUAAAAUAUGUUAAACUCUACCUAUUCACCCUUGUAACGAGCAUUGAGGUCGGUGACUCCCAACCAAUUAAGGUUUAGGGCACCGGGUUUUAAAGAUUUUCACCAUAUACCCCUCGGACCUUGCUCGGGUUUCAAAGCAAGUAAAACACUUUGUUCUUUUUCUCUUUUUCUCUUUUUUUUUUUCAAGGCUCAUUGGCCUUUAUAAGGUGUCCCAACACUAUUAAAAACGAGGUCAAAGGUACCAAGUCUAAAUUUUUCUAAGUUCAGGAGGUGAGAUAGUUUAUCAUCUUAUAAUUGGAAUCUAAAGUGCACAGUGUGUGGUAAGAUUAAAGUGGAAGAAAAAGGUUGAAUUUAAUAGGAGUUCCAAUAAUUCAUCAACCUCAAUAAGCAUAAUACGACUCUACUAUUCAAAUAAAAAGGCAAGAAUUCAAUUUCCCUCAUUUCAUUUUUAGAAUUUUUCCUUAAUAACCAUGUAGAGUAGAGUAAAACUUUUAAAAUUAGGAAAAAAAAUUAAAAAUUUAAAAAAUUAAGUGAAAAGUAAUAAAUUAACAAGAUAACUUAGCAUUAUUAACAACUUUCUUUCUUUACUCUCCCUCCAACCAAGAUCAACAUUGUCCUUAAUGCGGCAAGAACGAUUAUAAAUAAAAGGAGGAAGUGGUACCUCCUUAGUGACAUGGAGUCUGAGUCAUAUAGGAGAAACCUUAUGAUUCAAAAAACAAAAGAUUAAUGAGUAAAGGAGAUAGAAAAGAAAAUGCCAAGUAUAAACAAAAAUGAUAUGUAUAUAUUACUUUGAGAAAGUACAAUAAAAUGAUCAUGUAAUACAUCCAAUCCUAGAAUAUAUAAUAUCAACUAAUAUACUAAGUAAAUACAAUAUAAAGAAAUGAUCAAGGAACAGGGUUCUCUGGUGGACAUGAUGGCUAUGGGGCUGUCUCGUGAGUGGCUUGGGGUGGGACAUCAGCUGUGAUGGUCUCCUCAGUUGGAAUCGUCUCCUCAGCUAGAGCUCUCGGCUCUGAUGGCCUAGGAAUAUUAGUCUGAGGUGGUGCAAGACCCAGAUGCUGUUGUAUCUGACUAAGGAUAGCAGUAUGCUGGUCAAGAAUAAUAAAAUGUCGAUCCUGCUGAGCUUGGAUAUCUCUCAUCUUCUGGAAUAAAGCAUUGUGUGUGGCAUUGAGUGUUCUGAAUAAUAAUACCAUACCAUGAAACUCUGAGCCAAAAAUGGUGAUAAAGUCCUGUGAUAGAAAAUGUGCAACUGGUGGAACAGGUGGUGUAGCCAGAGGAUCAGUAGAGGUGAUCUGAGGCAUAGAUGGUGCAGUAGGGGUGGAUGGAAUAGUCUCUGUGGGAUGCUUGUCCUACUGUGUCUGGUCAGGCUGUGCUGGUACUAGAGGUACUGGCCUGGGUAGGGCUGCUUCAGGUGUUGAUUCGACUGAAUUCCUCUCUGCUAGCUGUGUCCAUUGGUCGAGAGUGAAAUGAUUUCGGCAAUGGUGGCGGCGUUCAAGAUGGGGCUUAGUAGGGUAGCCCAUAUGCUCCAAUAUAUGGCAGAGUAGCCUUAGAAAUAGUAAUGGAAUUAUGUCAGCUCGCUGUAGCUUCUUCCUAUGAACUUUCUGAUUACUACCCAAAAAGUGCUAUUUUAUACCUUUAAUUCAAUAUCUUUUAAGCACUUUUGUGUAGUAGUUCUCCAUCUUUAUCCCAAUUGGCAUGUUAAGGACCUAGCAAUGACUUCUAAUCAUAUUUCUAGCUAGUUUUAGUGUUUUGACAGCUUUUUGGAUCAUUAAGACAAGCCAAGCAAAGGAGAGAAGCAAAGAGAAAAUGAAGAAAACAGAGGACAACAGCUGUAGUCUUAUUUCUCACUUUUGGAGCACUUUCCGAAGUCCAUUUUCUAUAUUCUAUAUUCCAUUUCAAAGCUCAGGAAGUUAAGAAUCCAACGUUUCAAACCGUGUACGAUUUGGAGUUGAAAUGAGGAAGAUAUGGCCUUCGGAAGACAACUGCUCCAGGCUUGUGCGAAAUUCGCACAACACCUUCAACUUGUGCGAAGCUUGUGCAAAACUCGCACAACACUCGCACAACACCUUCCAAAUUCGCACAGCCCAUGCGUGGUGUGAAUUUUCCUCUGUUCCGCUGACUCCACGCUAGAUAUUUUCUUUUAGAUAUUUUUGUAUAAAUUUCCAUUCUUCUCCUUGUAAUCCACCAAUCAUAAGAUUUCUUAGCUAGGAAGGUUGGAAAAACUUCUAUAUAUAUAUUCCCUUGCAUCCAUUGUAAUAUAGACGGAUAUAUAUAGACGGAUACAUAGAAACAGAUGGAGAUAUAAAUAUAUAAAUAUAUAGACUAUACAGGGCCUUGCUCUGUUUUUCUCUCUUCUCCUGUUCUUCCCCAUUUCUAUUUUCUUAGUAGCCAAACAGCCUCUGAGGGCUUUUCCUCAGAGGAUGAUUGGCUAAAACUUUUAGUUUCUCAAAGUAUGGAUGUUAUGUGAUGACUUGGAUGCAAUCCCAUGGAAAUUUUUCGCACCUAGAAGGUAAGGUAGUCGUUUUUCAUUAAAGGUUCAUUAAUGCAAAGUUUGGUUUUUAUUUCCUUUGGACAACUUCCAACGGCCAAUACUUGAUAAGCUUUUGGAUUUAUAUCCAUUAGUUAUCUCCUACGAGCUAUUGGAAGGUGAGGUUUUCAAUUCCAAGUUUUGCAUUAAUCCGUUAGAACCAAUUUCAAUGGCCAUUGAAAGGUGAGUUUAUCACCUGGAAUGACUUUGAGUUGCCAAUAUUUGGUAAGCUUUUGGCUUUAGACCAUUAGUUAUCUCUUACGAGCCAUUCAAAGGAAGUCUAAGGUGAAUAACCAUUGAUGAAAUUCACUACCAUCUGUUUUUCCAUGUUAAAGGAUUAAAACUUGAUUUGCUAAAUCUAUACNNNNNNNNNNNNNNNNNNNNNNNNNNNNNNNNNNNNNNNNNNNNNNNNNNNNNNNNNNNNNNNNNNNNNNNNNNNNNNNNNCAACAAAAUUUAUACCUUAAAUACUAUUACUAAAGUAGCCAAGCUACUAUAAAAUAGUGGUUCUACGAACGUUCACUGGGAAGGGUUUUCGCAAACACAAGUGAUAUUCAAAUUAGGAAAAUAGGUGAUUUUCUUAUGGAUGUUAGCUUUAAAAGAAGAUGUAAAUGUUUUAGAAAGAUUUAAACUAAUCUAAGCUAACAUUAAAGACUAAAAUGAAAAGGUGUAAAAACAAGUUUCUCAAAGAUAGGAUAGCUAUGCUCUGACUCUUAUGCAAAUUGGAAAUCUCAGGAUAGGCUCCUCACGUUGGGGUUGCAACUAUGGUGAUGCUUGCUUCCCGAACCGGUAUGGAUUUAGAAAAUCAAGUGUUAAUCCUUUAAAAUGGCAAAACAGAUGGUAGUGAAUUUCAUCAAUGGUUAUUCACCUUAGACUUCCUUUGAAUGGCUCGUAAGAGAUAACUAAUGGUCUAAAGCCAAAAGCUUACCAAAUAUUGGCAACUCAAAGUCAUUCUAGGUGAUAAACUCAACUUCAAUAACCAUUGAAAUUGGUUCUAACAGAUUAAUGCAAAACUUGGAAUUGAAAACCUCACCUUCCAAUAGCUCGUAGGAGAUAACUAAUGGAUAGAAAUCCAAAAGCUUAUCAAGUAUUGGUCGUUGGAAGUUGUCCAAAGGAAAUAAAAACCAAACUUUGCAUUAAUGAACCAUUAAUGAAAAACGACUACCUUACCUUCCAGGUGCAAGAAAUAUCCAUGGGAUUGCAUCCAGGCCAUCACAUAACAUCCAUACUUUGAGAAACUAAAAGUUUUAGCCAAUCAUCCUCUGAGGAAAAGCCCUCAGAGGUUGUUUGGCUACUAAGAAAAUAGAAAUAGGGAAGAAUAGGAGAAGAGAGAAAAACAAAGCUUUAUAUAUUUCUAAGUUAAUAUACAGAGGAUCGAUCCCCCAAUAUCCCCCUGUUUUGGAGGUGUUGUGCACCUCUAUAUAUAGCAAAAUUACAAGAUAAAGCCUUAUGUCGGCUGAAUACAAGGUUACAAAAGGAAUUUACACGAGAAAAUAUCAAGCUACAAAUAUUUGGGAAGUCGGUGGUGCAUGCGUGGAGAAACAGAGCAUUUCAAAGGCAUUUCGCAAGGUGUCUAAAUCCACCUUGCGAAAUUUCGCAAGGUGCUUUCUUCAUGGUGCGAAAUGGCCAAAUUUCACACCAUGAAGAAAAUCUCCUUGCGAAAUGGUGUUCCCAUGGCUUGAUGCAGUUGUCUUCCGAAGGCCAUGUCUUCCUCAUUUCAGCUCCAAAUAGUACACGGUUUGAAGCGUUGGAUUUUUGACUUCUUGAGCUUUGAAAUGGUAUAUAGCAUGUAGAAAAUGGACUUUGGUAAGUGCUCCAAAAGUGCGAAGGAAGACUGCAGCUGCUGUCCUCUAUUUUCUUCACUUUGCUUGUUUUUCCUCUUUGCUUCUCUCCUUUACUUGGCUUGUCUUAAUGAUCCAAAAAGCUGUCAAAACACUAAAACUAGCCACAAAUAUGAUUAGAAGUCAUUGCUAGGUCCUUAACAUGCCAAUUGGAAUAAAGAUGGAGAACUACUGCACAAAAGUGCUUAAAACAUAAUGAAUUAAAGGUGUAAAAUAGCACUUUUUGGGUAGUAAUCACUCCCCCCAACUGACACAUUGCUAGUCCCUGAGCAAUGAAGGAGAGAAAACUAAAGAAAAAUAGAUAAUAUAAUAAUUUACAAAAUCAAGUGGCAUGAUUGACAUCCAUGGAUCAAUAAAGAUGUGAAACUCAACCUAUAAUAAGAGUUGUCAAAGCAUUCACUUGAUCAUAGAGUACAAAGAAUGGAUAUUAUGCAAGUUUAAGCAUCAAAAGAAUUUCCACUCUCAAAAGAUCCAAAUCAAAUUCUUCCACUAAAAGCUAAGUGUUAAUGUGAUUAGCUUCUGAGUAUAGUAUGGAUAACUAUCAUCUCCCCCCAACCUAAGUCUUUCUUUAAGCUUAGCAAAAUUAAUCAUCUCUUGAUAGGCUAGGAACGCACCUCUUAUUCACAAUUCUUUUCACUUACUAAACUUAACCAAUUCACCAUGUAACAAGCAGAGGAUCGGUGACUCCCAACCAAUAAAGGCAUAGGGCACCAGGCUUUAAAGGCUUUCGCCACCCCUUCGGACCAUGCUCAGGUUUCAAGGCAAGAAAAAAAGUUUAUUCUAUUUUUUUUUCUUUUUCUUUUUCUUUUUCUUUUUUCUAUUUUUUCAAAGACUCAUUGGUCUUUAUGAGGUGUCCCAACACUAUUAAAGAGAGGUUAAAGGUGUCAAAUUAUGAUUUCUCAAGCUUAGAGGGUGAGAUAGUUUCACAUCUUAUAACCGGAAUCUAAUGUAUGUGUGUGCGAAUAGCUUAGGGUGGAAGAGAUAAGUUUGCAUGCAAUGGGAGUUUCAACAAAUUCAUCAACUUUUAGAAGAGCAUAAUACAAACUCUAAGACUCAUGUAAUCAAGUUGAAACUCGACUUCUCUCAUUUAAUUUUGAGAGUUAAUCCUUAAUAUCCAUGGAGUUUAAAGCAAAAAUUUUAAAAAUUUAAACAAAAAGUAGCUAAUUUAACUAAGUAUGAUAAAAAUUUAAACUAAUACUUACUUCCUCAUCUCUCCCCCCAACCGAGAUGAACAUUGUCCUCAAUGUUUGAAUCGAAAAUAAGGAGGAAGGAAGUGGUACCUCAUGUGAUGUGGACUUGGAGUUGAGAAGUUUGAACCACUUGUUUCAAAAUUCAAAAAUUGAAUGAGAGAGGAAUUUAUACUAAAUAUUUACAAAAAUGAUGAGUGGGCCCCACUUUGAGCAGCUGAGGACAAGGCUCAAAGGGUCCAUACCAUGAUGGUAUACACAUAUAAGUUGCAAUGACAUUUGAAUGUAGCUUGCAAGGGUGUUAAAAUUGGAGAUUUUUGGCUAAAACAGGGGAAAACAAAGGAGGAGUGAACAGUGAGUGCCAAAAUUGGCACAGUCACUGUUCACCUCCUUUGAAGCCCGAUUGUGUGUUUUCCAAGUUUUGGGAAAAAAUUCAAAAAUGGUUUUUUAAAAGGUAUGGUUAGGCUCUAAACAAGAUUCCUAAGGUGUUUGGGUAGUUUUUUAAUGAUGAAAAACAAAAUUAAAUGAUGGAAAAUGAAAAUCAAAGUGGACGGCCAUGCAUGGAAUGGUUUUGAAAUUUGAUUUUUAAAAAGUUUUGGAUGGAUGGGAUUUCUAAAAUUGGGUUCCUAAGGCUUAGAAUGGAUGAAGGGAAGGUUUCUAAUGGGAGAAAACUAGAAAAUUGGUGAAGGGUGGAGAAUUAAGAAUGGUGGUGUGCGGCUAUGGAGGUUGUGGAAGAAGGUGAAUAGUAUUUUUGGCUUAGAAUGGUGUUUUUUUUUGGAAGAAAUUGGGUUUGGAUUUGAAAACAAAGGUUUGGAAAUGCAUUCAUGAAUUUUUAAACUUGGAAAAACAUGGAAUUCAAGAAAAAGGCCUUCCCGAGAGCUUUGUUUUUAGAAAUUAGCUUGAAAAUCAUUUCUCACCAAGAUAAACAAGGUGCGAAAGUUUUCGCACUGGUAAUUGAGGUGCAAAGAUAGCAUCCCGGGAGGCUUGGCUUUCCAAAAUGUAUAGAAAUUCCUUUUCACACCAUGCACUCUCACUGUGCGAAAAAUUCGCACUGAGUGUGUUCAUGGUGCGAAAUUCCACUGAGAGCUUUGCUUAUGCAUUUUGGCUCCCCUGUUUCCUCUGUUUCACCCCCAUUCAAUUUUUGCAAGCAUCGUACCUGCAUGAACACUUCAAAACUCAUCUUAAAAACAUAUUAAAACUAAAUUAAAGCUAAGAAUUCAAACUAAAACAUGCAUAAAUUUAAAGAAAGCAUAGAAUUUAAAUGAAGCUGAUAGCAUGUACCCCAAAAAGAAGAUGAACUAUUUAGCUCAUCCUCACUCACACACCCACUUCAUGCUGAAUUCCCCCUGGAUCCCAAACAAAAUUGGCAUCCUUCCCAUUUGGUCCAAGGGAAUUCAUUUCUCUUCUCUUCCCUGGAGAAGUGGAUGCUUUAAAGGGUUCAAAUAACCCUUUAUCAUCUUGAACCUUAUGAUUUUCAAUGGAAGGUUGGUCCAUAGAGUUGUCAUAGCAAUUCCCCACCNNNNNNNNNNNNNNNNNNNNNNNNNNNNNNNNNNNNNNNNNNNNNNNNNNNNNNNNNNNNNNNNNNNNNNNNNNNNNNNNNNNNNNNNNNNNNNNNNNNNNNNNNNNNNNNNNNNNNNNNNNNNNNNNNNNNNNNNNNNNNNNNNNNNNNNNNNNNNNNNNNNNNNNNNNNNNNNNNNNNNNNNNNNNNNNNNNNNNNNNNNNNNNNNNNNNNNNNNNNNNNNNNNNNNNNNNNNNNNNNNNNNNNNNNNNNNNNNNNNNNNNNNNNNNNNNNNNNNNNNNNNNNNNNNNNNNNNNNNNNNNNNNNNNNNNNNNNNNNNNNNNNNNNNNNNNNNNNNNNNNNNNNNNNNNNNNNNNNNNNNNNNNNNNNNNNNNNNNNNNNNNNNNNNNNNNNNNNNNNNNNNNNNNNNNNNNNNNNNNNNNNNNNNNNNNNNNNNNNNNNNNNNNNNNNNNNNNNNNNNNNNNNNNNNNNNNNNNNNNNNNNNNNNNNNNNNNNNNNNNNNNNNNNNNNNNNNNNNNNNNNNNNNNNNNNNNNNNNNNNNNNNNNNNNNNNNNNNNNNNNNNNNNNNNNNNNNNNNNNNNNNNNNNNNNNNNNNNNNNNNNNNNNNNNNNNNNNNNNNNNNNNNNNNNNNNNNNNNNNNNNNNNNNNNNNNNNNNNNNNNNNNNNNNNNNNNNNNNNNNNNNNNNNNNNNNNNNNNNNNNNNNNNNNNNNNNNNNNNNNNNNNNNNNNNNNNNNNNNNNNNNNNNNNNNNNNNNNNNNNNNNNNNNNNNNNNNNNNNNNNNNNNNNNNNNNNNNNNNNNNNNNNNNNNNNNNNNNNNNNNNNNNNNNNNNNNNNNNNNNNNNNNNNNNNNNNNNNNNNNNNNNNNNNNNNNNNNNNNNNNNNNNNNNNNNNNNNNNNNNNNNNNNNNNNNNNNNNNNNNNNNNNNNNNNNNNNNNNNNNNNNNNNNNNNNNNNNNNNNNNNNNNNNNNNNNNNNNNNNNNNNNNNNNNNNNNNNNNNNNNNNNNNNNNNNNNNNNNNNNNNNNNNNNNNNNNNNNNNNNNNNNNNNNNNNNNNNNNNNNNNNNNNNNNNNNNNNNNNNNNNNNNNNNNNNNNNNNNNNNNNNNNNNNNNNNNNNNNNNNNNNNNNNNNNNNNNNNNNNNNNNNNNNNNNNNNNNNNNNNNNNNNNNNNNNNNNNNNNNNNNNNNNNNNNNNNNNNNNNNNNNNNNNNNNNNNNNNNNNNNNNNNNNNNNNNNNNNNNNNNNNNNNNNNNNNNNNNNNNNNNNNNNNNNNNNNNNNNNNNNNNNNNNNNNNNNNNNNNNNNNNNNNNNNNNNNNNNNNNNNNNNNNNNNNNNNNNNNNNNNNNNNNNNNNNNNNNNNNNNNNNNNNNNNNNNNNNNNNNNNNNNNNNNNNNNNNNNNNNNNNNNNNNNNNNNNNNNNNNNNNNNNNNNNNNNNNNNNNNNNNNNNNNNNNNGCAAACCUUUGUUUAAUCCUUUAAAAUGGAAAAACAGAUGGUAGUGAAUUUUUUCAAUGGUUAUUCACCUUAGACUUCCUUUGAAUGGCUCGUAAGAGAUAACUAAUGGUCUAAAGCCAAAAGCUUACCAAAUAUUGGCAACUCAAAGUCAUUCCAGGUGAUAAACUCACCUUUCAAUGGCCAUUGAAAUUGGUUCUAACGGAUUAAUGCAAAACUUGGAAUUGAAAACCUCACCUUCCAAUAGCUCAUAGGAGAUAACUAAUGGAUAGAAAUCCAAAAGCUUAUCAAGUAUUGGCCGUUGGAAGUUGUCCAAAGGAAAUAAAAACCAAACUUUGCAUUAAUGAACCAUUAAUGAAAAACGACUACCUUACCUUCCAGGUGCGAGAAAUUUCCAUGGGAUUGCAUCCAAGCCAUCACAUAACAUCCAUACUUUGAGAAACUAAAAGUUUUAGCCAAUCAUCCUCUGAGGAAUAGCCCUCAGAGGUUGUUUGGCAACUAAGAAAAUAGAAAUGGGGAAGAAUAGGAGAAGAGAGAAAAACAAAGCUUUAUAUAUUUCUAAGUUAAUGUACAGAGGAUCGAUCCCCCAAUAUCCCCCUGUUUUGGAGGUGUUGUGCACCUCUAUAUAUAGCAAAAUUACAAGAUAAAGCCUUAUGUCGGCUGAAUACAAGGUUACAAAAGGAAUUUACACGAGAAAAUAUCAAGCUACAAAUAUUUGGGAAGUCGGUGGUGCGUGCAUGGAGAAACAGAGCAUUUCAAAGGCAUUUCGCAAGGUGCCUAAAUCCACCUUGCGAAAUUUCGCAAGGUGCUUUCUUCAUGGUGCGAAAUGGCCAAAUUUCGCACCAUGAAGAAAAUCUCCUUGCGAAAUGGUGUUCCCAUGGCUUGAUGCAGUUUUCUUCCGAAGGCCAUAUCUUCCUCAUUUCAGCUCCAAAUAGUACACGGUUUAAAGCGUUGGAUUCUUGACUUCCUGAGAUUUGAAAUGGUAUAUAGCAUGUAGAAAAUGGACUUUGGUAAGUGCUCCAAAAGUGCGAAGGAAGACUGCAGAUGCUGUCCUCUAUUUUCUUCACUUUGCUUGUUUUUCCUCUUUGCUUCUCUCCUUUACUUGGCUUGUCUUAAUGAUCCAAAAAUCCGUCAAAACACUAAAAAUAGCCACAAAUAUGAUUAGAAGUCAUUGCUAGGUCCUUAACAUGCCAAUUGGAAUAAAGAUGGAGAACUACUACACAAAAGUGCUUAAAACAUAAUGAAUUAAAGGUGUAAAAUAGCACUUUUUGGGUAGUAAUCAAGGAGCUUAUCCUAAGAUUUCCAAUUUGCAUAAGAGCCAGAGCAUUGCUAUCCUAUCUUUGAGAAACUUGUUUUUACACCCCUUUCAUUUUAGUCUUUAAUGUUAGCUUAGAUUAGUUUAAAUCUUUCUAAAACAUUUACAUCUUCUUUUAAAGCUAACAUCCAUAAGAAAAUCACCUAUUUUCCUAAUUUGAAUAUCACUUGUGUUUGCGAAAACCCUUCCCAGUGAACGAUCCUAGAACCACUAUGCUAUAGUAGUUUGGCUACUUUAGUAAUAGUAUUUAAGGUAUAAAUUUUGUUGAUACACCUUUAAAGCUAAGCUACCAUGAGUCGCAUCACUUUCUCCUCGAAGUAUAGGAAAGCGACCAUAAUCAGAUGGUGUGGCCCAAAAUAGAAACCCAUAUAUAUCCUGUAUAAUGCAUCCAAAAUAGGUCCUUGCCUCUGCACUGAAUGAUGAAGAGGAAAAAUGUUGGACCUUAACAAUACAUCUACUAGGAGCAUCCCAGAUGGAAGCUCCCUAUGUAGUAGGAGAAGUCCCUCAUGAUAGAAUGCAGACCAUGUUUCAUUGAGAUAUAGAGGUCCACUGUCUGAACUUCUCUGGAUCCUCUAGCUGAAAUGGAAUAUGGAGAGCCUCAGCAAUAUGCCUAGCCUCUAAGAUACUCUAACGUUCGUCUAUGCUGAAACGAAUGGCUGUGGAACUCUGUACGCCUUAAGUAGUCAUGGACCGAUAGAAAUCUAUCACUACUCUGGGGUAGAAAAACUCUCUAAGAGUCAUCAAACACUAGAAAUGGUACCUUUGGAGCAAUCCAAACGAAUCCCAAAGGUUAGGUUGCUGUCGCAUAGCCUCCAUGUCGAAGUAAAGCUCAAAGUGAAAUGGCUUAGCUCUAUAAUCUGAAUUUCCCGGAAUGAGUGGCGUAGUAACCAUAGGCCUCUUGAUGAUGACUUCAGGAGCAAUGCCUGAAGGUCUCUGAAUAUCUUCUGGGGCUUGAGAAUUGGCUGGAGCCUGACUAGAUGUCUCUCCAAGGCCCGAGGUCCUGGCUCUCUUUGGUGGAACGUGACGUACUAAUGGCUAUGGGGCCAGAGAUGUUGGUGAUCUCCGUGUCGAAUACCAGCGUUGAGGAGGGCUAGAAGGCACUCUACCCUCAGAAGAUGGCACUGUCAGGGCCUGAGAGGCUUGAAAUGGAUUCUGAGGAGAAGAGGCACUUGGUCGAGCCUCGUGAGAUGCGGACGGGUCUGUAUGGCCCCCUCUGGUGUGCACCAUAGCUAAUAUGGACGAGAGGUGGAUUGCUCUUCUCCUCCUUGGUGGCCGCGGGGCGUGGAAUAACAAGAAAUUUGCUUCACAAGGCGAUAGUAAGCUCUUCGCAACAGAGGAUGCUUGUGCGAAAUGGUCAGUUGGAGGUCUUUAAAUAGGAAAUUUAAAUGACUUUUGGCUUCCCUCUUGGCCAUUAGGUGACCAUUGGCAUUUCACAUGGCUAGUGGCAAAUGCGAAGUUUUUCGCAUUGACAUUUGGCUGAUGCGAAAUUGGAAUUGCUGAUGCGAAAAUUUUCGUAUUGAGAGUUGGUGGUGCGAAAAUUUUUGCAGUGAGAAAAGGUGAUGCGAAAUUUUUUGCAUUGAGUUCGCACUAAGAAUGGGCGAUGCGAAAUUUUUCGCAUUGACUUUUUGUCUUACGAAGUGCUUUGUUUUCCUCUGUUUUUUACUUCCCCUGUUUUGAUCAUCAAAAAUUAAUUUAAGUCAUAAUAAAAUAAAAUUAAAGCUAGAAAUUCUAACUUAAAAACAUAUAUCAAAUCUAUAAAACUUGAAUUUUAAAAAAUUUAAAACAAAACAACAAGCAAAAAUAAAAAAAUAUGGACUUAGUGUCUUCCGACAUACUAAGCCCAUCUAACCAUUUUUUCUUUAGGCUUGAUGUGGUUCAAAGAGAUUGAUUUCCUCCUUGUCUAUAGAAAAUGGCUCCAGGAAUGGCUUGAGACGUUGGCCAUUGACUUUGAAAGUCCCGAUACUGCUGAGUAGCUCAACUACUCCAUUUGAAUAGACUUCAUGGAUAGUAAACGGACCUAUCCAUCUUGAUUUCAAUUUUCCUAGGAAGAUAUGGAGCUUAGAGUCAUAAAGCAAGACUCUUUGUCCCUUCUGGAAUUGUUUGCGAGAGACUAACUGAUCAUGCCACAUUUUCAAUAUUUGUUUUGCAAUGUUUGAAUUGAUAUAGGUGUCAUUUCUCAAUUCCUCCAUUUCAUUAAGGUCUAAAAAUCUCUUCAUGCCGGCUUUGUUCAAGUCCAUGUUAAGCAUCUUGAUUGCCCACCAAGCUUUGUAUUGCACUUCAACGGGGAGAUGGCAUGCUUUGCCAUAGACUAGGCGAUAAGGAGACAUUCCAAGAUGGUCUUGUAAGCUGUUUUGUAAGCCCAUAGUGAAUCAUGAAGCCUAACAGACCAAUCUCUUCUGAUCGUAUUCACCACUUUCAUCAGUAUGUUAUUUAUCUCCCGGUUGGCUAACUCAACUUGCCUAGAAGUCUGAGGGUAGUAAGGUGUAGCUACCUUAUGCUUCACCCCAUACAUGGCUAAGAGAAUUUAAAAUGGUUUGUUACAAAAAUGAAUACCCUCAUCACUGAUUAUGGCUUUAGGUACUCCAAAUCAGGAGAAGAUGUUCUCUUUGAGAAAUUUGAGAACAACUCUAUGGUCAUUUCGGUUGCACGGGAUUGCUUCAACCCAUUUAGACACAUAAUCUACUCCCACCAAGAUGUAAGAAUAGCCGAAGGACAUAGGAAAAGGUCCUGUGAAGUCAAUGCCCCAUACAUAAAAAAGAUCAACUAUUAAAAUGGGAUUCAAAGGCAUCAUGUUCUUACGUGUUAAUUUCCCAAGCCUCUAGCAUCUAUUAUAGCUUUUACACAUGGUGAGGGCGUCUUUGAAGAGUGAUGGCCAACAAAAACCCGAUUGCAACACUUUCAUAGCUGUCUUCUGAGAAGUAAAGUGGCCUCCACAUGCGCUUUCGUGGCAAUGAUUGAGGAUCCCCUGUUGCUCUUGCUCAGGGAUGCACUUUUGGAUUAUUUGAUCUGCACAAUAUUUGAAUAGGAAUGGCUCUUCCCAAUAGCAAGCAUGAAUUUUUGCAAAGAAAUGCUUCUUAUCUUGUGCUUUUCACUCACUUGGAACUUCUCCAGUAACUAAAUAGUUAGCAAUGUGAGCAUACCAAGGAGAGGCUUCUAUCAACAUGAGUGACUCCUCUGGAAAAUCAUCAUUUAUUGGUAAACUGUGGGAAUUAUGUGCUAUGGCUAUCCUCGAAAGAUAGUCGGCUACCACAUUUUCCACUUCCUUCUUGUCUUUGAUAUGAAGAUUGAAUUCUUGAAGCAAGAAAAUCCAUCUGAUCAGCCUCGUUUUUGCAUCUUAUUUAGUCAACAAAUAUUUCAAGGCUGAAUGGUUAGUGAAAACCACAAUGAAAGACCCUACCAAGUAAGUGCGGAAUUUGUCUAAGGCAAAAACUACAGCCAACAAUUCUUUCUCUAUGGUUGUGUAGUUUCUUUGCGCUUUAUUCAACGUUUUGCUUGCAUAGUAGAUCACAUAGGGCUUUCCAUCUUCUCUUUGCCCAAGAACAACUCCUAUAGCAAAGUCGCUAGCAUUGCACAUCACUUCAAAGGGUAAGUGCCAGUUGGGAGCUCUCACUAUUAGAGCGGUUGUCAGCAAUAACUUCAAUUCAUUAAAACUCCAUUGACAUCAAUCAUCCCAUAAAAAUUUAGCAUCCUUCACCAAUAGCUCACAAAGAGGUCUUGCAAGUUUAAAGAAAUCUUUAAUGAACCUCCUAUAGAACCCAGCAUGGUCAAGGAAUUGCCUUACUCCUUUGAUAGUUGUUGGUGAUGUCAACUUGACAAUUAGUUCAACUUUUUCUUUGUCCACCUCAAUGCCUUGGCUGGAGAUAAUAUGCCCAAGGACAAUCCCUUGGGGUACCAUGAAAUGGGAUUUCUCCCAAUUGAGCACCAAGUCUUUCUCAAUGCAUCGAUUCUGUACAACUUCCAAAUUGACUAAGCAUUCGUCAAACACACUUCCAUAAUACGCUCCACCAUAUCACUAAAAAUGCUUAACAUGCAUCUUUGGAAUGUUGCUGGUGCAUUGCAUAAGCCGAAAGGCAUUCGUCUGUAUGCAUAAGUUCUGAAUGGACAAGUGAAAGUGGUAUUCUCCUGAUCUUCAAUAGCAAUUUCAAUUUGAAAAUACCCGGAAUAGCCAUCCAAGAAACAGUAGAAUGGAUGGCUUGAGACCCUCUCAAGCACUUGAUCAAUAAACGACAAUGGAAAAUGGUCCUUCUUUGUUACAACAUUCAACUUUCUAUAAUCAAUACACACCCUCCAACCUGAAGUGAGGCGUGUAGAAACUUCCUCUCCCUUAUCAUUUUGCACCAUUGUGAUCCUUGAUUUCUUUGGCACGACUUGCGUAGGACUCACCCAUGGGCAAUCUGAUAUGGGGUAGAUAAUACCGGCCUUAAGUAGCUUAAGCACCUCAGCUCGUACCACCUCUUGCAUGUGAGGAUUCAACCUUUGCUGGGGUUGACGAACCGGCUUAGCUUCUUCUUCCAUGUAUAUAUGAUGAGUACAGACUAAAGGGCUAAUCCCUUUCAAAUCAGAAAUUUUCCACCCUAUCGCCUUCUUGCAUCUUAUGAGGAUUUCAAGUAGACAACCCUCCUGAGUAGUGGUAAGAGAUGAAGAAAUAACAAUAGGGUUCUGCUUAUUCUCCUCCAGGUAUGCAUACUUCAACUCCGUGGGUAAUGGUUUCAGAAUAAGCUUUAGGGGCUCCUCUUCAAUGGCUUCUUGUGUCUCCUCCUCAUUGAAUAAAGGGAGAAUUUUUUCCCCCAUCUUCAAAGAAGGCAGAGUAGCAAGUGAAUCUAAGGGUUCAGGUAACCCUUCAUCAAGAUCCCUAAAAUUCUCAUUCAGAUCUUCUAGCAUCUUUUGAUCACAAUACUCUUCCACUAAGUUAUCAAUCAUGCACACCUCUUUUGGUCCUUCUUCUUCUCCCGAAUGGAAUUGUUUAUUGCACAUAUAGAAGAUGUUGAGUUCCAACGUCAUGUUGCCAAAUGUAAGCUGCAUGACUCCAUUCCUACAGUUGAUGAUAGCGUUUGAAGUAACUAGGAAUGGUCUUCCAAGUAUGAUAGGAAUAUAGUUAGUUCCUUUGGUGAUCAAAUCUGUAUCAAGAACAACAAAAUCCACUCGGUAGUAGAACUUGUCAACUUGAACUAGGACAUCUUCAAUCAUACCUCUUGGAAUUUUCACAGAUCUAUCUACUAAAGAUAGAGUGAUUGAUGUUGGCCUCAACUCUCCCAGUCCCAAUUACUUAUAGACAAAGUAGGGUAGCAAAUUCACACUUGCUCCCAAGUCCAACAAAACUUUCUCCACACACGUAUCUCCAAUCAUCAUUGAUAUGGUAGGACAACCCAGAUCUUUGUAUUUCACUGGGGACUUGCACUGUAUAAUGGAACUUACUUGCUCAGUUAAGAAGGCUUUCUUACUCACAUUCAACCCUUAUUUGAUAGUGCAUAAGUCCUUCAGGAAUUUUGCAUAAGUCGGAACUUGUUUGAUCACGUCUAGCAAAGGGAUAUUAACUUUCACUUGCCUCAACACUUCAAGAAUUUCUGAUGCAUUGUUGAUUUCCCUCUUGCCAUGCAAAGCUUGUGGGAAAGGUGGAGGCAUGUGCUUCUUUAUCACUUCUUCUUGAUUGAUGGUCCUCUCCGGUUUUUCAUUCACCUUAGUUUCAAGGUCCUCCUUCUUUGUAUUGCUCCAUUUCUUCUUUUCUUUGUUUUUCUCCCUCUUCUCUUUCUCUGCUUCAUUCUCUGGUUCUUGCUCUGGCUUGGGUGUAGGCAGAUCAACCUCUUUACCACUCCUUAAAGUGAUCAUUGCUUUGACUUCCCUCAUCUGAGAAGAUUCUCCCUCCUGAGCCUUCACUUCAUGGAUAACCUUUGGAUUUUGAUGAGGUUGAGAAGGAAAUUUUCCUUUCUCUUGCACUGUGUUGAGAUUAGUAAGUGUUGAGAUCUGGUAUUGAAGAUUAUCUAUCUUCUGAGAUAGAUCAUUGUGCUUUCUAUCCAUCCUUUUGUCUCUAUUGGCCAUUUCUUGCAUGAUCUGAGCAUUCACUUGCCUGAAUUGGUCAUUGAUGGAUUUCUGGUCUGCUACAAAGUCUCCCACGACCUUGUUAAGAUUCAGAAUGGCUUGUUCAAGACUUGAGGCUUGUGGGGGUGCUUGGCCAAGUUGCGUGUACUAAGGUGCCCUUGGCUUCCAAGAGAAAUUCGGAUGGUUCCUCCAAUUUGAAUUGUAGGUGUUGCUAUAUGGAGCAUUAUUAUUAGGCUUGAAUUGUCUAAUAAAAUUUACUUGAUCCCCAAACAUUUCUCUCACCGCUGGCAUCGUAGGACACUCUUCCACCAAGUGCUCAAAAGAUUGACAAAUUGAACACGGCUUAGCUUGCAUUGGUGUGUCUGAAAUGGCCUACAUUUCAAGUUCCUCCAAUCUUCUUCUUGCCAUAGCUGCAAAGUUUGCUUUUGUAUCAGUUCCUUCAUUCAAAGUAUACAUCCUAACCUUAGCAUUAGAAGCAUUAGGUUGAGAAUUCAUUCUUCCCACUUCUCUGGCAUUGGGCUCAUCCCAUCCUCUUGAAACUUCAGCUACAUAACUCAAGAAAUCCAUGGUUUCCUCCGGAUUCUUACUUAUGAAGUCUCCUCCGCACAUUGUUUCUAAGAGUUGCUUCAUUGAGGAAGACAUACCGUCAUAAAAAUAGCUCACCAAUAGCCAUGUAUCAAAGCCAUAGUGAGGACAAGCGUUGAUAGCUUCCAUGUAUCUUUCCCAACAUUCAUAGAAUUUCUCAUUCUCCUUAGUUGAAAAGUUUGAGAUUUGCCUUUUCAAGUCGUUUGUCCUGUGAUUAGGGAAAAAUUUCUUGAGAAAUUCAGCUUGCAAAUCAGUCCAAGAUUGGAUACUCCUUGGCCUUAGACUUUGGCCUUGUCCUUUAAAGUGAAAGGAAAUAGCUUAAGCCUCAUCAAGUCGAUCGAAGCUCCUCCUUCUUGGAAAGUGUUACAAACUUCUUCAAAUUCCUUGAUAUGCUAGUAGGGAUUCUCACGGUCCAUCCCAUGAAAAAUAGGUAGAAGUGGCACAAUAUGUGGUCGGAUCACUAGCUGCUCUGUAGGUGGCACUAUACAUGAUGGUGCACUCAUACGAGGCGGAUGCAUGCGGUCCCUCAUGGAUCGGUAUGCAUUGAGAUUUUCAGUUGGAGCAUGUUGACUAUGCUGAUCUUCAGGUAUAGCUUCCAUGACUUCCACUUCCAAUUCUAACUCUGUUUCGUGAGGAUUUUUUAUUUUCACAAGUCUUCUCUCACUGUCUCAUAUCCAAUAUGGCAUACACAACUAGCAAUAUCUGAAACAAAAAUAAAAACAAAGAAAACACAAGAAAAACAAUUCUAGAAAGAAAGAAAGUUACAUUUAAAUAAAAACUAAUUUAAAAGAUAAACUAAAAAAAACGGAGAUAAAUAAAAAGAAAUAAAAAUAAAAAGUUAGUAAAGGAAAAGAAAAUCACCAAACUUGUGAUGAAGAUCACAAGUGUGCUAAAAAGAUAACAUCACUAUGAAGUGGCACCAUCCUCGGCAACGACGCCAUUUGAUUCGUGCCCAGCUGGUGUCUUCUAAUUCAGUCCUCAGACGGGAGUAAUCAAAAAAAUUUAUAACCUAUUUCACCAUGUACUAGGAUAGCCUCAACUAGCAUAGCAUAGUGGCUCUAGGAUCGUUCACUAGGAUGGGUUUUCAUUUCACACCUGAUAUUAGUUUAAAGAAUUGGAUUGGUGCUUUUUCUUUUCUAAGUUAGCUUUAAAAGAAAACAUAAACUUUGGUUUGAAAAAGGUUGGUUUUAAACUAACCAAAAAUAGUAACUGAUUUUUAAUUACAAAGAAAAUGGUUUCUUGGAUUCUCAGGUCACUAGGUUCAGGCCCCUUAUUCAAAAGUGGAGAUUCCGGAUCUUCCCUCGUAUUGGGGAUUUAACCUAUAGUUAUCCUCCCAACCGAUGUGUUACAGUUGCUUCCCAUUAAUGGUUUCAACACUAAUUCCCUCUCACUGAUACAUCUUGCAAUGGCUCGUGCCUCUCACCUAGCAUUUUCCAUUCAAAGUGAUCUUUAACCUUGGAUUACCCUUCACAAGCUCGCAAGAAAUAAUUAAUGGAUGUCUCCUUAGAGUCCAAAAGCUUACCAAGUGUUGGCUAUUCUAGAAAAUCCUACCUUUAAACCACCUACCAGAGGCUCGCAAGAGAUAAACUAGUGUAACUCAAUGGACGGAGUCCACUUGCCUUACCAAGUGUUGGCCCAGGUGAUUUUAAGGCGUUUUAAGUUAACUAAAAAUAUAAAAACCAUUAACGGGUCACAACUUCCUCUUCAUUAAAAACUGAAACAAGGAAAACUCUCACUUUUGUAGUCGGGUCCCUUACCUAGCUAGCUCCAUUCCGUCCAUGAGACUAAAAGUCUAGCCACUCAUCCUCUGAGAAAACAUCUUCAGAGGUUGCUUGGUUAGAAUGAAAAAUACAAUCAAAAUGAGUAGGUAAGGUAGAGCAACUCUCUGUAUAUUUCCUACUAAAAACAUGUACAAGUGAUCCCCUCUCUAAUGUCUUCCCCUCUUCAGAGAGACGAGAGAUAUCAUAGAUGUCUCAGAGAAAUGGGAUUGUAUCCGGGAUAGAUAUUACAAGGAGAUAUCUUAGGAUAUAUAAAGAGAGAUAUUUUCAACCUCUUGAUUAGAUAUCCUAAAUAUCUUAAAAGAUCUUCAACUGAUUACAAGGAGGGAAUUGAUAAUUACACUAAAUAUCUUAAGGUAAAAAUCUAAUAGAGUUGGUGUAAAAUAUCUAACUAUUACAUUUUUGCAUUGGAGAAAGGUAAUGCGAAAAAUUUCGCAUCGGAGAAAGUCAGUGCGAAAAUUUUUGCAUUGGGAAAGUGUGCUGCAAAAAUUUUCGCAUUGGGAAAAGUCGGUAUGAAAAUUUUCGCAUCAGGGAAUGUCAAUGUGAAAAUUUUAGCAUCAGGAAAUGUCAAUGCGAAAUUCCUUUUCAACUGUGCACAGUUGCCUUUAAAUGGCCAUAACUUCUUCGUUUCAGCUCCAAAUUGCACACCGUUUGAAGCGUUAGACUCCUGACUUACCAAGAUUCGAAAUGAUAUAUAGUAUGUAGAUAAUGGACUCCAAGAAGUGCUCCAAAAUUUCCUUGAAACUGCUGUCCUUUGAAUUUCACAUAGCAUGUGAAGAUUUCGCAUUACCAUGUGAAAUUGCUUCAUGAAGGAUUUGUUUCUCUGAUCCUCUUCCUUGCAUCUCUUGAUUGGCUUGGAAGCUCAUUCCCAAGGGUUGCACAAAGUUUUCCCUCAUUCUUGGCUUGCUUCAAUGAUAAAAAAGCUACCAAAAACACCAAAACUAGCCAAAAAUUGAUUAAAAACAUUUGCAAGGGUCCUUAACGUGCCAAUUGAGUUAAAAGAUAUUAAUUACUACUCAAAAGUGUUUAAAAGAGUUUAUAACAAGCUAUAAAAGAGCACUUUUUGAGUAGUAAUCAGUCGGCAAUGUGAAAACGACUCCAAUUUGGGGAAAACAAAGGGAAAUCCAACGUGGAUUUCAGGUGUUUUUUUUUUAAAUAUCCAGCAAAGGGCAUUUUCGGCAUAUUAUAAAUGAGAUAUCCUUCUUAUCAAUUUUGAUACUUUGCUUGAGUAGUGGGCUUAAUUUUGUUAGAUAUAUGGACCAUUUGUUAAUUUUUUGGCCCAAAACACAAUUCUCCCAUAUAAAAAAUGUCUUGAAAAUGUGCCACCACGAUGCAUAUGGUGGGAACUUUGCUUCAAGAAAAAGGGUCGCAAAAGUACUUCAAUAAGGACUAUAUUGGAGUUCAUAAUGUUUUAUCUCCAAAGGAAUCAUUAACCAUCAAGUGUGAACCAUAGUGUGUACAGCAUAUACUUGUCGUUUUGCUCCCCUUAUGUUUAUGUUUAAAUCAUGAGGUAGCAAAAUAUAUAGUUGUCUUUCAUAAUACCACUCAUGUGAUUACAGAGAGACAAAGUAGGGCCAUGCGCAUGAGGCCCAGACUUGAUCCACGAUGCAUUCGUCUUAUUCAUAGGAUCUCGCUAGGUUGAUCUGACAGGAUGCAUCGUCGUCUUUAGGAUGAUGCACAGUACUCCAAAACAUAAAAAUACACUAAUUGAUAGUGAGUCUUACCAAACAUGAUAUUUGCUAGGUAUAUGAUAUGUGAUCUAUAUCCCAACUUUCUUCGUGAACUCCACCACCAAAUCAUACAUCUUAUGUUGGUGAGGAAGAGAUCUGGACACGAACUCCUCCUCCAUACACCUCUUACCCCAUGCCACCAACUUGGGACACUCGGCCUCUAUGCUGAAGUUCCCAAAAGCCUCAAAUGUGUAGAACCUGGAGUAAAAUGGGAGAAAAGCAAUGUCCAGAAACCCCAAGCUCUCACCACCAAAGUAAGGAUAGGAUUUAAGCUCUCCUUCCAAUAGCUUAAUCCUAUCUAGGAAUUCCUUCUUGCUGGCCUCCUGCUCUGCUCCUUUGGCUGUCCACAGCUUCUUACUGCAUGGGUAUACCUGAAUCAAAUUUUAAAAGUUAAUGUUCUUAUUCAUCUGAACUAGUACAGCAAAUUAAACAAGUAUAUAUAUUGGCAAUUAAAAGGAAUGGAAUUAUGAAAAUCAAGGGGCAAGAAAAGGAGAAAUGAGUUAAUUAAGCACCAUUUUGUCUAUGAAGUCAGCCCAGAACUUUGCUUGUGCUUUUUGGUAAGGAUCAGAUGGCAGCAGAGGACAUCUAUCCUUCCAAACCUCAUCGAUGUAUUCAACUAUUAUCAAGGACUCGCAUAUGGGCUUACCGUUGUGAAUCAAAACGGGAAUCUUUUUAUGAACUGGAUUCAUCUUCAAGAGCAGAGAGCUUUUAUCUCCAGUCAAGUCUUCUUCCUUUCCCUCAUACUCGACCCCCUUGGCUGCCAAGGCAAGUCUUACCCUAAUCCCAAAAACGCUUGGAAAGAAAUCUAACAGAACUAUUUGGUCACUGUUGGCCAUGGCUGCAACACACGGAAGUUGAAGUACUGGAUAUUCGAUCUGAUUUCAGAUGGAAGGAAAAGCGAUGGUGCUGAGAGUCUUUAUUUCUGCUUAGGUUAUUGUCUUCUGGUUGUGUUAUCUUAAUCUGAGUUAAUCUUCCAACUAUUCUUAGAAUUCUUAAUUAAAUAAUGCCAACGUCAGUGCUUACGUAGGCAUUCAUUUUCCAAAGAAGACAGACUACAUUGACUAAGAAAUUUACAAGUCACUUUUUUGUCCCUUUAAAAACAUUUAUUAUUUAAAAUAAAUUUCUCAAAGAUUUUUUAUUAAGAUAUGCUUGGGUUCAAUCACACAAAUUAAUUUAUGUUAUCUUCGAUUAAGAAGUAUAAAUGUAUACAGUGUUAAUAUGUAUAGAAAUUAAUUAUUAUCCUAACGGUGAUAGCCUUUAUGCAAAUUAAUCCUACAUAGAGACAUCGUGUGAAUCGAGGGUGUUAUUAUUACUCGAAUUUCUUUAUCCUAAUUAAAUUUUUGAGAAUAAAUAUAUCAAUUUGAUAACUUAAGUAUAAUUUAAUUUAAAAUCAACUUAAAUAAAUUAAACAUGUUUUACCAAACAUCUUCUUAAUAUGAUUCAAUAUGAAUUAGUAACUUAAUUUAAGUUAUUAAAUAGAUCAAAUAUGUUUAAUAACAUUUCUUAAUAUUUUAAUUGAGAGUCAAAAAUAAUUUUAAGUAUUAAGUUAGUUUGAUUAUUUUUAAUCUCAAAUCUCUUUUAUUUAGGUAUCUCAUAAGCCAAAUGAGGAGAUCCAACCGUUUGUGUUUGAUGUACCUCAUAAGCCAUUGAUGGAAAUAAGCACCGAUCCAAGAGUCAAGAUUCAAUUGGGAUAUCCAAUGGUUGCCAUAUUUGUCGCACCUCUACUAAACGAUGACGACAAUAAUCACCAAUCCAAAGGCCAUAAAUUCAUGGUGAGAGAUCAAACGAUUAUAUUCUGUGUUCUAAAAGUGUUCCAAUAGUAAAUAUAUUUGAUCCAAGGGCUAGAGUUUAAUUUGAUCUGAUCCAACGGCUGUGAGGGCUUCCCAACGAACAUUCCUAUGAUUCAACGACCCCAUUUAAUAAAAAUAUCAAUCUGGAUGCAUUUCAACAACCAUAAAUAACUCAACGAUUAUUUGGCCCCCGAACUGCUUAUUUGGCCUGAAAUUUUCUUAUAAAUUCCUCAUUCUCAUUCUAUUUCAUCCACAUAAAUGUCUCUGUGAUCUUUUAUUACUCCAAUUUUAUUUUUUAUUUCUCCCAAAAAAAAUUCAAUUUAAUUUAAAUAUUCAAUUUAAUUUUUAUGCAUGGUUAGAUUUUACUUUAAAUUACUAAUAUUAUAAAUUAUAAUUAUAUUCAAUUUAAAUUAUUUAAAUAGUACAACUUUAAUAAAAUUAAAUAAUUUAAAUUAAUGAUUUAAUUUAAUAUUAGUUUUACGUCAAAGUUAAGUCAUUAGCAUUGCAUUACAAUGUAAUUUGUAUAAAUUGUUGACAUUUUAUAAAAUCAAAUAUUUACUAUAAAUUAGUAUUAACUAUAUAUAUGUUUUACAAAUUCAUAUCUCUUAUUGAUAUAUACGAUAUUAUUGUUAAAUGACACAAAUUAUGAUGUAGAUAGAUUGAUUUUUCCAGCAAAAUAACUUUAAUAUAUGCCUUGUGACUUCUUUAAUCAAUUUUUGGAUUUAUUUCCAAAAUUUUUACGAUUUUUUUUUUUUUUAUCAAUUUGCAUCUACCAAUAUUUUUUUUUUGAAUUUUUCAUUCCAUAUUAUCGAUAUUUUUCGAUACUUUAGUAAAAUCAAACCACUGAUAUUUCCAUUAAAAUUAAUAUUGUUAUCCUUGGAUAAACUAAAUUUGAAAAUCAAACAAUAAAGAAACAUAUAAGAGAGAUUACAAAAUUUUUCUAAUCAAGUUUAUGAAGCAUAAUAUAAUUUUCCUAAAACCCAUUUUUCUUUUCCUUUAAUUUCAUGUAAGUAGAUUUCACAAUAUAUUCAAAGAUGUUGAAUCCAAACAUAAAGCAAGUUGUUGGACCAUAUUUGUAAAAUGGAAUAAAGUAUAAUGAAUGCAUUUCUCUUGGCUCUUUUAUGAUGAGUGAUCAUUCGGGUGAACUCCCAAUAAUUUUUCCCUUAACAUGAGGUUUUUGUGACUCGAACCCCAUAACUAUUGGCUUUGAUGUUAUUUAUUGGAUCAAACUUUGACACUCUCAUCUUACAAUCAAUUAAUAUUGAUUGAAGAUAAAUCAAAUCUUUUAUGACAUUUGACAUAACUUCUUUUAGACCUAUUUUGAGAACGAUCAUUUAAAUGACCCAUUCUCAAACUUAAAAGCGAAUUGUUGUACUCCAACAAUAAGAAUUCUACAUUUUUCAAUCUAUGUGAAAAACUAUUUGAAUAGUCAAUUCUAGAGUGUUAUGAUGUGUAGAGCCUAAUUAUUAUCCUAAUAAUAAGGGUAUUUUAGAGAUUUUACACAUGAUUUGGUUACCCUAUUUAUAUUAUGUUUAGGGUAGCCAACUUUAAGAAGUUUAUUUAUUUAUUUUUUUUUUCUUUUGCUUGGUGGGGGGUGGGUGGUAUUGAGAGAUAGAAAAACGCAAAAAGGAAAAAAACUAUAGGGUGAGGCGUUUUGGGAUUCUCUUGUACUUUCUUUUUAUCAUAGUGAAAAUCUAUAGUGGCUAUAAAUGGACGUAACUUUCACAUUGAGAGUGAACAAUUAUAAAUCUCGUAUAUUCUUGUGUUUUAAUUUUUUGCAUUGGUUUAUUGUAGCUUUCGAAAAAUAGGAUUAGGGUGUUUUAAUCCUAACAACUAGUAUCAGAGCUUUUAGUUGUGAUUGAGAGUGAUGACUGGCGAAGAUGAUUUAACACAUGGAAUCAUGAAGUUUGAUGGUACAAAUUUUGCUUUCUAAACAAUGCAAAUCAAAGAUUUUCUAUAGGUAAGAAGCUUCAUCUAGCCCUUUUGGGAACAAAACCAAAGAAAUGUUGGACAAUGAUUGGGGUCCUCUUGAUAUAUAGGUGUUGAGAGUUAGUCGAUUGACAUUGUUAAAGAAUGUUGCUUAUAACAUGACAACGGAGAAAUCAACUAUGGGAUUGAUGAAGGUAUUGUCUGAUAUGUAUAAGAAGUCAUCUACAAAUAAUAAGGUAUUUCUCAUGAAGAAAUUGUUUCAUUUAAAGAUAGGAGAAGGUGCUUCAAUGGCAGCACAUCUUAAUGAGUUCAACACGAUUGUUAAUCAAUUGUCAUUUGUGGAAAUUGAUUUCAAUGAUGAGGUUCAUGCUCUAAUUCUUUUGGCAUCUCUACCAAACAGUUGAGAGACUAUGAGGGUAGCAAUUAGUAACUCUAUAGGCAGUGCCAAGUUAAAGUUUAAUAAUGUCAGGAACUAAAUUUUUGCUAAGGAGGUUUGUAGAAUUGAUUCAGGUGAAGCAUCAAAAUCGAGUUUUGCCAUUGUCGAAUUUUUAAGAAGUAGGUAGGAUAUUUUAUUUUUCUAUUAAAUAAAAUUUGAAGUCAAUAAUUCAAAUUUUAGUUAGGGGGUUUCUAUUUUUAUGCAGUAGUUACAUUUUCCUAUUUUAUAGUUGAAUUGGUUAUAGAGUUGGUAACUAGUUUUUGUUGUAUAUCUAUGUACUCAUACUUUAUGAAAUUUAAGAAGAACAAUUACUUUUCUUCUAAAAAAUUACAUGGUAUUAGAGCCUCGUGUUCUUGAUCCAUUUUUUUUUUCUCAUGAAAAAAACAACGAUGACCAACGCAACAAGAAACUCUACAACUUCUGAAAAUUCAUUCGAGAGCAUCUAAUAUGUUGCUUCAACAUUGAAUGACGACUCUUUUUCCCAUAAUUUCAACCUGCAACUCACAAUUCAUAAGCUCAACGGGAGGAACUAUCUUAAAUGGGCACAAUCCAUGAAAUUGGCGAUUGAUGGAAGAGGAAAAUUAGGGCAUCUAAUAGGUGAAGUGACACAACCUGCAAAAAAUGAUCCAUUCUUGAAAAAAAUGGCAAUCUAAAAAUUCCUUUGUCAUUACAUGGCUCAUCAAUUCUAUGAAGCCUUAUCUUUUUUUACCAACAUCUAAAGAAAUUUGGGUGGCUGUGCGAGACUGUUAUUUAGAUUUGGAGAAGUCAUCUCAAAUCUUUGAUUUGAAGACUUGGCUUUAGCAAUCCAAACAAGGUAAACGUGAUGUUACUACCUAUUAUAACGAGAUGGUGACUUUAUGGCAAGAACUAGACCAAUGUUAUGAUGAUGUUCGGGAAAAUUCCAAUUAUUGUGCUCACCAUAAGAAGAGGGAAGAGAAUGAUUAGGUCUACAAGUUCCUCGUUAGUCUUAAUCAAAAUUUGGAUGAAGUUAGGGGACGAAUUUUGGGUCGAAAACCAUUACCCUCCAUUCAUGAAGUUUUCUCUUAAGUUAGGCUUGAGGAGUCCUGAAGGAGAAUUAUGCUGUAAAAUCUAGAGUCUAGUUCAAGCCAAGAACUUAGGGACUGAGCCCUUGUAUCAAGAGGGUUUGACUCUAAGGAAAAUAAGUAGAAGAAGCCAUGGUGUGAGCACUAUAAAAAACCAUGGCAUACAAAGGAGACUGGUUGGAAGCUUCACGGUAAACCAUUGAAUUGGAGGAGAAAAUUUGGUGGAGAUGGACAUGCUUUUCAAGCCAUAAUCAAGAAGUGUCUAAAGCAUCAAAUCAAUUCAAAACAGUCUUGUCCAUACUCGAACCUUUUCGAGUUUCUACAAGUUCUAAAAAAAUGGUUUGUUACAUUUAUUGAUAACCAUACUCGGUUAACUUAGGUUUAUUUGAGGAAAAAAACCCGAGUUGGAAACAAUUUUCAAAAUUUUUUACACUAUGGUGCAAACACAAUUUCACAAGAAAAUUCAUAUUUUUAGGAGUGAUAAUGGAAAAGAAUAUUUUAACAAAAUUUUGGGAAGUUUUUUCUUGGAAACAAGAAUUAUUCAUCGAAGCUCUUCUAAUGAUACUCCUCAACAAAAUGGGUUAGCUGAAAGAAAAAACAAACACUUGUUAGAAGUAGCUCGAGUGUUCCUUUUUAUAACUAAGGUACCUAAAUUUUUUUGGGGCGAAACCUUUAUUAUUGCAACAUACCUUAUAAAUCAAAUGCCUAGUAAGGUUUUAAACUUUGAAACUCCUUUCAAUAUUUUUCAUAAGUUUUAUCCUAUGCAUAGGCCUUCAUCAACUUUGCCUCUAAAAAAAAUUGGGUGUACCACUUUUGUUCGCAUUCAUGAUCACAAUUGACGAAAACUUAAACCCUGAGCUCGAAAAUGUGUGUUUGUUGGUUACGCUUCCAAUAAAAAAGGGUACAAAUAUUUUGACUUUGACCUGGUUUCUUAAAAGAAAUGUUUGUCACCAUGGAUGUAACAUUUUUUGAAUUAACACCAUUUUCCACUACUGAUCUUCAGGGGGAAGGGGGGAUUGAAGAUUUAGAUCAAUUAGAAUAUUUAGAUUUGAGAGAAUCAAGUUCAAUUUGAUCAAAUUAAGGAAUCACUAGUUGUUUAUUCUCCCACACCCUUAGUUCAAUUUGAGAGUCCAAAUAUUAUUGUACUAGAUUUGAGUGAAUCAAGUUCUGUAAAUAAUGAAAAUAUAGAUCCAUCCUUAGUGUUGUCCCAUAAAGAUUAUGACUCCAACAUAACGAAUUGAAGAUUUAGAUUAAUUAGAAUAUUUUCAACUUAAGGAAUCACUAGUUGUUUAUUCUCCCACACCCUUACUUCAAUUUGAGAUUCCAGAUAUUAUUGUACUAGAUUUGAGCAAAUCAAGUUUUGUAAAUAAUGAAAAUGUAGAUCCAUCCUUAGUGUUGUCCUAUAAGGAUUAUGACUCCAACACAACUAAUUGAAGAUUUAGAUCAAUUAGAAUAUUUUCAACUUGAGGAAUUACUAGUUGUUUAUUCUCCCACACCCUUAGUUCAAUUUGAGAGUCCAUAUAUUAUUGUACUAGAUUUGAGCGAAUCAAGUUAUGUAAAUAAUGAAAAUGUAGACCCAUCCUUAGUGUUGUCCCAUAAAGAUUAUGACUCCAACAUAACGAAUUGAAGAUUUAGAUCAAUUAGAAUAUUUUCAACUUGAGGAAUCACUAGUUGUUUAUUCUCCCACACCCUUAGUUCAAUUUGAGAGUCCAGAUAUUAUUGUACUAGAUUUGAGCGAAUCAAGUUCUGUAAAUAAUGAAAAUGUAGAUCCAUCCUUAGUGUUGUCCCAUAAAGAUUAUGACUCCAACAUAAUGAAUUGAUGAUUUAGAUCAAUUAGAAUAUUUUCAACUUGAGGAAUCACUAGUUGUUUAUUCUCCCACACCCUUAGUUCAAUUUGAGAGUCAAAAUAUUGUUGUACUAGAUUUGAGUGAAUCAAGUUCUUUAAAUAAUGAAAAUGUAGAUCCAUCCUUAGUGUUGUCCCAUAAAGAUCAUGACUCCAACAUAAUGAAUGGAAAAGAAAAAAGUACUAAUAACACAAGGUUAAUAGUCGACAUUCUCUACUCACGAAGAAAUAUAACUCAAAGAAAAGAGUUGAUUGAUCUCUUGCACUACCAUGAGUCCACAUAUCCUCCAAGUAACACUUUCCUUGAGCCUACACAACCUAUUCAAUCUACUUCAGGUCUUAAUCCCAAGUCCACGAGUCCUAUGUUCGAUUCUAAUGAGUCUAGAAAUUCUAAUAUUCCCAUGGUUGUCCGCAAAGGUGUAAGGUCAUGUACCAAACACCCAUCGUCUAACUACAUGUCAUACAAAAAUCUCUCACCCAAAUUUCAUGUUUUUACCUCACAAGUGUCUUGUAUGGAGAUUCUAAAAAGUGUGUAGGAAUCUCUAAAAAAAAAAAAAAAAGAUAGUGGAUUUGCCUAGAAGGAAGACAAUUACAGGGUGAAAAUGGGUAUUUACAAUUAAAUAUAGGUAAGAUGGAUCACUUUAAAGGUAUAAAGCUAGGUUGAUCAUCAAAUGAUUCACUCAGACCUAUGAUAUUGACUACCUAGAUACCUUUGCACCUAUAACAAAGCUAAAUACUAUGAGAGUUCUCUUAUCACUUGCAACAAAUCUCGAUUGGCCUCUACAACAAUUAGAUGUGAAAAUUUCUUUCCUUAAUGGAGACUUGGAGAAAGAGGUAUCUAUGGAUUCGCCCCCGGGCUUUGAUGGAAGGUUUGGUUCAAAGGUGUGUAAAUUGAAGAAAUCUUUAUAUGGGUUGAAACAAUCACCAAGGGCUUGCUUUGAGAAGUUCACUCAAUUUGUUAAAAGUCAAGGGUACACUCAGGAACAAGUUGAUCAUACUAUGUUUGUAAGACACUCAUAAGAUGGGAAGAUAAUUGUUUUAAUUGUGUAUGUAGAUGACAUAAUUCUCAUUGGGAAUGACAUGCUUGAGAUGAAUCGGUUGAAUCAGUCUCUCUUAUCAGAGUUCGAGAUCAAGGAUUUGGUGUCUUUAAGAUACUUUCUUGGAAUGGAUGUUGCUCGGUCAAAGAAAUGAAUAGUUGUCUCACAAUGAAAGUAUGUUCUUGAUCUCCUUAAGGAAAUUGGAAUGAGUGGUUGCAGGCUAGUAGAGAUCCCAAUUAUCCCAACCAAAAACUUAGAGAUGACAAAGAAGACAAUCUAGUAGAUACAUCCCGAUAUCAAAGACUAGUAAGGAAAUUGAUUUACUUAUCACAUACACAACUAGAUAUUGCAUUUGUCAUGAGCAUGGUAAGUCAAUUCAUGCACUUGCCUAAUAAGAAACACCUUGAGGCAGUAUAUCAAACCCUAAGGUAUUUAAAAGUACACCAAGCAAAGGUUAACACUUCUUGAAGAAUACAUAACAAAACAUUGAGGCCUACACUGAUGCAAACUAAGUAAGUUCAAUUAUUGAUAAGAGAUCUACAUCAGGAUAUUGCACAUAUAUUUGGGGUAACUUGGACACGUGGCAAAGCAAAAAAACAAAAUGUGGUUGCAAGAAGCAGUGCCGAAGUAGAAUAUCAAGCUAUGACUCAUGGAGUUUGUGAGAUGUAAUGGUUGAAGAGGGUACUAGAAGAUUUGAAUAUGCCAGUUAACAUGCCAAUGAAGUUGUAUUGUGACAAUAAGACCACUAUCAGCAUUGCACAGAAUUCAGUGUAACAUGAUCGCACAAAGCAUGUUGAAAUUGAUAGACACUUCAUAAAAGAGAAGAUUGACAAUGGAGCUAUUUGUAUGUCGUUUGUUCCAACAACACAAAAAAUAAUUGAUAUUCUCACCAAAGGAUUUUUCAGCCCUAACUUCAAACUUCUUAUCAGCAAGUUGGGCAUGAUUGAUAUUUAUGCGCUAUCUUGAGGAUGGGUGUCGAAGUUUUAGGAAGUAGUUAGGAUAUUUUAUUUUUAUGUUAAAUAAAAUCUGAAGUUAGUAAUUCAGAUUGUAGUUAGGAGGUUUCUAUUUUUAUGUAGUAGUUACAUUUUCCUAUUUUAUAGUUGAAUUGGUUAUAGAGCUAGUAACUAGUUUUUACUAUAUAUCUAUGUACUCAUACUUUAUGAAAUUUAAGAAGAACAAUUACUUUUCUUCUAAAAAAUUACAACCUUAAAUCUUGAAAGUAGGGCUAAGGGGAAUAACAAAAAUUCUAACUGAAAUAAAGGUAGAUCAAAGUUGAGGAAUUGAAAAAGUAAUUCUAGAUCUGGGUGGAUAUGAAGUGUUGGAACUGUGGGAAAACAAGUCAUAUAAAGAAGCACUGUAGAGCACUAAAAAAGAAUGAAGAAAACAAAAGGGAUGUUGCAACUGCAAUCACUGAGAAAAUACAUAAUGUGUUACUUCUGUCAAUUGAUAAUUCUAUUGAUUGUUGGGUUUUAGACUCGGGGGCACUUUUCCACACAACUACAUACUCAAAAUUUAUGGAGAACUAUGCUUUUGGGAAUUAUGUGAAGAUGUAUUUAGUAGAUGACGAACCACUGGAUAUUGUAAGUGUUGGAGACAUCCGUCUGAAAAUGUCAAACAAUUAUUUGUGGAAGAUUCAUAAGGUGAGACAUGUACUAAAAUUGAUGUGUAAUCUAAUUUCAGUAGGCCAAUUUGAUGAUGAAGGACAUAAUGUGACCUUUAGCAGCAGUGUGUGGAAAGUUACAAAAUGUGCCAUGGUUGUUGCACGAGGGAAUAAUAUUAGAACAAUGUGUAUGACAUCCAAUUGCCUAGAUAUGGUUUAUGUUGUUGAUAGUAAUGCUAAUUCAGAUUCGUGCCAUUGUAGGCUUAGACACAUGAGUGAAAAAGGAAUGAAAGUACUCAUAUCAAAUGGUAAAUUGCUAGGGUUGAAAUUUGUUGAGCACAAAUUGCAUGGGGAUUGCAUUUUCGGGAAAUAGAAUAGGGUAAGCUUCUCCAAAGUUGACAAAGAGUUGAAAGAAAAAAAAUUGAAGUUGGUUCAUAUAGAUGUUUGAGAGCCUUCAACUGUAGCCUUUCUUGGAGGAUCCAACUAUUAUGUGACAUUAAUUGAUGCCUCAAUUAGGAAGAUAUGAGUUUAUUUUCUAAAGAAUAAAUCAGAUGUGUUUGGUGCCUUUAAAAAGUGGAAGACAAUGGUUGAAAAUGAGACGAACUUAAAAAUGAAGUGUUUGGAGUCUGAUAAUGAGGAGGGAUUACAUUAAUGAUGAUUUCAAGCGGUAUUGCACUAAGACUGUGAUCAAGAUGACAAAAACUAUUCCUAGAAAACCUCAACAGAAUGGUGUGGUUGAAAGGAUCACUACAAGAAAAAAGUGAAAUAAUGACGUUUUUUAAGCGUCAAGAAAGGUAAAAGAUGACGCUUCCUCGAAGCGUCAUCUCCACCCCUGUCAUUAAAUGUUACAAUUAACAAUGACACUUCCAAGAAGCGUCAUCUUUUAUUAAUGCUUUCAAUGGCGCUUUAAGAAGUGUCAUCCUUGAAUAAUGUCAACAAUGACACUCGUGAAAGCGUCAUCUUUGAACAUUUUUAUUGAAAUAAUUUUUAUAAAAUUACCACUCUUGACACUUAUGCAAACGCCAUCUUUGAUUUAAUCUUAUUCAUGACACUUUUAAAAAUGUCUUCUUUGUUUCAUGUUAACAAUGAUGCUUAUAAAAGCGUCAUCUUUGAACAAUUUCUAUUAAAAAAAUAAUAUUUUGAUUCCGUUAUUAAAAUAAUUGAUUUCUUAUAUAAUUAAAUUAAAAAACAAUUACAACCAAUAAAAUAAAAUCGAAUUUUAUUAAUUAAAAUAUAUCCAAAUAUUGAUAUACAUGAACCUAGUUUAAACAAUUAAUGUAACCACCUAUAUAUAUUAAUUACGCAUAAACUUGUUAAUUAUAUCAAAAUAUUUCAAUAAGAAUUUCUAAUUCUAACAUAAGAACAAACAUUGGUACCAAGACUACUAAAAUAAACCAUAAUCUUUAAAAGCAUAGUUCAACCUCCUAAUGAGUUCACUGAUGUAAUCUUCAUGGUUUUUGACUUCGUCUUCUCUAACACAAUGGUUUCUCUUCUUUUAGCAAAAAAAUUUCCUUUGCAACCUGUAAAUAAAAAUAAGGAAGAGUAGAAAACAUCUAAAUUAUAUAUACAUACAAUAAAUAAUAAGCAUAAAUGAAAUUAUGACCUUCACAAAAUUAAUUUAGGUUAUCAAGUUUGCUUACAUGAAUCCCCUUAGCCUCUUACAUAUAUGGAUUGUGCUUCUUUCAAUUCAUUAUAUGAAAAAAAAAACGAUAUUAUGAAGUGUUUUCGAAAUAAAAUAUAACAGAUUAUUCUAAUGUAGAUAAAAAGCUCUCCAUUGCCAUCUCUAUGUUGCACCUUUAGAGCAUUACUUCAAAAAAGACCUCAUAAAAGAAUUCAUCAAAGUAAAACUAGACAUACAAAACAUUUCAUUAAGGAGACCAAUGAGUUGAAACUAAAUAAAUAAAUUUGUACUUUAUCAACAAAAUACCCUGAACUACAAUUUCAACUAACAUAUUAUGAUUUCCCCAAAAUAAGGAAAAAAAUGUACUUAAAAUUUUUUUUAAAAGUUUGAUUUUUUAUUCAACAACAUAGAAGAAUUAAAUUAUGUUUUUAUGGGAUAAAAUAUUGUAUUUUUAGUAUAAGUUAAUAGUUAAAUUAAAUCUUUAAUAAACUCGUAGACUCUAAGUGAAUAAAUAUGCAUCAAAUGCUUAUUAUAAAAUGUAUAUAUGAGUUAGGGUUGCUUUGUAUGGACAUUUAAUGGUGAACUCUUAAAGCAUUAUUGAAUACAAUAAUAAGUCCUAUAAUGCACAAUUAAAAAAAAAACCAAGGUCCAAACAUGAUGAAAACCAUCACAUUAUCACUAUGUUAUUGUUAAAUUUUAUUUUUAAUUUCUUAUAUUUUUAUUUUUUUUAUUUAUUUGACUAGUUUUUAUUUUUUACUAGCUCCUUUGAUUUUUGUUUAUUUUGAUAAUAAGAGGAGCUUGUAAUUUACUAGAUGAGGUAUGAUAAAAAUCCUAAGAUAGAAAGUAUAGACUUAUUUUUAUAUUUUAUUUUAACAAAACCAAGAAACUUGACAUUGCUUGAUUUAAGAUAUCAUAAAAAUCUUAUGUAAUUAUAAAAGUAAAUAAUUAAAUUAUAAAGUUAUAGUACAAAUAGAAUUCUAUCUUAUUAGCACUUAACCCCUUACUCCUAGUUGUCACAAUCAUUUCCUCCUACUCCUUGUUCUCAUAUAGAAUGAUAGCCUUGUUUUUUUUUUCCCUAUAUCCGUAAUAGAAGACCACUUUGUCUAAUUAGCGCAACACAUUGCACUGAACAAUAUGAAGAUAUAUUAUUGAAAAAUAUUGAAAGUUGGAUCUCUUGUUUAUUAAUAUUAUAAACAAAUAUUUUAGAAAAGAUAGAAAAAUCCAAACAUGUUGAGAACACAAAUUUAUGAACCCAUAUAUAGAAUAGUCAAACUUUUGUAUUUCCCUACUAGUAUUAGUUGUGGUCAAUAAGCCAUCUAGAGUAACUUUUGGCAAUAAUUUGAUUACUAUUUAAUACUUAAAACAAAACAAGAACAAGGGAUAGUAAGAAGUCAAACCUUAACAUGCACCUCUUCUAUGUAGAGGCUACUAAUAGGCAAUGGAGGAGCAAAAGCUUUGUCCACUGAGGAUCCCACACCAACCUUACUAUCUGUACAAUUUAGUUUCUAUUGCAUUUUAUAUAUAAUUUAAAAAAUUCACAGGUUCAACUCACAAUAUCAACCAAUUAAACAAAUAGAUUUUAGCAUGUCCCAAAAUAUACAAAAUAAUUGAUAAUGACAAACCUUCUCACUAUUAUGUUCAAGAGGGCUUAAUAUUACAACAUUAUGAAACUAGGAAGAAAUUUGUUGCAAAUUCUGCUAAUGUUGAGUGUUGACCAAGUAACUCUUAUCAAUCGGCUCGAGAACCUGAACAUAUGUACUACAGGUAGGAGCUUCAAUAAUUUGCUAACAACUACUGUUAUGAUGUUAUUACAGCUUGGGAGAUUUAGACUCAUUUAAAUUUUAAUAAGCCAACUACACUAUGUAAUAUAAUAAUCAAUAAGGAAAAUACAACUUGUAGAAUGAAAAUAAUUAAGUAACCCAAUCACAAAACUAAAUAUUAACCAAAUAUAUAUUCAACCUAAAAGUUCAAGAAGUAGUUGAAUGUUUUUUUGAAAUAAAUGAUAGAACAAUUGUGCAAUUUUAAUAAAUUUAUGUUAGAUCUAAGGAGAAAUUAAAAAAAAAAAAAGUGAUUUAGCCUUUGUGAUUCAACCUUAAGGAAUGGUAAAUUAGGAAUAGUGGAAUUAGAUCAAUCACAAGAGAAUAGCCAUAGAAAUUUCAAAAAUAAUAAAAAUAGCAACAAGAGUUUAAUUGUACUCACUUUUCAUCACAUACUUAGAUGGUGGAGUAGAACACUCUAUCCCUUGCUAUCCUUUACUAUUUCUAUCUCUCUCUCUCUCUCUCUCUCUCUCUCUCUCUCUCUCUCUCUCUCUCUCUUUCUCUCUCUCUUCUCAGUUGGGAAGAGAAGAGUGAUCUAAAAAUAAAUAGAUAAAUAUAUUAAAAAAGAAAAAUUAUAAAUUAUAAUUAAUAAAUGAAAACAUGAAGAAGAGAGAUAAGAUGUGAUAGUGUCUAAUAUUUCUAUUAACAUUCAACUAAAAUUAAAAUUCUAGAUAGUUAGAAAGAAAACAUGGAAAAUCAAUCAUUGACACUGUCAAAUUCCCAAGCCAAAAUUAUUGUUGGUACAGUUUAAGUUAGUAUUUUGAAUCUUUUAAGGUCCAUUCAUCUCCUACAUCAUUAAAACAAGCCAAAUAAUUGUUGCAACCCCCAAAUUAAGAAAUAGAGAGAAACAUCAAAUUGUUAAAGUUAAUGGAAAUAUAAUUUGAAUUCUUUAUUAGAACACAAUAUAGGUGUGGUAAAUAAAAAAAAUAAAAAAUAAAAACAUGAAGUGCAAGAUGCAAAAUAUUUUAAGCAUUCUCACCAAAAAGAGCUUGAUCUAGGCUCUUAUUUUUGAGAUAUUCAUAAACCAGAAUCUGUCUGUCUUCUUCGAUACAACAUCCAUACAAAAGCGCCAUUAUUUAAAAUGCCAUUGCUUCUCCUUGUAAAGCACCAAGAAUGUGUGAGCGUCAAUAAUUAUUAAUUUUAGAGAUAAAUAAUGACAUUUUUUACAAGCUUCAAGAAAUAAAGCGUUACUAAUUUAAUUUUUUGUAGUAGUGAGUUCUUAAUGACAUAUACAUUCAUGGAACUUUAAAAUGGGAAGAUAGAGAGUGUACCUGUGUAACAAGCAUCAGUGAUUCUAUAAAAAUGAGGUUAAUUCACCAAUAAUAAUGAUAAGAUUAAAUAAUAAUAAAUAAAAAAAACUAAACCUAUAUAUAUACAUUUAGAAUGGGAAGAUAGAGAGCGUACUUGUGUAGCAAGCGUCAGUGAUUCUAUAAAAAUGAGGUUAAUUCACCAAUAAUAAUGAUAAGAUUAAAUAAUAAUAAAUAAAUAAAUAAACUAAACCUACAUAUAUACACUUAGAAUGUCUAAAGUCAAGGAAAGUUCACAAGUAUGAUCAAAAGUGACUAACUUACCAAAAGCCAAGGAAAUAUUAUUAAAAGGGUAGAAAAUCGGUUCACAAAAUAAACUCCAAAUAAAUAUCAAUAAAGGUUAUCUCACCAAAAUAAAAAUUAGGUAACAGCUUUAACAUGUCUAGAUAAACAUCCAAUAGGCCAAAUUAAUCGAUUAUAUUCCAAUCAAUAACAAAUUUAUUCACAAAGGGGUUACCUCACAGAAAAAAGUCAAGAAAUAAUUAGAAUAGAAGACUGUAAAAAAUAAAUCUAAAACAAAUACCUAGAAGUUAAGUUUUAUCAAGAAAUUUUUUAGAGAGUAUCUCCUAUAUGUCUAGUUUAUCAUCUAAGUGACCAAAUUAAUUAACCAGCCCUCAUUUAGUACCAGAUUUCAUAACGAUGAUAAUAGGUCCAGAAUAGAGCAUCUUUCAAGGUAUUCAAAAAUUGAUUUUUAUAAUUAACUUAGAAAUGUCUUAAAAUCAUAAAAAAAAAAAAAAUCACACAACUAUAUUAAUAUGUCUAUUUUAUAUGAAAAAUAAUCUUAGAGAAAUAUCACAUUCACAACAUAUUUAAAAAUAAAUAAACAUCUCUCAGAUUCAGAAGAGCACUUAUGCAGUGUGUGCAAGAAGAAAAAAUUAUAUCUCUCAUUUCAUAAAUUGUUUAUUGAUAUUUUAUAUAUAAAAAAUUAAAUUUAAGGAGUCUAGAUUAAAAUAAAAUGUUAAAAGAAAUUAAAGAGAUUGUUUAGUAAUUUAAUUUUGUAAAACAAAACUGAAUAUCAAAAAUAGAGUGAAAACUGAACCUUCUGAAAAAUUGAUUUAAAUCUCCUAAUUGGAAAACCAUAUUUGACCCAAGAAAGAUUCUAAAAUCAAGUUCAAGGAGUCUAAAAUGUCAUAGAAUAGUUAUAAAAAUUUAAUAGGAUUUCUAAGUUGUCAGAUUUCAAUUUACAGAUGUAGAAGUACAUUGCGCUAUAAUGAAAAAAUUAUAAACUAACUAAAACGAAUUGAGAUAAAUCAAGACAAAUUUCAAAAUAAAAACUGCAUCACCUAGAAACCAAUUUACCAAAAAUAUAAGAAAUACUCAAACUAAAAGAAUGGGAUCAAACCAAAUCAAAGCAUGAACUAUAACACUAAGAAUCGAUUAAAUGAAUGAUGAAAAAUCAUAAAUGGACCUAAACUAAUAGAACCAAUUAAACUAAACUAAAACAAGAAUUUAAAAAGAGAACUUACCUUCCAUCAUGUAAGAGGGGCUGCUGUUAGAAUGCUCUUAAUCCUUCCAAUCUGAUGCUUUAUAUGCUGCACGUUGUCGGAGAUUUAUAUAAGAAUCCAGGCUAUGUAUGCCUUCUUUGAAGUUGCAGCUCAUGGAAAAUGGGUCCUUUUCUGGAGCCAUGUUGCAACAUGGAGAUCUCCUAGGUGAGGUCGUCCAUGGCUGUGCGUGAGAGUGGAGUCCCCAUGUGCAUGAGUGGCAGCCAUCCCAAGAAAUCUGCAUCUUCCCCAACAAAGUCUUCACAUCCUCCCAUCUCUCCUGCUCCCCAGAAGAAUUAAUCAUAAUAUCAUAUGUUGUAGUGAAAGGAGAGCAACCACUAUUCUGCAUUGCCUCAAACAACUCCUCUGCUUUAUUGUGGUGCCCAGACUUACAAUGACAAUCUAUGAGUGUAUUCCAUGUGACAACAGCUUCAUAAACAAUCCCAUCAUAAUGCAUUCCAUAUACAGUACAAGAUGUGCCACAAUUCCUACCUAAUGACUCAACAUCCAAUAAUAUCAAGGGCCCUCUUCCCCAUUGGCGCAAUAGCUUACAUUGGUAAAGCUCUCUAUCAUAAGCAGGCAGCAUAGCAUCACUCAUCUUCAACCUCUUCUCUUCUACUACUGUAUACUGCAAAGAAAAUCUUACAAAUUUGCAACUUUCUAAAGGCUCUACAAGCUAUGCAAUAGAGUUUAAAAGCUUCAUCUCACAAGAAGAACCAGAAAAUUUGUGUGUCUUUUUUUUUUUACUCUAGCCUCUUUUCAGAACUGAACUUUCUUGUAGACCAGCCAUCAACAACACUUACAUGCCUAGAAUUUUGAUUGUUUAAAGAAGAUGAUACAGAGGAUGAUUCAUCAACCUCUUCCUCAAUAUUCUCAUCCUUAGUUCCAGUAGAGAUACUAUAAGAGGAAUCAUGAGAUUUUGCAACAUUAGAAAUAUCCCCAUUUUCAUGCCCAUUAUCACCAUCUUCAACCAUCCGUGCAUCAUGAGAAUCAAUACCAUCAUCAUACUCAUCAUCAGCAUCCAUUUUCUCAUUAUGCAUUCCAAAACCUGCAUCAUCAGAUGGUUUAUUUCUAUCACCAUGCUCAUUUAUUGAUUGUCCAACAUUCUUAAGAGACGCCUCAUACUCCACUUCAUAUAUUUUUAGCUCAUCACGACCAGCUUCAUUGUACAAGCCAUUGCCUCGCCCACCAGAACCCUUAGUAGAAUUAUCAAAAAAUAUUUUCUCGUUGUCAUUCUUCCCUUUCACUACAACACAACUCUUAUCAAUAGAUCUAUCCCUUAUUGACAUGGUACUGUGCUCCAAUGCUUCCUCAUUGUAAUCUUCAUCCCUUCUCCUAUCAUCCCUUUCCCAAUACCUUGAACCCCACCAUGCACUACCAAUCCCUGGCCAAACUCGAAGAUAAUAGAAUUAUCUUCUCACUAGGUGCAGUCACCACUGUCUCACCAGCCUAGGCAACACAACCAGAUUUCAAUCCUUAGAGUAUAAGCAUUGUAACAGGGAAUAAGAUACCUAAACCUAAAGUAUAGAAAUGAGAGAAUAAAUAAAAAGUGCUAGAUGACAUGGGAAAAUUUUCAUUACUUCUGCUCUGUAGCAUCUAUUUUCAAGAGAAAUAUAGUUGGCGGUAGCUAUGUGCAAGGUUCCCAUCUACAUUAUCUCGAUAACCUUAUUUCUAGUACUAUAGUCAGUGGUAUCUCUUCACCAGAUUCUGAUGCUAGCAAUUCCCACCAAAGGCAAGAGCUUGGCUAUCAAAACCUCCUUCUCAAUAAUACUAGCCUUGAUGGUGGCUCUACUCAAGAUUCUUAUUUGCAUAAUCUCGAUAAGAGUAGGAAGGUUGUCUUUUAAAACCUUCUUUCCGAUAAUACUAGCUCUUUGCUAGAUUCCCACAUACACACUCCAAGUCAAAACUAGCAGGUCAACUAUGAAAACCUCAUUUCCAAUAAUACUAGCACUACUUACUGGUGGCCCUUUCUCGGAUUUUGGUCCACAUACUCACAACAAAUACUAGAAGAUCCAGAAUCAAAACAUCUAGAGACAAACCCUCUAUAAUGUGCAAAACAUUUGGAAAAACCAUCUAUCAUGUAUUCAUAUGAAAUAAGAGUUUCUUUCAAUUAUAAACAGAAAAAUAAUUGAAAACACAAAAUUUAUGCCUAACUACAAACACAAUAAAUAAAUUCCCCUGCAUUUCAUCAGUAGAAGGUACUCACUUUGAGAGAGUUUGAGAUAGUAGGAAGACUUUGUGAACUUAGUCUCUAAUUCUCUCAUGGUGGGAGCCUAGCUGAACCGAAUCAACAACACCAAAAUGCGGAUUAAUGCCAUUGCCUCGGCCAAAUUAGGUGGCUCUACCAGAAAUUAAAAGGCUUUUGCAAUCUUUGAUCCUGGAGGGCUGGAAGUUGUUGACAUCGGGGUGGCGAUCGACUGUAGCCUGAGCUUGGGUAAGCCAGUUGUUAGCAACGAUGUCAUGAUGAGUCGGUUUGGUAUGGUAGUAAGUGAUUCAUUCCCAGCAGCGGCAUGGCAACGGCAACGUUUGAUUCGGGUUCGAUCCCCGACAGCGGCGCCAUUUGAUUCGUGCCCAAUUGGUGUAUCAGCUGAUUCAUGUCCAGUUUUUGCUCCUUGAUUGAGAGAGUAAUCAACAAAAUUUAUAACCUAUUACACCAUGUACUAGGGUAGCAAAGACAAAGCUACUAUAGCAUAGUGGCUCUAGGAUUGUUCACUGGGAUGGGUUUUCACUUCACAAUUGAUAUUAAUACAAAGUUGAAUCGGUGCCUUUUCAUUUCAAGGUUAGCUUUAAAAGAAAACAUAAUUUUUGGUGGAAAAAGGUUUGGUUUUAAACUAACCAAAAAUAGUAACUGAUUUUACUUACAAAGAAAAGUGUUUCUUGGAGUUUAGAUCACUGGGCUCAGAUUCCUUGUACAAAAAGGGAGUUCCGAUCACUUGUUUAUUUUCCUCGCAUUGGGGAUUUAACAUAUAGUUAUUUCCCGAACCGGUAUUGUACAGAUGCCUCCCAUUAAUGGGUUCAACACUAAAUCCCUCUCACUGAUGCACCUUGCAAUGACUCAUACCUCUCACCUAGCACUUGCCAUUCAAGGUGAUCUUUAACCUUGGAUUUCCCGUCAAAAACUCGCAAGAGAUAACUAAUGGAUGUCUCCGUGGAGUCCAAAAGCUUACCAAGUGUUGAUUAUUCUAGAAAAUCCUACCUUCAAACCACCUCCCAAAGGCUCGCAAGAGAUAAACUAGUGCAUCUCUAUGGAUGGAGAUCACUUGCCUUACCAAGUGUUGGCCCAGGUGAUUUAAAGGCGUUUUAAGUUAACUAAAAAGAUAAAAACCAUUAACGGGUCACACUUUCUCUUCAUUAAAAAGUAAAACAACAAAACUUCCAAUUUAUGCAUGUGGAAACUUUACCCGGUUUUCUUCACUCCAAGAGACAAAGAGCCUAGCCUCUCAUCCUCUGAGGAAAAAUCCUUAGAGUUUGAUUAGCUAGAAAGAAAAUAACGAGAAAACAAAAGUAGAGCAAGUGCUCUGUAUUUUACUUCCUUCCCAAAACUAUACAAAGGAUGCGUCUCUGAGAACAAGCUCCCAGAUCCUAUUCUGAGAACAAACUCCCGAGAGAGCAUUUUGAUCGAUCUAUCAUCGAUAUCUUCUGUAAAGGAAAUUACAAACUAUUUAUAAGAGGUUAUUCACCCCUUUGUUUUUACUUAAGGACUAAGGAAUCCUAUGAUAGGUGGGUUACAAGGAGAGUUUGGGGAUUUAGACAUCAAAUAUCUAAAGCAAAAUAUCUAAAGAAAAAUAUCUAAAGAUAAAGAUCUAAAGAAAAAUAUCUAAAGAUGUCGGUCGCACAUACCGGGAAGCUUCAGGAGAACACCGCGGCAUUGUGCAAAAAAUGGUUGCAAAAUUCUCCAGGUGAACGCUAUCAGUACUGUGCAAAAUGGCUGUGAAACUCUCCGGGUGAGCGCUAUUAGAGGAUCCGGAUAUGUAUAUCCGGAGAAGUUGAAACGCCCUCCUCUCCCAUCCGGCUCCUUAAUUCCGGAUGUAAGACAUCCGAAUGGAAUGGCGGCGGCAGCAGAAUUCCGGAUGUCAUCCGGGUGGAAAUGGCGGCGGAGCAUAAUUCCGGAUGCCAUCCGAGUGGAAUGGCGUCGGCCGGAUGUAAAGUGGUGGUAGCCGGAUGUAAAGUGGCGGCAGCCAGAUGGAAUGAGCAGGAUCCCAUACUCCUUGUAUUCUGGAUUUGCUUAUGGAUUCCAAAGAACUCUCCUCAAUCUCGGAUUGCUUUGGUGAUCAAAAAGCUAUCAAAACACCAAAACUUAACACAAUUUGAUUAGAAUUGAUUGCAAGGGUCCUUAACAUGCCAAUUGGGUUAAAAGGUAAUAACUACUACUCAAAAGUGUUUAAAAGAGUUAAUUACAAGCUAUGAAAUAGCACUUUUUGAGUAGUAAUCAGUAAGCUAAAAUUUUAGAGUUAGGGUUUUGGAGAGUGUCAGCCAUGGAGGUAUCUGGAGGUAUUGGAGUUUGAGUGUGGGUAUCGGGCAAUGAAUGUGGGGCUUGUGGGGUCUAAUAAUGGUAUUGUUGGUCUUUUUUAAUAAGAAAAUAAGGGCAUUUAUUUAAUAAAUUGAAGAUGGCGCUUUUAAAGAGCGUCAAGGUUAAGUUGUUCAACAAUGACACUUAAAAAGCGCCAUUAUUUAAAAUUCAAGGUACGAUGAUGCUUACAAAAGCGCCAUUAUUUAAAAACGUCAUUGAUUCUCCUUGUAAAGCGCCAAGAAUGUGUGAGCGUCAAUAAUUAUUAAUUUUAGAGAUAAAUAAUGACAUUUUUUACGAGCGUCAAGAAAUAAAGCGUUAUUAAUUUAAUUUUUUAUAGUAGUAGAUGAACAGGACCUUAAAAUGAGCGUGUGAAGAGUAUGAGGAUUCACGUGGGAUUAUUGAAGACAUUUUGGGUCAAUGCAAUUAACAUUGUGACUUACUUGAUCAAUAGAGGUUCUUCAAUUCCUUUGGAUUGUAGAAUACCUAAAGAGGUUUGGAGUAGUAAAAAGAUAAACCUUUCUUUUUUGAAAGUGUUUGGUUGUCUUUCUUAUGUUCAUAUUGAUGCUGCUACUAAAAGUAAACUUGAUCUAAAAUAUAGAAAAUGUUUCUUUAUUGGUUAUGGUGACAUCAAGUUUAGUUAUCAUUUUUGGGAUGACCAAAAUCAGAAAAUCAUUAUAAGCAGGGAUGUGAUCUUUAAUGAGCAGGUGAUUUAUAAAGAUAGGUUAAAUUUCAAAUAAUGCAGAUUCUAAAGUAAGGAUGUUUGAGGUAAUUCACUUGAAAGAUUUUUCGAUGAAUGAUUUACAAGUGAAUGUUCAUGAAGUUCAAGAAACCACACCACUAAAAGAUUAAGAAAAUGUAGUCUCAUAAGUGAAUCGGUCUACUCUCAUUAUUGAACUCAAAAGAUCUUCUAAAACUAUCAUAUCACCCCAAAGAUACUCCUCUUCACUUAACUACAUUUUGCUUACUGACAAAGGUGAACUAGAGAGUUAUAAAGAAUAAAGAAGUAGUGCAAGUUGAUGAAUCAUUUAAGUGGGAGUUAGCUAUAAAGGAUGACAUGGAUUCAUUGAUGUCUAAUCAAACAUGGCAGUUGGUAGAGCUAUCAAAAGAAAAAAGGCUUUGUAAAAUAAAUGGGUAUACCGAAUAAAUGAAUAUCGAGAUGGUAGCAAGAGGUACAAAGCAAGACUUGUAGUAAAAAACUUUUCGCAAAAGAAAGACAUUGACUACAUAGAGAUUUUCUCCACAGUAGUCAAAUUAACCACUAUCAGAAUAGUACUUGGGUUAGUGGAAAAAAAGAUCUGCACUUAUAGCAGAUGGAUGUAAAAAUGACUUUUCUUCAUGGUGAUUUGAAUGAAGAUAUUUACAUGCAUCAACCAUAAGGGUUUUAGGUUUAGGGAAAAGAGAAAAUGAUGUGUAAGCCAUAAAAUAGUCUAUAUGACUUGAAACAAGCUCUAAGACAAUGGUAUAAGAAGUUUGACAACUUCAUGACUAGAAAUGGUUUUUUGAGGUGUUAGACAGAUCAUUGUUGCUAUAUCAAGAGGUUUGAUGGCUCCUAUAUUAUUUUAUUGUUAUAUGUUGAUGAUACGUUGAUUGUAGGGGCUAGCAUAUAUGAGAUUGACCAACUAAAAAAAAGUUAUCAGAGGAGUUUUCAAUGAAGGAUUUAGAUGCUACAAAACAAAUCCUUGGGAUGAGGAUUACUAAGGAUAAGGAUGUCCUUAAACUAUCACAGGAAGAGUAUGUGAAGAAGAUGCUUAGCAGAUCCAAUAUGGCUGGAGUGACACCUAUGAGUACCCUUUUGGCUAGUCACUUUCAACCAUCCAAAGAUCAGUCACCCUUAAAUGAACAAGAGUGGGUUUACAUGGCCAAAGUGUCUUGUGCCUUUGUUAUUGACAAUCUUCUGUAUGCCAUGAUUUGCACUAUACUAGAUAUAGCACAUGCAGUGGGAGUUGUGAGCAAAUAUAUGAGUAAUCUAGGAAAUAACACUAGGAGGCAGUGAAAUGGAUUCUUAGGUAUUUGAGAGACACUACAAAGUUGACUUUGUGUUUUUGGAAGUCAAAUUUAGGCUUGGAAAGGUAUGUAGAUGCUGAUAUGGCUGGUGAUAUAAACAACAGAAAGAGUAGUAUAGGAUAUGUUUUUACUUUGGGUGGUACCACAUCAAUUGGGUAUCAAAGUUGUAGAAGAUAGUUGCACUUUCUACUACUGAGACAGAGUAUGUUGUAAUGAUAGAUGUUAGCAAAGAGAUGAUAUUAUUGUAGUUUUUAUUGAAGAAUUGGGUCACAAGUAUGAGUUAAGUAUGUUACAUUGUGAUAGUAAGAGUGUCAUUCAUUUGGCAAAGAAUCUUGUUUAUCAUGCUAGGACAAAACACAUGUAGGUUUGUUAUCACUUCAUAAGAUUAGCUUUGGAAGAUGGAGUUUUAAUACUCAAGAAGAGUCAAAGGAAUUGGAAUCUAGUUGAUAUGUUGACAAAGACCGUAAUGAUUGAGAAACUAGAGUUGUAUGCAAUUUCAGUUGAACUUCUCAGUUGAGGAUUUAGAAGUCAUAGUUGUUAUAGGUGAAGACAGUUGAUGAUAGAUUAGUCUUUGAGUGGGAGACUGUUAAGGUGUGUGGAACCUAAUUAUUAUCCUAAUAGUAAAGGUAUUUUAAGUUAGGGUAUUUUAAGGAUUUUACACAUGUGACUUGGUUACCCUAUUUAUAUUAUGUUUAGGGUAGCCAACUUUGAGAGAUUUUUAUUUAUUUAUUUAUUUUUAUUGAGAGAGAUAGAAAAACACAAAGAGAAAAACCUAAAGGUGGGGUGUUUUGGGAUUCUCUUGUACUAUCUUUUUAUCAUAAUGAAAAUUUGCAUGGACUACAAGUGGAUGUAACUCUCACAUUGAGAGUAGACCACUAUAAAUUUCGUGUGUUCUUGUACUUUAAAUUUUCACAUUGGAAACAUUUUCUCUUUUGGAAAAUAGGAUUAGGGUUUUUUAAUCUUAACAUAGAGCACGAAAACAAGUCUAAACAAAUGCUGCAAUUGAAUAGAAAUUUGUAUCAUAUAUAAUUUCAUGAAGUUUCAAUUUAAAUUCACUCUUCUCUUAGCAUGAGAAGUAUCUAAAAAUCUAAGCUCUUAGACAUAGUUACUCUUCCAAGUAUACUCGAUAUAUAUUGUAAAAAUAUCAAAAUAAAAUCAAAUGUAAUUAAAAUUAAUUAUUUUAAAUUCUUUUUAUAAUAAAUCAAAUGUAAUUAAAAUUAUAAUAUAUAUUUUUUUCAUGUUUGAUUUAUUAUAAAAAUUAAAAUAUAUAUAUAUAUAUAUAUAUUUUAAAAUUAAUCAAAUAUUAAAUUAUUCAACCUCUUGUUAUUUUUAUUUAAUUUUCUUUCAUUUUUUUUCUUGUAUUUUCUUUCAAAUUUUAUAAAAACUAAAAUUAAAAAAAACAUUUAUGAUUUAAUUAAUAUGAAAUCUAUUUUUGUUUUUAUUUACUUUUCUUUCAUAUUUUUAUACACUAUACUUCAACAAUCUUAAUUCUCAUUCUAACAUACCUUUAAAUUCUAUUGGUGAUUCUAAAAGUUGUCUCCUUAUACGGUUUUUAUUUGUGUUGGGAUUGUACAAAUGACAACUGAGGUAACAGAUGUUGAGGAUGCAUGAAUGUGGAGAGGUAAUAUAAAGAAAAUCUUUAUUGACAUCAUGCUAAAUGAAGUUAAUAAAGCUAACAUGGAUGGUGGUUCAUUUGGUACCAACACAUGGAUGAGGAUCUUACUUGAGGUCAAUAGUCAAAGGAAAAGAAAUUUCAAUUUGAAGUAGCUUAAACAAAAGUUUAACAGACUACGUGCAAUGCAUUACAAGUUCUUUGAUCUUUUAAGCAUAUUGGAUUUAGUUGGGAUGCUAAAACUAACACGGUGCAUGCUUUAGAGGAAACCUAACAAAAUUAUAUUCGAGUAAAAAAAACUUCUAAACCAAUCAUUUUUUAAUUUAAAUAUUUGGUAUACACUAAAAGUAGGUUUUUUCCUCUAUUAGGUACACCCAAAUGCAAAAAGAUUCUACUCAAAGGAAUGCCCAAACUACAACUUGCUAGGAUUGAUCUUUAAUCCAUCAACAACAACCAAUGCCCUCCAUUACACUUUUACCCAAGAUCCACGAAACACUGAUGAUGAUGAUAAGAUGGAUGACAAUUCAGAACAUGGUGGAGUGCAUGUGGAUGUAGAUAUUAAGAUCCUUGAUGAUCCUUUACGAUCAGAGAUGGUGAGAGGAGCGAUCACCCAUUUUAGAAAGCAUGACACUGAUUCUCUAUUAGAGCGUAGAGGUAAAAAAGAGUCCAAAUAAAUCAAAUGGGAGAUGAUUUGAACGCUUGGGUUGAGGCAUCAAAGGCUAGUACAAAGAAAUCUUGAGCUAGAAUUGAAGAAUUAUUGGCUAGAGCGGAUAGAUAUAAGAGUGGAACUAAUAGUGAAGCUACUAGUGCAGGUACUGAUGAUUUUAGCAUAACAAUGUGUAUGAUAACCUUAAAAACCAUUGAUUUGCUUGAUAAUGACAAAUAUUUAAAAGCUAUUGAGAAAUUCACAAUGUUAGAGUGAAGAGAGAUUUUUAUGAAUAUGCUUGAUGAGAGGAAAAAUGCAUGGUUUGAUAGGCUUUAAGUGUGAGUGUUUGGAUGAAUGACUAUUAUGAUGAUAUCGUACUAUGUACCAUAAUUUAUUUUGGUUAGAAUCUUUUAUCGUGUUCUUUAGCUUUUCAAUGUAUGAAUUUUAUUUAUGGUUAUGAAACAUAUAAUAUAUCUACUUUAAUGUUUAUUUCAUGUUAUUUUAUAUUGUGAGUUAAUUUGUUUUGUGUAGUAACCAAAGGAUGAUAACAACACAAACAGUGGUUCACUAUAUGAGUCAACUUCAUCUUUUGAAGAGGAUGAUGAUUUAGAUGAAAUUUUUAUUGAUCACAUAAUGAAUUAGUAUGAGGAAAUAUUUUUAUGCAAAAUACCUCAAACGACAUCAAUGUUAAGUGGUGCACAAUUUGUAAGAGAUAUGAUAGAUGGUCAUCCUCAGACAUGUUAUGAACUAUUUUAGAUGGAUAAAGAAACAUUUAUGAACCUUUGUAAUCAUAUUAAGAGACAUGAAAACAUUCAUGAUACACAAUUAGUCACAGUUGAAGAGGCAGUUGCUAUGUUCUUACUAAUAGUAGGACAUAAUGUAAGAAUGAGGGUUGUAGCAGACUGUUUUCAACACUCCAUAGAGACUAUUGCUCGACACUUUAAAGAAGUUAGAUGUGUAUUAUGUCAACUAGGCAAAAUUCUCAUACAUCAUAGCAAUAUGGUCAAUGAGGUGUCUUCAUAUGUUGCUAGUAAUCCUAAAUAUAUUCCAUGGUUUAAGGUAAGAUUUUAUAAAAAAUAUUUAUAAAUGUGAAUUUCAUGUACAUAAAUAGUUUUCAUUUCUAUUGUUUUAAUUCCUUAAUAAUAAUAAAUGUUUGUUGUUGUAGGACUACUGAUUACUACUCAAAAAGUGCUAUUUGAUAGCCUAUAAUUAAUCCUUUUAAACACUUUUGAGUAGUAGUUUUGGCCUUUUAACUCAAUUGGCAUGUUAAGGACCCUUGAAAGCAAUUUUGAUCACUUUGUGUAAGUUUUGGUGUUUUUGUUAGUAUUUUGAUCACCAAAGCAAGUCAAGACUGAGGAGAGCUAUGAGGAAUCUUGGGCAAAGCUUAGAAGUCAUUUGCUAAGAAUAAAUCCGGAUUGCAAGGAGAAAAAGUAAAGAGAAUCUGCCAUGAAGCCUAUUCUUGAUGACAGUCGUAGCAGCCACUUUUGGAGCACUUUCUGAAGUCCAAAUGAUGCAUGCUAUAUACCAUUUCAAAGCUCAGGAAGUCAACAAUCCAAUGCUUCAAACAGUGUACAAUUCGGAGUUGAAACGAAGAAGUUGCAGCCAUUGCAAGCCAAUCACUCUUAGCUGAAGGAAGCUUUUUGCAAAGUGUUGCGAAAUCACCCUUUUGUUGCGAAGUGAUUUCGCAGCCUUUUUGUACAGUAGGGUGUAUCUCCUUCUGAAGUUGCCCAACCUAUACCGCGAGAAGGAAGCUUGGAACCUCAAGGUGGAAGCCAACUUCGCAGCCCUGCGAGUUUAGCUUGUUGUUGCGAAAUGAUUUCGCAGCCCUCUUGAGUGUCUGCGAAAUCUCGCAGACACCAUUUUCUCUUGCGAAAUGGUUCCUGAAGCACCCCGAUAUUUGCUACCGACAUUGGGAGAUAUUUUCCAUCAGAUUUUUGUUGUCUAAAUCCCAAAAUACUCCUUGUAAACCACCAAUUACAUGAUUCCUUAGCUUUUAAGUUAGUAAAAAGACUAAAUAUCUAUGUAAUAAUUAGUUUUAUAUUAUGUACAUAUAUAUACCUCUCGGGAGCCUGUUCUCAGGGAGGAGAUCCUUCUGUAAAAGUUUGGGUAAGCAAGUAAAGUUCAGUUCUUUCUACUGCCUUACCUUCUCACUUUGUAAUUUUAUUUUCUUACUAAGUUAUGAAUUCUCUGAGGAGUUUUCCCUAGAGAAUGAGUAACUAAACCUCUAAUUCCUUGGAGCUAAGGUUGCCGGGGAAGGUUCCAAGUGCAAGAAUGCAAAGCUUUGUGGUUUUAGCUAUUAAUGAAGAGGAAGUGAAAUCCUUUAGUGAUUUCUAUGUUUUUAGUUAACUUAAAACACCUUAGAGUCACCUGGGCCAACACUUGGUAAGGCAAGUGAUUUCCAACCAUGGAAAUGCACUAGUUUACCCCUUGCGAGCCUCUGGGAGGUGACUUCAAGGUAGGAUUUUCUAGAAUAGCCAACACUUGGUAAGCUUUUGGACUCCAAGGAGACAUCCAUUAGUUAUCUCUUGCGAGCUUUUGACGGGUAAUCCAAGGUUAAAGAUCAUCUUGAAUGGUUAAGGCUUAGUGAGAGGCUUAAACCAUUGCAAGUUGCAUCAGUGAGAGAAUUAAAGUGAAAUCUAAUUAAAGGAGUCUCUGUACAACACCGGUUAAAGAUUUGACUAUAUGUUGAAUCUCUAACGCGAGGAAAUGAACCAUCUGACCAGAGCCGUGUCUUUUGCAUGAGGAACCACCCCAGUGAACCUAAAUCUCCAAGGAAUGCUUUUCUUCCUAAAUUAUUCCAAACUUCUGUUAUGUUAGUUAGUUUAAGUCUCAACCUUUACCAAUCAAAGUUUGUGUUUUUACUUCUUAAGCUAACCAUGAAAUGAAACAAAACCAAUUCACUUGGNNNNNNNNNNNNNNNNNNNNNNNNNNNNNNNNNNNNNNNNNNNNNNNNNNNNNNNNNNNNNNNNNNNNNNNNNNNNNNNNNNNNNNNNNNNNNNNNNNNNNNNNNNNNNNNNNNNNNNNNNNNNNNNNNNNNNNNNNNNNNNNNNNNNNNNNNNNNNNNNNNNNNNNNNNNNNNNNNNNNNNNNNNNNNNNNNNNNNNNNNNNNNNNNNNNNNNNNNNNNNNNNNNNNNNNNNNNNNNNNNNNNNNNNNNNNNNNNNNNNNNNNNNNNNNNNNNNNNNNNNNNNNNNNNNNNNNNNNNNNNNNNNNNNNNNNNNNNNNNNNNNNNNNNNNNNNNNNNNNNNNNNNNNNNNNNNNNNNNNNNNNNNNNNNNNNNNNNNNNNNNNNNNNNNNNNNNNNNNNNNNNNNNNNNNNNNNNNNNNNNNNNNNNNNNNNNNNNNNNNNNNNNUCUUGGACUGAUUUACAAGCUGAAUUCCUCAAGAAAUUUUUUCCCACUCAUAGAACAAAUGGCUUGAAAAGGCAAAUUUCAAACUUCUCAGCUAAAGAGAAUGAGAAAUUCUAUGAGUGUUGGGAAAGAUACAUGGAAGCUAUAAAUGCUUGUCCUCACCAUGGCUUUGAUACUUGGCUAUUGGUGAGUUAUUUUUAUGAUGGUAUGUCCUCCUCAAUGAAGCAACUCCUCGAGACAAUGUGUGGAGGAGAUUUCAUGAGCAAAAAUCCAGAGGAAGCUAUGGAUUUCUUGAGCUAUGUAGCUGAUGUUUCAAGGGGAUGGGAUGAACUAACUAAAGGAGAAGUGGGAAAGAUGAAGUCUCAGUUGAAUGCUUACAAUGCAAAGGCUGGGAUGUAUACCUUGAAAGAAGAUGAUGAUAUGAAAGCAAAGUUGGCAGCUAUGACAAGAAGAUUGGAGGAGCUGGAGCUGAAAAGAAUACAUGAAGUGCAAGUUGUUGCUGAAGCACUAGUGCAAGUGAAGUUGUGUCCCAAUUGUCAAUCAUAUGAACAUUUGGUGGAGGAAUGCCUUGCAAUUUCAGCUGAAAGGGAAAUGUAUAGAGAUCAAGCAAAUGUUGUUGGACAAUUCAGGCCCAAUAACAAUGCGCCUUAUGGAAAUACCUACAACUCAAGUUGGAGGAUUAAUCAUCCAAAUUUCUCAUGGAAGGCCAGAGCAACUCAAUACCAACAGCCAGAUCCACCAUCUCAACAAUCUUCAAGUAUUGAACNNNNNNNNNNNNNNNNNNNNNNNNNNNNNNNNNNNNNNNNNNNNNNNNNNNNNNNNNNNNNNNNNNNNNNNNNNNNNNNNNNNNNNNNNNNNNNNNNNNNUGAAGAGGAAGUGAAAUCCUUUAGUGAUUUCUAUGUUUUUAGUUAACUUAAAACACCUUAGAGUCACCUGGGCCAACACUUGGUAAGGCAAGUGAUUUCCAACCAUGGAAAUGCACUAGUUUACCCCUUGCGAGCCUCUGGGAGGUGACUUCAAGGUAGGAUUUUCUAGAAUAGCCAACACUUGGUAAGCUUUUGGACUCCAAGGAGACAUCCAUUAGUUAUCUCUUGCGAGCUUUUGACGGGUAAUCCAAGGUUAAAGAUCAUCUUGAAUGGUUAAGGCUUAGUGAGAGGCUUAAACCAUUGCAAGUUGCAUCAGUGAGAGAAUUAAAGUGAAAUCUAAUUAAAGGAGUCUCUGUACAACACCGGUUAAAGAUUUGACUAUAUGUUGAAUCUCUAACGCGAGGAAAUGAACCAUCUGACCAGAGCCGUGUCUUUUGCAUGAGGAACCACCCCAGUGAACCUAAAUCUCCAAGGAAUGCUUUUCUUCCUAAAUUAUUCCAAACUUCUGUUAUGUUAGUUAGUUUAAGUCUCAACCUUUACCAAUCAAAGUUUGUGUUUUACUUCUUAAGCUAACCAUGAAAUGAAACAAAACCAAUUCACUUGGAAUUGGUAUCAUUAAGAGCUUGUUAAUCUUUCCCAGUGGACGAUCCUAGAGCCACUAUACUAUAGUAGCUUUUUCUUUGCUACCCUAGUAUAUGGUGUUAUAGGUUAUAAAUUUUGUUGAUUACUCCCUCAAUCAAGGAGCACCAGCUGGACACAAAUCAGCUGAGACACCAAUUGGGCAUGAAUCAAAUGGCGCCGUUGCCGGGGACUGAGUCAAGUUUAUAUUGAUACCAUUUUUGAGCACUUGUGAUUUUCAUCACAAGUUGGUAAAGUUUCUUUCACUUUACUAAUUCUCAUUCUUUCUUUAUUUAUUCAUAAUCUAAGUUUAUCUUUUAAAAUUUGGCCUAGUUUAAUUUUGUUGUUGUAGCCCUGUUUCUCUUGUUGUCCUCUGUUUUCAUUUUUUGUUGCAGAUAGAUACUAGUUGUGUAUGCCAAAGUGGAUACGAGACAGUGGAGGAAGGCUUGUUAAGUGUGAUACACCUCAGAUAAGAGAAUUCGAAGUAAUCUUGAAUAUCAUGGAAGUUACACCUGAAGAUCAGCAUAGUCACCAAGGUCGUCAAGAUAAUCUUAAUGAAUUCAGAUCAAUGAGGGACCGCAUGCAUCCACCUCGUAUGAGUGCACCAUCAUGUAUAGUGCCCCCUACAGAGCAGCUAGUGAUCGGACCGUAUCUUGUUCCACUUCUACCAACUUUCCAUGGGAUGGAAAGUGAGAAUCCGUAUGCACACAUUAAGGAAUUUGAAGAUGUUUGUAAUACAUUCCAAGAGGGAGGAGCUUCAAUUGAUUUGAUGAGGCUUAAGUUAUUUCCUUUUACUUUAAAGGAUAAGGCGAAAAUUUGGCUUAAUUCUUUAAGGCCAAAAUUUGGCUUAAUUCUUUAAGGCCAAGGAGUAUCCGUUCUUGGACUGAUUUACAAGCUGAAUUCCUCAAGAAAUUUUUUCCCACUCAUAGAACAAAUGGCUUGAAAAGGCAAAUUUCAAACUUCUCAGCUAAAGAGAAUGAGAAAUUCUAUGAGUGUUGGGAAAGAUACAUGGAAGCUAUAAAUGCUUGUCCUCACCAUGGCUUUGAUACUUGGCUAUUGGUGAGUUAUUUUUAUGAUGGUAUGUCCUCCUCAAUGAAGCAACUCCUCGAGACAAUGUGUGGAGGAGAUUUCAUGAGCAAAAAUCCAGAGGAAGCUAUGGAUUUCUUGAGCUAUGUAGCUGAUGUUUCAAGGGGAUGGGAUGAACUAACUAAAGGAGAAGUGGGAAAGAUGAAGUCUCAGUUGAAUGCUUACAAUGCAAAGGCUGGGAUGUAUACCUUGAAAGAAGAUGAUGAUAUGAAAGCAAAGUUGGCAGCUAUGACAAGAAGAUUGGAGGAGCUGGAGCUGAAAAGAAUACAUGAAGUGCAAGUUGUUGCUGAAGCACUAGUGCAAGUGAAGUUGUGUCCCAAUUGUCAAUCAUAUGAACAUUUGGUGGAGGAAUGCCUUGCAAUUUCAGCUGAAAGGGAAAUGUAUAGAGAUCAAGCAAAUGUUGUUGGACAAUUCAGGCCCAAUAACAAUGCGCCUUAUGGAAAUACCUACAACUCAAGUUGGAGGAUUAAUCAUCCAAAUUUCUCAUGGAAGGCCAGAGCAACUCAAUACCAACAGCCAGAUCCACCAUCUCAACAAUCUUCAAGUAUUGAACAAGCAAUAGCCAAUCUCACUAAGGUAGUGGGAGAUUUUGUUGGAAAGCAAGAAGCCACCAAUGCUCGAGUCGAUCAAAGAAUUGAUAGAGUGGAGAGUAUGUUGAAUAAAAGGAUGGAUGGAAUGCAAAAUGAUAUGAACCAAAAAUUUGAUAACAUCCAGUAUUCAAUUUCAAGGCUUACAAAUUUGAAUACACUGCAAGAAAAGGGAAGAUUUCCUUCUCAACCUCACCAAAAUCCCAAAGGUGUCCAUGAAGUGGAAAGCCAAGAGGGAGAAUCAUCACAGGUGAAAGAUGUCAAAGCCUUGAUCACUCUAAGGAGUGGUAAGAAAAUUGAGCAGCCAACACCCAAGCCACAUGUUGAGAAAGAAGAAGAGAUAAAGAAAGGGAAGGAAAUGGAAGAUAAAGAAAGUGAGAUCAGUGAAGAAAAGAAGGACUCUGAUGCAACAAGGAAAAUAAUUCCAGAGAAGGAGCUUCUGAAGGAAGAAAUGCUGAAGAAAUCAACUUCUCCACCUUUUCCUCAAGCAUUACAUGGGAAAAAGGGGAUUAGAAAUGCAGCUGAAAUCCUUGAAGUAUUGAGGCAAGUGAAAGUCAAUAUUCCACUGUUGGAUAUGAUUAAACAAGUUCCAACAUAUGCAAAAUUCCUAAAGGACUUGUGUACUAUCAAGAGAGGGUUGACUGUAAACAAGAAAGCCUUCUUGACUGAGCAAGUAAGUGCAAUCUUACAAUGUAAGUCUCCUUUGAAGUACAAAGACCCUGGAAGUCCUACCAUUUCAGUCAUGAUUGGAGGAAAGGUAGUGGAGAAAGCCUUGCUAGAUUUGGGAGCAAGUGUGAAUUUGCUUCCAUAUUCCGUCUACAAGCAACUGGGACUUGGAGAGUUGAAGCCAACAGCAAUCACUCUAUCUCUAGCAGAUAGAUCAGUGAAAAUUCCAAAAGGGGUAAUUGAGGAUGUAUUGGUUCAAGUGGAUAAUUUCUACUAUCCAGUAGAUUUUAUUGUUCUUGAUACAGAUCCUACUGGAAAGGAAGCUAAUUUAGUUCCUAUCAUCCUUGGAAGGCCAUUUCUUGCAACUUCAAAUGCAAUCAUCAACUGCAGGAAUGAGCUGAUGCAACUCACUUUUGGUAACAUGACACUGGAUCUCAAUAUUUUCUAUAUGUCUAAAAAGCAAAUCACUCCGGAAGAAGAAGAAGGACCAGAAGAGUUAUGCAUUAUUGAUACUUUGGUGGAGGAGCACUGUAAUCAAAAUAUGCAAGACAAGUUGAAUGAAAGUCUUGUGAAUUUUGAGGAAGGUUUUUCUGAAUCUCCUAUUGGGCUUGCUACUCUACAAAGUUGGAGAAAGAUAGAAGAGAUUCUACCUUUGUUCAAUGAAGAAGAGGAGGCAUCUGCUGAAAAAGAAAUUCCAAAACUCAAUCUGAAACCUUUACCUGUGGAGCUGAAAUAUAUAUAUCUUGAGGAGAAUAAUCAAUGUCCUGUUGUGAUAUCCUCAUCUCUGACCAGUCAUCAAGAGAAUUGUUUAAUGGAAGUUCUCAAGAGGUGUAAGAAGGCAAUAGGAUGGCAAAUAUCCGACUUGAAAGGCAUCAGUCCUUUAGUUUGUACUCAUCAUAUAUAUAUGGAGGAGGAAGCAAAGCCAAUUCGUCAAUUUCAAAGAAGGUUGAAUCCUCAUCUACAAGAGGUGGUACGAGCUGAAGUGCUGAAGCUACUUCAAGCAGGAAUCAUUUACCCUAUAUCUGAUAGCCCUUGGGUGAGUCCUACUCAAGUGGUACCAAAGAAGUCAGGGAUCACAGUGGUUCAAAAUGAAAAAGGAGAAGAAGUUACUACACGCCUCACUUCAGGUUGGAGGGUGUGUAUUGAUUAUAGAAAGCUGAAUGCUGUAACCAAGAAAGAUCAUUUUCCAUUGCCAUUUAUUGAUCAAGUGUUGGAGAGAGUCUCUGGACAUCCAUUUUAUUGUUUCUUGGAUGGGUAUUCAGGGUAUUUUCAGAUUGAAAUUGAUUUGGCAGAUCAGGAAAAAACCACUUUUACAUGUCCAUUUGGAACAUAUGCUUAUAGAAGAAUGCCUUUUGGUUUAUGCAAUGCACCUGCUACAUUUCAAAGAUGCAUGUUGAGUAUUUUCAGUGAUAUGGUGGAGCGAAUUAUGGAGGUUUUCAUGGAUGACAUCACCGUAUAUAGAGGUACAUUUGAGGAAUGCUUAGUUAAUUUGGAAGCAGUUCUUCACAGAUGCAUUGAAAAAGAUUUGGUGCUCAACUGGGAGAAAUGCCAUUUUAUGGUACGACAAGGAAUUGUCCUUGGCCAUAUCAUCUCUGAAAAAGGCAUUGAAGUUGAUAAAGCAAAGGUGGAGCUUAUUGUCAAAUUACCAUCCCCAACAACUGUAAAAGGAGUAAGACAGUUCCUUGGCCAUGCAGGGUUCUAUAGGCGGUUUAUAAAAGGUUUUUCAAGUCUUUCAAAACCUCUUUGUGAGCUGUUAGCUAAGGAUGCUAAGUUUAUAUGGGAUGAAAGGUGUCAGAAUAGCUUUGAUCAACUGAAGAAAUUUUUAACAACAACUCCAAUAGUGAGAGCCCCUAACUGGCAACUACCUUUUGAACUGAUGUGUGAUGCCAGUGACUUUGCUAUAGGAGCUGUGCUUGGCCAAAGGGAAGAUGGGAAGCCCUAUGUGAUUUACUAUGCAAGUAAAACACUGAAUGAAGCUCAAAGGAACUACACAACUACAGAGAAAGAAUUGUUAGCUGUGGUAUUUGCUUUGGACAAAUUUCGUGCUUAUUUAGUGGGGUCUUUCAUCAUUGUCUUCACUGACCAUUCAGCCUUGAGGUACUUAUUGACAAAGCAAGAUGCAAAAGCAAGGUUGAUUAGAUGGAUUCUUUUGUUACAAGAAUUCGAUCUCCAAAUCAAAGAUAAGAAAGGAGUGGAGAAUGUGAUAGCUGACCACCUUUCAAGGUUAGUUAUAGCACAUAAUUCCCAUCUCUUGCCUAUUAAUGAUGAUUUUCCUGAAGAAUCACUCAUGUUCCUAGUGAAAACUCCUUGGUAUGCUCAUAUUGCUAAUUAUUUAGUAACUGGAGAAAUUCCAAGUGAGUGGAAUGCACAGGACAGGAAGCACUUCUUUGCAAAAAUUUAUGCUUAUUAUUGGGAAGAGCCCUUUCUUUUUAAGUAUUGUGCAGAUCAGAUAAUUAGGAAGUGUGUCCCUGAAGAUGAGCAGCAAGGGAUUCUAUCUCAUUGUCAUGAGAAUGCAUGUGGAGGCCACUUUGCCUAUCAGAAAACAGCCAUGAAGGUAUUGCAAUCAGGGUUUACUUGGCCAUCUCUUUUUAAGGAUGCCCACAUCAUGUGUAGAAGUUGUGACAGAUGUCAAAGGCUUGGAAAGCUAACAAAAAGAAAUCAAAUGCCUAUGAACCCCAUUCUGAUAGUUGAGAUAUUUGAUGUAUGGGGCAUUGACUUCAUGGGACCUUUCCCAAUGUCUUUUGGUAAUUCUUACAUCUUGGUGGGAGUACAUUAUGUUUCUAAGUGGGUUGAGGCAAUCCCCUGUAAACAAAAUGAUCACAGGGUGGUUCUCAAGUUUCUUAAAGAGAACAUAUUCUCAAGAUUUGGGGUGCCCAAAGCCAUAAUCAGUGAUGGAGGUGCUCAUUUUUGCAACAAACCUUUUGAAGCUCUGUUAUCCAAGUAUGGAGUGAAGCAUAAGGUGGCUACACCUUAUCAUCCUCAGACUUCCGGGCAAGUUGAGCUAGCUAACAGGGAAUUAAAGAACAUCUUGAUGAAAGUGGUGAAUUCCAACAGAAAAGAUUGGUCAAUUAGGCUUCAUGAUUCAUUGUGGGCGUAUAGAACAGCUUAUAAGACUAUUCUUGGGAUGUCUCCCUAUCGUUUUGUCUAUGGCAAAGCAUGCCAUCUCCCUGUGGAAGUUGAAUACAUAGCUUGGUGGGCAAUAAAGAAGCUGAAUAUGGACUUGAUCAAGGCAGGAGAAAAGAGAUAAAUAGACCUUAAUGAGAUGGAGGAAUUAAGAAAUAAUGCUUAUAUCAAUUCCAAAGUUGCAAAACAGAGGAUGAAGAAGUGGCAUGACCAACUCAUUUCCAACAAGGAAUUUCAGGAAGGGCAAAGAGUUUUACUGUAUGACACAAGACUCCAUAUCUUUACUGGGAAGCUCAAGUCAAGGUGGAUAGGCCCGUUCAUUAUUCACCGAGUAUAUUCCAAUGGAGUGGUGGAAUUAUUGAAUUCCAAUGGCAAGGACACCUUCAAAGUCAAUGGAUAUCGUCUCAAGCCAUUCAUGGAGCCAUUCAAACCAGAAAAGGAGGAGAUCAACCUCCUUGAGCCUCAAAAAGCCUAAGCAAAGAAGGGUUUGCUGGACGUGGUUUACCACAGUCCAAAAUUUUUGUAAAUUUUGUAAAUUUUCAAGUUGUUUCCAUACUUUUGAUCUUAGUUUUUGAUCUUAAAUCAUGUUUUUAGGUGUGUUUUAAUCGUUUUGAAUGAUCCCAGGUGGAAGAAAUUUCAAGGAAAUUAAAAAGAAAAAAAUCGGAUCGAAAUCGGAGCAAAAAUAGAGAAAAAACAAAGCUCUGCGAAAUUUCGCAGAGUGAAGGAAACUUCUGCGAAAUGAGCAUUUUGUUGCCAAACCAUUCCGCAACACUGUAGAAGUCUCUGCGAGGGUAUUUCGCAGCUGCGAAGGCGAAUUUGGCACACGAGUGCCACUUCGCAGUACAGUAGCAUCCAUUUGGCAGCUGUGAAACGUAUUGCGAAGUGGUAAAGCCCAGAUUUCGCACCAAAAGUCCCAUUCCGCAGGGUAUUUCGCAAUUGCGAAAGUGGUUUUGGCACACGAGUGCCACUUCGCAGCACAGGAACUCUCAUUUCGCAGCUGCGAAACGCACUGCGAAGUUGCUGCGAAAAUGGCAUUUUGCUGCGAAAUUGGCGUUUUGUUGCGAAACUUAAACUGACCCUUAGGCUUCCGUUUUUCCUAUUUAUACCGGUCAUUUGAGCUGCGAAAAGGGUUUCAAAAAUCAGAGCGCCAUUCUCGCAAGCUGUUCGUCUUCUUCAGUGAGCCUCGCCGUCCAAGCCUCCGGUCAUCUUUUUCGAUCAGCAACGUCGGCCAAAGUUCGGUAUCCCGAAAUGGCGCGAACACGAGUGGCUAAAUCUUCAUCUCCUUUGAAUCGCAAGAAGAGUCUGCGAAAGGAGCCAGUUCCAGAUUCUGCUCCAGAGCCUUCGCCAUCGAAAGCAAUUCCUCCCCCGGUGAAGCCAGCGCCGCCAAAGCCUCCGGCAAGACGAUACCUUACCAGGUCAAGGGGUCGGCCACUACAGAAGAGACCCAAGGUGGAGAGCUUAGAACCCAUCGAUUUGACUGAGCAAUCUCCAGAGCCUUCACCAAUUCCAACUCCAGUGUCGUCUCCAGUUCCCUCGCCGAUUCCCAUGCCAGUUUCGUCGCCGGUACCAUCUCUGGCGCUGCAAGAAAAAUCUCAGGAGCCUCAAGCGCCACUUCCUAAGCCCCAAAUUCCAUCCGAAACAGCUCUGGAAGAAGUAAUUAGGCGGCCAAUGCUACCUCAGCCCCCAAUUGAGGGACACUUGGAUUGUAGAGCUCGGCCAUUCCAUUCCGAGCUAUGCUUCGACUUACCGGCAUUCAGAGUGAGGCCGGAGCUUGCCCAAUCAUUCCAGCUGCUGAGGAGGUAUCACAUGGAGCACUUGUUGACUCCAAGAGAUUUUUUCUAUCCCUGGAUAGCCACGGAUUUCUAUCAAUCCAUGACAACCAAAGAGGUCAGGAAUCCAACUUUAAUUCAUUUCACUAUCGAUGGGAGACAUGGCAUAUUGGGAGCACGCCAUAUUGCUGAAGCCCUGCAAAUUCCCUUUGAGCUAACCCAAUUCGAUAAUUUUAGAGCUUGGGCAAAUCCUACUGAGCUGGAGAUGGUGCGCACCCUUUCCAGAGAAGCUGCAAAUCGAUCACAUCUGCUGAAGGGGGAGCUUCCUCCAGUUAUGUUUUUGAUUGAUGCAUUUUUGCGUCAUAAUAUCUAUCCAUUGCAGCAUUGGACUCAAAGAAGGGGAGUCCUCCUGGAAGCUCUUUACAAGAUGUCAGAAGGAUUUUUCUUUGGGCCUCAUCAUCUGAUCAUGGCAGCCCUUCUCUAUUUUGAAGAGAAGGUUCACAAAAAGAAGCUUCAAAGAGCUGAUUGCAUUCCCCUCCUAUUUCCAAGGCUGCUAUGCCAAAUUCUGGAACACUUGGGAUACCCUUCUGAGCCUCAGCUGGAGAGAAAGCGAAUUUGCCGUGAGCCAUUCACUCUUGAUAAAUGGAACAAUAUGACGGCCUACAAAGUUGAUCAGCCUGAGCAGCCUCAGCCAGCUGCAAGGAGAGCAUCCCCAAGACAUAUACCCGAGGGUAUAAUAGUUGCUGCUCCUGCCAUUCCUAGAGCUCCACCAGCUGCAUCAGCUUCAUCUCAGCCAUCCACAUCAGUUGAGCCGAGGAUGGCCAUUCCUAUAUCUGAAUAUCGAGAGUUGUGCCGUGCAUUGGAGACUCUUACAGCUUCUCAGAGCAGUCAUGCUCAGGAGAUGGCAGCCAUCAGAGCAUGCCAAGAGCAGAUGUUGGCCACUCAGGCUCAACAAGCUGCCAUCUUAAGGCAGCUCCAAGUCCACUUCGAUCUGCCACAAGCUGUAGAGCCCUCCACUUCUACUCCAGUAGAGCCACACUCUCAUCCUUCAGAGUCUCAUCCUCCAGAGCCCCAAGCCCCAGCUGAUGCACCUACUGAAGAGGCAGACCCAUCUGCCUAGCCAGAGCACCACCCCACUCAUCAGACUAUUAUAUAUAUCUAAUAUUUUUAUGUAUUUGUUUUUUUUUUUAGUUGAAAAGAAGUCCCAGUAUUUUGGUACUAUAUUUGGGAUUCCUUGUGUUACUUGUCUUUUGCAUUGUAAUCAAAUGAAUUUAAAGUAAUAUAAGUUGAAUAUUUCUUGUUAACAGUUAGCAUUAAGUUAUCUUUAUUUCCUUUUCUCACAUAUUCUAUUCUUUUUUAAACAUGUGGUUUUCUCCAAUCAAUAUUCGAAUUUGAUAUCAGCCAGGAGGUACCACUUCCUCCCUUUAAUUACAGUCACUCAUAUCACAUUGAGGACAAUGCUCAGUUCGGUUGGGGGAGAAUGAGGAAGGAAGUAUGCUAAGCCUUUUUGGUAAUGCAAUUAUAUUGGUUAAUUAGUUGUAAUUUUUACUUUUUAUUCUUGUUACUCUAUUCUCCAUGAAUUUUGAGGAAAAAUUUUCAAAUUAAACCAAGAGAAAUUGAACUGUUGUUUUUCACUUAACUUAGAGUAUGGAUUAUGCUUACUAAAGUGGUUCAAUUGUUUAAACUUCUAUUGAAAUUGAAUUUAGUUCUUCCACUUUAAGCUAUCCACACACUGUGCACAUUAGAUUCCAAUUAUAAGAUGAAAAACUAUUUCCCUCUUGACUUAGAAUAAUUUUGGGACUUGGUAUAUUUGACCUCAUUUGAUAAAAUUAAAACACCCUGCAAAAGGCCAAUGAGCCUUUGAAAUAAAGAAAGUUGUUUGCUUGCCUUGAACCCGAGCAAGGUCUGAGGGGUAUAUGGUGAAAGCCUUUAAAGCCUGGUACCCUAAACCUUAAUUGGUUGGGAGUCAUCGACCUCAAUGCUCGUUAUAAGGGUGAAUAGGUAGAGUUAACAUAUGGUAGAUGCUUGGGUAUUAGAAAUUCAUUCUUAAAAGUCCGGGGAAAAAUCCGAGGAGUUAGUGGUUGAAAGAUCCUUAAAGCUUGGUGCCCUAAACCUUAAUUGGUUGGGAGUCAUCGAUGGACCCCCAUUACAUGGACAAGUCAGAAAGAGUACCUCAUAAAGCUACCUUAAAAAAAAAAAAAAAAAAAUGAUGAAAGUGUGUUCUUUUCUUAUUGAUUUUGGUCAGUUUGCUAAGUGUUGAAAAGAGAUAGGUUGGGGGGAGAGAUUAGUUUAGCAUAUUAUUCUCGGAAGCUAAGGAACCAAUACACAGAUUUUUGUGGAAGAUUGAAGUUUGGUUCUUUGAAAGUGGAAAUGAUUUUUAAAAACUUCAGUUUGCAUAAUGCACUCCCUUGAUUGACAGUGUUUAGCAUAGUUUGUUAUAACUCUUGUUGAAAUUUGGGUUUGUAUUUCUUUAAUGUUUCAUGUGAGAAUUAGAUCAUCAUGCCACUUGAGAAUUGAUUUUGAUCAGCAUGAUGUUGUAAAUUUUAAUAUAGGUUGCUAUUUAUUUUCAUUUUUCUCUCCUAUAUUGCUAAGGGACUAGCAAUAUGUUGGUUGGGGGGAGUGAUUACUACUCAAAAAGUGCUAUUUGAUAGCCUAUAAUUAAUCCUUUUAAACACUUUUGAGUAGUAGUUUUGGCCUUUUAACUCAAUUGGCAUGUUAAGGACCCUUGAAAGCAAUUUUGAUCACUUUGUGUAAGUUUUGGUGUUUUUGUUAGUAUUUUGAUCACCAAAGCAAGUCAAGACUGAGGAGAGCUAUGAGGAAUCUUGGGCAAAGCUUAGAAGUCAUUUGCUAAGAAUAAAUCCGGAUUGCAAGGAGAAAAAGUAAAGAGAAUCUGCCAUGAAGCCUAUUCUUGAUGACAGUCGUAGCAGCCACUUUUGGAGCACUUUCUGAAGUCCAAAUGAUGCAUGCUAUAUACCAUUUCAAAGCUCAGGAAGUCAACAAUCCAAUGCUUCAAACGGUGUGCAAUUCGUAGUUGAAACAAAGAAGUUGCAGCCAUUGCAAGCCAAUCACUCCGAGCUGAAGGAAGCUUUUUGCAAAGUGUUGCGAAAUCACCCUUUUGUUGCGAAGUGAUUUCGCAGCCUUUUUGUACAGUAGGGUGUAUCUCCUUCUGAAGUUGCCCGACCUAUACCGCUAGAAGGAAGCUUGGAACCUCAAGGUGGAAGCCAACUUCGCAGCCCUGCGAGUUUAGCUUGUUGUUGCGAAAUGAUUUCGCAGCCCUCUUGAGUGUCUGCGAAAUCUCGCAGACACCAUUUUCUCUUGCGAAAUGGUUCCUGAAGCACCCCGAUAUUUGCUACCGACAUUGGGAGAUAUUUUCCAUCAGAUUUUUGUUGUCUAAAUCCCAAAAUACUCCUUGUAAACCACCAAUUACAUGAUUCCUUAGCUUUUAAGUUAGUAAAAAGACUAAAUAUCUAUGUAAUAAUUAGUUUUAUAUUAUGUACAUAUAUAUACCUCUCGGGAGCCUGUUCUUAGGGAGGAGAUCCUUCUGUAAAAGUUUGGGUAAGCAAGUAAAGUUCAGUUCUUUCUACUGCCUUACCUUCUCACUUUGUAUUUUUAUUUUCUUACUAAGUUAUGAAUUCUCUGAGGAGUUUUCCCUAGAGAAUGAGUAACUAAACCUCUAAUUCCUUGGAGCUAAGGUUGUCGGGGAAGGUUCCAAGUGCAAGAAUGCAAAGCUUUGUGGUUUUAGCUAUUAAUGAAGAGGAAGUGAAAUCCUUUAGUGAUUUCUAUGUUUUUAGUUAACUUAAAACACCUUAGAGUCACCUGGGCCAACACUUGGUAAGGCAAGUGAUUUCCAACCAUGGAAAUGCACUAGUUUACCCCUUGCGAGCCUCUGGGAGGUGACUUCAAGGUAGGAUUUUCUAGAAUAGCCAACACUUGGUAAGCUUUUGGACUCCAAGGAGACAUCCAUUAGUUAUCUCUUGCGAGCUUUUGACGGGUAAUCCAAGGUUAAAGAUCACCUUGAAUGGUUAAGGCUUAGUGAGAGGCUGAAACCAUUGCAAGUUGCAUCAAUGAGAGAAUUAAAGUGAAAUCUAAUUGAAGGAGUCUCUGUACAACACCGGUUAGAGAUUUGACUAUAUGUUGAAUCUCUAACGCGAGGAAAUGAACCAUCUGACCAGAGCCGUGUCUUUUGCAUGAGGAACCACCCCAGUGAACCUAAAUCUCCAAGGAAUGCUUUUCUUCCUAAAUUAUUCCAAACUUCUGUUAUGUUAGUUAGUUUAAGUCUCAACCUUUACCAAUCAAAGUUUGUGUUUUACUUCUUAAGCUAACCAUGAAAUGAAACAAAACCAAUUCACUUGGAAUUGGUAUCAUUAAGAGCUUGUUAAUCUUUCCCAGUGGACGAUCCUAGAGCCACUAUACUAUAGUAGCUUUUUCUUUGCUACCCUAGUAUAUGGUGUUAUAGGUUAUAAAUUUUGUUGAUUACUCCCUCAAUCAAGGAGCACCAGCUGGACACAAAUCAGCUGAGACACCAAUUGGGCAUGAAUCAACUACAUCGGUGCAAUUGAUGACACCCAUAUUAGUGUGGACCCCGCAUUUUUAGUUUGAUGUGUUCCCACUCGAUGGCACAACUCGCUUUUUGUUUAUUUGGUGAAAAAAAUAUGAUUAUUAGAAAAAAAAAACUUAGAGUCACCACUUAUUUUUUUUUUUUUAAGGGAAAACAAAAUAAGAAAGAAAACCCUAAGUGUGACUCCCUAUUUGGAAAAGACAGGCUAUGAAAAAACCAAAGUCUUGGUCCAGGAAUCAAGUUACUUAUCAGGAAGGUACCUCCAAAGAGUUAGGACCCCUCUAAGCCCUAACGAGGUCUCUACUAGCUUAGUUGAGGGAAAUAUGACAAAUAAUCAAUUGAGGGAAAUAUGACAAUUAAUCAGUUGAUUAUGAAUACCUAGAUAAGUUAAGGUGAUCUAAAAAACUCUACUAAUUCUAACAUGCCAAACAAGGAUUCAAACCACUAUCAUAAAGAAAGGAUUAGAUGCAUACCUAAAUCUAUAACUUAAAUGCUAUCAUAAAACACCAAAGUUAGUUCAUGCAUUUUAUCAAAGGAAUUCAAAUAAACAUCAAGGCACCCAAAGUCAAUAUCAAACGAGGAUAUAGUUCUUAAUGACUUACAUAUUCAUGGAACUUUAAAAUGGGAAGAUAGAGAGCGUAUAUGUGUAGCAAGCAUCAGUGAUUAUAUAAAAAUGAGGUUAAUUCACCAAUAAUAAUGAUAAGAUUUUUUUUUUUUUUUUUUUUAAAAAAAAACUAAACCUAUAUAUAUACACUUAGAAUGGAAAUAUAGAGACCGUACCUAUGUAGCAAGCGUCAGUGAUUUUAUAAAAAUGAGGUUAAUUCACCAAUAAUAAUAAUAAGAUUAAAGAACAAUAUAUAAAAAAUUAACUAAACCUAUAUAUAUAUACACUUAGCAUGUCAGAAGUCAAGGAAAGUUCACAAGUAUGAUCAAAAGUGACUAAAUUAUCAAAAGCCAAGGAAAUAUUAUUACACAAGGUGGAAUAUCGGUUAACACACUACAAUAAAAUUGAUUAUUAGUGACAAUAAAUUUUGUCGCAGAAGAUAAUAAUAUUGUCACCAAAUAAAUUUUGCGAUGAAAAUUCUUUCGUUUCAUGGAUGUCGCCAAUUCCUCGUCGCGAAAAGUUUUAGCAACAAAUUAAAUAUUUCGUCUCGAAAAUUAUACAGAGACAAAAAAACUUUUGUGUCUAAUAAUUUUUUAUGAUGAAAAACUUUGUUGCUAAAUAUUUAAACUUUUGUUGCUAAAUAUACUCAGUGAAAAUUAAGUUGUCGCCAAUUGGUAAAAAAAAACAACAACAAAAUUGAUAUUUUUGUUAGUAAAUAGAUUUUGUUACAAAACCUUAUUUUGUUACCAAUGGUUAAGGUUAUAUAUAUAUAAUUUUAAAUUAAAUCAUAUCUUAUUCAAUUAAUAUUACAUUGCUUAAGUUUUAUAAAAUUAUAACACCUGAUUUAAUAAUUAAAUUAUGUGAUAAGAUAGGUCAAAUUAAUAUAUAAUUGAUAAUAUUGCCACCAAUACAAAAGAAUAUUUGUUAUAUCCACAUAUACAAAUAAAGGUACCAAACAUUACAAUCCAUAUUUGAAAAAUAUGAUAAGUUCCAAAACAAAAAGAAAAAUAACAAACUAAAAAUAUUUACAUGUGCAAAAUUUUAUAAAAUUAAAAAAACACAAGUAAAAAAACUAAAAUAUACAUCAACUCUCGAGGUUUUUUUGAUGCAAUCCAUCUAGUUCUUGAUAAGGAUGUGGUAAUCAAGGUUCAUGAACUCUGACUCUUGAUAUAUCCAAAUCUCGAGCCUCAUAGUUAUGUUCAUAUUUCAACCUCUAUGAAGGCUUGAGCACUUUCUAGCAUUAGUUUGCCUUUGUAAUUCCAACUCUUUUUCUACAAACAAGGAAAGUCAAAUUGUGUGAGAUACAAUUAAUUGAAUAAAUGAAAGUUCCAUGAAUACAUUCAAAUAAAAUUUAAAUGUCUAACUCUCAUCCUAUUUUUAUUAAAUGCUAAGGCACAAUGCAAAUGUCCAAAGUCCAAAAGCUACAAUAAUAACCCAAGCCCAAUAUCUAAUAUAAAUGUUCAAGCCCAAUAUCCAAAAUUCCAUACAAAUAUCCAAAGCCCACAUGAAAUAGUAAUGAGUUCCAAGCCCAAAUAACCAAUAUAAAUAUCCAAACCCGACAAGCCCAAUAUACAAUACAAAUGUUCAAGCCCAAAUCAAAUAAUAAUAACAAUACCCAAGCCCACUAUCCAAUAUAAAUGCCCAAAGUCCAAAUCAAAUAAUAAUAACAAUAUCCAAGCCCAACAUCCAAUAUAAAUAUCUCAACCCAAUAUUCAAUAAAAAUGUCCAAGCCCAAAAGUCCAUACAAUUAUUCAAAGCCCAAAUCUAAAAGAUGAAAUUAAUUAGGCCCAAAUUUAAUAUUUCAAAUUAAAAUACAAAUUCAAUACACAAUAAUUAAUCAAUACAAAUUAAAAACAUGUUAACUUAAAAUUAAAUCAUUCAAAAUAAAAUCCCAAAAUCAUCUAAAUCCAACCCUUUUACACACAAUAUUUAAAUUAACCAAAAACUUAAACACAAUAUUCAAAUCAACAUUCAAAUUAACCCCAAAAUUCACACACAAUAUUUAAAUUAACCAAAUAUACCCAAUGUCCAAAUUAACCCAAAGUCUAAAUACAAUUAUCAAAACAACCCAAAAUUUACACAAUAUUAAAAUCAAAUAAAUGCAAAUUUAACAUUAAUAAUACCCAAAAUUAACCAAAAGCCCAAAAUCAAUAAGUUAAAUAUCCAAGGCCCAAACCAAUGCAUAUAUUAAAGUCCAACUGAAAUAAUAAUAACAAUACUAAGUCCAAUAUCCAAAUCCACAAUUAUUUCCCAAUUAAUCACAUACCUACUAAAGCAACAGGUUUAAGACUAUAAACUAAAAAAUGGGUGAAAUAUUGGAGGAAAAGAGCAUUUUAUAAGCAGAAUUGGGAACUAAAUUGAGGAAAAUUUUAAAAUGCUCCUCCCUACAUCACCAAUCUAUCCCAAACUACACAUACUCUCUCUUCCCCCUCUACAAACACUGAUCUUAAAUCUAAAAGUGCAAACACAGCCCCCAAUUUGCCUUACAAUAAUCCAACCCAUAAGACCAUAGAAACAUAUCAAUAAGUCCUAUAUUACACUGACAUACAUGACAAUUGACAAAAUGAACCUUUCCCAAAGAAUCCUGGAAUGCAAACUAAAUCUCCAAAAUUAUUUUGCUAAAAAAAAUUCCUUCUUAUAAUAAAUUAAGUAAACGGAUAUAAGAAGUUGCUUUUGUAUAAUGGUUCAACCAAACCAAAUUGUUGAAUUAGCCUAGUUUUACAAAGGAUUUUGUCUCUUCAGGCUCCAAAUAUCAAAAAUCCGAGAUUCAAAAUUUCCUUUUCCACAGCCUAUCAAAGCAAAAAAAAAAAAAAAAGAAGGUAUAUGCAUUCUUUUUCCUUAGUUUCUCAACAACCAAAGAAAAAAGAAUCAAGAUUACAAGCGCUUCAAAUCUUGGAGUGAGAUAAUUGCAGAUAAAUUAGUUGAAUAACACCACAAGAAACUCGAAAUUCAAUAGAAACAAACAUAAAUAAGUUCUAAAUACAAACAUGCAUGGCAAAGAACAAAGAAAUCACCUUGUGAUAGAGUGCUUUCCAUGCAUUAUCAUCAUUCGCAGCCUUCCGCAUUAACGAAUUGGUCAUCGAAAGUCGGCAUAGACUCGGAUAAUCCAAGUAACUCAGCGCAUGAGUCGUAAUCUCCGGCACCAACUGCUCCAUCAUCGAGGCCCCCGUCUGCCGCUCCGAUACCACCAGAGUCCUAUCUUGCAUCUCCUCUACACCACCGUUCAAGUACNNNNNNNNNNNNNNNNNNNNNNNNNNNNNNNNNNNNNNNNNNNNNNNNNNNNNNNNNNNNNNNNNNNNNNNNNNNNNNNNNNNNNNNNNNGAAUGGGAGGGAAAAGGAAAAAAGAAGGGAGGGAAAAAGAGAGGGGAAAAGGGGGCGGCGGGAAGUUAAGGUUUUGGGGGAGAAAGUGAGAAGAGAGAAAAAAUAAUAAAAUAUUAAUAAUAAGAUAAAGAAAAAUGAGAAAAAGAAAAUAAUAAUAAAAAUAUAAUAAUGGAAUAAAAUAACUAAUAAUAAUAAUAACAAAAAAUAAACUUAAAAAGGGAUGAAUGGACAAAAAAUAUCAAAUAUAUUUAAAUUUGAAAUACAAAAAUAAAAAAAUGGGUUCAAAAUCAAUACAAAAUAAAAUUAUGACAAUUUUUGAGGUUUACAAAUAAUAAUAAUAAUAAUAAUAAUAAUAAUAAUUUAAAGGGAUGAGUGGGUCAAAACAAUCAAAAAUCUUAAAAUUGAAAACUAAGUAUAAAAUUUGGCAGAUUUAAAGGGAAGAGUGGGUCAAAACAAUUAAAAGUCUUAAAAUUGAAAAUUGAGUAUAAAAUUGGGCUCAUAAUCAAUACAAAAUAAAAUUAAGACAAAUUUUGGGGUUUACAAAUAUAUUUGUCAUUUAUGUGUAACAUCUUUAUCUUUUAUUAAUAGUUUUACAAAUUUAUCCUUGAUUUUAAAUACCUUAUUGUUUUUGACACAAUAAAAUAAUUAAAUAAUAUAAUUUUAAUUAAUAAUAAUGAUUAAGAAUAAUAAUUUAUACUACUAAGGGAGGGUAUUAGGUCUUAGGAAGGAUUAGGAGAAGGAAAAAAAAUUUCAAGAUUACAAGUGUUAGUAUGGAGGAAAGUACAUGUAGAGAAUACAUGGAAUAUAUGUUUAUGCUUUAUAAGAAAGUAACUAAGGUUAGAAUUGAAACGACUAAAUUGAAUCUUUAUAUAAGAAUAUUAAAAUCAGUAAAAUUAUCAAUUUGAAAUAUUAUAUAAAAAUAAUUUAUUAAUUUUAAAUAUAAAUAUAACAAUUUUUGUUUUAGUCUCAUUGUAGCAUUGUUGGAGAUUUUAUCAGUGAUAGAUUAAACUUUCUGAAAGUGGAUCAAUAAUGAAUAUUAUGAUAGAAGAGUUACAUAAUAUUAGUAAUAAAUGAUUUUUAUCUUUCACCUUAUAUAUGGCUAGCUAGACAUUUAAAACCUAAACAUUUGUGCUAGAAUACCUUUUUUUUUUUUUUUUUAAUAUUAUUACAUUUGAUUAUAUUAUGUUUAGUUUUAAAAUAUUUAAUAUUAAAUUAAGAUUCAUUUUAUAAGUCUUUAUAUUUAAUAGGUGUAAUAUCAUGAAACAAAGGUUAAAUUAGCUUGAUGGUGAGUAGAGAAGUAUUUAAACUUUUGGUUGGGGGUUCGAAUCCUCCAACUUUAAAAAUUUGGAGCCAAAUUUUGGGACGGCGGCAAAAAAUAUAUUAUACAUUGUUAAUAAAAUAUUAAUCUAAAAAAAACAAUUUAUUAAUAUUUUAAAUUUAAUAUUUAAUCAUUUUUAAAUUUUUAGUCCUUUUUAAUCCUAUUAAAUUAAUCAAUAUUAUAUAUUUUAUACAUAUAAUAUAAAUAUAAUAUAAUAUAAAUAUAAAAAUAUGUAAUAUAAAAAAAUUGGAUUCAAAUUUCAAAUUGAAUUAAAAAAAUACAUUUAAUAUUAAAUUAAAAUUCAUUUGAUUCAAUUAUAUUUAAUAAUAGAAAAUAAAUAAUAAUUAUAUAUAAUUUUUUAAUAUUUAAUUAAUAGAUUAAUGAUAUAGAAAAAAAGAUUUGUGAAGAAAACUAUUAUAAUUAUUUUCAUGUUGGAAUAUUUUUAUUUAAUUAUUUAUUAAAAUAAUUAUUUUUAAUUCAUACAUAAUUUUUUCAUUUUUUGUUUAUAAGUCUUUAGAUUUAAUAGGUGACAUAUUUUAUAACCAAAGUUAAGACAGCCUGUUGGUAGGUGGGUGAAUAAAUGAACAAUUUGGUUGGAGGUUCGUAUGCCCCCAACUCCAAAUUGGCAAGAAAACUAUAUUAAAUAUUAUUAUAUAUAUAUAUAUAUAUAUAUAUAUAUUUAAUUUAAUAUUUAAUAAUUUUUAAAUUUUUAGUCCUUUUUAAUCCUAUUAAAUUAUAUAUAUAUAUAUAUAUAUAUAUAUAUAUAUAUAUAUAUAUAUAUAUAUAUAUAUAUAUAUAUAUUUUUUUAUAUAUAUAAAAUAUAUUUUAUAUAAUAUAUAUAAAAAUAUAUAUAUAAAAAUAUAUAUUUUAAAAAAAAAUGUUUUUUUUUUUUUUUUUUUUUUAAAAAAUAUAUAUUAUAUAAUAAAAAGAUAUUUUUUUUUCUUUUGUGUUUUAUACAACAAAAAAUAAGAGGUGUACAUAUAUUUUUUUUUUUAUAUAUUUUAUAUAUAUAAGAGAUAUAAAAAAAAAUAUGUAAAAAAAAAUUUUAUAUAUUUUUUUGCGUGGGGAUAUAUUUUUUUUUGUGUGAAAAAUAUUUAAUAUUUAUUUAUAAAUAAUUUUUUUUUAUAUAUAUAUGUAUUUUUUUUUUUUUUNNNNNNNNNNNNNNNNNNNNNNNNNNNNNNNNNNNNNNNNNNNNNNNNNNNNNNNNNNNNNNNNNNNNNNNNNNNNNNNNNNNNNNNNNNNNNNNNNNNNUAAAUUGAAUUAAAAAAUAUAUUUAAUAUUAAAUUAAGAUUCAUUUGAUUCAAUUGUAUUUAAUACUACAAAAUAAAUGAUGAUUACAUAUAAUUUUUUUAAUAUUUAAUUAAUAUAUUAAUGAUAUAGAAAAAAAGAUUUGUAAAGAAAAUUAUUAUGAUUAUUUUCAUGUUGGAAUAUUUUCAUUUAAUUGUAAAAUAAUUAUUAAUUAUUUAUUAAAAUAUUCUUUUUAAUACAUAUGUAAAUUUUUCAUUUUUUAUUUAUUUAUAAGUCUUUAUAUUUAAUAGGUAUCAUACUAUAUAACAAAUGUUAAGUUAUCUUGAUGGUGGGUGGGUGAAUAUUUAAACUUUUAUUUGGGGUUCGAAUACCCAACUCCAAAAUUUUGGAGCAAAUUUUGGGGUUGGAAAAAAUGGCGAAAUAUUGAAAGCUUUUAUAUUUGGCAACAUUUUAAUUCUUGAAUGCAACAUUAUUUGAAAAAUAUAUUUAAUGUGUAAUAAAAUGUAGAUUCUAAUUUAUAUAAAAGGAUUUCACAAACAAAAAUAUUAUAUCAAAUUAUUCAACUCAUUUUAUGUAAUCCAACAACUAAGAGUCAUAUGUGUGUAACCUAAAUCAAUAUAUAAUUAUAAAAAUAAAAAAUUUAUAUUUUCAAUAAAUAUGUGGAUUGUAAGAUAUUAAAAUAAAAUAUGUUUGAAUAUUAUAAAGUAUUAUCUAAUCUUAAUUACUAAUAUAUCAUAUGAAAUAAAUUUUAAAAUAAUAUUUUAUACCAUGUUGCAAAAUAACAAUAGGCGACAAACAAAUUUUAUCCCUAAAAUUUUAUAAUAUUUUUUAGUAAUAAAAAUUUCAAUAAAAUAUUUUGUUGUGAAAAAUAUAUCUUGCGACAAAAUAAUUGUCACUAAAUAUUCAUUAUUGUCGCAAAAAAAUUUCAUGAAUAACUUACUAGCAUGACUUUCUCACUAUCAAUAUUUUUUUGUGACAAAAGUUACAUUUUUGUCACUAAAUUUGUUGCGCCUAAUAAAUUUUGCGACGAUUUUUAAAUUUUGUCACUAAUAAUAACAUUUAGUGACAAAUUUUUUUUCCCACAUUAAAACUUCGUCACUAAUUUUCCUAUUUCUUGUAGUGACAAAAUAAACUCUAAAUAAAUAUCAAGAAAGGUUAUCUCACCAAAAUAAAAAUUAGUUAACAUCUUUAACAUGUCUAUAUAAACAUCCAAUAGGCCAAAUUAAUCGAUUAUAUUCCAAUCAAUAACAAAUUUAUUCACAAAGGGGUUACUUCACAAAAAAAUCAGCAAACGAUUAGAAUAGAAGACUGUAUAAAAUAAAUCUAAAAACAAUAUCUAGAAGUUAAGUUUUAUCAAGAAAUUUUUUAGAUAACAUCUCCUAUAUGUCUAGUUUAUUAUCUAAGUGACCAAAUUAAUUAAACAGCCCUCAUUUAGUACCAAAUUUCAUAAUGAUGAUAAUAGGUCCAGAAUAGAGCAUCUAUUAAAGGUAUUUAACAAUUGAUUUUUACAAUUAACUUAUACAUGUCCUAAAAUCAUACAAAAAUUCACACGACUAUCUUGAUGUGUUUAUUUUAUACUAAAAAUAAUUUCAGGAGAUAACACAUUCAUAAUAUAUUUAAAAAUUAAUAAACAUAUCUUAGCUCUAGAAGAGCACUCAUGCAGUGGGUGCAAGAAUAAAAAAAAUUAUAUCUUUUAUUUCAUAAAUUAUUUUUUAAUAUUUUAUAUAUCAAAAAUUAAAUUUAGUGAGUCUAUAUUAAAAUAAAAAUGUUAAAAUAAAUUAAAGAGAUCAUUUAGUAAUUUAAUUUUGUAAAACAAGACUAAAUGUCAAAAACAGAGUGAAAACUGAACCUUCUGAAAAAUUGAUUUAUAUCUCCUAAUUGGAAAAUCAUAUUUGACCCAAGAAAGAUUCUAAAAUCAAGUUCAAGGAGUCUAGAAUGUCAUAGAAUAUUUAUAAAAAUUUAAAAGGGUUUCUAAGUUGCAAGAUUUUAAUUUACAGAUGUAGGAGUAUAGUGCACUAUAAUGAAAAAUUCUAAUCACUUUAUUUUGAAAAACUAAAACAAAUGUUCUGAAUUUUUAAAAACUGUUUUUUAUUUUUAAAAACAAAAAAAUGCUUUUUAAAAAUUCCACCAAGUAGGCUCCUAGUUUUUUUUUUUUUUUUUUAUCAAAAGUUAAUUGAUUCAACUAAAAGAACAAGUAAGAUGAAAAUAAUAUCAAUUAGUAUUAUUGUUUCGGAAAAUAAUUAUGUUAUAUCAUACAAGCAUAAAUGUUUUGGAUUUUUCAUCUGUUAAUGUAAGAGGGAGGAUGUGUAGGAGACGUUUUAGCAUUCUUUGCAUUGGAGAUAAGCCUAAUACAUUAUAGUAUCCAUUUUCACAUGACCUGAGUUAUUUGAUUUUUUUUUUCCCCUUUAAUUAAGUUUUAAAGCAAGACAUUUAAAAUAAAAUAAAAAAAUUGCUGACAUAUGCAGUGACAUGGCCGUGUCUAGAAGCAACUUAGAAAAGUGGAAAAAUCUGAUGAUUAAUUCAAAGUAUAACCAAAGAAGAAAUACAAUAUUUAAGGAUAGACCAAUCUGACUUCAUUGACAAAAUGGUGCUUAAUUAAUUAAUUAAUUCUUUUCUCCUUUUCUCCCCCCUUCAUUUUUCUUACUUUCCAUUAGACUACUUGUUUUCUUGAACUGCUUUCGGUGUGUAGUAACAUUAACUUUUUUUUGUUAUUCAGGUCUACCCACCCUCUGAUAAAGUGUGGGCAGCAAACGGAGAAGAGGAAGAGGGGGGCAAGAAGGCAUUCAUAGACGGGAUUAAGUUGUUGGAAGGGGAGCUUAAAUCGAACCCUUACUUUGGGGGUGAGACCUUGGGUUUUCUGGACAUUGCUUUUCUCCCAUUGUACUACUGGUUCCAUACAUUCGAAACUUUUGGGAAGUUCAGCAUAGAAGCGGAGUGUCCAGAACUGGUGGCAUGGGGUGAGAGGUGCAUGGGGGAGGAGUUCGUGUACGCCUCUCUACCACACCCACAUAAGGUCUAUGACAUGGCGGUAGAGUACAAGAAGAAACUGGGGAUAUAGACCAUAUAUAUACCGAGCAAAUGUCAGAAUUAAGAAAAUCAUCAUAGGCCUUGUGAUUUAAUUGGACGCCAUUGAAUUUUUGUCUUGUACUUGUUUUGUUUUAUUAGUAAGGGAUUUCAUUGUGGUUGUUUCAAAUAGUAUUCUGGUACUGGUGUCGAGAAUCAGUAAUAAAUUAUAGUGAUCAGUAUUUGAUGGGACUUAUUAUAUAUAUAUAUAUAUACCUAGCCAGCAUAUCAACUUUUGUUUUCGACUCUGCACCUUUCCUGGCCAAGUUGCAAUGGGCUGCAUCGAAAGCUUUCUAAUUAGUCUAUUUAUUUCCUUCUUCAAGUGACAUAGAUGCUUUCUAAAAUAUCUUUCUGACAAGAAUAAGGAACACAUAGCCCUAGUUGGAUGGAAUAGAUUUACUGAUCUGCCAAAAGAUGAUGGCACCGCUAGUGAUUUGAAAUCGAAAUGGGGUGGGUUACUUGGACUAUGACUUUGUCCCACACCAAUUAUAUUAAAUGUUAAAUAAAAAUUUAUUUUAAUAAUUUUUUUUUUCAUUUUUAGCUUUAUAUAUAUAAUAUUUAUUUACUUAUAAAUUGUGUUUAGUUUUAAUAGAAUUUAAUAUUUUAAAAGUAAAAUAAUCAUAAAAAUUUUGAGACAAUUAAAAAAUAAAAAAUUAAAUGGGACGAAGUGGGUAUAGGAAUUUCCUACACCCAUCCCCCUUCCCUUGGCCUGUUUAAAAUUUUUUUGUUAGUAGGGAUGAAAAUUGAUUUAAAUAAAUAUGACAGAUUUGGGAUGAGGUGACUUGUUCUGAACUUGGUCAAUUGUCAUCCUUACUAAUGAUAAAAAAAGAACAACUUAUAACAAGUUCCCAUAUGUCAGUGCUAUGAGAAGAAAUUUAGUAUUGAACGUCUCAUUUUUGUGAUAAAGUUGCCUCAAAUCAAAGUCUUUGAAAUUGGUUAGAAUAUAUUGAAGAUCAAGUUUCACAUCAUAUGAAAUGUAAUAAAGUUAUAUAGGGAAUUUUGAUCUAAAUUAAUUCUGCUUUAAUCAUUCAUAUACAUUAUCCAUUUCUUAUUAAUUUAAAUAACAUUCUUAAAUAUCUUGUAAGAGAGGAGGUUAUACUUGAAAAUAGACCUGAUUAAUAGAUCAAUCAUGCAGGGAUAUUGAUCUAUUCUAUUCUAAUAUGUAAAAGAAUGAAAUGUUUUCCAAUUUGUUGUACCAAAAUGUCUUAUAAUAUUUUUAUCUUUAUACUUUUAUAGUAUGAUCUUCUUACUAAUUAAGUAAUUAAUUUUCAUCCUAUGUCAACUGAAGUUAUUCCUAAGUUAAGGCAUUGUUUGGACACUAUUUAUUUUGAUCCUGCUAAAGAUGUGAGCCCUAAACACGAACGAAUAUAACUAAUAUUCAAUAUAUUUGUAGAGAGAUGAACAAGCAGUUUGCUAAGAUUUGUUAAAUGGAAAAUAAGCCAAUAUCAAUAAAGAUUGUAACAAGAUUAAUGUUUAUGUCCUUUAGUGGAUUGGACAAGAUAUAUAUGCUUUGGUUGCCCAUGUAUAGAUUGCAUUUUUAGGCUAUGCUCGAUUUUGGGAAAAUUUGAAGGAAAUAAAAUAGGAAGGAAAGGUGAAAGAAAAUAAGAAAUAGAUUUCAAAUCAAUAAAAAAAAAUUAUAUGCUUCUUUAAACUCAUUUAAGUUAUUUUAUUUUUUUAUUAUAUAAAGAUCAAGGAUGAAAAUUUCCAUAUAUACCAACAAAAUAUGGUCGAUAUAUUGCAUAUCAACGGUCAUAGAAUCGAAACAGGGUAUUGAAAUGUCAACCAGGAAAAAUUUCCAAAAAAGAUCGGCAUAUAUCGACAAUUACCGAUAAAUCGGCAAAAUCAAGAAAGAAUCAUCGAUAUUUGAGUGAAAUUUGAACAAUAAAUUGCCAACUUUUAAAGAAAAAUCACUGUGUGAAGGGGAAACUUUAAAAAAGAAAAAAGAAAAAAGAGAUUAAUCAUAGGUGAUUUUGACUUCGAUUCCAUCUUUUAAUUAAAGGCAAAAUUAUAAAAUUAUCUUAAACAAACUCUUAAUUAUAGAAGGUCAAAUCCGAAAAGUUAGAUUUCAAAGGAAACACGAAUCUCAUUUUCCUUGUCCAGGAAGUAUACAACUACCCUAUUCUUUUUUUUCUUGCUCACUUUAGUAAUUUUGAGCCAUUCAUAAUUUAUUAUUCUUUCCUAUGUUUGUUUCAAUUAUAAGAAUUCUCGGACUCAACUCUCACUUUCAUCCAUUUCGUUUUCUUUUCAAGGACCGGACCGGUCUUACCACGCUGAUUGAUAUGAGAAGGAAUGGAACUUUGUUGUUCUUUUUUUUACUUUUAUGAAUUGAGCUAAAAUUAUGCGAUUGAAUUUUUAGUAAGUUAAAUUAAGGGUUGGUUUGGGAUCAUUUCUUAUUUUUUAUUUUACGCCAAACUUGUAGUUGAAGUUCAUAAUUUUUAAAAAGUAAUAUUAGUAAUUUUUUUUAUUAAACAUAAAAAAAUUUCUUAUAUAAGAUUAAAUAAAACUUUUAUAAAAAGUAGCAUUUUUAAAAUUUUUAUAUUAAUCUUUUUAAAAAUUUGCAAGCUUGAAUAAAGUUAUCUAAAUUAGUAUAAAAGCUCUAAUUAAAUUUAUAAGAGUUUCUUAGAAUUGCAUCCAAACAUAACUUAAAUAAGUAUGUUAAAGUUAAAUUUUGAUACACUCAUUUGCUGAAGUGAUCUUUCAGAUGGUAGGGAUGGGUUCUUUGUCAUUUUUUUUUAUGAUGACACAAUAAGACUUUAUUCCUUAUCAUUUUCAUGUAGCUUCAUAAUAAGUGUACACUUGCAAAAUUCACAUUUCUAAUCGAUUGAUAUGAUACAAUUAAAUUUAAUAUCACAAAUCAUAUUAUACAUAUAUCAAAUUAUUUAACAAAACAACUUUAAAAUAUUUAUUAUACUUCUAAUUACAUUUUUAUGAGAUUUUUCUUACAUUUCUAUGAAUUUUGAUCAAUUUUAGGCAUAUGACCGAUUUUUUUCCCAAAAUAUCCGCUAAUAUAUUUUUGAUAUAUUUAUGAUUACCGAUAUUUUCAUUCUUGAUAAAGAUUAAAUAAUUUUCAAAUACUUAAAUUUAUAAUUAAUUUUAAUUAUAUUUGAUUUUAUUUCCUAUUUUUAAUAAUGAAAUCAAAUAUAAGAAAACCAUUUCUCUUAAAUUUUUUUUCUUUUUUCAGUAUUUUUUAAGAACCAAACAUAGCCUCGGUGUAUUAAUUAUAUUGUUUUAGGUCUAAGAAUAUUGUAUUGGUUCGUAAAACCCCACACCACUAAAUCAUAUAAAUAUGAAUUUGAUGCCAUGUAAAUUUGUUUGUCUUUAAUAUAUAUGGCUGAGAUUAGAUAUGAUGUUUGUGGAUAUUUUACUCCUAAAUUUCUAUUUUUAAUAUAUAUAUAUAUAUAGUUGAACUUUUUGCCAUCCAAUUUGUAUAGUUGAAAUAAGAGAUGACACUGCUGAUAUUACUCUCAAGGCCAAGAACCUAUCCUAUCAUUACCGUAGAUCACUUAAUUGAUACAUACUUUUCUUUGCGUUUUUCUUCAUUUUAUCUAAAAACGAGGGGAGAUCAAAUUAAGAAGGUGUAAUUGAUUAAACAUACCUCUAGCGGACACACAUAGAAGAAAAUGGCAAGCUUUAUACAUCAAUAUGAGGAAACUUCUUCUUUCUAUCUACAUUCCUUAUCUCUUCUUCUUCCCUUGUUGGUCUUCACAUGCGUCUUCAUCAAAUGUAUUUAGAGUACUAGCCCUCCAAUCACAAAAAAAAAAAAAAAAAAGCUACCUCCUCCUCCAAAGUUCCCAAUAAUUGGAAACCUCCACCAACUCGACUCACUAUCUCAUCGAUCUCUAUGGUCCAUGGCUUAGCGACAUAGCUCCUUUAUGCAACUCCAUUUUGUAGCCUUCUAGUGGUUAUCAUCUUCUUUGCGGAGGCAGCAAAAGAGAUCAUGAAGACUCAAGAUGUCUUUGCUGGGCUAAGUUUGUUCUCAUGAAAGCUUCUUAAGCCCAUAUAUGAAGUUAUUUUAUAUUUGGGUAUUUUCUAAGCCUAUAUAUAAAUAGCAUUAGGGAUUUGGUAUGAGGGGAGAAGGGGGUGAUUAAGAAAAUGAGAGGAAAUUAGGUUUGUUUUAUGAGUACUGUUCUAGGGCUCAAGGGUGAAGUUACAUGUUCUUUCAUCAACCUUUUGGGAAAAUCCCUGUGGUAUGAUUUUUUUUCCUGAUCUCUUUCUGUUCAUUGUUUUUUAAGGUGAUGGAUUCCUACCUCAAGUAUUGAGAUAUAUUUAUAUAAGUUUUCAAAGUGAAAAAACUAGUGACGACUUGAUUAUUUAUAUCCUCAUUUUAUUGAAGUGGAAUAAAUUUUCUCCAUGGUUUUUUACUUUGGAGGGUUUUUCCACAUUAUAUUUGGUGUCCUUUUUUUGGUUGAAUUUUCUUGGAUUAUCAUUCUUGAUUCUUGCUAAGUUAUUAUUGUUGUUAAGUGGUGGUUGUUAUUAUGGAAUAAUCUUUUAACAUUGAUAGGUGAAUACUCUAGAUCUCUCCCUUUAACUUCUCAAUGAGUGGUAUUAGAGUCUCGUUCUGGGAACUUUUAUUCUUGAAAAGGAUGGAAAUAGAAGGGAACUCAAACUCCAUGAUAAAACUUAACAAUUCAAAUUGAGUUAUGUGGAAGUCCAUGAUGAAAGAUAUUUUAGAUACUCUUGAGUGUAAAGAAGGCAAGCCCAAAACAUAUUUCUAAUUUGGAAUAGAAUAAGAUGAACAAAAAGGCCAUGGUCUAUAUUAGGCGAUAGAUUGGCACAUCUUAACAUCAUCAUGCGGAAAAUGAAACAAAUGGCUAUAAUCUCUAGAAGAAAUUGGAGUCAAUUUUUGAACAAAAAUCUAUUGGGAAUCAAAUUUUCUUGUUAAAGAAGUUAGUGAAUAUGAAGUUAAAGGAAGGAACACUAAUGACAAAUCACUUGAAUGCUUUUUAGAGUAUUGUAAAUCAGUUGGUUUCUAUGAGAAUGAUUAUGGAUGAUGAGAUGCAAGCCUCUUUGUUAUUGUGUUCACUACUAGAUAGUUAGGCAACUUUUGUUGUCAUUAUUAGUAACUCUGUUUCAAAUGGUGCAUUAUCUAUGGAGCUUGUGAAGGGAAAUUUGUUGAAUGAAGAGACUAGAAAGAAGGCAUAUGACAAAAAAAAAUGCACAAUCCCUCAUCAUAGAAAGUAGAGGAAAAAACAAGAAUAGAAGAUUGAAGGUCAUGAAAAGUUCGAAGGGAGGUCCCAGUCCAAAGAUAAAAUCAAAUGUUUCCAUUGUGGAAAAGAGGGACAUAUGAAAAGAAAUUGUCGGAUUUGGAAAAGGGAACAAAAUAGGUAGAAUAAGAAAAAAGAGAAUGAUAAGAAUAUCACAACCAUUAUGUUCAAUAGUGAUGAAGUUUUAGUGCUCUCAAAUGAGUUUUUGCAUGUAGAUGAGCAAUGAGUUGAGUGGAUUGUAGACAUUGCAACCUCGUAUCAUGCUACUCCUCACUUCGAGUUGUUUUAUGACUAUAGAGUUUGAGACUUUGGCACAAUCAAGAUGGGAAACUCUAGUCACUCUAGGAUUAUAAGGAUGGGUGAUGUUUGCUUUGAAACCAAUAUUAUGGGGUGUAAGUUGACAUUGGAAGAUGUAAGGCAUGUUCCAGAUUUACGCUUUAAUCUGAUGUUAGGUUUUGCUUUGGACAAGCAAGGUUAUGAAACACUUAUAAGCCUAUACUAUCCAUGAACCAACAAUCAUUUUCAAGAACACACAUCCACACCUAGAGAAUAAUACGAUUUUUCCAUAUUCCUUCAAAUACACAUAAUUCACUUGCUUUCUCAUUUAAAAUAUUGAUGAUUACAUGAACAUAAGCUACACAAGAUAAAUGUUUUGAGUUGAGGAUCACUAAGUUGGCCUUUACAACAUAAGAGAUGUCCCAAUCUUCCAAUUGAGGCUUUUUACUCUUGAAGCACUACUAAGGUGUCAUAAUCAUUAUGGGAAACCUAAUUUUUUCUUUCCUUUCUUUUUUCUGUUUUUAUUUUUACUAAAAGAGAGGGCAAACAAUCAAGGAAGAAAAAAGCUCAAAGACUUAAGGAGAUUCUGGGUGACUUUGCUCACUCUUUAAUACUUACUAGAUAGAUAUAAGCUUGCAUUUAGACUAUAAAGAGCAUUACUCACCCUUUAUAUAACCACAAGCUCCAACAAUAAACUUUUACUCACUUAGAAGAUAUGUUGUUAAUCUUCUUUAGCUUAUCUAAUCAAAUCAAUUUAGCAAAGACUCAAAAUCAUGCUCAUCAAUCAACCCAUGGACAUGAAUAAUUCUUGAUUCUUUUAAGAUCAUUAUGAGUCAAUCUAACUUUUAUAUAAGAGGAAUAACCAUGUCACUCAUAUGGAUUUAUCAAUUUAAAAGAUCUCCCAACACAAAUUAUAUAAUUUUAGAAUUUUUCACAAUUUUUCCUUUUCUCUUCAAAUACUUUCCAAUAUAAAGUAAAGAUUAAAUGCAAGCAUGAAUGCAACAAUACUCUCCCAACAAUUUUCAAAUGUAAGUCAUAUGCGAAUGCAUUAACACUCCCCAACAUAGUUCAUAAGAAAAUUUUCUCAUUAACACAAGUUUUCAUUUCUAUUGAAUAACUCUAUCCAAAAAAUAUAUAUAUCUAGGAUAUCCAACUAAGAUCACACCUAAUUGUUCUUCUAUUCAACUUAUAUCCAUAAUUAUUAAAUGAAAAACUAAAACUGAAAAUACAUCAAGGAGUAGAAUAAGAAAAAGAGAGACAGUGAUACUAGAAUUUACGUGAAAGACCUCCAAAGAGAUUAAAAACCAUAGGCCUACAACUGAUAAAAAAUUCCACCAUGAAGAACAAGCAAUGUGUAUAAGGAUUUACUUAACUCAAGUACUCUAAUCAUUCACGGACUACUUGGCCAACACCUUCACAUUUCAGUUGCAUACCUUCAUCUUCUGAAACAUACUCAACAUCCUCACCAAGCUUGAUAUCGACAUUUUCUUGAAGCUCACUCAAGAAGAAAAUAGGUUUUCACCAAAACCCAAAUAGUUUGGAAAUUAGGAGAUGAAUGAACGAAGGAAUCAACCUUUUUUUUUCCUCAAGGAAAAUAACUAAAAACAACUUAAAAAUCAAGAAGAAAAUGAGAUUUUCUUGACAACGAAACACUCUAAAUAAGGUUAGAAGAAGAAAGCACACAAGGGAACGACUGCUGGUGACUCUCCUAUUUCAGGAAGCAAUUUUUGCUUUUUAAGUGAAAAGAAACCCUUGAUCCAAUGAAUGAAAUAAGAUAAAAAAAAAAAAAAAUAGAAACCUAAAUCGAUCUAACUUGAAGCCAAAUUGAUCUUGAAAAAUGACAUAUUGAAUACUUAGAAAAAAAAAAAAAACUUCCCAAGCUUCCCUAACUUCAAAAAAUAUAUUUUAAGAAAAAAACACAAUUUGAAAGACAUGGUUGAUUCAAUUUUAUCCAACUCAACCUCAGCUACAUACUUUGGUCCCUUAACAAUUUCAAUAACUUGAUCUUCUUAAAGCAAGUAGCCUGAAGAGGAUUUGGAGAAACUAAGUUAAAAGACACUUAGAAAUUUUGUCUAAAAUUGUCAAUCUAAUGAAAUGCUCACAUUUAUUUAUAUUUUUAAUAAAAACAUGAAAUAUAAAUUUAUAAAUUUCUCUAAUACAACAAAUGAAUUUUUUUAAAAAAAAAAUUAAUUCCUGAAAUAUUUUUUUUUUUCAAGAAUUAAUUUAAAAAAUAAAGGAAGGCAAAAAAAAAAAAAAAUCUAUAAAUGAUUUUUUAUUUUUAUUUUUUGGCCAAAGUAACGUAAAUUCUUUUAUUUGUUUCUAUUUUUAAUGUAAUGAACAUCCGAAAAGAAGAAAAAAAAAAUGUUUCAGUAAAAGGAAUAAGUUAAAAAGUGAAUAGACUUAAAACUUUAAUACAAUUUGCUUCUUGACUUAAUUAAAAACAAACAUACAAACAAACAUUUGCUUAACAUUGUCCCAAAACUUUAAUUUUAGCUAUGUUUGCCUUACAUUAUUUUUCAACAUAUAGAAAAUUCUAGAAUAUUUUGCUAGAUUUUCAAUCAUAAAAAAAUUACACCAGAAAUCGACAUUUAAUUUAUAUGAAGGAUUCCAAAGGUGACAUAAUUUGAUUAAAGAAAAUCUAAUUGAAACUUCUUAUCCAAGAAAUGUGGUAAUAAUUAUUCAUUCUCUAGCUAACCUAACUCUAUUUGUCUAAUAUUUUGUAAAAGGAAAAAAUGUAUUUAAAUAGAGUUUUUUUUUUAUAAAAUACCAUAAGGGAAAGGUCUAUAUAUGAGCUAAAUAUAUUGAAAACUUUGACCUAAACGGGGGAGGGGGGUGGAGUAUAUAUGGCAUGGUCAAAUCCUGAGCUAAGCAGUGACUUAGUCAUGCAAUUAAAAACACAACCAGAUUAGCAAUUAGGUGGACAUGCAGAUCUUUAGAUAAUCAAUGUCUAUUAUAUAUUAGCCGAUGAAGUUUCUUUCCAGCAUGAAUAAGAAGUGACAUGGGCAUGGAAUUAGGAAAGAGGUUGAGGCUAUACAACCUGAGGAAGCAAUUUGGAAGGGGCCAACGCAGAGUAGUUGGAAGAUAAAGUCAAUGUUUGUGACGUAAGUAUAACACAGCCACAAGACAAUAGACCAAAGUAUUAAUUAUCCUUAGCAUGCAGAAAGGUGCUAUAAAUACUCUUACCAUCCCUGCAAAAGCCAUAUAUAGCAUAUCGAUCCAGUACUUCAUCUGUGUGUAGCAAUGGCAAACAAUGACCAGAUAGUUGUUUUAGAUUUCUUGCCAAGCCCUUAUGGGAUGAGGGUAAGACUCGCCUUUGCAGCUAAAGGGAUAGAGCAUGAAGGGAAAGAAGAAGAAAACUUGAUGGAGGGUAAAAGCUCUCUGCUCUUGCAGAUGAACCCAGUUCAUAAGAAAAUUCCAGUUUUGAUUCACAAUGGGAAGCCCAUAUGCGAGUCCUUGAUAAUAGUGGAAUACAUUGAUGGGCUUUGGAAGGAUAAGUUUCCUCUUCUGCCAUCUGAUCCUUACCAAAGAGCUCAAGCCAAGUUCUGGGCUCACUUCAUUGACAAUAAGGUGGCGCUUCAAUAUCCUUCUUUCUUUUUGGUAAUUUCCUUCCUUUCUUAUAAGCGCCAUUGUACAAAUAACAUUAAUUAAAGAAAUGCAUUCAUUGCAAUGCAGCUAUUCCCACCUGACAGGAAACUAUGGGCAGCCAAGAAAGAAUUCAUAGAAACUUUGAAGCUGUUGGAAGGAGAGCUUAAAUCAAAACCUUAUUUUGGGGGUGAGAAGUUGGGGUUUCUGGACAUCGCUUUACUCCCACUGCACUGCUGGACCUACACGUUAGAGACUUUUGGGAACUUCAGCAUUGAAGCAGAGUGUCCAAAGAUAGUGACAUGGGGUAAAAGGUGUAUGGAGGAGGAGUUUGUGUCCAGCUCUCUUCCUCACCCACACAAAAUCUAUGAAUCGGUGGUGGAGUUUAAGAAGAAAAUGGGAAUAUAAGACAUUUACCUAGCAAAUAUAUCAAUGAUAUAUAGAUGAUGACAGGCCUCUCUACCAAUUUGUUCUCCCAUUUUGCAUUUGUAGUGCUUUUGUUUUAAUAAACAAACUUUUUAUUGGUUGCUUUUUAGGGUUAAUUUCAUUGAACUCCUCUAAGGUCUGGGCUAAAUACACCUAACAUAUAAUAAUUAGCUCAUCCAUCAGAAGCCAGCACAUUUUCCUUUUAUGAUUGUAUUUCACUGGAAGAGACAGCUCAAUUGUAAACUUUGAGAACCAACCAUAGCAUUAAAUUACCUACCUGGGUGUUUGUAUCUGCAACUUAUCAAUGUGCCCUCCAUUCUAAUAUGUAUGUCAUUUUCUGCUUUCUGGAACUAUUCUUUCAUCUAUAGAAAAGAACAAAACCCAUUGACGGAAUUAGAACCUCUAACUCAUGGGAAGAUGGAUAUAAGCACGUAGUAAGGUGAUUGAAGCAUUUUGAUAUCCCAGGAUAAAGAUAUUUACAAAUACUAAUAUAUAUAAAUAAGCAAACUGAGAAAGAUAAAUGGUUUCAAAAACUGGAAGCUUCUUUCAGCGGUCAACAUUGCCAAAUGCUAAUUUCAAGCCCAUGAAGAACUAUCCCUCUGCAAACAUUUUCUUCCGGGCUUAUUUGUGCUCCCCGUGACUUAGAAUUCACGCUGAAUUGUUUUCUACUCUGUUGACUACCAUUGCUUCCAAUUUUGGCAGCCAUGAUGUUGGCUCCCAAGUAAAUGUAGCUGCAAUGCAAGGUAAAACACCUAAUUAACAAAAAAGAAUGUCAAAAUAAAAGAAAGUGAACAAAAAGCUCUUGAAUUCAGAAGGCUCAAACUGAGUUGGAAUUUUGAGGUCUGGCUUACCAAUAACACGCAGUGUCCAGCCUCCUAAUAAGAAAGGAAUCGAAAUUACAUUAGAAAUACGGACCCAGAUAAGUCAGGGACAUAAAUUAGAUCAAAAAGAGGAGACAUGUAAGCAAAGAAAGCCUUACCUAUCACAGCAAGGUUGCCAUUGCCAAGUUCUUUUGAAGUCCUAUGUUAAACCAUAUAAGCAAUAUUAGUAUAAUUAGAAUGAAAAUCCAAUUUGUAGCAGGUAAAAACAAUGGUAAGAAAAUAUUAUAAGAGAAAAUUCCAAAGCCUCGGAGGAGGUUCCAUCUAAGCGUAAAGCUCAAAAGAAGGUAUUUUCCUUAUUGUUUUAUCUGCAGGAGCAGCAGCUAUAUAUAUUUAAGAUACUUGUAAACAGUCUUUGUUUCAGAAAGAUCAAUCCAUGCAGCGACUCAAUAAAAAAGAAAAAAAGGUAUCCCUGUUUAAACCGUCCCUUUUUACCUUGUUUAUGUUGCUCCCUUCGCUUCUAUCUGCACCCAACAGCCCAAUAGGCAGCUCAGCAUCUGUUUAGGGUGCACCCCGCUCAUUGAAAAAAGGCUGGAGGCUGGACCGGGUAUCAUCAUCAUCCCACUCCAAUUGAUUCCACCACCACAAUUCUCCUUUUAUUUCUUUUAGGGUAUUUGCACUUUGGCUAUUGAGAGGUAGCUUCUUCAAACUUUUACAUUCCGAGGCUAGAAAAGUCUCCAGAUUCUGCCAUAGCUCUUUUGGCCUGCCCAAAGUCUUCAGAUUUUCGACACCAUCCAGGUAUAUUCUCCGCAAGUUUGGAGCAACUGGACUUGGAACUGAGGUCUGUCUUGAACCGUAUACAAAUAGAUCAUCCAGGUAUAAGCAACUUAAUCCGAUCUCUUCCAGGUUUUCAAGGUUUGGAGUUUGAGAAAAAUCAAUGCAGGAGAAAAGAUAAUCCAAACUGUAGCAAUCAAACACCUUAAGUACUCUAAGUUUUGAGAGUUUGAGUCCAAGACGAGCAACCAACUCUGAGAUGCUCUUUAGUCCAAGGACAUACUUAAGUUUAAGCUCCUCCAUAUUUGGCAGUAGGUCAUUUCGGGCACCCCAUGCUUCUUCCGGCCCAAAGGUGAUUUGAGCGUGGCUGAUAGUAAGUGAUUUCAAGCAACCAAAGCAAUGAACGCUUUUCAUUGCUAAGGUUUCCACCAUUUUAUCUAGUCCACUGCAAGAAAUCAAAGCUAGAGAAGUUGCAUUGGUUAACCACCACAGAAUAUCCCAUUCUUUUGAGAGAUAAUUAAGACUAAUGAAGAUCACCUGCCUUUCGUUGAAUUUGGUUGUUUUAUCAAUUUCGCAAUCAGUUGGGCCCAUAAGAAAUUGGGAGCGUUUCAAUUUUUGUAUCCAGGUAUGCUUCUUGACCGGAAAUGGGAUGUCGUUCAGACCAAUUGAUACAGAAAUUAACUUCUCUAGGCAUCCUAGCUCCUCAAACACUGCUUUUCCCUUUUCAGCCCUUCUUUUCAAGCUCCAUUUGUAACUACUAUCUGUCAUGUCUAGAACUUCUAAACCGGACAACUCUGACAUUACUCCAGCUUGUACAGUUUCCAGGUACUGCGUGCAUGAUAGGUUUAAUUCCUUUAAGUUACUCAAUCGCUCCAUCCCUUUUGGCAAUUCCUUGACGCGAGUGGCACAACAAUCAAGCACUAGUAGUUUUUGAAGCCCAUCUAGUGGAGGUAUUUCUUGAAGAUGAGAACAGUCCCGUAAAAGAAGAGCCUCAAGUUGAUGAAGUAAGCAAAUGGAGUCAGGCAAUCUGCAGAUCUGGGUUCCACCCAUAUUCAAGACCUUGAGCGCUUGAAAUGCUAUCAGGAAUCCUUGGGGAACUCUCUGAAGAAAGAGAUUGUCUUGUAGAAGCAAUGUUGAUGCCUUUGAACACAGUGGAACACCAUCAGGUAGCUCUUUUAUUCUAUUAAACAUGAAAGAUACUCUCCUGACAGACCUUGACAAUUCACCCUCUGAAAUCUGGCUCAAACUAAUUCCUGAUCGAACAAGGGAUUUAUAUUUAACCUCCACGGAUGUUGCAAUCCAUAUUGCCACAUCCCGAAUUACAUCAUGCAUUUUCACUGUAUCCUUAAGGUGACCAUCUUCCAACAAACAACAGUCUUUCAAAUAUUCAACUACAGCAGCUCCCCUAUUGUGUAUAUCAUCGUAGUUCUUUUGUUUAUCUAUGAGACCUUCGGCCAGCCAGCAUUGUACAAGUUCUCUUAUUUCAAUAGAGAAAUCCUCAGGAUAUAGAGAGCAAUACAGGAAGCAAGAUUUGAUAUUAUUACCUAAUGAGUCGUAACUCCACUUCAAGGGCUUAUAAACCUUAUCCUCGAUUCCUUUGAUAUUAUAGGGCACCGAGUUUUGCAGCUCGCUUAAGGCAUCCUUCCAGAGUUCAACCAUUUUCUUUUCCCUCAUAGAUGUCCCCAUGACGAUUAUUGCCAAAGGCAAACCACCACAUUCUCUGGCAACUUCCUUGGCUAAAGGUUUAAUAUGUUCUAAGGUGGCUACCGUGCCUGCAUUUUGACAAAACAAUUCCCAUGCCUCUACAUCAUUUAGGACAUCCAUUUUCAAUACUGCAUCUGUCUUCAUAUCCCGACAAACAUCAAAAAAUCUAGUCGUCAAUAUGAUCUUACAUCCCCCAUGAACUUCAGGCCUUGGGACACCUAAAGCAUCCAAAGCAAUUUCCUCCCAAACAUCGUCAAGAAUAAGCAGAAACUUGUUUUGCUGCUCCAGCCUCUGAUGCAAUUUACUAGCCACACUCUCAGUGCUUUCAUUCAUAUUCACUCCCAUAUUCACUCUCUGAGCUAUUUGUGUUUGGAUCCUCGCUAAGUCCAACUGCUUGGACACCGUAAUCCAUAUAACAAUGCCAAAAGGUCGUGUUGAAGAAUCAUUCCUAAGCUUGUUGUUCAAGUUCUUUACCAGGGUUGUUUUUCCCACUCCCCCCAUACCCCAAACUCCAAUCCUCCCUACUUCAUCAUCAUUCAGCAGAUUCAUAAGUUUCGCUAAAAUGAGCGAUGCUGUUGUUUGAUCUUCAAUUGAUGGCGCAGGAAUGUGCUCCACUGCUGUUGUUUGAUAUUCUAUGGAUGGACGCAGGAUAUGCCCCACUGCUGUUGCUUGAUCUUCAACUGAUGGUCCUGGAAUAUGCUCCACUUCUGUGGUCUGAUCUUCAGUCAUUAGAUCUGGGAUAUGCUCCGCUGGUCUUUCACGACGAUUUGCAGCCACCAUGCUCAUACCCACGCUGUGAAUUCUCUGAACCUUCUUGAGCCUUUCUGCCAGUUCCCCACCACGCAUACAACGAUUUAAGAUGCCUCCACAACAGUUUUGGUUUCUGGCUGCUAUGCUUCCAUUCAUGGAGUUCACCUCCCCCUCAAUCCCUUGAACCUCUAGAAGCCACCCUCGUACUUGGGUGGUCCAAACCGAUUCAUCAAGUUCCGUUUCCACCUGCGACCUUAAUUCUGUUAGAAGAUUCAUAUGGCUUUCGAGAUCAUUGAAAUUCAACUGAAAUCUGAAUGAAUUCCGAAUUUUAGAAUAAACAUAGCCACAGAGACGUGGACAAGCAUCCGCAAUUAAAGUACCCAGUACUGCAGUCACAAAUUCCAUGGCAGAAUCUGGUAAAAGAUAAGCAAGACAAACUUUGGAAUGCGAAAACAAGUUUAGGAAGGAAGAAAAUGAAGAGAAUGCAAUUUUGUGUGGUGUAGUUGUCUGCUCCUUUUUCACUGCUCUUUGUUUUUUCCGUCAACCUUUGACAAUAUUCUUCUCGAUUUUUCCAUCCACCAUGUCCUCUGCAGUGCAGGCCGGCCGGUAGGGCUUUCGGCUGGACCCAACUAUUGCUAUAUUAACCUUAGGCAACUUUUUGGCCGUCCCAACCAUAACGAGGCUGCUCCGGGCGACUAAAUUCAGCAUCAGCACACAUGGUUCUUUACCAAACCUGAGAAUUAGGCUUUGUUUUAGAAAGUGUUUUCAAAAGUGGUUGUCAAGGAGUUUUUAAUAAUAGUUUUAAAAAAUUAUUUUAUGAUAUUUUGUAAAACAAAAUUCUUUUUGGGAACUUAAAAUCUUCUUAACUUAUUUUCUAUUUUUUUCAAAUAUGUUUUUAAAAUAACUUUUAUUUACAAUAUUUUGUUUUUAUUCAUUUUUUAUAUUUGUAUAAUUCUUUUUAUAAAAAUCUUUAGAAUAAAAUAAGUGAAAAUAACUUAAAACAAUUAAAACUAAAAUGUUCUCUAAUAAUACAUUAUUUUAUAUUUUUAAGAACAAAAAAAUUAUUUUUGUUCUCUAAUAAUACCUUUUUUAUAUUUUUAAGAACAAAAAAUUAUUUUUCAUUUUUAUUAUCAAACAUAUUUUUCUAUUUUUUUUUUCUUUUUUGUUCUAAAAAAUUAAAAAAACUGUUUUUUAAAGUAGUUAUCAAAUAAGGCUAGCUUUAUAUUCUAAAUCGCUUUGAAGGCUUAGCAAGAAGAAUAUUUCCAUAAUUUAUUUAUUUAUUUAAGGUUUGUGUCCUAAACACCUCAUUAACCAAAAUUUAGGGAUUACAAUGCACAGUGUAGCACAUGAUCAUCAUAUGUCUCGAAGUAAGAAAUAUAAAAAUUUACUACUAUAUUGAUCACAUGUUAGUUUAAUAACCAUGUCCUGAUGACUUGAAAUAACCUAUAUAUAUAUAUAUAUAUAUAUAUAUCCAAUACAAUCUAAAAAACUAAUGAUCCAAUAGGGCAACUACUAGGAACCCAAAUUACUCCAUUAUCUGGCUCUGGAUCUAGUAGGGUGCGCAUGAAUCUACCCUAAGCUUCUCUAGAAAACAAUUUAAGCGGAAAUGACUUCAAAAACCAUUUAGAUAUAUAACUAGAUCUAGAGAAAAAAUAAUUCAUACAUAGAUAUAAAUGUUCCCAUAUCAAUUCCAAACCAUAUAAUGUGUGGUACAUACUAGUGAAUUAUGACAACUAAUAACCUUACAUCAUGAUCCAUUGCAGGUCCUGUUCAUCAAUGUGUAACCAUACACUAGUGCACUCACUAUGAGAAACUCAUCCCAACGGUCAAGAUAAGUCAUCCCUCCAAUUAAAAGAUAGUGCACUACAGUUUCUACUAGAUUGUCCAAAUUCAUGAAUCAAUUAUAAACAACUUAUCUCUUACAAGGAACCCAUAACUUGUAUCCUUUAUGCAACUCCUAAUGUACCCAAGUCAUAUACAAUGAAAAUGAUAUGGGUGAAUGAGUAAUUAAUACAUAUUAGAGAGUAAGGGAAACCACAAGAAAUGUAAAUAAAUGAAUCUUAAUAUGUUACAUCAUGUCAUUCUUUAUGGGGCUUUAUCCCAAUAGUAAUACCGAGAGGAAGGUGAAUGAGUGCUUUUAAAGAUUUUAAUUCAAAUUUUUCCUUUGAAAAAGUAUAAAGUAUUAAAAGCAAUCUAACACAUAUGAGACAAAGAAUUUUUAUGUGGAAAACCUCCACAGAUGUGUGGAGAUAAAAAAACCAUGAGGUCAGAGACUUGAAAUCUAAAAUUUGCAAUAUGAGAAUGUAGUAGAUAAAGUUACUUAACGAACUCUAACCCUAGACUUACUUUCUAGUACCUAUGUCAUGAACUACAUUCAUGACGCAACACCUUGUGUGCACUAGUGGGUUCACCUUAGCUCUUAAGGGGAUCCAUAUCUUCUUCGAUAACCCGGAAGAAGUUUUUAAUUCUUCUCUGAGAUAUUUUGGAAUGGGAAUGCAAACUAGGGUUUUCUAAAUGUGAGCAUCAAACCCUAAAACGAAUUUAGGUAGGAUAUAUAUAGGCCUAAGGGCCUCAAGGAUAGGAUAUGAAAUUAAUCUUAAAAAGAAAAUCUCAAUUUUUCAAAAUGCAAACUGCUAGAAUCUAGUAAUUGUAAGGUGGAGCACUUGAGCACACUUAAGCAUUGCUUGAGCACGUCGAGCGCUUGAGCACUUAAAUAAGUGCUUGAGCAUUGACUUUAGUCCUCGAGCGCUUUGGCUAAUACUUGAACACUCCAACAAUUUGAAACAACCGAUACCAUGUUAAUCCUAAUUUGCCUUAAUCCAGACCUUUCCAAACUUAUCUAUGACAUUCUAGUUGAUCAAUCAACAACCUUGAGUCUUUAAUGGAGGCUAAGUCAUAAUCUAGAAAGAUCCUAUGCCUAGUACACUAUGCAUAAUACACCUAACACAAUCCAUUUAUUAAAUACAUUAGGGUUGGUUGUUAAGGAUUCACAUAAAUGGCCGAUGCAUUAAGAUUAUUCUAACCCAUUAAGAUUUUAAAUAUAUAAAAGUUAUUUUCAAGAUAAAAUUUUAGUUAUUUAAAAAUUUUCACUUUCAACUUUUUUAUUUAAAUUUUAAUUAUUUUAACAUUUGAUGUUUUUAUUUAUAAAAUGUUAUAAAAGAUAGAAGAUAAAAAAAAUAUUAAAUUUCAUACAUGUUUAAAAAAAAUUUAUGUAAUUUUAGUAAUUUUUUUCAUCUUUAUGAUAUUGAAUAUACAAUAAAUUACUUGCUUUAAUUAUUUUAACUAUGGGAUAUUUAUAAAUGAAUUAUAAUCUUAAAAAUAUAUGAUGUUAAUAAAUAAUAUGAAGUAAAUGUACGUAAACGGUUAUAAAUGGGUUAGAUACUUGGAUCACAAUUGUUCCAAUUGGACAUGAUUAUCUAAAUCAAUUAAAUAGGUUAAGUACCUAAAUUUGAACACCAUCCACAUUUAUGUAACGAAUGAUAUGGUUGAAAUGAAAACGAACAUUGUGUCAAAAUAGUCAUAUUAAUCUAUUGUGUCAAACUUGUCAAUACCCUUACUAAAAUUAAUUUGAAAAUUUUUGAAAAGAUUUUUGUUUAUACUCACAAACUUCAUUUGGUGACAUACCCUGCUAAAAUUAAUUCAAUGAGACAUGAUAUGAAUUGCAUGAUGCAACACCACCUACUAAUAUGCUUCCAUUCAUAAUUCAGGUCUAAUAUUUAAAAGAUAAGAAAAAAAAAAGGUCAGAAAGAAAUCAAAGAGAAUUUGGUCAAGAAUUGUAUGAAAAUAUUUCAAUACCAAUUGAAAGAUUUCAAACAAAUCAAUCUUUAUGCUAACUGAACUCAAUUUGUUCCCUUUUAAUUCAUUUUUUUUUUCUUUGAAAGUGAGACUUUACUUGAAACUUAUUUUCUUAAGUAAUUCCUAAUUUAAUUUAAUUCUAAAUUAUUAAACUUUUAACCUAGCUAUUAAUGGGUUGGGAUGAAUGUAUUGUGAUGGUAUAUAGGGUUUUUACACUAGUAAGGAAGUAAAACAAUGAAAUAAGAAAACAUAAGAGCAUGUUUGGUUGAGUUUUUAAAACCAAUUUUUUUAUUUCAAAAACAGAAAAUAGUUUUUAAAAACUCAUAACACUGUUUAGUUAUUAUUCUCUAUUUCAAGUUUUUAAAAAUUGUAAACUACAGAGAAAGAAAAUGAAUAUGUAAACUAUAUUUUUAUUCAUAACAGAAACAUCUCUAUUUAUACAUGCUAUGCUAGUCUAUCUAAAGUAAGUCUCCUAUAUUUACAUCCUAUAAUCAAGCCUAUAAUCAAUACAUAAAUAAGGUAAGUCAACUACAUAAAUAAGGUAGAUUCUGAUUCUAUAACACUCCCCCUCAAGCUGGAGCAUAAAUGUUAAUCAUGCCCAGCUUGUUACAAAAAUAUUCAACUCGAGUUCCAUUUAACGCCUUUGUGAAAAUAUCUCCCAGUUGUUCUCCAGUCUUCACAUAACUUGUGGAAAUCAAAUUUUCUUGAAUCUUCUCGCGAAUAAAGUGACAAUCUACUUCAAUAUGUUUAGUUCUUUCAUGAUAUACUGGAUUUAAGGCGAUAUGAAUAGCUGCUUGGUUGUCGCACCCAAGUUUUGCUGGCAUGGGAGUCUUUAUUCCAAUCUCAAUUAGAAGAUGAUACAACCACAUAAUUUCACACGUGGCUUGCGCCAUGGCUCUGUAUUCUGAUUUUGCACUAGACCGAGAUACCACAUUCUGCUUCUUGCUCUUCCAAGAUGCAAGAUUCCCACCAACAAAGACAUAAAAUCCUGUAGUGGAUUGUCUAUCAACUUUGGAUCCAGCCCAAUCAGCAUCUGUAAAACACUCAAUUUGAGCAUGUCCAUAAUUGUUGUACAAUAUGCCCAGACCAAGAGCUCUUUUCAAAUAACACAAAAUCUGCUCCAAGGCUGUCCAAUGCUUCACUGUAGGUGUAGACAUAAACUGACUGACAAUACUAACUGCAUAAGUAAUGUCUGGGCGAGUCACUGUAAGGUAAUUCAAUUUCCCAACCAAUCUUUUGUGUCUUUCUGGAUUAUCAAAGGGAUCCCCAUCAUCUUUCGUCAAAUGUACAUUAGGGAUCAUCGGUGUGCUACAUGGCUUGGCUUCCAUCUUUCCAGUUUCUGCAAGUAAGUCAAGAACAUAUUUCCUUUGUGACAAGAAGAUUCCUCUUUUCUUUCUUGAUACUUUUACUCCCAAGAAAUAUUUUAGCUUGCCCAAGUCCUUUGUGUGAAACUUGGAAUGCAUAAACAAUUUGAGAGAAGAAAUUCUUGCACAAUCAUUUCCUGUAAUGACAAUGUCAUCAACAUAAACAACGAGAAGAAUAAUACCAUUUGCUGACUAUCUAUAGAAGACUGAAUGAUCAACUUUGCUUUUGUUCAUCCCAAACUCUUGAAUCACCUCACUAAACUUACCAAACCAAGCUCAAGGACUCUGCUUCAAUCCAUAAAGAGAUUUUAUGAGAUGACACACUUUCCUAUACCCCCCCUGAGCAACAAACCCAGGUGGUUGCUCCAUAUAUACUUCUUCCUAAAGAUCUCCGUGAAGGAAUGCAUUUUUUAUAUCCAACUGGUGUAGGGGCCAAUGCUGAGAAGCAGCAAUUGAUAUAAUCAGGCGGACUGAAGCAAGUUUGGCUACUGGAGAGAAAGUAUCAGAAUAGUCCACCCCAUAAGUCUGAGCAUAGCCUUUAGCUACAAGUCUGGCUUUCAGUCGUGCCAUUGAGCCAUCAGGAUUAACUUUUAUUGCAAAGACCCACUUACAUCCCACAACGUUCUUUCCUAUUGGUAAAUCAACUAGAUUCCAUGUGUGAUUGACUUCUAGAGCUUGUAUCUCCUCAAGCAUUGCAUUAUACCAUCCAGGGUGAUUCAGGGCUUCCUUGACAGUUUUGGGAAUAGAGACAGAAUCUAAAGAGGCAACAAAAACGCUCGAAGAAGGAGACAAGUGAUCAUAAGAAAUGAAAUUAGCAAUGGAAUAAACUAAUUUGCAUUGACGUUUACCUUUACGAAGACCAAUGGGGAGGUUAAGGUCACUGGGAGGAUCAGAUAACGAAGAAGUUGGUGCAGGGCAUGUAUCUUUUGUUUCCUGAUGCUUGGAGUAUUCCUGAACAAUUGGUGGCUUAGCUGGAGCAGGCAGUAAGUCAACAACAACGUGUGGUUGCUCAAAAGAAUCAGUGGGAGUACUUGGGAUGGUUUCUUGAUAUAUGAGCCAAUUUUCACCCUCCCCCUCACUUUCUGAAUUUGGGGGUGAAGAAUAAAAAUGUGUAUCUUCUGAAAAUACCACAUCAGUCGAUACCACAUACUUGUUGAGAUCAGGAGAAAAACAUCGAUAACCUUUCUGAAGAUGAGAAUACCCUAAGAUAGAACACACACUUCAGGGCUUUGGGAUCUAGUUUAGUCACAGAUGGCCUUACAUCUUGAACAUUGCAAGUGCUUCCAAAAAUUCGUGGUUCAACUGGAAAUAGAGACUUCUUUGGAAACAAUAUACUGUAUGGGAUUUUAUCAUUGAGUACCGUAGAUGGCAUGCGAUUAAUAAGAAAGCAAGCAAUAGAAAUCGCAUCAACCCAAAACUGUUUAGGAACCUUCAUCUAGAACAAGAGUGCCUGGGCUGUUUCUAGUAAAUGUCUGUUCUUCCUCUCAGCAACUCCAUUUUGAGAAGGAGUAUCCACACAAGAGGACUAAUGAAGAAUCCCGUGUUGAGUCAUGUAAGUCUGAAAUGAGUUAGACAUAUAUUCUUUGUCAUUAUCACUUCUCAAUGUUCGUACAGAGACAUUAAACUCUGUUUUAAUCUUAGCACAAAAAGUGCAAAAAUGAGAGAAAACUUCAAACCGAUUCUUCAUAAAAUAAAUCCAAGUUGUUCGAGAAAAUCAUCCACAAAUGUAACAAAAUAUCGAAAUCCAGUUUUAGAAGUAACAGGACAAGGUCCCAACACAUCAAAGUGUACUAACUCAAAAAUAGAUUUAGCCCUCUUAUUAACUCUUGGGCUUAACGAACUACAGUGAUGCUUUGCAAAAUGACAUGAUUCACAAUUAAAUGAAGGUAAACUAUGAAACUGAUGACAUAACUUCUUUAACACUGGUAAAGAGGGAUGUCCCAAAUGACAAUGAGCUUUAACUGAAGACGCGAUGCUAGAACAAGCAACCAACCAAGAUACCCACGCAUCAAGAAUGUAAAGACCAUCAGAUAUAUGUCCUUUACCAAUAAUCUGCUUCGUCAUAAGAUCCUAAAAAAGGCAAUGGUCAGGAAAGAAUGAGAUACAACAGUUCAAAUCUUUGGUAAGUUUACUGACAGAUAUCAAGUUAAAGGCAAGCUUGGGUAAACUUAGAACAGACGACAAAGUGAUAGAGGAUGUUGGUUUGACAGUCCCAGAACCCACAACAUUAGAGGUUGACCCAUCAACAAUGGUAACAGGAGAAGAGGCUAAAUGUGAUCGAAAACUAGAGAAUAUUUUAGGAUUACCUAUCAUGUGAUCAGUGACACCUGAAUCAAUUACCCAUUUGUUUGAGGAGGAGAUAAGACAUGUUUUACCUGUCUCAACAAGAGCAAUAACCGGAGUAGAAAUCUUCAAUGAUUCUUGGUACUGAGAGAAUUUUGCAAGCUCAUCAGCUGAGAUCAUGACCAUCUUAUCAGAAGAACUUGAAGAAGUACUAGAGGUGGUGACAACAUUAGCAAUCUGAUUUCUUUGAUUGCAAUUUUGUAAUUUCUUGCAGUAUUUCUUGGUAUGGCUCGGCUCAUGACAGUAGUAGCAAACAAUGUUGCUUGAAUCAUUGUUAUAGCUAUCAGAAGUCUUGCUUCCUCCCCUUUUGUUUGAUUUCCUCCUAGUAUCAUUGCUUCCUCCUUUGGCAACAAGAACAUUAUUAGUCUGCUAGAUAGAUGAGGUACCUUUAGUAUGCAAAAUUCUAUUGAACACUUCUUGAAGUGAACCAAUCUCAGAACUAGAAAGAAUUUGAGAUUUAGCAGUUUCAAAUUCAGAUGGAAGUCUAGCUAAAAAACUCAUUACCGCCAUUUUUUCUCUCUGAGUUUCUUGCACCUUAAUAUCAAUACUAAAAGGUAAAAGUACAUUCAACUCCUCAUAAGUCUUCUUAAAAUCCAUAAAGUAAGUUGUGAGAGAUUUGGCCUCCUUUUCAGCACGAUAGAAGGCUUUGCACACAUCAUACAUUAGGGACUAAUUCCCUUUGCCAGAAUAUAAGAACUCUAGAUAAUCGAUUAAUUCUUUAACAAACUCACAAUGAUUAAGUAGCCCAACAAUUUCACUAUCAAUAGAAUUCCUUAUUUGUAGGAAUAAACGUGCAUCAUCCCUUAUCCAAGUCUUUCUAGUUUCAUUAUCAGGGGUUUCCAUGGUCAGGUGGUCAUCUUUUUCAACACUACGCAAAUAAACUCUAAUUGUCUUGCUCCAUUCCAAAUAAUUAGUGCCAUUUAAUUAAUGAUCGAUUAUUUUGGACAGUGCUGGAACUAUUUCAAUUAUAGAAGCUUUGUUGUCAGUCAUUUUAAUUGAUAUUCAAUCACCACAAUAAAUAUAAUUCUAGCAGCAAACCAGAAAUAGUUGAUACCUAAAAUGAAUUCCACAAGGAAUCAGAGAACAAAUCAAAGGGACAGAACCUGCCAAGGAGAUGUUCCUCUCAACAGUUGAUCGAACGUCGAAGUGCCACCUGAGAAUGGUCGGAAAGAGAUGGGAAACGUCGGAAAGUCAUAUCGGUGAAGAAACGGCGGCCUCACGCUCUCCCAUGCGCCAGAAACAAGAAUGCGCUCCUCUCUGGGUCGGCGGUGACGCAAUCCAGACUCAAAAAAUGUAACAGGUUACUGUUCCAGACUGUUAGGAACAAAACCCAAAACCCAGAAAAUUCCCUUGAGCCAAACGUGGCUCUGAUACCAUGUAAACUGCAGAGAAAGAAAAUGAAUAUGUAAACUAUAUUUUUAUUCAUAACAGAAACAUCUCUAUUUAUACAUGCUAUACUAGUCUAUCUAAGGUAAGUCUCCUAUAUUUACAUCCUAUAAUCAAGCCUAUAAUCAAUACAUAAAUAAGGUAAGUCAACUACAUACAUAAGGUAGGUUCUGAUUCUGUAACAAAAACAAAGUGAAAUAGAGAACAACUUUUAGAAAACAAGUAAAAGUUGUUUUCACCUGUUUUUAAAAAUAAUAGAAAAUACACACACUCGAUUAUUUCUCUUUUACAUAAAAUUAUUAUUUUUCAAUUUUUUUUGCUAGAUAAAUUAACUCCAAAUUAAACAAGACUUAAUGUCUUAGAUUUGUUAAUAAGUCUAUUAAGUUUUAAAAAUAAUUUAAAACUUAAAUAAUAAACUCAUUAAUAUCAUAAAUUUAUGAACAAAAAUUGGUUUAAAACAAGUUUAUUGUUUCUUUUCUAUGCUUUUUUUUUCCAUUAGGCAAAUAAACUUUAAAUUAAAUAAGACUUAACGUGUUGGAUUAAUUAAUAAGUCUAAUAAUUUUUAAAAUUAAUUUUAAACUCAAAUAAUAAAUUUAUUAAUACCAUAAAUUUGUACAUAAAAAUUGGUUUAUAAUGACUAUUAUUUCUUUUUUGCACAUAAUUAUACUUUUAUAAAAUUUUCCACUAAAAAAAAUCAAUUCAAAUCAAGUGGCACUUUUUAUUGAAUUUACUAAUGAGUUUAACAAUUUUUAAAAAUAAUUUGGGACUAAAAAAUAAAUCUAAUCAUUGAAAAAGAAAUUAAAAAAAAAAGGAAAAUGGAUAUAUCAUGAAUCAUAACUUUACUAUUUAUCCUAUACAAACAACUAUUUUUUUUUAUAAUUUUUUCACUAGGUUAAUAGAUUAUAAAUUAAGUAAGACAUAACUGAUAAUUCAAAUCCUUUAAUUUUUAAGAAUAAUUUGCAAUAAAAAAAACUGAUCCAAUUAAUUUUAAAUUAAAUCAAAACAUUCUAGAAUAUUAUACUCAAAAUUGAGUACUAAAUGUGUUCAUAUGUAUUAAAAAACUUGACCUGUUUAUAUGUUAAAAAAAUAGAACUUUAUUCAUUAUUCUUUUUAAAUAAAAUACUAUCGACAAUUAAUUAUUAUUUAUUUAUUUUAAAAAAUGCAAAGAUGUUAAUAUCCUCAUGUUUCUAACAUAUAAUAAAAUAGUAUAUUUUCUACUAAAAAUAUAAUUUAUGAUUUUAUUAUAAUAUUACUAUUUAUGUUUUACUAAAAAAAAACUACUUAUUUUUUAAUUUUUUUAUAAUUACAAAAUUAUUUUCAUUUUGAAUAAGACUUCAAUUAAAUUUAAUUAAUUAAUAUUAUAUAAAUUGAAUUUAAUUUUUUUUUAAAAAAUCAAAACAAAUAUUUUUUAUUAAAAACAAUUUAUCCAUACAAGUCUUUUUUAUUUUUUUAUUUUUAAAAUCCUUUUAUAAAAUCAACUUGCCAAAUAUCCUUAUUUUUAUAAAACAUUAAAAAAAAUAUUUCUUUAACUUAAAAACAAGCAUAACAAAUCAUGAUCAAAUAAGAAAUUUAAAAAAAUAAUUAAAGUACUUAUUUGACUUGCAUUAAAAAUAAAUAUUAAAAUUAUUUUUAUCUUAUAGUAAUUUUUGUUAGACUAAAAAAAAAUGUUUUUUUUAAUAAAAAACAAAAAUGUUUUUUUAAUAAAAAACAUUAUUUAUCUUUAACUCAUACAUAAUUGUAAAUUUAAUUUUUCUUUUUAAUAAAACUUACUUAAAUUUGAUUUCAUAUUAUUAUAAAUUAAAUUUAUAAAGUUUUUAUAAAAUAAAAGUAAGACAUUGUUUUUAAAAACAAUACAAAUUCUUUCAUCUGAACAAGAUUUUUGUUUUUGUUUUAAAAAACUGUAUUUUAAAACAUCUUGCCAAAUACUCUUGUUUUUUUAAAAAAACAAAUUAAAAAUAUUUUUGUUCUCUAUUUUGAAAACAAAUUGAAAAAAAAAAAUCACCAAACAAGCCCUUAAUUUUUAUUUUUUUAAAAUACUUCACUUGAAUAUGAUUUUAUAGUAUUAUAAAUUAAAUUUUUAUAAAAUAAAAGUAACAAAUUGUUUUUAAAAACAAUACAAAUUCUUUCAUCCAAAUAAGCUUUUUGUUUUUGUUUUAAAAAUCUAUUUUUAAAAAUAUUUUGUCAAACACUCUUGUUUUUUUUAAAAAAAAUAAUAAUUAUUUUUUAUUCUCUAUUUUGAAAACAAUUUUAAAAAACAUCCCAAACAAGUCUUAGGAUUUUCAUAAUUUAUUGAAAAUAAAAUCUAUAUAAAAAAAAAAACUCAUUUUUUAUGCAUGUUGAAUUUCUUUUAAAAAAAAAAUUGGAAUUCAGUUUUUUUUAUUUCUUUUAUUUUAUUUUUUAUUUUUUUUGUUCUGCAUGUUCAUUCCAUUAAAAAUACAAAUAAAUACUAGAAUUUACAUUUACUUUUGACUAACAUGCAAAUAAAAAUAAAAAAAGAAUUCAUUUCCAAAAAAAAAUUUCUGCCUCCCUUUCAUUUUUAAAUUUUAUUUCAAUAAUUAAUUUGGAAAAAAAAAAAAGUCAUUUUUUUGUAUUGGAGAAAUUUAUAAAUUAAUAACUUCUUUAUGAUACAUAUAUUUUUAUCCCCAUAACGUUGAUAUCUUUAUUUCGCAAUGAGUCUAUAAGGAUUGAAGUAAAAUAAAUAACCAAUUUUUAAGAAAAUAAUUAAUAUUACUUCUUAAUAAUCAUAAAUUUGGGAUUUUCCACGUGGGAGAAUACUGCAUUGCAGAAGAAUCAAUAAGCUUUGUACUGACUAAAUUAUUUAAUCACAAAUUUGAAUUUUCAGCUAAUAUAUAUUUUGAUUUUAAUGUUGGACACAUGCCAAUUUUUGCUGGUAUGGUUUAUUUCAUUGUAUUUUAAUGACUAAUUAAGGAUAAACUGAAAAUAUAAUAAUCUAUGUUUAACAUUUACUGUUGAUAGUAGGGAAUUGUCGUCAACUUUAAAAACAACAAAGAGAAAUAAAUUAAGGGUUAUUUGGUUAAAGAGAUAUCAUAAAAUUUUCAUAAGAAAAAUGAAAAAUAUUCAAAACCUAAAAAGAAGUUUAAAAGAGAGAUAAAAUGUUUCAAAUGUGGACAAAAGGGACAUAUUGCCCCGAAUUACCCAUUAAAAAAGAAAAUUCAAAGAUUAAAAAUAGAAGAAAAUAUUAACACUCAAAUUAUAAAUCUUAUUCCUACUGAUUCUGAAUCUUCUUAUCAAAAUCUUAGGAAAAAAUUCAAGAAGCAAAAAAUAGAAUAUUCUAACAAUGAUGAUGGGUUUCUUCUGAUCGAAGAUAGUUCUUCAUCAUAUGAUAGUUCUUCUUCCGAAUCAUCAUGUGAUUAGAUAAUGAAUAAAAUUUUCAAUCCCUAUACAAACUUUACUAUUGUAUACAUUGGUGAUGUUCUUAUAUUUUCAAAUUCUAUUUAUCAACACUUCAAUCAUUUAAAAAUCUUUCAAAAAAAUUGUCAAACAUAAUGGUUUGGUAAUCUCUGCCCCUAAGGUUAAUCUAUUUCAAACCAAGAUUAGAUUCUUAGGAUUUGAAAUUUAUCAGAGUAUAAUCAAACCAAUCCAAAGAGUAAUAAAAUUAGCAUCAAAGUUUCCUAAUGAAAUCAAAGAUAGAAAUCAACUUCAAAGGUUCUUAGGAAGUCUCAACUAUGUGUCAGACUUCUUCCCAAACCUUAGAACCACUAUCAAACCUAUGUUUUAUAGGCUUAGACAGAAUCCCAAGCCUUGGAUACAGGAACACACAGACAUAGUCAAAAUGAUCAAACAACAGGUUAUGUGUUUACCUUGCUUAGGAAUCCUUAACCCUGGAGUUUUUCCUACAUAGAGACAGAUGCCUCUAACUUAGGAUAUGGCGACAUUAUCGAACAAGAUUUUCAAGGCAAAAUCUCCAUUGUUCGUUUUACCUUUGGUGUAUGGAGUGGUUGCUAAGAAAAUUAUUCAACAGUCAAAAAAAAGAUUUUAGCAAUUGUUUUAUGUAACCAAAAAUUUCAAGAUGAUGUUUUUCAUUGAAAAUUUCUUUUAAGAGUUGAUUGUAAAAGUGCAAAAGAAAUUCUUAAAAAAGAUGUUUAAAAUAUUGUUUCAAAACAAAUCUUUGCCAGAUGGCAAGCCAUUUUUUCCUCUUUUGAUUUUGAAAUUGAAUUUAUAAAAGGAAUUUUGAACUCUCUCUCUGAUUUUCUCUCAUGUGAAUUUCUUAAGGGACAAUGAGCUCUCAGAAGACCAAUACCAAUACUCAUACUACAAAGGCUUCUUAUGCCAUAAACCCUAUUAAGCAAGAAAAACCUAACAUUCAAACCCAAAAUAGGUUCUAAGUUCUAGGAACUAUUUCUCCAAACCAGACCAAACCAACUUUUGCUCAAACUACCUCUUCAAGUCAAGCUACACAAUAACAUGUGGCUAAGGCUCAUAUCAUGAAGGUACAAAUUCUUAAACCUUUCCAAAUUUCAAAAUCUAGGAAACUAGACAUUUCAAAAAAAUUUCCCCAUGGGAAGUUCUUCCUUCAAAACAAUUUAGAAAAAACUCGUAAAUUUUAUGAGUUUAUUCUGGUUGACACAGAUUCUAUGGAAAUAUCCCAUAUUCAAAACAAAACUUCUAUAGAUAUUUUUUAUUCAAAAUACAAAAUUUACAAAGUUAUUUCUCCAAAAAAAUGUGGGGUCAAUCUCUUGACACUCACAAAAUGUUUUUUCAAACUUUUAGACCAAAGUCAUGUGAUUAUCAUGGUUAUAUUAAUGCUUGGUACUAUACCUUUUUCUUCAAACCAUUUGAUCACUCAUGGUUUUUCCACUGGGGUGAUGAAAUGAAAAAUCAAAAUGAUUUUCCAUAGUGGUUCCAAGAAUGGUGACCAUUUUUUGGUGCCAUUAAGGACAUUUUUUGUCCUCAAAUUCUUAAAUGAUACAAAUACUUUGUUGAGCACAUAAGUAAGUUGAUUCCUACUUCUUGUUCACAAGUACUAUUAUUCCUUUCAAGAUUUCAAAUUCCAUGGAUCCUAUGCUCGGAUUUUGUCCAAAUAUAGAUGAUUCCAACUCCUUUUCCCACCCAUUGGGCAAGGGAAUUCAAAGUCAAAUAGUGGUCCAAUUUCUUUCCUUCUACUACUCAUCAAAUUCCUCAUCAAAAAUUGGAUUUCCUCAAAAAGCUCUCCUUCAAAGCCUCAAAAAACUCCUUUUCAAAUUAUUCCUGAUAACUUUAUUUUAUCAAGGUCUUUGUUUCCCUCUUAUAAAGAUUUCAAAAAGCAUCUCAAAAUGUUGAAACAAAAAGCUUCAGAAACACUAUCUUAGCUUUUUUAUUCUGGUUCUAACGAUGAUACUGAAUUCUCUUCUUUCUUAGGGGAUUUCAAUGAAGACAUGUGUUAUGGAAUGCCAUACACGCCCUUGGAGUGAUGCCUCCAAACCUUCCUCAAAAUCUUUGUGUGAAGCACUUCAAAAAUGACAGUUAGGACUUCGUGUUAAAAGACACGUGACUGUUUAUGUGUUUGAUUACAUCUUCCAAAAAGACUUUGGAUAUCAUGGUAAGAUCUUAAAAGAUCUCAAAUUCAUAAAAAAAAAAAAAAAAAAGCAACGACUCAAUGAAGAUUUCAUCUUGUUGUGGAUUUCAACACUUUCAAAUCCGAGUGGCCUAUGAUGGCGACAUCAAAUCAAAACCGCUUCUUCAAAUAUGUGGAAUUCAAAAAUUGUUCCUCAAAACAAGUGGCCAGCUUGCACAAGUCGACAAACUACUUUCGAUGGAUUUCAAAGCUUCUCAAUUUCGUGGACUUCAAAGGAUUUCUAAUCUGUCUUCAAAGCCUAUAUAAGGCUCUCAUUUCUAAUUGUAAGGCAUUGGGCAGUCAAUAGGCAAUUAAGAGAGAAAACAAGUGAGAAAAUCUUCUAAGUGAAAGCCUUGUAAUUGAGAAAACUCAAAGCUCUCAAAGCGUUUGUAAAGCUCUCUUCAAAAGAUUGUAAGUUAUCUUUUCAAAGUUUCUUGUAAUUAUUUCAUGUUUUGAAUGAAAUUUCAAAUUUCAAAUUCAACUGUGCUUUAAGUUUUGAUUUGUCAUGAAAGAACCUCUUUGAAAGUCUAUGAACUUUCUUGAAGCUCUGUCAAAGUUAUCUGGGUUUUAAGCAAGAUCAUUGUGACUCCUCCAGAUGUAAUUAGGAGAUUUCUUCAUAGUUCAUUUUGAUAUUCAAAUUGAAGCGUUCUUCUGCAUAUCAUUUUAUCAUUGUCAUCAGUCUUGUCUUUAUUGGUAUCGUCACUCCAAGGGCGUGUAUGGCAUUCCAUAAUACAUGUUUUCAUUGACAUCCCCUAAGAAAGCAAAGGAUGCAGUAUCAUCGUUAGAACCAAAAUAAAAAAACAGAGAUAGUGUUUCUGAAGCUUUUUGCUUCAGUAUUUUGAUAUGCUUUUUGAAAUCUUUAUUAGAGGGAAACGAAGACAUUGAUAACAGAAAGUUAUCAUGAAUAAUUUGAAAAUGAGCUUUUGGAGGCUUUGAAUGAGAGUUUCUAGAAGAAAUCCAAUUUUUGACAUGAUGAAUUUGUUGCGUAGCAGAAGGAAAGAAAUGGACCACCAUUUGACUUUGAAUUCCCUUGCCAAAUGAGCGGGAAUCAUAUGUGUUUGGACAAAGUCCUAACACAGAAUCCAUGGAAUUUGAAAUCUUGAAAGGAAGAAUAGUACUUGUGAACAAGAAGUAGGAAUCAAAUUACUUCCAUGCUACACAAAGUAUUUGUAUCUUUCAAGAAUUUGAGGACAAAAAAUGUCCUUAAUGGCACCAAAAAAAUAGCCAUCAUUCUUGAAACCAGUUUGGAAAAUCAUUUUGAUUUUUUAUUUCAUCACCCUAGUGGAAAAACCAUGAGCGUUCAAAUGGUCUUAAGAAAAGGUAUAGUACCAAACAUCAAUAUAAUCAUGAUAAUCACAUGACUUUGAUCUAAAAGUUUGAAAAAACAUUUUGUGAGUGUCAAUAGAUUGACCCCACAUUUUUGGAGAAAUAACUUUGCAAAUUUUGCAUUUUGAAUAACAAAUAUAUGUUUUCCAGAUUUUGAUAUUUGGAAAGGUUCAAGAAUUUGUACCUUCAUAAUAUGGGCCUUAGCCACAUAUUGUUGUGUAGUCUAACUUGAAAAGACAGUUUGAGCAAAAGUUAGUUUAGGCUGAUUUGGAGAAAUAGUUCCCAGAACUUGGAACUUAUUUUGGGUUUGAAUGUUGGGUUUUUCUUACUUAACAAGGUUUAUGGCAUAAGAAGCCUUUGUAGUAUGGGUAUUGGUAUUGGUCUUUUGAGAGCUCAUUAUCCAUGUAGAAAUUCACGUGAGAGAAAAUCAGGGAGAGAGUUCAAAAUUCCUUUGAGAUUAUUUUUUCUUUGAUUGUUUGCUCUCUCUUUUAGUAAAAAUAAAAAUAGAAAAGAAAAGAAAAGAAAAGAAAAAAUUAGGUUUCCUGGAAUGGUUAUGACACCUUAGUAGUGCUUAAAGAGUAAAAAGCCUCCAUUGCAAGAUUGGGACAUCCUUUAUGUUGUAAAGGCCAACUUAGUGAUCCUCAACUCAAAACAUUUAUCCUAUGUAGCACAUAUUCAUGCAAUCAUCAAUAUGUUAAAUGAGAAAGCAAGUGAAUUAUGUGUAUUUAAAGGGAUAUGGAAAGGUCGUAUUAUUCUCUAGGAGUGGAUGUGUGUUCUUGAAAAUGAUUGUUUCUUCAUGGAUAGAUAUAGGCUUAUAAGUGUGUCAUAACCUUGCUUGUCCAAAGGAAAACCUAACAUCAGAUUAAAGCGUAAAUCUAGAACAUGCCUUACAUCUUUCAAUGUCCACUUACACCCCAUAAUAUUGGUUUCAAAGCAAACAUCAUCCAUCCUUAUAAUCCUGGAGUGACUAGAGUUUCCCAUCUUGAUUGUGCUAAAGUCUUAAUUGUGUAGUCAUAAAACAACUCCAAGUGAGGAGUAGCAUGAUAGGAGGCUACAAUGUCUACAAUCCACUCAACUCCUUGCUCAUCUACAUGCAAACACUCAUUUGAGAGCACUAAAACUCCAUCACUAUUGAACAUAGUGGUUGUGAUAUUCUUAUCAUUCUCUUUUUCCUUAUUCUGCCUAUUUUGUUCCCUUUUCCAAAUUUGACAAUUUCUUUUCAUAUGUCCCUAUUUUCCAUAACGGAAACAUUUGAUUUUAUCUUUGGACUAGGACCUCCCUUCAAACUUGUCGUGGCCUUCUAUCUUCUAUUCUUGUUUCUUCUACUUUCAAGAUGAAAGCACUACUACAAAAAUUAUUUAUAGUGUCACUAUUUAUGGUGUCACUUUUAAAAUAAUGACACCAUAUGACUUAAAAUCCACAAAGGUGACACAUCAUAUAAAAAAUUUCAAUUAGGAUCGAUGAUAUUAAUUUUAGGUUUAUAGUGUUAGUUUUCGAAAAGUGACACCAUAUAAAAUAUUUUUUUUUAAAUAUUAUAACUUAAUAGGCCCACUUUGAGAAUAAUGAUAGUAUAUAAAAAGCUCAUUGUUUCCACAUACCCACAAUCCAAAAAAAUCUCAUUCCAUAACCCUAACCAAAAUUUUCUUCUACCUCUUCUCACACCCAUAGUUCACACACAACUGCUCUUCUCUGCUUCAUGGACUCUCAAGUAACCCAAAAUCUCUUAGAUCUAUCAUUUUCAUUUUUUUUAUUAAUGUGAAAAUCUUUAUUAGCACAAUUGAUUUAUAUUCAUUGAUUUUGUAUAUCAGUAAUGGGGAUUUGUAAAUAGUGUUUUUUUAUUGAGUUGUAGGAAAGUAAAAACUAGGUUUAACAUUCCACCAUAUCUUUUGUUUCAUUGUUAAACCUAUAGACCCCAAAAUGAACGAAAAUAAGAAAAAUGAAUGAUUUUUUAAUAUCUUUCAUACUCAAAAUGAGAGAUAAACAUUUUACAACAUGAAAUUUUCUUUUGAUCUUGUAGGAAAUUUCCUUUGAUGGGGCUUUCUGUUUGUUUUCUAGGAAUAGAUGAGGAUACUGAUUGGUGUUAUUUGAAAAAUAAUUUGUUAUCUCUCACAAAAGGAAAAAUGAAAUAGUUUCCAUAUCAUGUUGGAGUCGGUUUGGAAUGUUGGAAUUAACAAUGAGAAAUUAAUUUUAUUUUUUAUUUAUUAAUGUAAAUAAAUUGUUUUUUUUUUAAUUUAAAUUGGAAUGAAAAAUUUUAUAAUUAUAAAAAUGAUCAAAUCUUAUAUUUUGAUUUUUUUUUCUAUUCUUUUACAUGGUAUUGUGGUUAAUAUCCCAUCUUGUUCUAUUCAUAUUUUUUCUAUUAUUAAAAUAUGUUUUUGCCUUCUUUUCUUAUUGUUUUUAUAUGGGUUUACCAAAAUUUAGAGUAAUUUGAGAUUGAUGAUGAAAAUUCCCUUUCAAGGUUAGAAAAUUUCUAUAAAAUCUUUUUAUUACAUAAUUUUUUCAAUUCCUUCCAUAAAACUCUUUUUUUUUAAAAAAAAAAUGUUUGAUAAUUUUCUUUUGAUUUUUUUUUUUUUUUAUGAAAUUUCCUUUUAUUGGAUUGUUUGUUUAUUUUCUAAGAAUAUUAUAGUAUGUUGUGAUGAGGAUAUUGGUUGCUGAUAUUUGGAAAAUAAUUUUUGAGAAAAUUAUUCUCAAUAUUGUCAUCUCCCGCAAAAGGAUUCUAAAAAUAUGUUUUAUUUUUGCCUUCUUUUCUAAUUGUUUUUAUAUGCAUUGACCAAACUUUGAAGUAAUUUGAGAUUGAUGAUAAAAUUUUCCUUUCAAGGUUAGGAAAUUUCUAUAAAAUCCUUUUAUUACAAAUUCUUUUUCAAUUCCUUCCAUAAAACUCUUCAUUUUCUUCAAUUUUUUUUUUUGAAAAAGAUUUUUGAUAAUUUAUUGAUCUAAAGAAUAUUAAAAGUAAAAAAUUUAAAGUAUUGAAUAUUUUUUCCUUUAAUGUUUUUAUUUUUAAUAUUUUUAUUUGAACAUAUUCUUCAUAUCCAAAUUUUUUAUUAAUUAUUUUACGUAGAAAAAAUAAAUAUAGAUUGGAGUUAUGAUUAAAAAAUCAAUAAUUUUUAUGAAAAGUUCUUUAAUUCUUUCUCAUUCUAAUUUUUCUUUUAACAUUUUUUACUAAAUGAAUUAGGUUUUUUUGUCUUAUAUGCACAAUUUUCAUGCUUGUUAUAAUAUCAUGUCUUAUCAUAUUAGUAGUUGAAAACAUUUUUAUAUUUUGUUACUAAAAUUUUAUUUUAUAUAAUUGAGAUGAAAUUUAAUGGACAUUGUUAUUUCACAAAAUGAACAUUAAAUAUAUAUAUAUAUAUAUAUAAAUAAUUAGAUGUUAAAAAUGAAUUUUAAAAUCAAAAUGAAUUUUAAAAAAAAUAAAUUUAAAACGUGGAAAUUUUAAGUAGAAAAUUAGUGUUUUUUUUUUAAUUUUAGAUUUAUAUUUUGAUUUUGUAGUUUUGAUUUAUUUUUUAUUUUCUUAAAUUGUUUUUAUUUGAGUUCAAAUGUGACUACUUCGUUAUGAGAUUCAUUGAAGAAAUAAUUAUUGAUUUUACAAUUAUUGCAUUAAAGGUUUUACUCAUUUAAUGAAUUGUACAUAAUUUCAUACUUCCAAUUAUUGUGAUAUUAAUGUUAUUCUCAUUUGAUUUUAGUUUGAUGACAAAAAAACAUAUUCUCAUGUAGAAUUUGAUGAAAUUAGAGAAUAAUGGAUUACUUUUGUGUUAUAACUAAUCAUGAAUCAUGUUGAUGUAUCGUGAUCAUUCAUGCUGAGUCUCUUAGUUGUUAUAUGAUUGAAUUUUCCAUUGGUAUUGUAUAACAUUACUUAUUCUUUACGAACUAUUUUUAUAUCAAAAUGAGAAAAAGGAAAAAGAAAAAAGAAAACAUUUGUACUUAGAUUUGUUUAUUUUUUAUAACAUCACAUUUUUAUUUUCAAUAAGAACUCUAAAACUCAUUAAACUAUGAAAUGCAGGUAUACACUCUUGGGAGGAUAGUAUGAAGAAUAAAAAGAAAGGAGAAAGAGGCAACAAGAUUUUGGGUUUUUAGAUGUGACUCUUAUGCCAUACAUUAUAGGACAUAAACGUUACUUUAUUUGGUGUUGAGAAUUUUGGGUUUUUGGAUGCAACUCUUGUGUCAUUUUAUGGUUAGCCAGUUUUAUGCAUAUGAAAUGCAAGUAUACAUGAAUAUUGGGAAGCUUAACAUUUAUAAAUCAUGUUUUAAUGUGUAUUCACUUUUCUUUUUUAGUUUUGGUAGGUUUGAUGUGUUUGAUGUACUAUCAUUUUGUGAACAUCUGAUAUACAAAUAUUAUUAGAUGAUGUAAUGUGUUACAAGUUAAUCCAUAAGCAUUAUGAAAAUAUAAGUUAAAUGUAAUAUGAUUAUUAUAUUUAUGGACAAUUUACACAGGUCGAUCUUAUUUAUUAAUAAGCAUUACAAAAAUCUACAAACUAAUCAACAAAAAACAACCAUAUCUUCCAUAAUCAUUUACAAUGAUGUGACACCAUAAAUUAAAGGUGAUGCAUUUAACGUGACACCAUAACUCAAAGAUGAUGCAUUUAAUAUGACACCUUAUAUAUCUCAUACAACUCUAUAUCAAAUUAAGCAUCACUAAAAAUAUAUGGUGUCGUUUCUAAAUGCGUCACCAUUUAUCUGGUUUGGUGUCGCUUCCAAAUACGUCACCAAUUGAUACCCUCUAUGGUGUUAGUGGAUAAGGUGACGCUAUGUUGUAGUGGCAUCCUAUGUUUAUAGCGACUUAUUAUAAAUGUCACCAUAUAUCUUAUUCCUUGUAGUGGGGCCUAUGCAUUUUCCGUGUCAUAUGCCUUCCUUUUAAUCUCUUCAUUGAACAAAUUUCCUUUCACAAAGCUCCAUAGAUAAUGCACCAUUCAGAACAAAGUUACUAAUAGUUAUAACAAAAGUUUCCCAACUAUCUAGUAGUAAACACAAUAACAAAGAGGCUUGCAUCUCAUCAUCCAUAACCAUUUUCAUAGCAGUCAGCUGAUAUACAAUACUCUGAAAAGCAUUCAAGUGAUUUUUCAUUAGUGUUCCUUCCUUUAACUUCAUAUUCACUAACUUCUUUAACAAGAAAAUUAUAUUCCCAAUAUAUUUUUGUUCAAAAAUUGACUCCAAUUUCUUCUAAAGAUUAUAGGCAUUUGUUUCAUUUGCCACAUGAUGAUGUGAGGAUGUUUCCAUCCACUGCCUAAUAUAGAUAAUGACCUUUUUGUUUAUCUUAUUCCAUUCCAAAUUAGAAAUAUCUUUGGGCUUGACUUCUUUACCCUCAAGAGUAUCUGAAAAAUCUUUGAUGGUGAGAAAAUAUUCCAUCAUGAACUUCCACAUAACCCAAUUUGAAUUUUUAAGUUUUAUCAUGGUGGUUGAGUUCCCAUUGAUUUCCAUCCCUUUCAAGAAUAAAAGUUCCCACAAACAGGCUCUAUACCACUUGUUGGGUAGUUAAAGAGAGAGAUCUAGAAUAUUCACCUAUCAAGGUUAAAAGAUUCCUCCACAAUAAUAACCACCACUCAACAAUAAUAACAACUUAACAAGAAUCAAGAAUAAUAAUCCAAGAACAUUCAACCAAAAAAAGGACACCAAAUGUAACGUGGAAAAACCUUCCAAAUAGAGGUAAAAAAAACCAUGGAGAAAAUUUCUUCCACUUCAAUAAAAUGGGGAUACAAAUAAUCAAGUCUUCAUUAGUUUUUUCACUUUGAAAACUUAUAUAAAUAUAUCUCAAUACUUGAGGUAGGAAUCCAUCACCCUAAAAAACAAUGAACAGAAAGAGAUUAGGAAAAAAUCAUACCACAGGGAUUUUCCUAAAAGAUUGAAGAAAGAACAUGUAACUUCACCCUUGAGCCUUAGAACUCAGAAAACAAACCUAAUUUCCUUUCAUUUUCUCAAUCACCCCUUUCUCCCCUCAUACCAAAGCCCUAAUGUUAUUUAUAUAAGGCUUAGAGAAUACCAAAAUAUAAAAUAGCUUCAUAUAUCGGCUUAGGAAACUUUCAUGAGGACAAACUUAACCCAACAAAGACAUCAUAGGUGUUCAUGAUCUCUUCUGUUGCCUCUGCAAAGGAGAUGAUAACCACUAGAAGGCUACCAAAAUGGAGUUGCAUAAGGAGGCCAUGCCACUGAGCCAUGGACCAUAGAGAUUGAUGAGACAGUGAACCGAGUUGGUGGAGGUUUCCAAUUAUUGGGAACUUCAGUGGAGAAGGAGGUAGCUUUUCUUUGGUGAUUAGAGGGCUAGUAUUGCAGAUCCAUUUGAUGAAGAAGUAUGUAAAGACCAACAAGGAAAGAAGAAAUAAGGAAUGUAGAUAGAAAGAAGUUUCCUCAUAUUGAUGUAUAAAGCUUGCCAUUUUCUUCUGUAUGUUCGCUAGAGGUGUGUUUAAUCAAUUACACCUUCUUAAUUUGAUCUCCCCUCGUUUUUAGAUAGAAUGCAGAAAAACACAAAGAAAAUUAUGUAGUAAUUAAGUGUUCUACAGUCAUGAUGGGAUAGGUUCUUAGCCUUGGGAGUAAUAUCAACAGUGUCAUAUCUUAUUUCAACUAUACAAAUUGGAUGGCAGAAAGUUGAACUCAUAUAUAUAAACAUUAAAAAUAGAAAUUUAGUGGGAGUAAAAUAUCCAGAAACACCAUAUCUAAUCUCAGCCAUAUCUAUUAAAGGCAAACAAAUUUACAUGGCAUCGAAUUCAUAUUUAUAUGAUUUAGUGGUGUGGGGUUUUAUAGACCAAUACAAUAUUCUUAGCCCUAAAACAAUAUAAUUGAUACACUGAGGCUAUGUUUGGUUCUUCGACAAUACUAAGAAAAGGAAAAAAAUUAGGAGGAAUGAUUUUCUUAUAUUUGAUUUCAUUAUUAAAAAUAGGAAAGAAAAUCAAAUAUAAUUAAAAUUAAUUAUAAAUUUAAGUUUUUGAAAAUUAUUUAAGCUUUAUCAAUGAUGAAAAUAUAAGUAAUUACAAAUAUAUCGGAGAUAUAUCGGCGAAUAUUUUAGAGAAAAAUAACUCGAUAGGCCUAAAAUUGAUCAAAAUUUAUGAAAAUGUUUAAAAAAAAUCUUAUUAAAAUGUAAUUAGAAGUAUAAUAAAUAUUUUAAAGUUGUUUUGUUAAAGAAUUUGAUAUAUGUAUAAUAUGAUUUGCGAUAUUAAAUUUAAUUGUAUCGUAUUAAUCGAUUAGAAAUGUGAAUUCUGUAAGUGUACACUUAUCAUGAAGCUACGUGAAAAUGACAAGAAGCUGCAUGAAAAUGACAAGGAAUAAAGUCUUAUUGUUUCAUCAUCACAAAAAAUGAUAAAGAACCCACCCCCACCACCUGAAGGAUCACCUCACCAAAUGAGUAUCAAAAUUUAGCUUUAGCAUACUUAUUUAAGUUAUGUUUGGAUGCAAUUCAAAGAAACUCCUAUAAUUUAAUUCGAGUUUUUAUACUAAUUUAGAUAACUUUAUUCAAGCUUAUAAAUUUUUAAAAAAGAUUAUUAUAAAAAAUUUUAAAAUGCUACUUUUUAUAAAAGUUUUAUUUUAUCUUAUAUAUUUUUUUAAUAUUUAAUAAAAAAAAUAUUACUAAUAUUACUUUUUAAAAAUUGUGAACUUCAACUGCAUGUUUGGAGUAAAAUAAAAAAUAAGAAAUGAUCCCAAACCAACCCUUAAUUUAACAUACUAAAAAUUUAAUCGCGUAAUUUUAGCUCAAUUAAUAAUAAUAAUAAUAAAAAGAACAACAAAGUUUCAUUCCUUCUCAUAUCAAUCAACAUGGUAAGACUGGUCCUUGAAAGGAAACAGGAAUGGGUAAAAGUGAGAGUUGGAUCCGAGAAUUCUUAUAAUUGAAACAAACAUAGGAAAGAAUAAUGAAUUAUGAAUGACUCAAAAUUACUACAGUAAGCAAGAAAGAAAAGAAUAGGGUAGUUACAAACUUCCAGGAGGGGGAAAAUAAGAUUUGUGUUUCCUUUGAAAUCUAACUUUUUGAAUUUGACCUUCUAUAAUUAAGAGUCUAUUUAAGAUAAUUUUAUAAUUUUACCUUUAAUUAAAAGAUAGAAUCGAAGUCAAAAUCACCUCUAAUAAUUAUUUUUUUCCAUUUUUUAAAGUUUCUCCUUCACAUGAUGAUUUUUCUCUAAACAUCCGCAAUUUAUCGUUCAAAAUUCAUAGAAAUAUCAAUGAUGUUCUUUUUUUUUUUUUUAACGAUUUAUCUCAACGAUACAUGCUGAUCUUUUUGGAAAAUUUGCUUGGUUGACAUUUUAAUACCCUAUUUCAAUUCCAUGACUACUGAUAUGCAAUAUAUCAAUGAUAUUUUGUUAGUAUAUAUGGAAAUUUUCAUCCUUAAUCUUUAUAUAAUAAUAGUAAAAAAAUAAUAAGUGAAAUGAGUUUAAAGAAACAUAAAAAUUUUUUUUUAUUGAUUUUAAAUCUAUUUCUUAUUUUCUUUCACUUUUCCUUUCUAUUUUAUUUCCUUCAAAUUUUCCCAAAAUCGAGCAUAGCCUAAAAAUGCAAUCUAUACAUGGGCAACCAAAGCAUAUAUAUCUUGUCCAACAUUAAUCUUGUAACAAUCUCUAUUGAUAUUGGCUUAUUUUCCAUUUAACAAAUCUUAGCAAAUUGCUUGUUCCUCUCUCUACAAAUAUGCUGAUUAGUUAUAUUCGUUUGUGUUUAGGGCUCACAUCUUUAGCAGGAUCAAAAUAAAUAGUGUCCAAACAAUCCCUUAACUUAGGAAUAACUUCAGUUGACAUAGGAUAAAAAUAAAUUACUUAAUUAGUAAGAAGAUCAUACUAUAAAAGUAUAAAGCCAAAAAUAUUAUAAGACAUUUUGGUACAACAAAUUGGAAAACAUUUCAUUCUUUUACAUAUUUGAAUAGAAUAGAUCAAUAUCCCUGCAUGAUUGAUCUAUUAAUCAUGUCUAUUUUCAAGUUUAACCUCCUCUCUUACAAGAUAUUUAAGAAUGUUAUUUAAAUUAAUAAGAAAUGGAUAAUGUAUAUGAAUGAUUAAAGCAUAAUUAAUUUUGAUCAAAAGUCCCUAUAUAACUUUAUUGCACUUCAUAUGAUGUGAAACUUGAUUUUCAAUUCUAACCAAUUUCAAAGACUUUGAUUUGAGGCAACUUUAUCACAAAAAUGAGACGUUCAAUACUAAAUUUCUUCUCAUAGCACUGAUAUAUGGGAACUUGUUGUAAGUUGUUCUUUUGUUAUCACUCGUAGGGAUGACAACAGACUGAGUUCAUAAUAAGCCAUCUCAUACCAAAUUCAUCAUGUUUAUUUAAAUUAAAUUUCAUCUCCAUUAACAAAAACUUUUAAACAAGGCAAGGGGCGGGGGCGGGUAUAGGAAAUUCUCAUACCCGCUUCGUCUUAUUUAAUUUUUUUUAAAACAAAUAUUUCAAAAUUUUUACAAUUAUUUUACUUUUAAAUUAUUAAAUUCUAUUAAAAAUAAACAUGAUUUAUAACUAAAUAAAUAUUAUAUAUAUUUAUAAUUUAUUUUUAUGAAAAAUUAUAUUAAAUAUAUAUAUAUUGAAAAAAAAUGAUUAAAAUAAAAUUUUGUUUAAUAUUAUAUAUAAUUGGUGUGGGAUAAAGUCGGUCCAAGUAACCCACCCAUUUCCAUUUCUAAUCACUAGCGAUGAUGCCAUCAUCUUUUGGUAGAUCAGUAAAUCUAUUCCAUCCAACAAGGGCUAUGUGUUGGUUAUUCUUGUCAGAAAGAUAUUUUAGAAAGCAUCUGUCACUUGAAGAAGGAAAUAAAUAGACUACUUAGAAAGCUUUUGAUGCAGCCCAUUGCAACUUGCCCAGGAAAAAGGUGCAGAGUCCAAAACAAAAGUUGAUAUGCUGGCUAGGUAUAUAUAUAUAUAUAAAAUAAGUCCCAUCAAAUACUGAUCACUAUAAUUUAUUACUGAUUCUCGAUACCAGUACCAGAAUACUAUUUGAAACAACCACAAUAAAAUCCCUUACUAAUAAAACAAAACAACAUGACAAAAAUUCAACGGCGUCCAAUUAAAUCACAAGGCCUAUGAUGAUUUUCUUAAUUCUGACAUUUGCUCGGUAUAUAUAUGGUCUAUAUCCCCAGUUUCUUCUUGUACUCUACCGCCAUGUCAUAGACCUUAUGUGGGUGUGGUAGAGAGGCGUACACGAACUCCUCUCACCCCAUGCCACCAGUUUUGGACACUCCGCUUCUAUGCUGAACUUCCCAAAAGUUUCGAAUGUAUGGAACCAGUAGUACAAUGGGAGAAAAGCAAUGUCCAGAAAACCCAAGGUCUCACCCCCAAAGUAAGGGUUCGAUUUAAGCUCUC